rnacentral:lncRNA from 1 species
CAUACAUCGCCUCUCAUUCCUAUAAUCAGUGUAGAGAUGAUGUCUGCCUCUUGUGCUGCAAUGCCCAAAACAAAAAAUCUAAGCAUAAAUGCAAAACAUUUUAUUAUCCUCUAUAGGAGGCAAGAGAGUUUACGCAAGAAUAAAUAAAUACCAUAACCAGAAGUACAUGGAAAUUACAACUGUAUAAAACGAAUUACUGAAAAUAAAUAAGCAGUAGGCGUUCUUGUUUUUACCUAACACUUAUUUUCCAGCUAAUGCCAAGUUCAGGCUCCACCUUUUCUUAACAUUCCUACAAACAUUAAAAAACAUCUUUAUUGGACUGAUAUUGAUGUUUGCAUGUCUGUUGCACGUAGUUAGCCUAGCCAGCUCUGGAAAAGGUGAGAGAGAAAAAAAAAUAUCAUGCACGUUUUUCGUCUGGAUUACAGGGAGCAAGUGUUGAAUUGCUGAAUAAAAAGACCAGAAUCUGUCCAUAGUUCUGAAGAUAAGGGAGCUGAAGCCGGUAUACUAGAGCAAUUGCUGUCCAGGGUCCUGAAGCCGAUGGACCAAAGCAGUUGAUGCUGAAGUUGAUGGACUAGAGUAGUAGCUGUCCGGGGUUUCAGAAGCCGAGAGAAGAUAUAGAAGCAGCCCAGCGAUUUGAAGAGGCUUAACUGUUGUGAUUAGAGAGGGAGCUGUCGUAGGUCCUGAAGCUGACCGACUCGUCUAGUUCAGAGCAGUAGUAGGGUUCUCUAAGGUUCUGAAGACGACGGAAAGGAAGGUUGCCAGUCUGAGCGUUCCUAGGUUCGGAAGCUAAACAGAGCAGAGGCUAUCCAGGCACUGAAGCUGAGACUGUGUAUCACGUCUGGGCUCUGCUCUUCUCUAUACGUUCUCCCUGGCCUUGUAGCGCAGUGGUAGCUCCCAAUCUGCUAUGCAUGUAAGCGUUCGAGCUGGAAGCCCAGGGAUUGGACGUCCUUCUCAUUCAGUCUGCGUCCUGUCUUGAUUCCGAAGCAGCUUCUACAAUACACAGAGCUGCUGCGGGUGGAUUGCUUUAAUAGUAAGGGAGCGCUCACGUUCCUGUACUGGAGGACUUUAGAGGGGAAGAGGUGCCCUGUUGUAGAUUGUGCUAUGGGAUAUCAUUGUGCUGUUCAACUCCUGGAACACUAAACGUGGCAGAGAGAGGGGCAGGCGGUUAGAAGUUACCGCAUAGAAUUGCAGUAGUGAACCUGCAGGACUAUCUGGUAAUAUUUUUAUAUCUAUAUCUCCUAAAUAGUGUUUGUGAUUAAAUCAUUUUUUAUUUUAUUUAUGUUACCCUUAGAUCAGACUGUGCAGGUGUUUUAUAUUGCAAUUCACAUUCAUUGGUAUGUGCAGCUUUGCAACUUCAUGUGCACUGUCAGUUCGGAGUUGCCUUUAAUGAGUGGGAAAGGGGGUGGGGGUUAUGAGCACUUUAGAACUCAAGAGUUGUAUGUGUUUAAGUAUUUUCAUUUGAUGUCAGUUCUUCUUAUUGGUGUCUUUCACUGUGAUGAUCAAAUGAGCUUCCAUUAUGAUUUAUUGCCUUCUAGAUCAGAUCUAAUGUGCUUGGAUUUCUGCACAUUGUAGAGGGCUGUGCAUGUGCUAUGCAAUACUAUGGGCAGCAUUUGUGGUGAAUUGGAAUACAGUUAGCUGUAUUCCAAAUGUAAUGGGGGGAUGCUGUUUUGCAUCAUUGCAGCAGGAGGCAAUAAUGGACAGCAUUACUCGAUCUGUUUGGAAAGCAUAAUAAACAUGUAAGUGCUUCAACUGCAUAUUGUCCAUUAUGAUUGAGCUGCUGCUAAAUUGCACUUAAUCAUAAAUCUAGGACUCCAAAAGUGGGCAGGAACGAUUCUGCUUAGUGGUCAUGAUAUUGCUAAAACAGUGUAGAACAUUUGUUAACAUCAUGCCGACACGCUAUUAGAUCAACAGGAGUAUGUAACCCUUUAGUGACAAGAAUCUGUGUGCACAAAACAACGUGAUCUAAGUUGCCUGGAAGCAUGAGUUUUGGAGGUAAUUUAUAUUCAUAGUAGCAGUCUAUGAAGGCAUAGUAACACGUGUAGAUCAUCAAUUGACAAAUUUAAAAUGCAUUAAUAAAUAUUUAGUAGAACACACACUUUUCUAAAUUUAUAUUACUGACAACUCUAGCAAAGAAAACACAAAAUGAACUGUCAAUAAGUAAUGACAGACUGGUAUCGUUUAAAACAAAUCAAUCCUGUUUACAGUGGAAAAAAAAUGUGUUAACUAAGGCAUUAUUGAUUUUGUCAAACAGCUUCUGCACAGUCCAUCCAGCGAAUUUAGAAGGCCAUGCAUUCUUUUCAAAUCAUUUGUGUUGGUUUUGGUAUUAAACACACACACUGAAGGUGAACAUUGCUACAUACCAAUUUCACUGUAAUAUACUAGUAUGUUGGCUGAUGGCCAUGAAUUUGCCAGAGUACUUUUAGUGCAUGUUUAAGAACUUCAAAAAUUGGAUGAUACUAUAUCCAAGUAAAGCAAUUUUGUUAGACUGUGCAACUUUUCCACUGUUCUGUUUAUGUUUCUUAGCAACUGAUCUGAGUAAUAUUUAGCAUAUCUGUAGACAAAUGUUCACAAAUAUAGUUUUGUGUUGAUUCAUCAGUUAUAUUUGACUUGUGUUCUGUAAUUACAUACUGAACUAUCAGCUCUUUGGCCUGACUUUUAGCUUUUCAGAAUCUAUGAAAUAAAACAGAUUCAUGAUUUCUUGUACUGCUGAUAGGUUGAGUUAGACCUCCAUUAAAAAAGAAUAUUGCAUAAAGUCAUCAGUUUUCUAAAAUAACUUAAUUAUGACUGACUUUAGACAUUUUCAUGGUUCUUCUAUUUAAUGGUGUAAUGAACAUACAAUUCUGCUACAUUACUUCAUAAAGAACAUACUUCAUUAAGUUGUAUUCAUACUCAUAGCCAUUUACUUCUAGAUAUACACAUUAUAUAUAUAUAUAUAUAUAUAUUUUUUACUUUUUCUGCUGUAUACAGGCCCAGUUGUCGCCGACCACAAACAAUUUAGUAACAAUAUCAACCACUCAUUUUUAUAAUUCAGUAUUUUAAGGUCCUUUCCAAUCUGUAUUUGUAUAUUAUUAUAACACUUUUUUUUUCUGUUUCAUGACAAGCUUCAACUGAAUGUAAACAGACUGUCCAAAUUAUACCCUCUUUCUGUGCUAGACUUCAAAUAGUAAUUCAACUGCAUGGUUUAUUAGCUUAUGUAUAUGAGAUACCUAUUGUUCAUAUUCUCAUUGGUUACUUUUUUGAAAACAAAAAUUGCAUUAACAGCUCAAAAAUGAAAUAUAUGACUGUGCAACAAUAUUUAAAGAAUUUAGACAUGGUCAAUAUAUUUAAUUGUUAGUCCUAUAAUAACAGUGGAGAUGAUAAGUCAUCUUUAUGACUUUGGUUGUGGUAGGAAGUUGAUGCCUGAUCUUGGAAACAGCAAACCUCAGCCAGUGUUAUACAUACCAAUGUUUACAUAGAAAUGUGUGAUUAACAGACCAUAUUGAUGAUAGAGUUCAGAUCCAUUUAAGCUUUCCAUAAGGUCACUUGGUUAAACAAGCACUUUUUACAAUAGUAGUGCAGAGGGCCUUUCAGAUUACACAGUUUAUAUAUGUAUUAAGGCCGUUUGGCCUGUAAUUGUGGGAGGGGCAUGUACUUUACCUACUUAAAGAGAACCCUUACCUUACUCCACCCCGUCCGUGGUCUAGCGAUUUGCAUGUGACUACUUCCGGGUCACAUGCGGGUUGCCAUUUUGUUGUUUCUUCACGUGGUUCUUAGCGUAGGACACUGAACCCGGCCAUGCUGGGACAUCAGGUGCCUGACGCAGCAUCUCCCCCACCAACUCUGAUACUCCAUCGGUAAAUGAUCCAGUGGUAAGUGACCCGACUUGUGAUGUUACCAACCACAGACCUCACUGUGUUACCACAUGUCCGCUGAUCGCCGCUGUUCCAUAAUUUACAGCGGGUACCUCUGCCCCCCUGCAGGUUCAGGAUAAGCUCCCUGGAGUUUAAUAUAGCCUGUCAUCGGCAUUUAGCCUUGGAGAGGUAGGCGAACCUUUCCAUCACUCGCUUCCUGAUCUUCACGAUCAGCUUACCUAGAUGUACACUAAGGAAUGUCUGUGUUUUAAAACUCCUGCGCUUUCCUAAUCUAAAUGAUCAGCUUGAUUGUAAGUAAUAUAGAUGGCUAAAAGCCAGCAUUUAUCAGCACUUCAUAUUACUUUAACCUACUAGGGCAUGAGUAAUGUCACAGCAUACUCUGGUACAAAUCAACUUGGUUAUAUAGCUUGUUUCAAUUCAAAUCGCUACAAAGUGUACUGUAUCAAUGGUUACUGUAUAAAGUCUAAUCCAGGCAUUUAUCACAUGAUAACUUUCUGCUCCGUUUUCUGUCAUAUAAUUACUUUAUUUUGUUAAUAUAUCUGAGGCAGUUCUACUCUUAGCUAAAUAUUAUCUAGGUGGGUACAUGGUAUAUAUUUUCAUUAUAGGACCUGGUGCUUAUUGCUUUACGUUUAACUACUUGCUGGGAAGUUGUCUGAUCUUAGUUGCGAACAAGGUUAAUUUGUAAUGAUAACAUGCAAUCUAAUCUUUUGACAACAAUAAUUAAAAAAAUGUAAAUAAAUAAAAAUAUAGUGAUUUACAUAAACAUUUUCUCAUGACCUCUCCCUCCCCCACCCAGCUGCUGCUAAUGUGAAACGUAUAGGAUUUAUCUAUCCUAUACAUAUAAUAUUGGUUUCUGGAAACAUCUUAAUCUAAUGUCUACACUACUUCACUAACAUCUUAUAUCAUAUACUAUGCUCUCUACGCCGUUAGUCCAGUCAUUUUCAUAGAUCACGGGCUAUUAUCUGCAUCUAUAGGGAACUCUUGGAUUAGCCACCAGUUUGCAGGGCAGUUUUGUUCUUACACUUGAACGGGAUUAUAUUAGGAAUAGGGUCCACGGAUGACCCCAUGAAUAUGUAUCAUACGUCCGACACACAGUUUUGUUUUUCAUUAAUUAGCUUUCAGGUUUUUAAAUACGCCUCUUAAACACUCUUCUGGUGUAAGUCUAUCCUAUAAAUAAAUGUUGGUUUCAUAAAUCACUUACACUCUCAAUUCUAAACUACAUCACCCCGGGUUUAGGCUUGAAUGCCAUGUAACAUUGUUCUCUUAUAUGAUGUACACAUUCCCAACACUAGGAAUUGUCCUUCUCAUAUUGGUCCCCCUCAUUCGUUUGGGGCCUCAAUUUCACUAUCCAUUACAUGACUCCUCAUUCUCCUUAUAUGUUCAUCUAGAUAAACAUGAUUUCUAUAUGAAGAUUUCACUCAAUUACUCCUCUAAGGCUCACCUGGCAUAUUCCUAUACACAUACUACUAAGUCUCGGUUCUUUAACCUAAAUCACCUGCAGGUCAAUUCCCCAUACUGCUUACCAGGGUCAACACUGUAUGUUCUAGGCUCUUUGCACUUAUGUUACUACUAUUCCAUUUCUAAUAUAGGAAUACUGUGUCUUGUAUAUGUUUCUAUUUUCAGGUAAUCCGGGUCUUGGACACUUAACUAGUGAUGAGAUGCUAUCACUAUUUCGGUAUAGAACAUUAUCUAAAAUUCUCGACUUGGUUUAUAUCCUCAUUAAUUACUAAGGUUAGGCUCCUUAUCCUAAAUCAUUAUAUCCUUGAAUAUUCUGUUUAAGUACGUGUCCCGGUAUGUUCAAGAUAUCCAAGGGGGUAUAUUGAAUUUCUGUCCUACUAUCUGUCUUUCCCAGCAGUGUUACAUCUAUAAGUGAAUUUGCAUACAAACAAGUCGCGAUACCACGAUUAUCAGUUUCAUUGUUAUAUUAUCAUAUUAUUAUGCUAAUAUGUCAUCAUUAAGUUGAACCACUUCUCCUCAUACUCAUAGAAGCCACUAUGGCUGGCCAACCAUGGCUUAGUUAACUGUUUCUACAACUAUGUUUUGAACCUUCAUGGCAAAUUCACUACUCAUAUAUUCAGCUGAUGGUUGGCUUCCAAAACACUUGUUAGCUCAAUUACAAUUCUACUGAAAUUAUCUGUCCAAUUGUUAUUGUCUAUGUAAACUCUGUUCAUCUAAUAUUUUGCUUGAUACUGACCCUAGUUACUUAAAAUUUCUGUUUAUCCCAUAUUGCUACUCUUCCAUUGCUCCACCUAUUCUGCUUGCGGUAAUUUCUCCCAUUUAUAUGUUGGUUUUAUCAAUGUGACCCUUGCUAUGUUCGUCAUCAAUCAUUGCUAUGUUAUAUGACCCUGGUUUAGUCGAAUUGCUUAUAUUAAUCUUGUUCUAUGACAUUCCCCCAGUCAGCUAUGGUAUUAACCCCUCAAUUGUGCAAGGUAUAUAUUUGUUUAGUUUCUUAUAUAUUUACUACAUUACCUUAGUCAUUGUAUGGCUCACGUGUAUGGCAGAUUCCAGAUUAUCAAUUGCACACGGUAUGCCCUCUCCAUGUUAUAAGGUAUUUCAAGUUUGGACCCUUAGUGGUCUCCCAGUGAUUGCUGUCACCUAAGUCUCUCCACUCAUUACUAAUUUCAGGUCACAGGUAAGUGGUCCUUCGUUGCCUCUAUGUUUACCAUGACAAGUAAGUCAACAGGUAUCACUCAGUUUUAUCACUCCUAUCGGGGCACACAAAACCUACGUUUCCUUGCUUAUUUAACGGUACAUGGGCCAACAAGUAGUUUGACUCUUUAUGUUUGACCCGUGCACGUAUGCAUUCUACCAGGCUCAUCUACGCCCCUUUUGCUUCUGUAUUCUCUGGCCGAGUAUUAGUACAGCACAUUAACGACAUUUGCUAUAAUUUCAUUACUACAUUUUACUUUUGCCACCUUAAGCUUAAUUAUUACACAAACACAUAUAUAUCUCAUUCAUGAUAAUAUGUCAGAACAUUAAUCAAGAAGACCAGGCCUUAACCCUUCCAUUAGGCUGGUCUCCCAUUACCCUUGGGUGGGCCCUCUUUUUAUUUCUGGCACACCACAAGUCACUUGCCCUUAUAUUCUAACUACUCUUAUACUUAUCUCAUACUCCAUAUAUAGUCUUUUUGCCCCUAAAGCAAGUAUUAAGGCCAUUUGGCCUAUAAUUGUGGGAUGGGCAUGUAUUUUCCCUACUUAAAGGGAACCCUUACCUUACUGCACACCGUCCAUGGUCUAGCGAUUUACAUGACCCUCCCUCCAUUCCCACUACUUAACAUAUCCUCCUUUUUUCCCCUUUACCCUUGGGUGGGCACUCUUUUUAUUUAUGGCACACCACAAGCGACUUGCCCUUAUAUUCUAACUACUCUUAUAUUUAUCUCAUACUGAAUAUACGGUCUUUUUGCCACUAAGACAUAUAUAUAUAUAUAUAUAUAUAUAUAUAUAUAUAUAUAUAUAUACACACUGUUAGAAAUAUAUAUAGAUACAGUCCUGGCGUAAAAGUCUGUGUUUAACAGACUGAAACGUCAAUUUUUUAAAAGCUCAUUAAAAAGCUAAGUUUUAUUUGAUUCAACAGUCCUGAGAGUGCUAUCUGGAUUCCUUUUAUAUAUAUGUAUACUGUUAGAAAAUUAAAAUAAAUAUAUAUAUAUAUAUAUAUAUAUAUAUAUAUAUAAAUAUAUAUAUAUAUAUAUAUAUAUAUAUAUAUAUAUCCUCUAAUUUUGCAUAUGCUCACUCCUGAUUUGGGAUUUCUGUGGGAAAAGCAAAGUGUUAUGGCUUCUUGACUGGUGUGCAGAUUUUGUUUUAACAUUGAAUUAACUAUAUACAUUAUAUACAUAUACAAAAUACUAGCAAUACAGUGCUUACAGAUUUUUUUUUCUUAUAUUGCUCUAUCUUGAAAUAGGGUGACGUUUCAGUUCAGGAACUUUUAUCAGGACAGAAGAUUAUAUAUAUAUAUAUAUAUAUAUAUAUAUAUAUAUAUAUAUAUAUAUAUAUAUAUAUAAACAAUCACACUCCUGGGACUUGGUUAAAGUAGUAAAAAUUUUAUUUUUAUGUAUUCCGUAUAAAAUAUCUGGUCAGUUGAUAUUUUAUAUGGAAAAAAUAAAAGCUAAAGUUUACUACUUCAACCAAGUCCCAGGAGUGCGAUUGUUUCUACACCUAUAUUUACUUUUGCCACUGAGCUCUACAAAAGUCUUUUGUAAGCUACAAAAAUAGAUAGAUAGAUACACACACACACACACAUGCACUAAAUGUUAUCUGCCAGUUAUUUCAAUAGGCAUUUUGGCAUAUUGCUGGGAUUGUUAUCCAUGACAGUAUUCCCAUUAAUUAAGGUUUAAACCUUAAACAACCACCAACAACCACCAUGCAGUACAGGGAACAAAUUAUCUUCUGAAGAGCUAGAACAUACAUUUGUCAUUCUGCCCGAAAUGAAUUGAAGCUAUACCUUUUCAUGGCAACUACUAUUUACCAUUUAUUUUUAAACAUUGUAACUUAUAUACAAUUUCAUUAUUUUAAUGUACCCUUUAACCAAAACAGCAAACAGUAUUUGACCAUGGGAAGUGUAAUCUUAGUUCUGCCCUAAAUUUAAAUGAACCCUAACACCUGCACAAAAGUACUUACAGCAACCCUAACACAAAUAUUCAUGCCAACACCUACCCUAAACAUGACAACAACCCUAAAACUAAUAAAACAGUAAAUGCCAUCUCUGAUAUCUAGAGACAUUCAAUAUAAUCAACCUCAGUGUCACACAUACACACACUACUUUAAGGAGUAUAUUAUGGUUUCAUAUGACGUACUGCACUAUGUGACUGCAAGGAGCCCUAAACACAGUACAGUACCACCCUACCCAAUUUCACUGGUAGCUUUAUUACUGUUGUAAAAGUCUUUGCUGGAUUUAGAGUUUAAUGGGCUUAGAACUGAAAGUACCAAUGGUCUAAUGAGAGAAGUUGAAUUGACAUAUCAAUUGUCGCAGUAGCUGUUCUGAUUUACAGUUCAAGUGUGAAGCGACCAAUAGAGGAAUAAAAAAGGAGAAGUAAAAUAUAUAUUUCUAGAUUAUAUAUUAAUAUAGCUUUCCUUCUAUUGGUUAUUUUUUUCUCACUUAAUAACUAACAUUUAUAUUAUGUAUAUAUUUUCCAGUACACCAAUCGGACCAUUUUUGUUCUAUUUUAUUUUGUUCGUCUAAAUCGUUUUUUUCUGUAUAUUUUUCAUGGACGAUAUUCAUAGGAGCUGAACCAUCAAAUGAACAGAGGUCGGGGGUCCCGAACUAAGUUUAAUUUUUGGAAAAGCAACCUGAAUUGAAUUUUUCUGAUAUGCCCAUAUAGACAGUUGAAUACAUGUACAUUUACAUAAUGUUAUUGAAAAGCACAUUAUUUUAUAAUUAUAGCUUGCUACUUUUACUAACAUUUGAAAAUUGUGUCCCUCGAGCAAAACUGCAUUGUUAAUUCACACCGACUUAUAUUGCUUUAUUUAAAACGAAAAAUAAACUAUUUUUCCCAGAUAGAAUCUCCAAUUUUUCAGGGUAUGGUUUCAUUGCCAAAACAGUGAUUGACUUAAAAAACUUGUAAGUCCUUUGAGUAAUGACUUAUUAAAAGAAUAGGCUCAUUAUUUUAAAAUCAAAAUCUGAUCUAACACGAAGCAUUGAUCAUGGUUUCUUGAUGAAAUAAAAAUUCUCGGAAUGACAUCUGUAAUAACGGUUUAAACUGUUGAAACAAAGUUUAUUUAGAUCUUGCAUUGCCUCUGAUUAAAUGUAUAUGCAAUUGUUUGACAUUUCCUGCUUUUUAUCAUGAUUCUUACAAUGAACAAUUAAUCAUUCAAUAAAAAAUAAGGUAAUCUUCAUUUUGAGUACUGUAAAAUUAAAUUAUUUCAUCAAAAGUUGAAUACAGGGCAUAUUGAUUCUCUAACAAUGCAUAAUUUUGUUGAACCACAGCAGCAUUAGUUAAUGAGCCAGUUACUCCAGCUUAAUGCAGAGAGUACAGGAACCAAACCUCUGAUGGCUAUACAAAUAGGUUUCUUUUCUACAUAUCAGGUAGUAUAUGCUCCAUGAUAGAAUGAUGUAGCUUUUUUUAACAGGUCAAGAGUUUAUUGUAUGCUUAUCACGCCACUUUUUAGAAGGGUUACACAGGGAAUGGUCAGUAUCUCUCUUAAUGGAAAUCCAAAACAUGCAGCACAAAUGUCUCCUUGGUUGUACCCCCUUUCAGUGACCAGAAGAUAAUAGUAUAUGAGAAGUUAAUAAUAUGAGUUGCAUAAGAAGUAUUAUGCUAAAGCAAGUUAUGCAGGAUAGUUUAGGCCCAUUUCUAAAUAUUCCUAAUUGCCAGUGGAACUCAUGUAGUCAUUAGCCACUUCACAUCAGAGUUUACUGAGCCUCAUAUAUUGCCUUCUUUUCUUCUUACAUUCCCUAUUAAAUUUCGCCAUGUUACAUAUCCUAAAAACUCACUCCUUCCAUGUCACAUACCCUAUAAACUCCCUCCCUUCAUUUCACAGACCCAACUAACUCCCUCUGUUACAUACCUUAUCAACAUCCUCCAUGCUACAUACCCUAUCAACUUCAUCUAUGUAACAUACCCUAUAAGUUCCCUCUAUGUUACAUACCCUAUAAGCUACCUCCUUCCACGUCACAUAUCCCAUAAAUUCAAUCACUCCAUGUCACGUACUCUAUUAACCAACUCUGUCAAUGUCAAUUGCUCUCCAAGCUACUCUAAUUAUACUAAUAACUGCAAACCUCCGACUAUAUUACUGUCACUUUUUCCACAAAGCCACUGCCGUUGUGCUAUUUACUGGCCAAUACCUAGUUUUCUACCUUAUGUAUUACUGUCCCCAUCCCGGUUUCCUCCCUGUUUAUCUUCUUACUUUUCUUGGACCUGGUGUUUAUGGCAGCCAGCCAGGUGUUCAGUUGUGCGUAUGAUAUCACAUAUCCCCACCUACUAUCCUAUAAUAGGCUUACCACUUCAGGCAUGUGAGAAGAACAAAAGUAAAGUACAUUAUUUUCACAUGCAGCAAACACAGAGGUAGGGAUUUGUAAUAAAGGUGUUAUAAAGGCCAGUAGUAGCUAUUAGGUACCAAAUGGUUCUCAACUUUUUUUAUUUUUGCUGGCUGACUACCAGUAAUAUCUUCUUGCAAAGAUAAAGACCACUCACUGACUAGCAACUUAUUAGUAAAGCACAGGAGAAGAAAACACUCCCAGUUUAUUUACUAAAGUGAGAAUUGUUAGGAAGUCAACGUUAAUUUCAAAUGUAAGGCCAAAAUAUCCAACAGGAAACAAUCUCACAGCAAGUUCUUUAGUGAGAAGCUGCAAAAAGAAGAAAUGAGAUUUAAAAUAAGCUGUUGUUAGUUUGGUUAAUUUGGCCUAAAAUGUUAACUCUGUUUGGAAUUAAUACAAAUUUACAUUUAAAUGACUAAUCCUGUUUAUUUGGUAAGAAAAAAAAACCAGAUACGGUAUAUGGAUUUGUAAACAAUGGCUGCUUGUAUCAUGAAGUAAUAAAUUCAACUUAAUUUUACAUGCCAAAGCCAAAUUAAAGCAAGUGUAAUACUUAACUGCAUCAUGUUCUUUUUAACAAGUAACACUGUCUGCCCAACUUAUAUUUAUAUUCAGGUUGCUGGCAGAGCAAACUGGAACCUAAUAUGCAAGUAUUUGAUUGAUUUUAGGCUUGGGAUUUUUUUUUUUUUUUAGCUAUUUAGUAAGUCAGAAUUCUUAGCCCCUUCAAGUUGCCAAAAGUUCAAGUUGCAAAAAUUAAAAACACAAUGUAAAGUAUCCAUGACUUUGGCAUUUCAUUUUUAGUGACAUGAUCAUUGGCCUGGUCCAUAUUGUACUUUAAACCCUUCAUGGGGGAUAAUGUGUCAGAGAUAUCAUAGAAUUUGUCCAAUCUCUUGUCCUAAAGGAAUUUAAGAUGAAUAACUUUAUAGCACAGCCCUAACUCUCUCAGUUGUGUAUCCAUAGGUAACAAUGUAUGUGUUGAUCAUUCCUACCUUUUUCACAAUGCAUUUUGAAAGUUGAGUAGUACAUAUUGCGUGUAGCAUUGAAGCAUUCACAUUCCAAAUUGGCCUGUAAAAUCAGUACAAAUGGAGAGUUUUUUUUUAAUCUUUUUUUUAUCAUGGUAGCUGUUAUACAAAUGUUUGUAAUGUGGGUAUAUAUUAUCCUACUAUACUAUCUGUAGAGCAGUAGAUCCCAAACAAGUACUCGUGGCCAUGCAAACGUCUGAGUUUUAAGAGUAUUUGGAAUAACUGUUGCUAAGCCACGAGAACUGGUUUGGGAACCACUGGUUCAGAGUAAUAUUUAAAGAGACUGUAUACCUAUAUCCAUUUACAACAACUUAAUAGUUUACUCCAUCUCCAUGAACAUAAUUUCAGAUGACUAUGGUGUCUGGAGUUUGUCUAUGCUUGAAACACUGCACAUGCAGUGUUUAACCUGCCCCUGCUUCCAGAUGUGUAGCAAUCUUCUGCAUCAUUAUUGGGUUAUCAUUGAGAGAACCAGCUGUGAACAUGAGUUCUGUGUAUACUGGACAUCUGAUGUCAGCAUGCACAGCAUUCUAGAAACAGUUGUUUAAUGAAGGUGUUGUUCUCAUUGCAUUUAGCAUACAACUUUUGGCAAUCAUCAUCAUAUCAUCUCUAAUGUUUACAAAAACAUAUGUUUUCAGUUAUUUUACUGCUGUUUGAAAGAUGUUACUAGUUAUUUGUAAACAGUACUUAUCCAUAAUAAUUAUAAUGUUUUGCCAUUAGAGCUAAAGUUCCAUUAUUAUUAUAUAUAUGCUAUCUGAAUGUGAUCAUGAUACAUUUUGUUGUGACAGCAUUUGGUAUUACUACAAAACAGAGCUCUAUAUAUUAAACAUAUUAAUAACACUUGGUGUUAUGAUAUAGAUGUGCUAUGAUUAAACUAACAACACUAUAGCAUGAGUGUGAUGUCCCCAUUAUGUUUUAACCAAUGUCACUUUUAUCAGUGCAAAGGUUAAACUACAAGGCCUCUUGUCUGUUGCCUUUAAAAAAACAGUAAGAGAUUGUGUUCAGGGAAACAGGGCCACAGAGGAGGGUGGAUCAGCAUGCAGGAGAACAUUGAAAUGGACAAGCCAGUGGAUGUAGUGUUUACCAAUGGCAGCCACAGUAAAAAUUCUAGACAUAAAGAGUGCUGAAAAAUGUGUUGUGAACUGCCUGAUGACUGCAAAAUCUUUAAAAUCUGUAAUAUGGUCAAACAUCAAACAAGAGUUGUGUUUCCAACAUGAAGAGUAGAUACACGGGUCGACUGGGCCGAAAUCUCACAUUCUUUUAUUUGCAUUAACCAUAUGGGGGCUGCCACUAGUAGAAACAAAAAUGCAUAGAAUCUGGAAUACUGUUUGAGAGUGUUUGCCUUAAUUUUUAAUGUUGACUACUAGUAAGGUGGGUUCUAAAAUACCUAAAAUUGGAUUGGAGGUAUCAUGUCAAAGCCCCAAAAAUUAAAUGCUGCUAGGCCUGCAGCAGGAGGAAGGAUUACAGAAUCAAUGACUUGUCCAUUAGUUGCUAAGAUGCAGCAAGAAUGGAUUGGAAUUUAAAGUGAAUCCAAAGUGAAUUUCAUAUUAAAGACCAAAGUAGCUGAACAGGCAGCAUAGCUAACUUGUAGGUUUUUGUUUUUUAGUUUGGUUAUUUUGGCUGUAAAUUUGAAAUUCACUUUGAAUUCCUGACAACUUUAGUGAAUAAACCUAAGAGAAACACUGAGGACACAUGAGACGUGCACAAACUCCAUGAUUUGCCAAUCUAAUGCUUUUCUAUAAGAAACACUGAAUCAAAGGUUUUGCAAAGAGAAGUACUGGAUGCUCACAGUGUCCAGUUUAAACAUACUCUUUAUGAUGACCACCAACACCUAUGCACAACACAACAGUCAUUCUAUAUAGGAAGAAAAUUUAAAAGAAUUAAGGGAUUUUGAACUCGUACAAAAACCUGUUCUCAGGUUUAAUGCAGAAAGCGUUACUAUACCCAAUUACCCUGACCCUACAGUCACAAUGUCUUGCUCACCACAAGAGAAAACUAAACUAUAUACACCUGAAAACAAAGCUUAUUUUCGGAACAUAGAUAAAAAAAAAUAUCACUUAUAGUGAAGCUUCUGUGAUUCAAAUAAAGGCUCACUUCUAAUAAAGUGGCUGAAAUAUGCGCCUGUCACCCUUGGCGUUUGUUUCGCCAGUCCGGGCGCACCUCAGGGGUACUGACAGACGCAUAUUUCAGCCUGAUGAGCCAGAGUGGCGAAAUGUGCUGGAGUUUUUAUCUAUGUUUUUAUCUACCGGACAAGGAACGAGGCUCUGUCUAGCACUUACCAGAUAUACGGUUCUAUUACCCUUAACACCAGCAUCUAUGCAACUCUUUGCUAAGUCUCACCUUUUUUCUUGACUAUAUUAUUUUAGCAUCCAGGGGAGGGAUUUCCCACUAAUCGGUGCAGUGGCUUAGGCUUUUGUUUAGGGGUGCCUGGGAAGGCACAAUUUUAUCAUAGAAAAUGGGUUUACGGGGCGUGACUGAAUGGCAGCACAUUAGCUUAGCUCCCUUAGACUCACUAGGCAAUCCAGUGCAAUCUGAGAAUAAUAUCAAAUAUGGGAAACCCCAAACAUCAAAAUACCCCUCACAACUCCCAGGGGAAGACACCACAGGGCAAAUCUGACCCCCUCACCAAGUUCUUUCGAGACACGGAACGCCACGAGGAUGAGGCCAAAGACAAAAUGGCGGCUGCCAUGAGGCCUAAUGACAUAGCUCCCUCGAGCCCAGCACCUUCGGAACUCAUCUACAAACCAAGACCCCGAUAUAAGGAACUUGCUUAAACCAUUACCCUUGAAAACUGACCUAGUGGCAAUGCUGAACAAGCUAGAAUCCGCCUUCCAGACGAAGCUGGAGGCCCUGGGCACAGACAUCCGCCAGGUUGUACGCAGAGUCACAGAGCUAGAGGAAGAUAAAGAUGUAACCAACUCUCAAAUCUCGCUCCUACCAAAGGCCCUGGACAAACAGGCACAAUUAAUUAAUCUCUCUCCAGAGAUCUAUGGACAACCUCGACAAUAGAGGACUCAGUAAUAACUUGAGGGUUCGCAGCCUACCAGAGACACAGGAUGAAGACCUCCAUGCUUCACUCACGGAAUUAUUCAAUCUGCUGCUGGGUGAACCCGUUGAUACACCCAUCAUAAUGGACAGAUCACACAGGUCACUGAGACCUAAAGGAUUGGCCACAGAGGCACCAAGAGACAUCAUUUGCCGGCUCCACUAUUUUACAGUAAAAGACAGAAUCACACCGUUGCUGUUUCACGGAGAUGAGGUACAAAUAUUCCCAGACCUGUUUUGUCUUACACUCCAGUCAAGGGUAUUGAGGCCUGUGACGGAACUACUGAGGAACAGACAAGUGAAGUAUCGAUGGGGGUUUCCCUUCGCACUGAUCGUGUCACACAGGAGAUCCACAUUCUCCAUAACCACUCAUCAAGAUGUGGCACCCUUCUUACAAGCCCUAAAUCUGCCAGCUACACAGGUCAUGGACUGGUACACUCCACAACCGGCAUCUGAAACACCCAGACUACAGCAAAGACAGAAGUGGAAAAAUCAGACGAACAAGAGAAAGGCCGACCAGAACUCCACUCUCUCUCGGACAGAACCACCAAUGCAAAACUAAAGGAACUAAAGCACAGAGGACUCUGGGGGACACAAUGGGGCUCCUGUCACGGCCGCAGGGACUGCAGAUCUAAGAAAUGCAUCAAAACAUAUAUUGAAUACCAAACUGAAAAUCUCACACUCCUGAGGACUAUAAAGCAUCGUCACUUACUUCAGCAAUCACUGCUAUGUUACAGAGACAACCAUGGACACCAACUUGUAAGCGGGAAACAGACUUUGGCCGGGCUGACUUGUGGGUGCUGAGGGCACACACUGGAAUUUAUAUUGAUGUGCAGGUAACUGGGAACAGGUCGUAUGUUGAUGUUAUUCCAUGAUACUGUAGUAGAUGCGUGGUGUGUAAACUCCCAGAAGGGUCGCGGGCGCUAGGACUCCCUCUCCCCUUGAAAGUGCCCCGUUGAGGGGCCGGGGGGAGGGGAGUCCAGGGCCCCAAUACAGGUCAGUAAAAUUCACUCACGGGGGUUGCAGGCCGGGCGGCACGUGGUGGGUUGGGCAGGGGUAGGGGUGCGGAUCGGAUCCGAUGGGCACUAGUGACUUGCUGAGGCUGGGCCUCCGGGGAUAGCUGAGGGGCAACUCUGAUAAUACGCUAAAUAAACUAAAACAUCAGUGUGGUUUUCGUCCCCCAUUCCUCUCCCUUCUGCCCUCUCCCCCCCCCCGGUCUGGUCGCACCGGGACUCCGGAGGCGAGGUAUAGACGGUAAGAUAUUGGUCAGUAUACAGGGAAACACAACAUUACAUGAGGAGACACGAUAAGUUCCAGGGAUGAUCUGUGACCUUGGGUGCUUGCACACUUACAACACCCCCCCUUACAACGCUUAUGCUUCCUCACCAAGCAAUACAGCAGAGGGUUACUAUAACUGUUCUGCUGUUUCUGUAUGUAUAUAUUUAAAAAAAAAGGGGGGGUAGUCCCCGCCCUCACGCUCCCCCCCCCCAGUCCUCACAAAGCCUUGCACCAGCAGUGGAUUAAGUUUUAUGUUUAAAACCAAUUCAGACCUAUAUUCUCCAUACUAUAAAUAGCACAUGAAUUCUGGAAUUGCCGAACUGUGAGUCACCCGAAUGGUACCCUCCUGGCAUAAUUUUCUAUCUUUGAUGUGAGGAUAGAAUCCAUACUGAAGUCAAGUUAGACUUCACCGGACACGGGUACUGACAAUUCACACAAAUAUAUACAGUAAAAUACGCAACUUGACAAAUUCCUAAACGUAGGCCUCCCAGGACCUACUAUCCACCCUUUCCCUCCCCCCUCCUUACAUUAUUUUUCCAUACUUGUUUUCCACCUCCCUUCCCCCCCUCACACAAACCAACAAACUGGGGCUAACAUCUAAGAUCACACCGUUUCUGGUAGACAGUUGGCUAGCUGAUAGACCAAUUGGAUUCCCGAUAUAAGUGAUAUAUACCCUAAAGCACACACAUUAACGAAACCAGCCAACAAAUCACUGACGGAUCCAUNNNNNNNNNNNNNNNNNNNNNNNNNNNNNNNNNNNNNNNNNNNNNNNNNNNNNNNNNNNNNNNNNNNNNNNNNNNNNNNNNNNNNNNNNNNNNNNNNNNNUCAGAACAGGGGUUCAAAAGUUUUAUGGAAGUCAUGUUUGACCGACCACAAGCAUGCCUUUCAUGCCCAAAACAGUUCCACAGAUUUAAGCUGUGCGGCCAGUCUAUCUUCUCCUCUGUCCUGGAGUUAAUUUGCUUAAGUGGCUGUGGUAAGCCAAUUAUCUCCAGGUACAGGAAAUAUCUCUAAGUCCAAAAACUGUUACAAAAACCACAUAAAAAUACAUAACUCUUAUAAUACAACGUUUAACCUAAAUGUCCAACAUAUCCCCAGAUAGGUUGGAACUGAGCGCUCAAUAUGUCCAAUGUUAAAAGUGCCCUAUAGUACAAGGAAGGGUGAGGCUGAUGGUAGAUUAAGGAGGGACAAAGCAGCCAGUUUCAACUGGUCCGGCAGUGUCCCUGGGACAACGCCUUGCUGGAGAAACAAUGGACAGGAAAAAGGGGGAGGGGAAGAGGCACAUUUUCCCAUGGAUUUAAAGGGGCAGAAAAAGUGUUUUAAAAUCCAAUAAGUCACAGGGGCCAUAAUCACAGAGCAAAAGGCUAGCCAUUAGUCCUCUCCAAGAACAAGUGGCGAAGGGGACUUCAUCAGACAUCUCCCUUUUGGGGGGGAGACUAACCAGGUACCUGACCUUCUGUCGGCUGAGUGAGUCGAUCCACCCACCCACAAUAAAUAGUUACAAGAGUAGCCCGCCCACAAUAAACAUUUACUGCACCUGGUGAUUCCUGAUGGCCGGCUCUGGCCUGUAUGUCCCAGGUUGCUGAGUGGGGGGUCAGCACCCUUGAUCGCUCUGGUGCAAAUAGGCCAAACGCUGUGGGUACUUGGGAGGCAGAGGCCAGCUGCGCUCUGCCCAGAUGCUUCUGCUGGGGUAGCCUGGAUGAAACUUGGGCUAUGGAGGGGAGAUAUCGCUUACCUCCUCCUCCUAGUCUUCCUGUUAGGGUAGUUGGGGAUCUGGACAGGCCAUCCAGCAUCCCUGUAGGUUGGGUGCAGAGACCACGGUCCUAUCUGCACCAUCUAGGAUAAUAGUGCCUCCCCUUUGUAGCAGGGGAGAGGGACCGGUUGUCCCCUCUCUCUGUAGGGUAAGCUGCCACUGGGGAGAGAGACCGACUCCCUGAACCACAUGCUGCCACUGGGGAGAUGCUCCUCUCCCUGAACCACAUGCUGCCGCUGGAGAGUGAGACCGACCAUCUUCACUCCCAAUAAAUUGUCCUGCCGCUGGGGAGAGAGACUGACUGUUUCUGCUCCCUGUAGGACACACUGCCGCUGAGGGGGAAGAACAACACCAUCGGCCUCCUGGGAUGCAUACUGCUGCUGGGGAGGGAGAUCACUUGUCUCCACUCCCUAUACUAUACUCCCCUCCCUGCAAAUUACACUGCCGCUGGGAAGAGACACCAGUUGUCUCCUCUCCCUGCAGGAUACACUGCUGCUGAGGAGAGACACUGGUUGUUUCCUCUCCCUGUAGGGAACACUGCCAUUGGGGAGAGAGGCCGGCUGCCUCCUGUCCCUGCAGGAUACACUGCUGCUGGGGAGAAAGAUUGGUUGUCUCCUCUUCCUGAAACUUAACCUGCCGCUGGGGAGUGAGACCGCUUGUAUCCACUCCCUGUAGGGAACACUGCCGCUGGGGGGAGAGGCCGGCUGCCUCCUCUCCCUGCAGGACACACUGCUGCUGGGGAGAGAGACCGGUUGUCUCCUCUCCCUGAAACUCAUCCUGCCAGUGGGGGGGAAGGCUUGGGUAUCCACAGUCCCAAUCUGUACAACUCGAGCUCGAGGCACCGCGCCGCUCGGUUCUCCUGAUACACUUCUUACAUAAUUAGGUCGAUCGUCACAUGUGGAGGAUCUGGGCCAUACCUGGCUAGCCGCCUCUUUACCUCCACAAUGAAAUCGUUGUCUUCAUAGCGACGUAUCAUGCUUGCUUGGUGUUCCCAGGAUGCUGCUCCUCGCACUAGGAAAGUCAUCCCACUGCUAUCACCAAUGUAACAGAUCACCUGUACUCCGACUGAGUACCUUCCGUUGAUGGACGCUUCAGAGCUUGCGCCGAGAACCACAAGCACCACACAGGACACCACAACCAUCGCAGACUGCACAACCGCCGUAGCUUAACUGGAGUGUCGCCAUCUUCCUUCCACCCUGGAUCAGCCUCUGUCCUCCAGGGGAGCGUAUCAGGAACAGCUCUUAAAAGAGGUAAGUGAUUAGAGCUCAGGGAAGUUUACAAAGUAUAGCAAUCCCCAGUGUGAUUAUAGCAAUUCCCUACAAUAACGAGACGAGGCUACAUAUUGAGGGCUAAGUAGGAACAGAAUGAACUGAGGGUUUAUUGUCUCCUUUAUACACGUUUUCCCACAAGGUUACCACCCAUGUGGACCUUGUGGUACACAGGAUACAAAGUUACAAAGCCAAUCAAAAUACUCUUGUACGGUCUUUUGGGGUGUUUUCUGUGUUUUGUGAAAAAUGUGUGUUUUCUGCCUGUGAGUAAUUGAGUUAGUCCAUUAUGUUUGUUAAUUGUAUCACAGGCAGAGGGGAGAGUUUGUGUACAUUAUCUGGGAGUGCCUAACUGUACAAGAGUGUUUUGAUUGGCUUUGUAACUUUGUGUCCUGUGUACCACAAGGUCCACAUGAGUGGUAACCUUGUGGGAAAAUGUGUAUAUAAGAAGCAAUACAGCCUCAGUGCAUUCCUGUUUGACCCUCAACAUGUAGUCUUGUCUCAUGAUUGGAGGGGAACUGUUAUAAACACACUGGGGAUUGCUAUACUUUGUAUUCUCCCUUGAGCUCUAAUCAUUUAGCUCUUUUAAGAGCUGUUCCUGAUAUGCUCUUCUGGAGGAGAGGUCUUUUCCAUACGGUCCUGGAGGACAGAAGCUGAUCCAGGGUGGAAGGAAGAUGGUGACACUCCAGUUAAGCUACGGCGGUUGUGGAGUCUGCGGUGGUUGUGGUGUCCGGUGCGGUGCUUGUGGUCCUCGGUGCAAGCUAGGAAGCGUCCAUCAACAGAAGGUACUCGGUCGGAGAGACCGACCGCAAGGCCAAAACUUAUGGAACUGUUUUCGGCUACUGUUGCCUGUGCGAUCGGUCAAAACUUUAUUCCUCCAUAACUCCUGAACCCUUGUUCUGAUCUGGAUGAUUAUUGAGUGUAACGGCACCCUCAGCAUAAAAGGGUUAAAUCUCCGUUUAGGAGAUCUUCCCCUUCCAGAGACACAGGCACAGCUACUGCAGAACACCAAUCCGCCGAACAGGAAACCAUAUGAAUGCUGUAAACAGCCGAAUAGGAAAAAACAUACGAAUAGGUUUACACUCCUAGCAGUCAAACUGGAACAGCAUACAGUAAAUCCCCCCAAGAAUGAGACAAAGCUCCGUGUUGAGGGUCAAGCAGUGAACAGACAGAGCUGUGGGUUUAUUGUGCUUAUGUACACAUUCUUACACAUUAGUACCACCCACAGGGUUUUGGAACACAACCAAUAAACACAUACAAUACACUCAGACACUCCCACACAAAUUCCUCCCCUCUGCCUGUGAUUCAAUUACCUUACACAAUGGGUAAUGUAAUUAGCACAAGCAGAGAAAUACAAUUUUUCAAUAUUAUUCAUAACUUGAAAAGUAUGCAUCACAUACACAUAAAACUUACAUAAUCAGCAUACUCCAAAUACAAACAUAUGUCAAAUUCAUACAAAUUGGUCCAAUGGUUCAAAAGAUAGAUUGUAUUCCUUUGUGACCAAAGGAAGCAUGGUUUUUCUGCCCAAAACCAGUUCCACAGAGUCUUCUAUCCUGGAGAUAAUUGGGAAGUAAUCCAAUUAUCUCCAAAGACAGAGGCAAAACUCCAUUGAACACAUGGCAGCAAAAGACAAUAAAACACAUAAAAACAUAUAACUGUGCAGCCAUUGCACAAAACAGGUACAUUCAACAUAUCCCCAGAUAGCUCAUGUGACAAGACCAAUCUCGCCACAUUGCAUUGGAGAAGCCUGGUUGCUCGCCUGCUGCCUCUGGACUAUGGCCCCCCUGUUAAAAGACAUCAAAAGCUUCAUUCGUGCUUUUCUGCCUGGGGUUCGGUAGAUUUGUUUGAAUGUGUUAUACACCAUAUAGGAAUCCCAUGGAGCCCAUUCGUAUGAAACUGACUGUAAAGACUUUUGCUCCAUGGCGAUUAAACUGUAUUUGUGUGGUCACUUAAUAAUGUGCGCUCAGACCUGAGCUAUCUGGGGAUAUGUUAAAUGUAUAGUUUUAAUGUAAUGUGUCUUACCUGGUGUAUUUUAACAUUAAUGCUUGUUUUGUGUCCCCAUGCAUAAUGGAGUCUUGCCUCUGACAUGUCUGUGUUUUAUGUAUAAAAUGGGACUUUGUGUAUUGUACAGUAUUUUAAUGCUUUGUGCAAACCAUGUGCAUAAUGGAGUCUUGUCUCUGUCCUGGGAGAUAAUUUAAUUACUUCUCAAUUAUCUCCUGGGCAGAGGAGAGGAAGCCAGGAUGCAUUGUGGUAAAAAGGAAGGGGUAAUCGGGUUACUUCUCAGGAUAAGGGGGAGGGAAUCUGUGGGUUGUAACUAAUAUGUUACUGGAUAUUUUAUACCUCCCUGUGGGCGGUCCUGUAUUUGCAACACUGUAAUAAAAACCAGGCUGGGUGUGCCAGCACCUCAGACCACUGCUUGACCCUCAACACAGAGCCUUGUCUCGUUCUUUGGGGGAUUCACUGUAUGCUGUUAGAGACUGAUUGCCAGGAGUGUAAGCUGAUUGUCUGCUUUUCCUGUUCGUCUGCUAGCAGCUAUUUGGGAGGUUCCAGUUCGGAAGUUGGAGUGCUAUUUUGUAUCCAGUUCGGGAGUUUGGUGUUCUGCAGUAGCUGUGCCUGCAUCUCUGGAAAGGGGGCGGAUCGCCUAAACGGUUUUUACCCCUUGUGUGCAAAACGGUCCGUUACAAUUGGUGGCAAGCGGCGGGAUCGUUCCCACAGACUACAGGACAGCUACAGGCACCACACAAUUUGAGGGCAACGCAUGUCUGAGUACAGCGACCCUGACAGCAACAGAAUGGAACCAGCAGUGUCAUACGAAGAGGAGGACCUGGAUGGCCGGGAUGCAUUAAGGAAAAGCAUCUGGUACCAGGCCCUGGAUAAUGUACAAUACCAGCGGGGCGAGAGUCUCCCCAGUGAAGAGCAGCGGUUGCAGAAGCAAGUGGCCCUGCGGAUGCCCUUCCUGGGAGAGCAGCCCCUGGAUGAAUGGAUGAAGGAAUUGGAGCACCGGGUAUGGCAGGAGAUUUGGCUGGAAGAUGCCUACCAGGCGCUCUGGUGGUAUGGGGCACAGUACCUGCCCUGGACAGCCGAGCAUGACAAGCCAGAGGGAGAGGAGUUUGAUGGUCCUGGCUUGUUAUGGGAGGCUUUUUCAGAGCCUGAAUUUGGGAGCCCUACACAAGCCCGGUUCAGUGAUCUCUUGGAGUGGAGGGAGAGCAGGUAUGACUGGGACGACACUCACAACAUUGAGCAAGACCUGGCUCACCUAGCAACCCUGGAGUGGGAACUGGAGCAGGACUACCGAGAUCUCUUCCACUCCAUUGAGAAGAUUCAGCAGGACAGCAAGGUGACAGAUCCAGUUCCAGACCCAUUCAGCUGGCAAGACAUUGUUGAUAUUUUCUGGGAAGAACCUCAGGUGGCCGGUAGAGAUGGGACCGAGGUCUCUCCACCGUUCCUGCAGGGAAUUGGGAGUCCAGUCUCCAUUCCCCAGCGGCCGUGUGAUUUAUUGGGAAUUGGGAGCCCAGUCUCCAUUCCCCAGCGGCAGAGUGAUAUGCCGGGAAGGCAGUGUAAAGUGCAGGGAGAGGAGAGCAGCGUCCUCCCUCCCCAGCGACAGGCUGAGCUACAGGGGGCAGAGGUAGUUGUUCCUGCCCCCCAGCAGCCAAGUGAUAUGCCGGGAAGGCAGUGUGAAGUCCAGGGAGAGGAGAGCAGUGUCCUCCCUCCCCAGCGGCAGUGUGAUUUUUUGGCAAUUGGGAGCCCAGUCUCCAUUCCCCAGCGGGAGAUAAAACAGGGAAUUGGGAGCCCAGUCUCCAUUCCCCAGCGGCAGAGUGUCCUACCGGGAAUAGAGAGCCCAGUCUCCUUUCCCCAGCAGCAGGACUCUGUAUUGGGAGCAGAGACAGUCGGUCUCCCUUCCCCACGGCUGGAAGUAUAUAUGGGAGAGGAGCUUGUUACCCCCUCUCCCCAGCGGCAGCUUAAUGUACCCAGGGGAGACAGUAUGCCCCACAACUGUGCAGAUGGGACCGUGGUCUUUGCACAUACAGCACAGGGGUUAGGGACGGUCGGUUCUGCCCCCCAGCGACAGGGCUGUGUAGCCAAAGGGGAGACCGUCGGUCUCCAGCAGCAGAGCUGUGUAACCAAAGGGGAGACAGUCGGUCUCCAGCAGCAGGACUGUGUAUCUAAAGGGGAGACAGUCGGUCUCCCCCUCCAACAACCAGACUUCAACCAGGCUACCCUCCUAGUAGCGCUGGCAACAGGGCAGAGUGACGCUGGUCUCUGCCCACGCAGCACCCCACCAAGUCAGCGUACCCGUACCCAGCACAGCCGUGGUGAGGCACCUGGGCAUUGUCAAGCUUCUCCUCUACCCAGGUGCAGUAACUAUUUAUUGUGGGUGGGCUGUGCUGUUGAUUGUGUUUUGUGGGUGGGCUGCUGGACUAACAAGGGCAUUGACCGGCAGGAGGUCAGAUACCCUGUUAGUCUGUUUGGAAAAGGGGAGAGAUGUGACGAGACCAAACUCGCCACAUUGCAUUGGAGAAGCCUGGUUGCUCGCCUGCUGCCUUUGGACUAUGGCCCCCUGUUAAAAGACAUCUUUUUUACCUGCAGAAAAGCUUCAUUCGUGCUUUUCUGCCCGGUGUUCGGUAGUUUUGGUUGAAUGUGUUAUACCCCAGAUAGGAAUCCCAUGGAGCCCAUUCGUAUGAAACUGACUGUAAAGACUUUGGCUCCAUGGCGAUUAAACUGUAUUCGUGUGGUCUGAGCGCCAUUCUCUUAAUAAUGUGCGCUCAGACCUGAGCUAUCUGGGGAUAUGUUACAUGUCUGUGUUUUAUGUAAUAAAUGUUACUUUAUGUAUUUUAAAGUAUAAUACUGGUUUUGUGUCCCCACAUGUGUAAUGGAGUUUUGCCUUUGUCCUGGGAGAUAAUUGAAUUACUUCUCCAGGGCAGAGGGAAGGAAGCCAGGAUGCAUUGUGGGGAUGUUUUACUUCUGUAUGUCUGUAAUUGGUACAUGUCUGUCUUUUGUUACAGUCUUCCAUCUGGUCCCCUAGGGGAGUGUCCACCAGGUGGGAGACCUGCAUAAAUACUGGGCAGGUAGCCCUCAUUAAACAGACCACUGCUUGACCCUCAACACGGAGCUCUGUCUCGUCUUUGGGGGGGAUUUACUGUAUGCUACUAAGGACUGAUUGCCAGGAGUGUAAGCCGCUUGGGAACUUUUCCUGUUCGUCUGGUAGCAGCAAUUCGUAUGGUUCCUGUUCGUGUAUUUGGAGUGCUACCUUAUUCCCUUGUAUGCCGUUCGGGAGUUUGGAGCAUUCACUUGUAUGCAGUUCGAGAGCUUGGAGCAUUCACUUGUAUGCAGUUCGAGUGUUUGGACCAUUCCCUUGUAUGCAGUUCGAGUGUUUGGAGCAUUCCCUUGUAUGCCGUUCGGGAGUUUGGAGCAUUCACUUGUAUUCAGUUCGUGAGUUUUGGUGAUUCUACAGUAGCUGUGCCUGUCUCUGAAAGGGGAUUAUCGUCUAAGCAGUUUUUUUUCCUUUUGUGCAAAACGGUCCGUUACAUUACACAAACACAUAUAUAUCUCAUUCAUGAUAAUAUGUCAGAACAUUAAUCAAGAAGACCAGGCCUUAACCCUUCCAUUAGUCUGGUCUCCCAUUACCCUUGGGUGGGCCCUCUUUUUAUUUCUGGCACACCACAAGUCACUUGCCCUUAUAUUCUAACUACUCUUAUACUUAUCUCAUACUCCAUAUAUAGUCUUUGUGCCCCUAAAGCAAGUAUUAAGGCCAUUUGGCCUAGAAUUGUGGGAUGGGCAUGUAUUUUCCCUACUUAAAGGGAACCCUUACCUUACUGCACACCGUCCAUGGUCUAGCGAUUUACAUGACCCUCCCUCCAUUCCCACUACUUAACAUAUCCUCCUUUUUUCCCCUUUACCCUUGGGUGGGCACUCUUUUUAUUUAUGGCACACCACAAGCGACUUGCCCUUAUAUUCUAACUACUCUUAUAUUUAUCUCAUACUGAAUAUACUGUCUUUUUGCCACUAAGACAUAUAUAUAUAUAUAUAUAUAUAUAUAUAUAUAUAUAUAUAUAUAUAUAUAUAUAUAUACACACUGUUAGAAAUAUAUAUAGAUACAGUCCUGACGAAAGUCUGUGUUUAACAGACUGAAACGUCAAUUCUUUUUAUAAGCUCAUUAAAAGCUAAGUUUUAUUUGAUUCAACAGUCCUGAGAGUGCUAUCUGGAUUCCUUUUUAUAUAUGUAUACUGUUAGAAAAAAAUUAAAAUAAAUAUAUAUAUAUAUAUAUAUAUAUAUAUAUAUAUAUAAAUAUAUAUAUAUAUAUAUAUAUAUCCUCUAAUUUGCAUAUGCUCACCCUGAUUUGGGAUUUCUGUGGGAAAAGCAAGUGUUAUGGCUUGACUGGUGUGCAGAUUUUUGUUUAACAUUGAAUUAACUAUAUACAUUAUAUACAUAUACAAAUACUAGCAAUACAGUGCUUCCAGAUUUUUUUUCUUAUAUUGCUCUAUCUUGAAAUAGGGUGACGUUUCAGUUCAGGAACUUUUAUCAGGACAGCAGAUUAUAUAUAUAUAUAUAUAUAUAUAAAUAUAUAUAUAUAUAUAUAUAUAUAUAUAUAUAUAUAUAUAUAUAUAUAUAUAUAUAUAAACAAUCACACUCCUGGGACUUGGUUAAAGUAGUAAAAAUUUUAUUUUUAUGUAUUCCGUAUAAAAUAUCUGGUCAGUUGAUAUUUUAUAUGGAAAAAAUAAAAGCUAAAGUUUACUACUUCAACCAAGUCCCAGGAGUGCGAUUGUUUCUACACCUAUAUUUACUUUUGCCACUGAGCUCUACAAAAGUCUUUUGUAAGCUACAAAAAUAGAUAGAUAGAUACACACACACACACACAUGCACUAAAUGUUAUCUGCCAGUUAUUUCAAUAGGCAUUUUGGCAUAUUGCUGGGAUUGUUAUCCAUGACAGUAUUCCCAUUAAUUAAGGUUUAAACCUUAAACAACCACCAACAACCACCAUGCAGUACAGGGAACAAAUUAUCUUCUGAAGAGCUAGAACAUACAUUUGUCAUUCUGCCCGAAAUGAAUUGAAGCUAUACCUUUUCAUGGCAACUACUAUUUACCAUUUAUUUUUAAACAUUGUAACUUAUAUACAAUUUCAUUAUUUUAAUGUACCCUUUAACCAAAACAGCAAACAGUAUUUGACCAUGGGAAGUGUAAUCUUAGUUCUGCCCUAAAUUUAAAUGAACCCUAACACCUGCACAAAAGUACUUACAGCAACCCUAACACAAAUCUUCAUGCCAACACCUACCCUAAACAUGACAACAACCCUAAAACUAAUAAAACAGUAAAUGCCAUCUCUGAUAUCUAGAGACAUUCAAUAUAAUCAACCUCAGUGUCACACAUACACACACUACUUUAAGGAGUAUAUUAUGGUUUCAUAUGACGUACUGCACUAUGUGACUGCAAGGAGCCCUAAACACAGUACAGUACCACCCUACCCAAUUUCACUGGUAGCUAUAAUUAUUACUGUUGUAAAAGUCUUUGCUGGAUUUAGAGUUUAAUGGGCUUAGAACUGAAAGUACCAAUGGUCUAAUGAGAGAAGUUGAAUUGACAUAUCAAUUGUCGCAGUAGCUGUUCUGAUUUACAGUUCAAGUGUGAAACGACCAAUAGAGGAAUAAAAAAGGAGAAGUAAAAUAUAUAUUUCUAGAUUAUAUAUUAAUAUAGCUUUCCUUCUAUUGGUUAUUUUUUUCUCACUUAAUAACUAACAUUUAUAUUAUGUAUAUAUUUUCCAGUACACCAAUCGGACCAUUUUUGUUCUAUUUUAUUUUGUUCGUCUAAAUCGUUUUUUUCUGUAUAUUUUUCAUGGACGAUAUUCAUAGGAGCUGAACCAUCAAAUGAACAGAGGUCGGGGGUCCCGAACUAAGUUUAAUUUUUGGAAAAGCAACCUGAAUUGAAUUUUUCUGAUAUGCCCAUAUAGACAGUUGAAUACAUGUACAUUUACAUAAUGUUAUUGAAAAGCACAUUAUUUUAUAAUUAUAGCUUGCUACUUUUACUAACAUUUGAAAAUUGUGUCCCUCGAGCAAUAGUGCAUUGUUAAUUCACACUGACUUAUAUUGCUUUAUUUAAAAAGAAAAAUAAACUAUUUUUCCCAGAUAGAAUCACCAAUUUUUAAGGGUAUGGUUUCAUUGCCAAAACAGUGAUUGACUUAAAAAACUUGUAAGUCCUUUGAGUAAUGACUUAUUAAAAGAAUAGGCUCAUUAUUUUAAAAUCAAAAUCUGAUCUAACACGAAGCAUUGAUCAUGGUUUCUUGAUGAAAUAAAAAUUCUCGGAAUUACAUCUGUAAUAACGGUUUAAACUGUUGAAACAAAGUUUAUUUAGAUCUUGCAUUGCCUCUGAUUAAAUGUAUAUGCAAUUGUUUGACAUUUCCUGCUUUUUAUCAUGAUUCUUACAAUGAACAAUUAAUCAUUCAAUACAAAAUAAGGUAAUCUUUAUUUUGAGUACUGUAAAAUUAAAUUAUUUCAUCAAAAGUUGAAUACAGGGCAUAUUGAUUCUCUAACAAUGCAUAAUUUUGUUGAACCACAGCAGCAUUAGUUAAUGAGCCAGUUACUCCAGCUUAAUGCAGAGAGUACAGGAACCAAACCUCUGAUGGCUGUACAAAUAGGUUUCUUUUCUACAUAUCUGGUAGUAUAUGCUCCAUGAUAGAAUGAUGUAGCUUUUUUUAACAGGUCAAGAGUUUAUUGUAUGCUUAUCACACCACUUUUUAGAAGGGUUACACAGGGAAUGGUCAGUAUCUCUCUUAAUGGAAAUCCAGAACAUGCAGCACAAAGGUCUCCUUGGUUGUACCCCCUUUCAGUGACCAGAAGAUAAUAGUAUAUGAGAAGUUAAUAAUAUGAGUUGCAUAAGAAGUAUUAUGCUAAAGCAAGUUAUGCAGGAUAGUUUAGGCCCAUUUCUAAAUAUUCCUAAUUGCCAGUGGAACUCAUGUAGUCAUUAGCCACUUCACAUCAGAGUUUACUGAGCCUCAUAUAUUGCCUUCUUUUCUUCUUACAUUCCCUAUUAAAUUUCGCCAUGUUACAUAUCCUAAAAACUCACUCCUUCCAUGUCACAUACCCUAUAAACUCCCUCCCUUCAUUUCACAGACCCAACUAACUCCCUCUGUUACAUACCUUAUCAACAUCCUCCAUGCUACAUACCCUAUCAACUUCAUCUAUGUAACAUACCCUAUAAGUUCCCUCUAUGUUACAUACCCUAUGAGCUACCUCCUUCCAUGUCACAUAUCCCAUAAAUUCAAUCACUCCAUGUCACGUACUCUAUUAACCAACUCUGUCAAUGUCAAUUGCUCUCCAAGCUACUCUAAUUAUACUAAUAACUGCAAACCUCCCACUAUAUUACUGUCACUUUUUCCACAAAGCCACUGCCGUUGUGCUAUUUACUGGCCAAUACCUAGUUUUCUACCUUAUGUAUUACUGUCCCCAUCCCGGUUUCCUCCCUGUUUGUCUUCUUACUUUUCUUGGACCUGGUGUUUAUGGCAGCCAGCCAGGUGUUCAGUUGUGCGUAUGAUAUCACAUAUCCCCACCUACUAUCCUAUAAUAGGCUUACCACUUCAGGCAUGUGAGAAGAACAAAAGUAAAGUACAUUAUUUUCACAUGCAGCAAACACAGAGGUAGGGAUUUGUAAUAAAGGUGUUAUAAAGGCCAGUAGUAGCUAUUAGGUACCAAAUGGUUCUCAACUUUUUUAUUUUUGCUGGCUGACUACCAGUAAUAUCUUCUUGCAAAGAUAAAGACCACUCACUGACUAGCAACUUAUUAGUAAAGCACAGGAGAAGAAAACACUCCCAGUUUAUUUACUAAAGUGAGAAUUGUUAGGAAGUCAACGUUAAUUUCAAAUGUAAGGCCAAAAUAUCCAACAGGAAACAAUCUCACAGCAAGUUCUUUAGUGAGAAGCUGCAAAAAGAAGAAAUGAGAUUUAAAAUAAGCUGUUGUUAGUUUGGUUAAUUUGGCCUAAAAUGUUAACUCUGUUUGGAAUUAAUACAAAUUUACAUUUAAAUGACUAAUCCUGUUUAUUUGGUAAGAAAAAAAAAAAACAGAUACGGUAUAUGGAUUUGUAAACAAUGGCUGCUUGUAUCAUGAAGUAAUAAAUUCAACUUAAUUUUACAUGCCAAAGCCAAAUUAAAGCAAGUGUAAUACUUAACUGCAUCAUGUUCUUUUUAACAAGUAACACUGUCUGCCCAACUUAUAUUUAUAUUCAGGUUGCUGGCAGAGCAAACUGGAACCUAAUAUGCAAGUAUUUGAUUGAUUUUAGGCUUGGGUUUUUUUUUUUUUUUAGCUAUUUAGUAAGUCAGAAUUCUUAGCCCCUUCAAGUUGCCAAAAGUUCAAGUUGCAAAAAUUAAAAACACAAUGUAAAGUAUCCAUGACUUUGGCAUUUCAUUUUUAGUGACAUGAUCAUUGGCCUGGUCCAUAUUGUCCUUUAAACCCUUCAUGGGGGAUAAUGUGUCAGAGAUAUCAUAGAAUUUGUCCAAUCUCUUGUCCUAAAGGAAUUUAAGAUGAAUAACUUUAUAGCACAGCCCUAACUCUCUCAGUUGUGUAUCCAUAGGUAACAAUGUAUGUGUUGAUCAUUCCUACCUUUUUCACAAUGCAUUUUGAAAGUUGAGUAGUACAUAUUGCGUGUAGCAUUGAAGCAUUCACAUUCCAAAUUGGCCUGUAAAAUCAGUACAAAUGGAGAGUUUUUUUUUAAUCUUUUUUUUAUCAUGGUAGCUGUUAUACAAAUGUUUGUAAUGUGGGUAUAUAUUAUCCUACUAUACUAUCUGUAGAGCAGUAGAUCCCAAACAAGUACUCGUGGCCAUGCAAACGUCUGAGUUUUAAGAGUAUUUGGAAUAACUGUUGCUAAGCCACGAGAACUGGUUUGGGAACCACUGGUUUAGAGUAAUAUUUAAAGAGACUGUAUACCUAUAUCCAUUUACAACAACUUAAUAGUUUACUCCAUCUCCAUGAACAUAAUUUCAGAUGACUAUGGUGUCUGGAGUUUGUCUAUGCUUGAAACACUGCACAUGCAGUGUUUAACCUGCCCCUGCUUCCAGAUGUGUAGCAAUCUUCUGCAUCAUUAUUGGGGUAUCAUUGAGAGAACCAGCUGUGAACAUGAGUUCUGUGUAUACUGGACAUCUGAUGUCAGCAUGCACAGCAUUCUAGAAACAGUUGUUUAAUGAAGGUGUUGUGCUCAUUGCAUUUAGCAUACAACUUUUGGCAAUCAUCAUCAUAUCAUCUCUAAUGUUCACAAAAACAUAUGUUUUCAGUUAUUUUACUGCUGUUUGAAAGAUGUUACUAGUUAUUUGUAAACAGUACUUAUCCAUAAUAAUUAUAAUGUUUUGCCAUUAGAGCUAAAGUUCCAUUAUUAUUAUAUAUAUGCUAUCUGAAUGUGAUCAUGAUACAUUUUGUUGUGACAGCAUUUGGUAUUACUACAAAACAGAGCUCUAUAUAUUAAACAUAUUAAUAACACUUGGUGUUAUGAUAUAGAUGUGCUAUGAUUAAACUAACAACACUAUAGCAUGAGUGUGAUGUCCCCAUUAUGUUUUAACCAAUGUCACUUUUAUCAGUGCAAAGGUUAAACUACAAGGCCUCUUGUCUGUUGCCUUUACAAAAACAGUAAGAGAUUGUGUUCGGGGAAACAGGGCCACAGAGGAGGGUGGAUCAGCAUGCAGGAGAACAUUGAAAUGGACAAGCCAAUGGAUGUAGUGUUUACCAAUGGCAGCCACAGUAAAAAUUCUAGACAUAAAGAGUGCUGAAAAAUGUGUUGUGAACUGCCUGAUGACUGCAAAAUCUUUAAAAUCUGUAAUAUGGUCAAACAUCAAACAAGAGUUGUGUUUCCAACAUGAAGAGUAGAUACACGGGUCGACUGGGCCGAAAUCUCACAUUCUUUUAUUUGCAUUAACCAUAUGGGGGCUGCCACUAGUAGAAACAAAAAUGCAUAGAAUCUGGAAUACUGUUUGAGAGUGUUUGCCUUAAUUUUUAAUGUUGACUACUAGUAAGGUGGGUUCAAAAAUACCUAAAAUUGGAUUGGAGGUAUCAUGUCAAAGCCCCAAAAAUUAAAUGCUGCUAGGCCUGCAGCAGGAGGAAGGAUUACAGAAUCAAUGACUUGUCCAUUAGUUGCUAAGAUGCAGCAAGAAUGGAUUGGAAUUUAAAGUAAAUCCAAAGUUAAUUUCAUAUUAAAGACCAAAGUAGCUGAACAGGCAGCAUAGCUAACUUGUAGGUUUUUGUUUUUUAGUUUGGUUAUUUUGGCUGUAAAUUUGAAAUUCACUUUGAAUUCCUGACAACUUUAGUGAAUAAACCUAAGAGAAACACUGAGGACACAUGAGACAUGUGCACAAACUCCAUGAUUUGCCAAUCUAAUGCUUUUCUAUAAGAAACACUGAAUCAAAGGUUUUGCAAAGAGAAGUACUGGAUGCUCACAGUGUCCAGUUUAAACAUACUCUUUAUGAUGACCACCAACACCUAUGCACAACACAACAGUCAUUCUAUAUAGGAAGAAAAUUUAAAAGAAUUAAGGGAUUUUGAACUGGUACAAAAACCUGUUCUCAGGUUUAAUGCAGAAAGCGUUACUAUACCCAAUUACCCUGACCCUACAGUCACAAUGUCUUGCUCACCACAAGAGAAAACUAAACUAUAUACACCUUAAAACAAAACUUAUUUUCGGAACAUAGAUAAAAAAAAAAUAUCACUUAUAGUGAAGCUUCUGUGAUUCAAAUAAAGGCUCACUUCUAAUAAAGUGGCUGAAAUAUGCGCCUGUCACCCUUGACGUUUGUUUCGCCAGUCCGGGCGCACCUCAGGGGUACUGACAGACGCAUAUUUCAGCCUGAUGAGCCAGAGUGGCGAAAUGUGCUGGAGUUUUUAUCUAUGUUUUUAUCUACCGGACAAGGAACGAGGCUCUGUCUAGCACUUACCAGAUAUACGGUUCUAUUACCCUUAACACCAGCAUCUAUGCAACUCUUUGCUAAGUCUCACCUUUUUUCUUGACUAUAUUAUUUUAGCAUCCAGGGGAGGGAUUUCCCACUAAUCGGUGCAGUGGCUUAGGCUUUUGUUUAGGGAUGCCUUGGAAGGCACAAUUUUAUCAUAGAAAAUGGGUUUACGGGGCGUGACUGAAUGGCAGCACAUUAGCUUAGCUCCCUUAGACUCACUAGGCAAUCCAGUGCAAUCUGAGAAUAAUAUCAAAUAUGGGAAACCCCAAACAUCAAAAUACCCCUCACAAGUCCCAGGGGAAGACACCACAGGGCAAAUCUGACCCCCUCACCAAGUUCUUUCGAGACACGGAACGCCACGAGGAUGAGGCCAAAGACAAAAUGGCGGCUGCCAUGAGGCCUAAUGACAUAGCUCCCUCGAGCCCAGCACCUUCGGAAAACUCAUCUACAAACCAAGACCCCGAUAUAAGGAACUUGCUUAAACCAUUACCCUUGAAAACUGACCUAGUGGCAAUGCUGAACAAGCUAGAAUCCGCCUUCCAGACGAAGCUGGAGGCCCUGGGCACAGACAUCCGCCAGGUUGUACGCAGAGUCACAGAGCUAGAGGAAGAUAAAGAUGUAACCAACUCUCAAAUCUCGCUCCUACCAAAGGCCCUGGACAAACAGGCACAAUUAAUUAAUCUCUCUCCAGAGAUCUAUGGACAACCUCGACAAUAGAGGACUCAGUAAUAACUUGAGGGUUCGCAGCCUACCAGAGACACAGGAUGAAGACCUCCAUGCUUCACUCACGGAAUUAUUCAAUCUGCUGCUGGGUGAACCCAUUGAUACACCCAUCAUAAUGGACAGAUCACACAGGUCACUGAGACCUAAAGGAUUGGCCACAGAGGCACCAAGAGACAUCAUUUGCCGGCUCCACUAUUUUACAGUAAAAGACAGAAUCACACCGUUGCUGUUUCACGGAGAUGAGGUACAAAUAUUCCCAGACCUGUUUUGUCUUACACUCCAGUCAAGGGUAUUGAGGCCUGUGACGGAACUACUGAGGAACAGACAAGUGAAGUAUCGAUGGGGGUUUCCCUUCGCACUGAUCGUGUCACACAGGAGAUCCACAUUCUCCAUAACCACUCAUCAAGAUGUGGCACCCUUCUUACAAGCCCUAAAUCUGCCAGCUACACAGGUCAUGGACUGGUACACUCCACAACCGGCAUCUGAAACACCCAGACUACAGCAAAGACAGAAGUGGAAAAAUCAGACGAACAAGAGAAAGGCCGACCAGAACUCCACUCUCUCUCGGACAGAACCACCAAUGCAAAACUAAAGGAACUAAAGCACAGAGGACUCUGGGGGACACAAUGGGGCUCCUGUCACGGCCGCAGGGACUGCAGAUCUAAGAAAUGCAUCAAAACAUAUAUUGAAUACCAAACUGAAAAUCUCACACUCCUGAGGACUAUAAAGCAUCGUCACUUACUUCAGCAAUCACUGCUAUGUUACAGAGACAACCAUGGACACCAACUUGUAAGCGGGAAACAGACUUUGGCCGGGCUGACUUGUGGGUGCUGAGGGCACACACUGGAAUUUAUAUUGAUGUGCAGGUAACUGGGAACAGGUCGUGUGUUGAUGUUAUUCCAUGAUACUGUAGUAGAUGCGUGGUGUGUAAACUCCCAGAAGGGUCGCGGGCGCUAGGACUCCCUCUCCCCUUGAAAGUGCCCCGUUGAGGGGCCGGGGGGAGGGGAGUCGCAGGGCCCCAAUACAGGUCAGUAAAAUUCACUCACGGGGGUUGCAGGCCGGGUGGCACGUGGUGGGUUGGGCAGGGGUAGGGGUGCGGAUCGGAUCCGAUGGGCACUAGUGACUUGCUGAGGCUGGGCCUCCGGGGAUAGCUGAGGGGCAACUCUGAUAAUACGCUAAAUAAACUAAAACAUCAGUGUGGUUUUCGUCCCCCAUUCCUCUCCCUUCUGCCCUCUCCCCCCACCCCCCGGUCGGGUCGCACCGGGACUCCGGAGGCGAGGUAUAGACGGUAAGAUAUUGGUCAGUAUACAGGGAAACACAACAUUACAUGAGGAGACACGAUAAGUUCCAGGGAUGAUCUGUGACCUUGGGUGCUUGCACACUUACAACACCCCCCCUUACAACGCUUAUGCUUCCUCACCAAGCAAUACAGCAGAGGGUUACUAUAACUGUUCUGCUGUUUCUGUAUGUAUAUAUUUAAAAAAAAAGGGGGGGUAGUCCCCGCCCUCACGCUCCCCCCCCCCAGUCCUCACAAAGCCUUGCACCAGCAGUGGAUUAAGUUUUAUGUUUAAAACCAAUUCAGACCUAUAUUCUCCAUACUAUAAAUAGCACAUGAAUUCUGGAAUUGCCGAACUGUGAGUCACCCGAAUGGUACCCUCCUGGCAUAAUUUUCUAUCUUUGAUGUGAGGAUAGAAUCCAUACUGAAGUCAAGUUAGACUUCACCGGACACGGGUACUGACAAUUCACACAAAUAUAUACAGUAAAAUACGCAACUUAACAAAUUCCUAAACGUAGGCCUCCCAGGACCUACUAUCCACCCUUUCCCUCCCCCCUCCUUACAUUCUUUUUCCAUACUUGUUUUCCACCUCCCUUCCCCCCCUCACACAAACCAACAAACUGGGGCUAACAUCUAAGAUCACACCGUUUCUGGUAGACAGUUGGCUAGCUGAUAGACCAAUUGGAUUCCCGAUAUAAGUGAUAUAUACCCUAAAGCACACACAUUAACGAAACCAGCCAACAAAUCACUGAUGGAUCCAUCACACUAAUCCACACGAUGGCCAACUUACGCAUUAUCUCUUUUAACACAAGGGGUCUCAAUACACCUGAAAAGAGAUCCAUAGCACUUACAGAUUUCCACCGACUCCGAGCCGAGAUAGUCUUUAUACAAGAGACGCAUUUCCGCUCAGAUUCAACACCAUCAUUAAAGAGCCGACAAUUCCCCACAGGAUACUUCAGCAAUUACUCAGGCUCAAAAUCUAGGGGGGUGGCUAUUCUUAUAGGCAGGCAUGUACCCCUCACAGUAAGCGACACGAGAAUAGACAAAGCAGGAAGAUACAUCUUCCUCAAAGGGACAAUAGGAAACACACCAAUUAUCCUGGCGAAUCUUUACUUACUAAAUAAGAAACAAUGCAAGAUGUUACAUCUACUUGAUGUAUUACAAGAGGGUAUCACCAUAAUGGGGGGAGACAUGAACAUCACACUAGAUGGCCACCUGGACUCCUCUUCCACCUCAGGUGCAUAUCUUAAUGCAGCACGCAAGCGCAUGCAUUAUAUGCUACAUGGGGUGCAACUAUUUGAUGCCUGGCGGUUUAUGCACCCAACAGAGAGGGACUAUUCCUUCUACUCACCACCUACAGGCUCCUACUCCCGUAUUAAUAUGAUGUUCACACAUCAUAGACACCUCCAUCUGAUCCGGGAGUGCUCCUAUGGAGCCAUCACGUGGUCAGACCAUGCACCCCUGUCUCUUGCCAUCGCUAUCCCCUCUUUACCUCAUCAAACACUCCAGUGGAAAUUAAAUGAUGCCAUGAUCAAUAACCAGGAAAUAGUAGAACAUCUAAGAAAGGUCUAAGAAGGCUAUAUUUUGCAGAAAACGAUCGCCCAGAAACGCAGCCCACGAUGUUAUGGGAAGCUCACGAUGUUAUGGGAAACUCACAAAUGCGUGCUUAGGGGUGAAAUAAUCAAACAGGCGUCAGCCCAAAAGCGCAAGAGGGAAGCCCAGACAUCAGCCCUAAUAGACUAAAUUAAGUCAUUAGAAACACAUGUGGGAGACAAAUCUCUAGACUUAUAUAAACUAUUGACGACCAAGAGGUAGGAAAUCAAAACACUACUCCAAUCGCCAAUCGACACACAAGUUACGAAUGACCAAACAUACAUACUACACACAAGGGGGUAAGUGUGGAAGAUUACUUGCGCAAUCCCUCCAGCACACUAGACAACCCACAUUUAUCUCCUCAAUUAAACUACCAAACCACACAUAGACUCAUAUGAUGGCCGAUAUUCUUAAGGCUUUCCAUGACUUUUACACCCAACUAUACAAUUUACGCAGUAGCUCACCUCCAACUAGGGCAAUAAAGGAUUUCCUAGAACAGAGAAUUCAAUCCACCAUUCCCCGCAAUGUCCGGGACUCACUGGAUGCCCCAAUAACACAUUGGGAAGUGCUGUAGAUCAUGCGACAUCUGCCCCACGACGGCUUCACAGGUAAAUUCUAUAGAAUCAUGUCAGACACUCUAACUACUCCAUUCACAACCGCCUUUAACUCUAUACUUAACGCAUCGACCCUACCUAAAGAAGCACUAGAGGCCACCAUAGCAUUACUCCCAAAACCAGGCAAGGACCCGACUAACUGCGGGAGCUACAGGCCCUUAUCGUUGAUUAACUUCGAACUGAAACUUUUUACAAAGAUCCUGAAAAAUCGACUAAAAGCAUUGCUACCUGGUCUGAUACACCCAGACCAAUCCGGCUUUGUGCCUGGAAGAGAGGAAAAGACCAAUACCACCAAAAUAAUCAACCUGAUUCACUGGGCAGGAAGGUAAAAAAAUAAGACUGCUCUCCUCGUGGUCGAUGCAGAAAAAGCAUUUGACCGCGUGGAUUGGUCCUUUAUGAAACACACCCUACAACAUCUAGGAUUUGGCCUCAACUGGAUGAGAUGGAUACAGGCCAUAUAUUCUACACCCAUGACUAGACUAAGAAUAAACGGACAAUUGUCUGAGCCAGUAGCCAUCACCAAUGGCACGAGACAGGGGUGCCCCCUUUUUCCCCCUGAUUUUCAUUCUGGUGCUACAACCGUUCCUUCAGGGUAUCUCCAGAAUAUACGAGUGGACAAAUCCCAACACAAACACACAAUGGGUUAAGAUAGAAAGCACCUUCCUCGAGAUACCCAUACACACAAUCCCUUGGCAUGGACAGGGCCGCAGGUACAUCAAAUUCAAACACCAUCCAACCAUAUCCGCCACCCUUAGAAUCUGGGAAACAAUUAGACAACCCACAGGAUUAUCGCCGCAUCUGUCUCCGCUUUACCCACUCACAAACAACCCCCUUUUUCUAGAAGGGCGAUCAGGUACCCACUUCAGCUUCUACCACAACACUCAGGGAUUAACACUCCAAGCUAUGACACAAGAUGGGGAGAUCAGAAUUAUCCCUCAACUAUUCCCAAACCAGGCAGCAACAGGUACCCAACGUCUACACCAUGCCCAAAUCUCUCAUUUCAUACGCAGCACCAAUCUUCUCCCGGAAGGCAAUAGGGACCUCACAAAAUUUGAAUCAACGUGCCAGGAGCAUGCAUUUAAAAAAAAAUCCUAUCAACCAUGUACUCUCUUUUGAUGGAAGCGCAAUCCCAAACCAUACCACACUUUGCUAGACGGUGGGCGCUGGAACUAGGAGUGGAGGUCACUCCGGGUCAGUGGAAAGCUAUCUUUCUCAAAACACACACAUCGUCCACUCACAUAGGCACACAAGAAAGCAAUUAUAGUUAUAGGGAAGCAAUGUCGUUAAUUAAAAUAUAUAUUCCUUUUCAGCAGAGAUGGCACUACACACCAACGAAAAUUCAUGAAUUUCAUGAAUCAGCCUCAGACAAGUGCUGGAGAUGCCACCAAGAUAAUGCACACGCAUCUCACAUUUGGUGGCAAUGUCCAGACAUCCAGAAGCUCUGGAAAUGACUUCACACACUAAUUCAGAUGAUCACUUCUUCCAAAAUUCCAUUCUCCCCCGAACAUUCCAAAUAUCAAGUCUACCACUGCCUCACUGGUAGCCCACUUACUGAUGGCAGCGAACCAUCUGAUCCCAGUUAUGUGGAAACAAGCAUAUAUACAUAUAUUACAAAGAGAAAAUGCAAAAAAAGUGAAAAUAGAAUAUAUAAAAAUUAUGUAAUUCAGAUUACUAUUGAAGUUAUAGGGAAGCAAUGUCGUUAAUUACAAUAUAUAUUCCUUUUCAGCAGAUUUCCCUAUCCAGUGUUCAACCGACUUGUUCAAAAUUUGGUGAAAUGCUGAUAUUUUAUUCUUUCUUAUCUUCCUAUUAUAUUUAACAAAUGAGUCUAGAAGUUACAUGUGUAAUACAAUAGAUUAUUAUGUAUAAUACAGAGUUAUAUAGAUAACAUUACUAGAAUUAUAAGGAAUCACAUAUUAAUUUUUUUAAUUUGUAUUUUAUUGUUUUCAUAUUGCAAAAUGGGAUACAGAAGGAAAAAAGGGUUGGGUUAUUGAGGGUACACACUUUCUGUAUUUCACAACAGUUGACAUUUAGUUGAACAAUAGACAUCGUGUUACAUCAAUUCACAUUAGUAUAGUUUUAUUUAGGUGCAUGUAUAGUACCUUCUUAUUUAUCGGGGCCCGGUGAUUUGUGUGUAGGGAGUUGUGAAAUUGCUGUUGUGAGCUCAUCAAGUGAGAAGGGCUGUUUGAGGUAUUCGGUCUUCCUCUGACAGUUUGGGUAGGUUUAAUUUCAAGAGGAAUGCCUCGAUUUUGUUAGGGGCUGGUGUUAUAACAUUAGGGUCAUUUUUAAGGUUAUACAGCUCGCUAUAGUAUAGUGCAAAGUGAUCCACAAUAUUUUGGGGGUUUGUUAUUUUCUUGCCCAUAGAGUCAUUUAGGAAGGCAAUCCUGGAGGUGAAACUUUUGCGUUUAAGUUGUGAUGCUAGAAUGGCACCUGCUCUGUUACCACUUGUAAAGAAGUUAUGUUUGACUUUUCGGAGUAGAUAUGUCGUUUUGGCUUGUUCUAUGUUCUUUAGUUUAGUUUGGAGGGCUAAAAGUUUUGCUAGUGUGGUAGAGUUUGGCUCUUUUUUGUUGGAGUGUGUUAGGUUUUGAAUUUUCUCUAGAAGUUUAGUGUAUUCUGCUGUUCUUUAUUUUUUGGCAUAACUGGCAUGUUUUAUAAAGCUGCCCUUUAUGACUGCAUUAUGGGCUAGCCAUAUUUGUUCAAUGGUGGAGUCGGCGGUUGUGUUUUCGGUGAUAUCAUGUUGUAAGUCUUCUGUUAUUUGAGAGACUAUGGAGGGGUCUGUUAGGAGAGAUUUGUUAAGUCUCCAUGAGCUGGACCCUUUGUUGGUGAAUGUUUCUUUAAUGCUGAGUGUGAUGGGAGCUUGAUUGGACCAUGUCAUUACCCCGAUCGUGGACCCAUCUAUUUGGGGCAUUGACUUAGCGGGGACAAGGAAUCUGUCUAUUCGUGAGUAGCUGUUGUGGGCAGCUGUGUGACAUGUAUGGUCUACUUCCAUUGGGUGUAGGAUGCGCCACGGGUCUACCAUGUGGUUAGCAGUGAGGGUGGUACAUAUCUUUGCUGUUAGUGCUGUUCUGUGUUUGAGCGUGCUACUUGAAAUUUGUGCAGUGGUGGAGGAGUCAAUUUUGCCGUCCAGUAGGAAAUUCAUGUCUCCCCCAAUGAUUACCUCCCUGUACCUGUACAUAUCUGUCAAUGCUAGUAUAAUUUGUACAAACCCAUUUUGAUUGACAUUUAGGCCAUAUAUAUUAACCAAGGUGUAAGGUGCAUUAUUGAGCAUACAUUGCAGAAUUAGGUAUCGUCCUUUCUUAUCACUAAUUUUCCGAACUAAUGAAAAUGCUACAUCUUUACUAAUUAAGGUGGAGACUCCUCUCUUUUUUGCUGAAUAACGUGUGAAAAUCAUGUGGAUACCAUUUCGAGGUAAAUUUGGGUCUAGAGUUCCAUUUAAAAUGUGUCUCCUGAAAAAAUACUACUUGGGCCCCACAUUUCCUUGCUUCUUGAAUGGCCAUUCGUCACUUGUUAGGGGAGUUAAGCCCCUUGGCAUUCAGUGACAUAAUUUUAAUUACCAUUGGACCAUUGCAGGCUAUGCUGUGCUAAUUGUUUGUAACCUUUAUCCGUCUCAGCAUUUAUGAUUUUGUAUUUGGCCUGACCAGUAUAGAGGGGUUGUGUAACCAUGGGCGACUCAAACUCUGGAUUUCUCGGCACAAUAGGUAUGGCAUGGUUGGUUGACACACUCUGGAAGGUUAUAGGGGAAACAAUGGGUGAAAAACUAUAUACAAUGUUCCGUAAGUCACUUCUCAGUGACAUAUAGUUGCCUUGAGCAACGGAGAAGUAAGGCUACUUGAGCCUUGGGGGUGUAGUACUCAGGGUUAGAGUAUCGAAAUCCCAACAGGUAAGAGAUCUACAAUAGACUGAGCCUGAGCAUAGUGCGUCCGGGUGUUAUUUACCCAUCGCGGCUGAGGCUUUGGGCCUUCUAACAGACCAUCUCAGGGUAGCUGAGGGUAAAGAAACAGUUAUAAACAUGAGUCAAAAAGUAUAAUAGAUUAAAAUAGAGUAAACCUGAAUGUUCAGUCCAUUUGAAUAUUAGUGGUGUGGUAUAGCUCAGCAGUCUUCUCAAGUUGGUGAGGCCUCUCAGUCAGUUGGUGCAUUGGAAGCUCGGGGUACUUGUGACCAUUCCCUGGAGAGUGCUUUCAGUGCUUGGGUCGCUGCUUGUUUCUUCCGGGGGCUGUUGGUCGGUAGCAGUAUGUUCCAUUCUUGUAGCAUUCUUUUGCCAUCUUCCGGGUUCAUAAUGGGUUUAUCAAUGCCGUUCCUUUUAAUUAGUAGUUUUGCGGGGAAGCCCCACUUAUAGGGGAUAUUUGCGUUCCUCAGCACUUCUGUUAUCUGUGAAAAUGUACGGCAUUUAAGCAUGGUUGCUGAGGAUAGAUCUGUAAAUAGUUUGAUGUUGUUGUAUGUUUCUGGCCAUUUGCUCGUUGUUCUAGCUGUUUGCAUGAUCCUAUCUUUAACUGUGCACUGGUGGACUCUAGUGAUGGUGUCCCUUGGGGUGUCAGGGGGAAGAUGUUUCAGCUUGGGGAGGCGAUGCGUCGUGUCUAGGAUCAAGUAAAUUUAAACAGACAGGGAGGGGAUCCGGGCCCUAAAUAAGUCCUUGACAUACCUGGGUAGGUCUUGCUGUGUUAUGGUUUCUGGUAUCCCCCUUAUGCGGAUGUUGUUCCUCCUACUCCUGUCUUCUUGAUCAGCCACUUUUUCUUCUAGUAAUUUUAUUUUGCUUUCCAGGGAUGUGUAGGCCUCUGCCAUUGAGUUGCGAGCCUCCACUAGUUCUUCUGUCCUGUCUUCCAGAUGGGUAGUGCGUUCCCCCAUGCUGUGGAUGUCUGAUUUAAUGCCUGCAGUCAUUUGAAGGAGGUCUGCUUUAAAUGAGGUUUGCAGCUCCUGCAUUAUCAGCCUGAUGGAUGAAUUGGUUGCUGGGCUGUGCUGGUCUUGGUUGCUGUCUCCUGCCUCAGAGCUGCAUGCAGGUGAACAUGGUCCACCGGCGCCAUUUUGGUUUGUAGGCUCUGAGGUUUGAUGCCUCUCUAGAUGAGAGUUUAGCGUUUUUUGCUUUAACUUUUUUGUAGCCAUGGGGGGCAGGGGUUGUGCAGGUUUUCGGUAAGGUCUGCAGAUUUUAUCUCAUUGUUUAAGCCACUUUAGAGCCGCGGUCUAUAGUGAAGUAUUUUAUAGUGAAGUAUGGGUGUUUUGAAACCUAUCCAUACCCCACAAAUAUAGAAAAACAUUUAUCUCUCAUUGAAACAUUUGAUCUUUUUUUUUUAGGUUUUUUUUUAAACUUUUUUUUUUAGGAAACAAAAACACCUUGCAUUUUAUUUUUUUAUCUUAGCCUUUCUACAUUAUUAAAUUACAUUUUUUUCCUUAUAUUGAAGCAAGUUUACUCUAUCCAACCUUUCUACUAGUUCCCUACUAGUUUCCUUGCACCAUUCUUCAAAAUAAAAUUACAAAGUGACUGAAAUAAAUGCAAUACAAAACAAAAGUUUCCUGUUUUAGGGAAAAAUAAAGUGAUAUUUUAAUAAAGUUUAAUAGUCUUUGCGGUAGGUUUGCAUAAGCACUUCACGUGCAAACAAAGAGCCUCCAAAAAGGAUGAGCUGUGCAAUGCCUCCAGCCAAUAAGCACUAAGACUAAUGCAGGAGUAAAACUGUUUGUAGAAAAUCAAGGCUUUCUCUUUUCAUGAGAAAAACAGCAAGUUUAGGGCAACAGAUGCAUCUGACAGGUAGCUUACAGAGACAUUUUCUUUCACACUGAGAGACAGAAAGAGCUUUACUCAGAAGUGCAGGUUCUAAAGUUUUCUAAUAAGGCACCUGAGUUCUUCUCAUGAAGCCAGCAGUGAGAACAACUAUUAGCUCCUUUUACUUGUUUAGAAGACAGUAGUUGACAAGUGCUUAGCUUGUGUUAUCAACAGCGAUUUCCUAUGAAGCGCUCAUUAAUGUCAACAGCUAUUUGCAAGCUUUGAACAAUUACAUCAAGCAGUUAACCUUACUGUUGCUGGUAAAUGUGUUGCUUAAUAGCAAAUGCACAGUGUGCUUAGAAGUAACGAUGCAGUCUUCUUUUUUAUUGAUGUAAUCCUUAACUCACCAAUGGACAAACAAACUAAAAUCACUAUAGCUAUUACAUUUCAUGCUACAUUUCUGUAGUUUUCAGUAUUUUACUGGAACAAAUAAGAAGUAACCUUUAAUAUGGCAUACACACAUUUGGUUAUUUGCUUCCUGACAAUUGCAUGCAGAUAAACAGGCAAAUCUAUAGAACAGGCAUAGGCAACCUUCGGCACGCCAGAUGUUUUGUACUAAACCUCCCAUGAUACUUUUGUCAGGAUUAUGAGUGUAAGAGCAUUGUGAGGGAUGUAGACCACAUCAUCUGGAGUGCCAAAGGUUGCCUAUCCCUGCUCUAGUACAACCAGAUAUUAUAGGGAGGAUAUUGCAAGGGGCCUCUCAAAACUUUACAAAUUACAUUGCCAAAUUACAAGAAAACUAUUCACUAAUGGCAAGUCAGGUAACAUUUUGUAAUGCAUCCAUACUGCAGUUACAAUUAAUUUAACUUGUGAAUUAGGCCAUUUGGGUGUUCAGGAGAGUUCCACAUCUCUAAAGUACCAUAUGAGGUAUAACCAAGCAAAUGACUAGUGCAAUGUUGGUUUGAUUGGUUAUUCUGAGUUCUACCCGUGGUGCCGAAAUAAAAGAGAGAACAGCCACUAAAUGUUUAUUUUAUUCACAAAUCAAUUAACUAACUGAGAAAAAAGAAAGGAGGAGCAAUAAAAAUAAUACUGAUUAUUAAUAUUGCAUAGAUUUGUACUAUUACUCUUAUUUUACACUUUAUUAAUUACUUUUUCUGACUUCAUCUGUGAACCAAAUGUAAGGAGAAUGUGCCUAUCUGUACUGCAAACUAGAUACAUAAUAUUUAUAUUUUAUAUUUUGCAGUACAAAAAUUAGCCUGAUUUGGAGCCAUGUUUGCUUUACCCAGAUUAUUUUCCUGAAUAUUUUUCAUCUAUGAUGUUCAAUUGAGCUGGACCAUAAAUAAACCAUGCUAAAUGUUUCUGUCGUGCACAAGUCUAAAAGUUAUAAAUUAAAACUUAAUUACUACUACAACUGUUAUAAUACAAUAGCUAUUUACAAGCAUUAGCCUUUCAGGAGUUUACAAUUGUGACUUUGAUGUAUCUACUGACCCAAUAUGGUUAUGAGUAAAAAAAGGCCAUCUGGAAGCAAUGAAAAAACUCCUGGAAAAUGUCAAGUGCACACUUGCCUGCAUACCUUAUCACACUGUGUAUGAUGGAAAUGGAGACAAGAUGCUAAAAUUGCCUAGAUUUCUCCAGUCAUUAUCAGUUGUUUAGAGCAGUGGUAGCACCAAGAAACCCAGAUUUGAAUCCUGGUUAGACCACCUCACCAGGCAAGACGCUUAACAAUGUAUAUCCACCUACCUUAAUUCCUCGUAGAAUGUAAGCUUAUUUGAACAGGGUCUUCUUUCCCUCUAAAUAUUGUAAAGCACUGCUAAAUAUGUUGCUGAUAUAUACAUGCAAAUAAUAAUUAUACUAAGUACACACAGUAAGUUCAUCAAGUAGGUAAAACAAGAUUUUCUACACCAAUUAAUCUUGGGAAGCUGCCUAAUGUAGCUGCUCAUUGGUCUACUCUAUCAUGUUGAUAGACAGUUGAACAAACAACAUUCUGUGGACAUACCAUUUCAUUCACUUUUGCCAAUCUCACAGACACAGCUUGAAGUGCAAUAUCAUAUUGAUGAAUCACAAUGGAAUGAGACGUGCCUAGUGAUGCAAGCCAACAAACCACAUUGAUCUGAAGGAUCUUGAUUGCAGGAGAAUAUAAAAUGUGCAUGUAACAUUUUGUGUUUGAUUUGUAAAUCUUCAGCCAGCAAAUGUUACUGUAAACAUUUUCAUUAUAUGACUGAUGCCAGGCACAGACCAUCAUGGUUUCCAACCCAAUAUCACAAAGGACAUUCAUAAAGCAGUUUUAUGGUUUUAUGUGUGUGCUGUAUAUUAAAAACUACUAUAAAGCAUGCAUGCUCCUUUUCUAAACUGUAUCUGUAUAUCUCCAUUUUUUAUGUAAAUAAACCUUUGUUUCCCUGUGAAUCUUUAUGUUUUGAACUCUGUUAUAAUAUCAGCAACUAUCACUUACUAACUAUCACCACCUCUCAAUGCUAAUCUAACAUUUCAAAUAAAUAGUGUAUAUAGUUGUAUAUAAAAAAUACACAAGAUAGUCAAGCAAGGGUCUGCCUAAAAAUAGUGCUUAGGGUAAAGUGCUACAUGUUCUCAUAGGAACAAUUCCUUUAAAGCUUUAAACAGUAAUAUCGAACAGACAUUAGCAAUUUGUUUAGUUCCAAAUCAAAUUUCAUCUGAAUUUCUGAAUCAAGUGAAAAAAAACUGAACACGAAAGUAUGUGUAAUGAAUUGAAACAAAUUACUUUGGAUCAAUUUGUUCAGAGGUGGCUCUAGACUUUAUGAGGCCUUAGACAAAACUAUGGGGGGUGAGUUAGUUAAAUUUUAAGCACUCCACAUGCACACCAGUGGUGGUCUUUAUCACUAGUCUCCUACACUGAGUGUACACGUGGUCUUCUGUAAAAACAUUGCUGCACGUUUACAGUUUGCACAAGAGCACCUGGAUGUUCCACAGCAGUACUGGCAAAAUAUUCUGUGGACAGAUGAAACCAAAGUUGAGUUGUUUGGAAGAAACACUCAACACUAUGUGUGGCGAAAAAAAAAGGCACAGCACACCAACAUCAAAACCUUAUCCCAACUGUGAAGUAUGGUGGUGGGAGCAUCAUGGUUUGGGGCUGCUUUGUUGUGUCAGGGCCUGGACAGAUUGCUAUCAUCGAAGGAAAAAUGAAUUCCCAAGUUUAUCAAGACAUUUUGCAGGAGAACUUAAGGCCAUCUGUCUACCAGAGGAAGCUCAACAGAAGAUGGGUGUUGCAACAGGACAAUGACUCAAAGCAUAGAAGUAAAUCAACAACACAAUAGCUUAAAGGACCACUCUAGGCACCAAGACCACUUCAGCUUAAUGAAGUGGUCUGGGUGCCUGGUCCAGGGUUAACCCAUUUUUUUUUUAUAAACAUAACAGUUUCAGAGAAACUGCUAGGUUUAUGAAUAGGUUAAUCCAGCCUCUAAAGCCUCUAGUGGCUGUCUCACUGACAGCCGCUAGCGGCCUUUGCGUGCUUCUCACUGUGAAAAUCACAGUGAGAAGACGCAAGCGUCCAUAGAAAAGCAUUAUGAAUGCUUUCCUAUGAGAUUGGCUGAAUGCCCGUGCAGCUCCUGCCGCGCAUGCGCAUUCAGCUGAAGAGGAGGAGAAAAGGCGGAGAGGAGGAGGAGAGCUCCCCACCCGGCACUGGAGAAAGGUAAGAUUUUAACCCCUUCCUCUCCCCAGAGCCCGGCGGUGGUGGCACCCUCAGGGCACUAUAGUGCCAGGAAAACGAGUAUGUUUUCCUGGCGCUAUAGUGGUCCUUUAAACAGGAGAAAAUACGCCUUCUGAAGUGGCCCAGUCAGAGUCCUGACCUCAACCCGAUUGAGAUGCUGUGGCAUGACCUCAAGAAAGCGAUUCACACCAGACAUCCCAAGAAUAUUGCUGAACUGAAACAGUUCUGUAAAGAGGAAUGGUCAAGAAUUACUCCUAACCGUUGUGCACAUCUGAUCUGCAACUACAGGAAACGUUUGGUUAAAGUUAUUGCUGCCAAAGGAGGUUCAACCAGUUAUUAAAUCCAAAGGUUCACAUAUUUUUUCCACCUGCACUGUGAAUGUUUACAUGGUGUGUUCAAUAAAAACAUGGCAACAUUUCAUUCUUUGUGUGUUAUUAGUUUAAGCAGACUGUGAUUGUCUAUUGUUGUGACUUAGAUGAUGAUCAGAUCACAUUUUAUGACCAAUUUGUGCAGAAAUCCAUAUCAUUCCAAAGGGUUCACAUACUUUUUCUUGCAACUGUAUAUGGCAAUUUCAUGCCUAUUUCGCUUGCAAAAAAGGCAAAGCACAUGGAGAUAGUGCAGAUCUGGCCAGGAUCCAAGAUGUAAACCCUUUCUAAAUUUGACAAUUCCAAUUUUCUAGAACUCAGAUCCUGGUGAGAAAUCACAAAAUGUUUGCUAAUUUUUUUAACCAAACUUGCAUGUGUGAUUAAAAUAAAUCAUAAAUACAAUGAGAGGACCAAUAUUUUACAUCUAGUUCAGGUAUAACUAAUUUUAGUACAGCUAGAGGAGUGGCUCUAGACCAGACAGCAGUAGGAUGGAUUUUCUGAUACAGUAUAUUAAAUGGUUUUAUAGUAGUUUUGAUAGUGAGAAACAUGUCUGCCAUCCUUGUGCGCUGAGAUGGAAGCAACCAUAAGAUAUCUUUGAUUGAAUGUGGUGAGAGUUUGCUAGCCUCCAUCUCAAGCCAAAGAGGACGGUCAUGCUCUUGGUUGAACUUCAGCACCAUCCCUGCAUUAGAUGCGUAAUAAUAAUGAAUACAAUCCGGCAAACCCACACUCCCACUAACUCUGAGCUUUUGAAGUAUGGACAAUUUAAUCCUUGAUGGUUUCCCAUGCCAUAUGAGUUUCAAGAAAGCAGAAUGUACCUUUCGAAAAAAGGAUAAAGGAAUCGAAAGGGGGCUGGUUCUGAGAAAAUAUAAAAUUUGGGGAAAAGAGUCAUCUUUACCAAAUAACCCUGCCUAACCAUGACAUUUCUAGGCUACACCACCUCUCAAGAUCAUUCCUAAAGUCAAACCAGACCUUACCCAAGUUAUAAGAAUGCAUUUUCGAAAGGUUCUUGCAUAGGUUGAUGCCCAGAUAAGAGAUAUAAGAGAUCCUCCAGUCAAACCAACCUUUCAAAAUAUCUAGGUCAUAACAAGGCAUGAAGAAAGAGAGAGCUUGAGUCUUGGCUGUAUUCAGUUUGUAGAACAAAAUUUCACUGAACUCCUGCAGGAUCGACAUCAACGGAGUAAGGGAAGUCAUUGAUUUUUAAGCGAUAACAUGAUGUCGUCUGCAAAAAGACCUAUUUUAUGUUCCUUACCCACUACUGCAAUACCUUUCAUAUCUGCGCUGCAGUGUAUUAUCUCGGCCAGGGGUUCCAUUGCCAGCACAAACAGGAGUGGGGACAAUGGACACCCCUGUCUGGUCCCAUUGGACAAUGAGAAGUUUUCAGAAACAAAACCAGUCGCAGAUACUCUGACAGUUGUUUGUCAGUAUAGUGCAAGUACAGCCUUGAUGAAGGGGUCUGAGAUGUUAAAGCACGACAAACUUCCUUUAGGUAAUCCCAAUGGAUCCUAUCAAACGCCUUCUCCGCAUCCAAAGAGAGGAGUAAAGAAGGCGUGCAAGUAGAUUUAAGAUGAUUAAUCAAAUUGAUGAAAUGCCUGGUGCCAUCCAGGGCCUGAUGGUUCAGUACAAAACCUACCUGGUCUUAGUCAGUUAGGGAGGGAAGAAGUCGAUUAAGUCUAUUGGCUAAAAUUUUUGAAUAAAUAUUUUUGUCAUUGUUAAUGAAAUGGUGCAAAAAUUUGAACAGACAUUAUGUGUCUUACCAGGUUUAGGUAGCGUGAUUAUGUGUGCGCACAAAACCUCCCCCUGCAUACCUCCUGUAUUCCAAUAAUGAUUGAAUAGGCAAAUAAAUGAGGGGUAAGAAUGCCAGAGAAAAAACAUCUAGUACACCAUGUUAAAACCGUCAGGCAUCGGGCUUUGCCUUGUGGUAUCAUAUUAAUGGCGUCAGUAAUUUCUUUUGUCGUGAUGGGAGAAUUUAAAAUAUCCAAUUCAUCAGUAGGUAAUUGUUUUAACAAGACCCUGUCCAGAAAAGAGCGUAUUGUAUCAUAUGUGGGCUGUAUCGUAGUGGGAUCGGAAUUCAAAUUUUUUUCUAAUAUUCUGCAAACACAUUACAGAUUUUUACUUUAUGAGUAACUUUAACACCAUUAUCAUCUACUAAAUGCUCAAUUCUGAGUUGGGAAAUCCUGUGGCACAAUUAAGAAGCCAACAGUGACGAGGCUCUAUUCCCAUUAGCACAAAAAACCUGUUUCAAACUCUUCAACAUCAAGGCUAUGUAUUCCAACUGGAGAGUGUUAAUUUUAACCUUAACUUUUGUUUGCCUGAUUCAAAUCAUACAGAUUCUAGUUCUCUCAGGUGUUUUGGACCAGAUUUUUUUUAUAUAGGAAGCUUGUUGUAUGAAGUGACCCCUAAGAACCACUUUAUGAGCAUUCCACAACAAGGUAUCCUGUAAAUAUUGGGCCGAAUUUUCCCUGAAGUAACUGUUAAUCACUGAUUCAGCCAAAGCUUUAUUCUCAAGCUCAGUGACCACACUAAGUCUCCAUUGUCUGUUUGGGUUCGACUGGAAAGAGGCUAAGAGAUAUGUGUAGUCUUUUUCUUCUUCAUGCUGUACACGCCAACAGUCUAAUAAGCCUUGAGAACAAGACUUUGGAACAAGAUUUUUCACUGUUUUUUUUUUUAGCAGCGCUAGUUACAUCUCUGACAAUAUCAUAUUCGCAAUCCAAACGAAAAUUUGUAUCACCACCCAAAAUCAAUCUGCCUCUGACCUCAUCUGAAUCCUUGCUAAUGAUUUCAAAAAACAAAAUUGCCCAGAGUUAGGGAAAUAUUAAUUUACCAGAGUGUACCCAACAUUAUUUACUGUACCUUUCCAGAUUAGAUAUCUGCUGUCUGGAUCCAAAGUCACAUCCUCUGUAUGUAUGACAAGCCACAUUUUUGCUGAAAAAUAUGGAGACGCCCCUAGAUUUUUUACAAAAUGUAGAGUGAUACUGGUUGGGAUAAUCUUUCUUCAGACUAUUAGGUACAUAAACUUUUUGGAAAAUGAGUCUCCUGAAUUAAUAAAACCCCUGGCCUAAUACACUUCACCACUUUGAAUAAAAGUCUUCGUUUAUGCGGAGUGUUUAGUCCCCUCACAUUGAAAGAUAAAAACUUUAAAACCAUACCUAUUGCUCAAAAAGAGCGAAUAAGAACUAAAGAAAAAAUUGGUAAAGGAAUCCGAACACACUGCUUAACUCGAAAUAUGUUUUACAAUUUAUCAAUCCCAUUUGAGCAAGCGGGAUCCGCCUGACCGAUGUUUGUUUAGCUCCGUGUAUCCCUGAUAUAGUCAUCAAAUUAUGACACGAGAGAAUAAAGUAGCACAAUGUGGAUGUCAUUAUGAAUAUUCUUUUUAAAAGGGAAGAAAAACUUGGAGAACACUCCCUAAUAAAGGGAAAAAUAAAAAAAUUUAAAUAAAAUAUUUACAAAAAAACAAGGCCUUAAAAUUAUCCCCAUCUCAAAAAUAUACAGGCCUCGGUUGGGGGUGAGGAGAUCAGGGACAAAGGGAGAUAUAUAUAUAUAUAUACACACACAUAUAAAUAAAUAUAUAUAUAUAUAUAUAUAUAUAUAUAUAUAUAUAUUUUGAGAGAAAAGGAGAAAACAAAAUUAAUAAUAAUUAAGAAUUUAAAAAUUUUAAAACUUAAAAACAAAAAUAAGAGCACAAAAAAUAAACAAAAAUAAAAAACUGAUAAGUUAAAAUUUCAAAUAGAGAGGAAUAUGUUUUUCCAUCAUCAAAGUAUAUUUUAGAUGUCUAAAACGCUACCUAAGUAGAUCAACAUAAAGAAUUUAUAAACCAAUAACCAAAAAAAUCAAGAGUUAGAAAUCCAAUGACCAUACACUAAUCUCCAGAGUGAGUAAACCGGAAUCUUUAGAAGAAUCCCCAUAGGCUGAAAUCAGGAAACAUUGUAGCAGAUCCGUACAGUAGGAACGUGAAGCCAUGAACCAGAAAUCCGAAGCUUUAUGAACAUAAAUCCAAGAGUAGUAGGUUUAUUUGGUAGCAUAGAUGUAGCUAGCAGGAACCAAAAGGGAGACAUAGAUUUGGGACAAAAACAUGACCAAUAGUCAAAACAGGCAAACAGUAGUAAAGAAAGUUAUUUUGUGAUCAGCUGUGAGACAGCGAAUAUCUUUGUCUUAUCUUCCUGGUGAGUAGAGGAGUUAACGGAGAUCGAGGUGCUGGGAUUACAGGCUCAAAGCCUCUCAAAGUGUGAAGAACCUCCAUGUUUUCUUCAGGUGUAGUUAUGACAUAUUGCUGUCUAUCCAGGCGGAACAAUACCUUUACAGGAAACCCCCAAUGGUACCUGAUGUUCAGUUUGCGCAACUCAGCUGUAAAUGGGCCAAAUUCUCUUUUGUGUUGCAUAGUAAUAUGGGAAAAAUCCUAGAAGACUUUAAUAUGCUUGUAUUUGUUUGGAAGGUUAGAUGUUCUCAAUGCCAACAGGAAAUCCUCUUUAACAGUGAAGAAGAGGAUCCUCGCUAUUGUAUCCUUUGUAGCGUCUUGUGGAGCAGGCUUGGGCAUGGGGAGUCUGUGUAUACAAUCAAUUUUCAAGUCUUCGUCACGGAGGCUGGCCAAAUUUAGCGUUUUUAUUAGUUUUUUUAAAAUUUGUUACUUAAAAAUUGCAGUUUUACUGGUGAUCUAAUCGUCGUGAUAAGUUUUACUGUUUUAAACAUUCAUUUUUGUGUUCAGCGAAGUCUCCCGAGUAUAACAAUACCCCCCAUGUACAGGUUUUAUGGUGUUUUGGAAAGUUACAGGGCUUGCCCAAUUCAGUUUGCCAGAUUGGUUUGCUGGGUCUGUGUUGCCUUUUGAGACCAUAUGGUAUCCUAGGAAUGUAAAAUAACCCCAUCAUGGCAUACCAUUUCCAAAUGUAGACAAACCAGGGUAUUCAAAUUGGGGUAUUUCCAGUCUUUUUUAGUAGCCACAUAGUGCCAAAGUUAGCAUUUUUGUUUAUUAUAAAUGUUUUUUUUCAAUGUAUAAUAUAUAUGUAAAGGCGGGGCCUGGAGUUGUGGGAGGGGCUAGUGCUGAUAUAAGAACUCACCUAUUUGCACUAGACUGCUCCUCUGUAUCGCUCCGUUUCGUGUCCCUCCCUCCACAUCCCCCUUUAAAUGACUUAUUUUAUUCUAAUUACCUUCCUUGGUGGGCCCACUUUAUUUACAAAAGAAUGUUGUAUACCUCUACAUAUAUCAUAAGGUAUAAAUUACAAGAUAUGGAUUUAUUGAGCACAAAAUAUAUAUAUAUCCUAUACAUGUAUAAUACAUUAUAAUUAAAGCAUUUUAUAAUACAUUAUAAUGCAUAUAUGAUUUCAUUAUAAGUAUAUUUUGAGAUAUAUGUGUAUAUAUCUCAAAGUACACUUCUAAUGAAAUUAUAUAUAUAUAUAUAUAUAUGCAUUAUAUAUAAUAUAUUAUAAAAUGCUUUAAUUAUUUUAUAAUAUAUUAUACAUAUAUAAUAUAUGUAUAAUAUAUUUAUUUAUUUGCUUUUUAGUAGUCUGGGGGACUGCUCAACAGCUCAGACAGUCUCCCUGCUGACAGCUCCUGGAGUCCUAUUGCGGCGAUGUAAUCAUUCUAAGUGUAUCUUAUAUAUAUAUAUAUAUAUAUAUAUAUAUAUAAAGUAUUUCUAUAUAUUUUCAUCACUCACAUUGCAUUAUUUAUCUUGAAAAAGACCCUAUAGCGGUUGAAACGUCGAUCAGAGAUUAUUUAUUUUGCACAUGUAAUUUGCACAAGUAAAUAAAAUAAACUUUUGAACAAGACCUGUGAGUGCACCUAUCAUCUACUUUUUAUAUAAAUAUAUAUAUAUAUAUAUAUAUUAUAUCUCAAAAUACAGUUUAUUUUUAAUUAUUUAUUUUUUAUAAUAUAUAUGCACGCACGCACACACACAAUAUAUAUAAUUAUAUUAAUAAAAAACAGGGAUGUACAAGGGCAAAAAAUUCGGUUCAGUACUUCCGAAAUUAGAGACUUCAGCAAUUCCCUAAGCCUAACCUUACCCCUAACCCUGAACUAACCCCUAACCCAAAUUCCUGUCAUCAUUCCCUUAAUUUUCAUUCCCUCUCCUGUUUUGCCACUUUUCAGAAAUCCAAAGCACUUUGGAAAUUUGGCAAUUCUGACAUUCGGAAGCAUUGGAAUUGCCGAAAUUCGUUAGAAUUUAAUUUCAGACCGAAACGAAUUGCACACUUAGUAUGACAUUAUAUAUAUAUUUUAUUUCUUAUUAUUAUUAUUAAAUUUAUUUUUUUUAUUCUUAUUAACUUUAUUUUUUUUUUAUUUUUAUUUUUUACUUUUUUCACCAGUUCAGACAGUCCCCCUGCUGCGGCCAUUUGAUCGCUCUUUUUGGGAGUUUUAAAUUGCAGAAGGUGGAAUGUCUGGGCUAAGCCCAGAUAGUACCCCCUAGGAAGAAGACCAAUCACCAGCAGGGGGAAUGGCGACAGUACAUGGGGAGGGAAAGGGAGGGAGGGGUUAAUUUUGUAAAAAAAAAUUCUUAAUUUUUUUAUUUACUGAUCGCUUUCAGUGCUCAAAUUAGCCUUAAGGACCUUUCUUUGUCAGACUACCUCAUAUGUCCGCGGUCCUUAAGUGGUUAAGUAAUCCUCCGAUUCCUCCCUGCUCGCAGCCAUUGCAUGAGCUAUACUUAGAGGUCUGCUUCCCUCACUUGCAUCUGGGGGUGCCACAGGUGCGCCCGCAGACCCCUAAAGCCUCUGUCUUCUGAGGUACGUUCGGCUCGUGAACAAGACCUCUCUUUACACCUACCUUCGCAACUUGUGUUGCGGGAUGCCGUGAAUGGUCCCACGGCAUUCCCAGUCUGCUCUACCUCCAUAACGCUCGCAACUCCCGAUCAGGGACACAUUGCGGACCUCUACAGGCCACCCACCUCAUGAACUGCUGCGGUGGCAGCCACAGCAGCCCAAUUCUCAGCCGGUGCAACAGGGGAUAUGGAAGACGGUAGAAUAGCAAAGGCCACUGGUAAUUAAGUCGUGCCAUGGCUUUUUUUGGUUUGAUUUCUGCAUAUUCACCAAAAUUUCAGGAGAUGAUCCAGAUGAAUUGUAGAAAAUUUAUUUAACCCCUUAAGGACCAAAUUUCUGGAAUAAAAGGUAAUCAUGACAUGUCACACAUGUCAUGUGUCCUUAAGGGGUUAAAGGAACAUAGAGUUUAGAUCAUUUGAAAGCCCAGUGCCCAGGAUCAAUCCUUAAAGGCAGCCACCAUGUUUGCUGGCCAAGCCACACCCCCAGAUUAGGCAGUUUUAUUUGUGCCCUAUUAUUUUUCUUUCAAAACAAUUAAAAGUUACUAUUACAGAUUAUUCAAUGUAUUUGGAGAAUUCCAUAUUUUGAGUAUUUGGUAAAACAGUGCUCUGGAAUGGUUUCCAAGCCACAAAACAGUGUUGUAUUGUCAUGCCUAAGGCACCAAAAUAAUUGAUGACCAAACAUUUUUUUUCUCUGAUUAACAUCCCCACAAUCAUUUUCUAAUAAGCCUGACUUUGUUUUAGAGGGCUUUUAAGUUCAUCGUGAAGGCAGCAUUUGUAGAGUUAAAUUAUUGUAUAAAAGAAAAAAAAUACUUUCAAAUUGUGAUUAGGACUUUGUGUAGGAGACAAAUUUAAUAGACAUUUAAUGGGCACUUGUGGUGAAACAGAUUGACAGAGUAGGUCAAAUGAUAAUUAAUAGUUUUCUUGUUUAUUAGAGUAUGUUACAAAUCCACUGUAACUGGCAGCAGUAGAUAUAGAUGGAAAAAAAAUGUUAAUUAAGGCAAAGCACCAAAAUAUCAAAUUUUGUAUUCCACCCACUUAUUAAUGUAGGAAGAUCUGUAAAUAAGUGAGUAUGCAAUUUCUGUGCUGUGCAUUAACUUCGAACUAGCUGGAGUUUCAGGGUAAUGCAGUUCCUUUUAUUUUCUUUUUUAUGAUAUCGAAUAACAAAAACUAUGAAAAUAUGAUGUCAAGGGCAUUUAUCAGCUGAAUAGUGAAUGUGGUAGAAUAACGAUUUGCAAUCUGUUACACAUUUAUGGCAGGAUGCAUUUGCUGCAAUUACAAAGCAAGCAAAAGUGAAGUCCUAAGAGAUUUUAAAAGGUUUACAAUUAUAUUAAAUAAGUUUGCUUAAGGAAUCAUAAAUUGUGAGUUGAACCAGAUUAAGUACUAUUCCCUAUUCUUUGUUUCCCAACAUAGGAUUUGUUCUAGAAAAUGAAACAAAUGCAGAAUCUCCUUUUCAAAAUAUUUCUCAUGUCACCUUUUUUACAUUGGUUAAAUAUUUGUUUUAACUACACCUCAAUGUGUUUGUUGAUUAAUUGUUGAUUGCUAAUUGAAAAUAAAAAGGGUAAGUGGUUUAAAAAGUUAUCUUCCCCGUUAUGAAAAACUGUAAAAUAUUUCGUAUAGUCUUACUAGUAUUUAACAGAGUGAUAAUCUGAUAGCCUCAGCUGGAGAUAUUUUAAAAUGUUAUCAGGAUAAGCUAUGUAUUUGAUUAAGAUAAUUUGAAAUAAGUCACCACUGAUUUUAGUUUUACGAUGAAUUGAAUGUGAGUCUAAAGAAACAGAAAUACCUUUUGUUUGGGACAAUAAAGCAUAUCCAGGGUUAACUAUGAACAUUUUUAAAUUUUACAUGUUUCUCUCCAUGUUACUGAAAAUAAAUAUUGAUCCAGGCACUCAAGGAUAAAAGCCAAAAUAACAGCUUUAUUUAGAGCAAAACAACAGCAACGUUUUGACCCAGCAGUAUUCACACAAUAAACAAAAAGUCCCAAAUUCUACAGUAUAGAAAGGGUUAACUUGAUUUAAUGAGAGAAACUUACCUGCAAAUUAAGAUACAUCUUGCUGAAAUGAAGUGUCCUUCUAUCAUGGAACCUCCCCCAAACGUCUAGCAAUAGUGGGUCAGAGGCAGGCCAAACAUGAGUGAAUAACACAUUAGUUGGAGAAAAUAGGCAAAUCCUUCAAAGGGGUAUGUCUGUUUGUGACAAAAUAAAACAUACCUAAAUGUCACAUUAUACUAGGAAAAAAUUUACAGGAGAAUACCAACUAAGGCAAACGUGAUAACAAUAUACCCUAAAAUAAUAAAAAAAUAUGUGAUAAAAUGAACAAUAAAAAUUAAAAAUUAAACAAAAAAAAUUAGAAAUAGGAGUCAAAGCCAUAAUAAUAACAGAACAAGCAAAGAAGAGGGAUCCUUUAAUAUUAAAUACUAAAUCAAGAGGGAAAUAAAACCCAAUAAGAUAUAGAAGCUAAUACAUUAUUUUAUAAUGACACAUUUAAUUAAUUCAAUAUAUUAAAAUAUUUAAAGAUAGAUGUACACCAAUAAAAUUUAGACCAUAUUAUGUUGGUCACCAGUCAUCUUCAUCUCAGGGUGAAGUGUCUCUGCCCUUCUUAGUCCUGCAGUGUAAAACAUUGCAGUUUUAGAGAAACUGAAAUGUUUAUAUUGCUGUACUUAGACUGGUUCCUACUGCCAACUAGUGGGCGGUUUGGGAUUUCAGGUGGGUGGUGGUGGGUUCUGCAGAAAAUGUCAUGUGGGUCUCAAUGGCCGUGAACCAAGGUCAGCAGGGGAAAUCAUUUAAUCUCCCCUGCCGGCCCAUGCAGAGCCAACCUUGCUGUAAGCUCUCUCGGGGUGGUGAGAAGAUCAAAGUUCCAGCAGAGGGAGGGAAGGACCUGGGAAUCUCUGUGUUCCUCCUACAAGCAAAAUGGUCAGAGCAUUGCCAUGGUAACACACAGCAAUGCUCUGACCAUUUUGCUUGUAGGAGGAACACAUAGAUUCCCAGGUCCUUCCCUCCCUCUGCUGGAACUUUGAUCUUCUCACCAGCCCAAGAGAGCAUACAGUGUUGUGCUUGCAGGAGGACAGGAGAGUCAGCCUGCAGCCAGAUAAGCUGCAGGCUAAAGUGACCAUGCCACCAGAGCUUGCAGCAUUAUGUCCCCCCUCCCUGGUAAAAUGUAAGAAGGCAGCAGGGGGAGACAUUAAGAUAGAUUUUCCCAUCUCACCCACCUACACACAGCAUAGACCCUAUGCACACUUCAUACACUGUCCCCUCACACACACACACACAAACACCCACCCACACACACACACAGAUUGCCCCUUUACAUACAGACUGCCCCUCCUCACACACACACACUCACACACUGCUCCCCUUACACACUGCCCCCCUCAGCACACUACCCAACACUGCCCCCACACACUACCCCACACUGCCCCCACACACAUACUGUACCCUUCACACAUACACAGCACCUCUCACACACACACACACGCACACAGUGCACCCCUAAUGCAAACACUGCCCUCUCGCACACACUCCACCUCGCACUCACACACAUCACCUCUCACACACACAGCCCCUCCUCACACACACAGCAUACACACACAGCCCCCAUCACAGAUACACACAGGCCCCCUCACACACACAGCACACACUGCCCCCACCUCACACACACACUGCCUCCACAUGACACAUACUGCCCCCUCACACACACACUGCCCCCUCACUCACACACACUGCCCCCUUACUCACACACUGCCCCCACAUACACACUGCCACCCUUCACAUACACACACACACACACACUACACCAUUCACACACAAACACACACACAGCACCCUUCACACACACACACUGCCACCCUUCACACACACACAUUGCACAUUUCACACACACACUACACCCUUCUCACACAAACACACACACAGCACCCUCCACACACAUACAGCACCCUUCACACACACAGCACCCUUCACACACAUACAACACCCUUCACACACACAUACACACACACACAGCACCCUCCACACACAUACAGCACCCUUAACACACACAGCACCCUUCACACACAUACAACACCCUUCACACACACACACACACACUGCCCCUCACAAACACACACACACACACAGAAAUAAAGUAGAAUAGAAAAAAGAAAAAAAGGAAAAUAAAUAGGUAUAUAUAUAUAUUUUUUUUUUAAACUCCCCUUUCUAAAAAAAAGAUUAAAAAAUAAUAAAAAAUUGAACUCGCGCUAUAUACUGGUGGGCGGUAAGGAAAUUUUACCAUCAAAGAUACAAAAGUGGGCGGUAGGUAUGUAAAGGCUGACUACCCUUGCUCUAGUAGCUGUCUGCCAAACAGCUACUAAAGGCACUUCCUGGAGUUUUGUGUAGUUUGAAACUACAUGAGGACAUCCUGGACAUCAGAAAAAAAUCAUAGGAGACAAUACUUUCCUAUAAUAAAAUGCUAAUGCUCACUUACUGUGCUCACUAUGCAUGUGCAUUAUGUCCCCCCAUCGGUUGGCAUUGUACCUCAAUGCUGCAGUCAGGUAAGUUAAUAUAGGGCUAUUCAACCCUUUACAAUGUGGGAAGUGGGGCUGUGGGGGCUGAGAGGGCUGAGGAACAUAUUAAUGUUAAAAUUACACCUUUCUAGCCCUAACAAUUAAGUGUUCUUUUAACAAUGCUAAAGUUUAACAAGCAUGACUUGAUAACACAUAUUGUUUUUUUAAAAGUAUUACAUAAAAAGUGUUUUAAACUAUGCAAAACAAAUGCAUCCAAAGAAGCAGUACAGUGGUAAACACCCACAGGAUUAUUCAUAAAACUUCAAAUGGUAGGAAACUAGAGUUCAGCGAACCCGAACUGAAAAGUUCGGGUUCGUACCGAAUAUUAGUUUUUUUGGACCCCAUGCCCGAACAUGGACAUAUCACUGUAUGUUCGGGUUGGAGCUCGGUGUUCGGUGAUUUAAUGGCGCAUUUUCAAAGGCUGCAGGGCAGCCAAUCAUCAAGCGUUUGACUCGUGUUCCCUUAGAAGCCAUCACAGCCAUGCCUACUAAUGGCAUGGCUGUGAUUGGCCAGUGCAGCACGUGACCCAGCCUCUAUAUAUAAGCUGGAGUCGCGUAACACCGCAUGCACAUGCCGUCUUAUUAGUGUAGGGAGAGGAUGCUGCUGCUGAUAGGGACAGCUUAGGAAAGAAUUCAAACUAGUACAUUAGUGGGGUGGGGUGCACUUCAUAUCUGAGAGUGAAAUAGAAGCUUCAAAUACCGCGGUUACAUCAGAGUUUUAAAAAGUACAUUUUUUUUGGUGCUAAAUAGUAUGUUAGUGGGGUAGUACAUUAGUGGGGUGCACUUCAUAUCUGAGAGUCAAAUAGAAUCAUCAAAUACUGCGGUCACAUUGCAUUUUUAAAACUUAAAAUUUUUUGGGUGCUAAAAAGUAAAUUAGUGGGGUGCACUUCAUAUCUGAGAGUCAAAUAGAAGCAUCUAAUAGUGUGCUUACAGCACAGUGGUGAACGUUCUUAUUUUCUGGGUGCUAAUCUGCUAAAUAGUAAAUUUUGUGGCCUGCUCUUCAUAUCUGAGAGUCAAAUACAAGCGUCUAAUAGUGUGCUUACUGCGCCAUUGUAAACAUUCUAAUUGUUUUGCUGCUAAUCUGCUAUAUAGAAACAUAGAAUGUGACGGCAGAUAAGAACCAUUCGGCCCAUCUAGUCUGCCCAAUAUAGUACAUUUGCGAAUAAACAAUGUCCAGUUCCAAUGAUGGUAACAGAUAUUGAAAGAAAAAUCCAACCUAAAAAGUCCUCUCUGUCGUCCUUGGAUACGGGUAUAAUAUAAAAGAUAAAAAGAGAGAACAGCCGAUAGUGCAAUAUGUAUGGUUCAGAUGAAAUAAAAUUUGAGUAAUGGUAGCGAACCAGCUGAUAAAGGAGGAGGAGUUAUCCAAUCUAGUAAGAUGUAUAUAGAUGAGGCCCAUAGGCAAUUAAAUGACAUAAAUGUAUACGAAAAACUUUUAUCAGACCCGACAAAAAAUAUACAAGUCAUUUUAUCCAAUUCUUUUAACUAAAGGUUUAGAUUUAAAUAUUUUAAAUAAACAUGAGUUUAAGUUUUUAAACAAAGAAUUUCCUAUUACUCCUGUAAUUUAUUUUCUCCCUAAAAUUCAUAAAAAUGAACAACACCCUCCAGGUAGACCAAUUGUCUCUGGGAUAGGUUCUCUUUUAUGUAACCUUUCCCAAUACAUUGAUACCCUUCUUCAGCCUUCUGUAAAACUUAUGAAAUCCUAUCUCAAAGAUUCUAUGUCACUUUUAAAAUUUCUAAACAAUUUUACUUGGAAGUCAAACUUCAUACUAGUUAUUUGUGACGUACAAUCCCUUUACACUAUUAUUCCCCAUGAUAUAGGAUGUCAGGCUAUAAAAGAGAUUUUAACCCUAGAUGCGAAAAUUCCUGCUACCCAAAUUGAUUUUAUAAUAGAAGGUAUUAAUAUAAUUCUUAAAAAUAAUUAUUUUUGGUUUUUAGAUUCCUUUUAUUUGCAGAAGAGAGGUACAGCUAUGGGGACUAGGUUUGCCCCCAGCUAUGCAAAUUUAUUUAUGGCCUACUGGGAAACCCAAGCGAUUUGGGGAGAUCAUGUGUGGCGGGCAAACCUAGUCUCAUAUUUCAGAUAUAUAGAUGAUCUUUUUUUUAUCUGGGAGGGCACUGAACAAAACCUUAUUGCUUUUAUUGAAAAUUUGAAUAACAAUACCAGUGGUAUUAUUUUGACCCAUGAAUAUAGUAGGGAAUCCAUUAAUUUUUUAGAUCUCAACAUUUUUAUAAAGGAAGGACAAUUACAAACAAAAACCUUUUUUUUAAAACUUUAUGUAAAUAUGGUCAUAGAUAAAUCUAGUUGUCACUAUAAGCCAUGGCUCGAAAGUGCACCCAAGAGCCAAUUCCUACUUUUCCGUAGGAAUUGCUCAGAAUUGACAGAUUUUAACGAACAAGCAAAGAUUUUAAAAAAUAAAUUUAUUGAAAAAAGUUAUAUAGAGUCAGACUUAAACAACACACUUAAUACAGUAAAGUUAAAAGAACGUAAAGACCUCCUAACUUAUAAAAACAAAGAGGAUAUUGAACCUAUGUCCCUUCCUAUUAUUUUUAAUUUUAAUAACAAAAGUAAAAACAUUAAAAAGAUAAUAAAUAAGCAUUGGCAUAUUCUCAAACAUGAUGAGGUACUUAAUUCUAUUAUACCUGAAUAUCCUAACAUUGUUUUUAGAGGGGCAACCAAUUUUAAAUCUAUUUUAACCACCAAUUUCACAAAAGAACCCACUAUGAAGAACAUUUCCAUUUUUCCUCAAACAAAAGGUUUCCACAAAUGCAAAAGCUGCAUAGUAUGCAGAACCACAGAUCCCUCUAUUUUAUCUAAAACAACUCAAUUUCUGUCAAAUAGGAAAGUGUAUAAUAUUUAUGAUUUUAUCUGCUGUAAUACAAAAUUUUUUUAUUUAUCUGCUUGAAUGCCCAUGUGGCCUCCAAUAUGUGGGGAUGACCACAAGGUGCUUAAAGACAAGACUGAGUGAACAUUGCAGAAAUAUCAAAAAUGGAUACUUAAAUCAUACAGUAUCCAAACAUUUUAUUAUACACAAUAAAGACCUGUAUUUAUUGAAAUGUAUUGGCAUAAAAAAAUGUUUUAUCCCCUGGCGUGGAGGGGAAUAUAAAAAAGAUACUUGGAAAAACUGAAAUGGAAUGGGCGUAUAAUCUUCAGACCCUUAUACCCCAUAAUGCCUUAAUGCAGACUUUGAUCUGCACAAUUUUUUAUAAUGACAACAGUUUUUAAAAGGAGUAAUUUAUUGCAUCUUAUUUUAUUUUAUAUUCUGAGUUUUUAUUUAUUAUUUCUAUGAUUUUUAUUUGUAUUGUUAUUUAUAAUUAUAUCUAAGGCACUUAUAGUGUUUUUUUAAUAAAAACAAAGGUCAGUAACCCAUUUUUUUACCCUUUUUGGUUUUUAUAUCCCUUUAAUUUUAUGUUUAACAUAUUUAAGUUUCCAUUUAUCUAUUUAAAAUAAUAUUUUACUUUUUUAUAAGUUGUUUUUAAGCCACCUAUUAUAUUGAGCCUUUUUGCCCUUUCCAGAUGGCUGGAAUCAGUUUUUCAUCUUUUUUCCGUUUUUUCUAUAGUUUACAUGGCCGACGUAUUGGGAGACUACAUUACCCAUGCGGCUUUGCGGCCAAAACUUCUGAAACCGGAAGUGCCGCAAAUCACGUGACUUAGUUUUCUUGGCUUUAAAACCUUUCCCACCCUCGUUUUUAAUAAAAAAUAAUUGAAUAUGCCUUAUCAUACUAUUUAUUAUCUGCAGGUGAGAUAGUAUUGCUAAUUUAUUAUGUGAAUGUUUGUCUUCACUCUGAUUGGCCGAAAUUUUUUGGCCACCUAUUAUAUUAGUCCUUUUUUGCCCUCUCUAGAUGGCUGGAGUCAAUUUUAUGGCUUUUUUUCGUUUUUUUCCAUAGUUUACAAGGCCGCCGUAUUUGGAGACUACAUUGCCCAUGCGGCUUUGCAGCCAAACUUCCGAAACUCGGAAGUGCCGCAAAUCACAUGACUUAUUGUCUUCUUGGUUUUAAAACCUUUUCCACCCUCAUUUUUAAUAAAAAUUCACUGCCUUAUCAUACUAUUUAUUAUCUGUAAAUAAGCUAGUAUUGCUAAUUUAAUAUAUGUAAAUUAUCUUCACUCUGAAUGGGCGAAAUUUUUUUGGCGCCAAAUUUGAAUCUAAUUGUGUCUAUAUAAACACUAUCUGCCAGUUAAUGUAUUGUAUUCCAUUUGAUAAAGUCUGUAGAUGAAACGCGUUAUGGAAAUCUAAUUUUGUGUAAUAAAAAUUAAAGUUUUUUUGGUUAUUUAAUAGUACCAAUUAUCUUUAUUUAUAUACAUACUUAAUUUAUCCUGGCAAUUUAUUUUAUUUUGCAUUUUAUUAUAUUUUAUAUAUAUUUUAUCUUGAUUUUAACAUCACUUCUACAAGCUCCCGGCAGCCAAAGAAAUCCUAGGUGGGGAUUAUUCCACCAGCGCUGGCAUCAAAGAGCAGCUGGCCUGCUCUGUACUUGUAAGUACGUUUCUUAUUUCUUCCUAUGAUACAAUUUAUACAGAGAGCACUAUUUGGUUGUUUCUGUUCUCUUUGAGUUUUGGAUAUUCCUGACGAAGUGACACUCACCAUAUAUCUCAUAAGCGGGGAUUAUACCGCUGUGUGCGCUUUAUCCUAGAGCUGGACUGAAGCACUUAAAAAUUGUGAGUUCGCUACCAUUACUCGAAUUUUAUUUCAUCUGAAUCAUACAUAUUGCACUAUCAGCUGUUCUCUCUUUUUAUCUUUUAUAUUAUACCUGAAGACCCUGUUCCUGUAUCCAAGGAUGACAGAGAGGACUUUUUAGGUUGGAUUUUUCUUUCAAAAUCUGUUACCAUCAUUGGAACUGGAUAUUGUUUAUUUAUUGUGGCGCAGCCCUUCUUUUAUAUUUUGUUUUUAUCUAGUCUUAUAGAGUUUUGGGGGAUUCCCUUUUUGGGGUUGCUGCCUAUAGGUUGUUUAGCGCGGUCUCUCUCUAUUUUAUUUAUUAUAGUACAUUUGCGGCCUGCGGUGCACUUCAUAUCUGAGUCAAAUAGAAGCGUCAACUAGUGCGCUUACUGCACAGUUUUAAACAUUCUAAUUGUUUUGCUGCUAAUCUGCUGCUUACAUUGGAGUUUUAAAAAGUCAAUUUUUUUUUUUUUGGUGCUAAAUAGUAUAUUUGGGGUGUUCACUUCAUAUCUGAGAGUCAAACUGAAGCGUAACUUUGAUUCGAAUGUACUACAUCGGUCACUUGUAAUAUUGUUUCACACUUACAACACUUGUUACACAGAUCUAAGUGAUAGAAAACAGAUUGAUAUUUUAUACACUAGAAACUACCAGAUAACAAGCUGCUAUAUUUAAAACAGUGAAAUAGCUAAAAGGUACUUCAACAAUAUUGUAAUUCUGGGGAAAUACUCUCACAAGUCAAACUGAGAGGUCAGCUUAUAGGGAAAACUGUUACCUGGAGGAAACUCUAAAACAAUUUCCAUAUGUCCUUUGCAGACUUAACAUGCUGGAAAAACACAGGUGCCAACUGCUGUGGCUUUCUGCAGUGUGGAUACCGGCAAGGAGGGCAGGGUUGAGGUGUGGGUGGAAAAUGAUGUAGAGGAUGAUGAGGUCCUAGACCCCACAUGGAAUCAAGGUCAUGUGAAGAGGCGAUGGUCGCACAGAGGCACAAGCACAGCAUAAGAGGGAGCAGGGUGCAAAAGCAGAGCGGCCGUCCCCUAGCGCUCGUCGGCAUGUAUUAGCUCGAGAAUUACCAGUUAUCCAAGUAAUACAUGUAGCGAUCAAAGGAUCCAUAAUAUAAUUGAGCGAACUCGAACUGCAAAGUUCGGGUUCGUACCAGAUUUAACGAUCCAGUUUCACAGUGAGGUGGGCAGUCCGGUGACCAGGACCCAGUAUGCCUGAUGUUGAAGUUAGGAGUCACAGUGUGGAAUGGAUUAGCAGGGUCUGGUGCAGGGUAACCGCACACCCCCUGGUGUUGAGCAACAGCGUUUGUGCGGCCACAUACCAGGACCCUGAUGCAGCUUCAGUAAAAAUCGUACUUGAUACCAGAAGCCAUCACCAGACUGAUCCGCAACUUGGAACAGGAUGUGACAUUCACUGUAGCGGCUGUGCGCACUUUUGGCGUUGUCACCCUGCUGCUGCUCGCCUGUCUACCCUGCAGUGUAACUUCGUCCUUCCCGCUCACCUCCUCAUGAGACUGCGCGAGCAGCAGCAGGCGAUAGUGGAGUUUCAGCUGCAGCACGCAUUGGUCUGUGGCUCUGCCCCAGACUUCCCUCCAAUUGAUCAGAGUUAAAGGAUUUCAAGUGGACUCAUUACAAUUACAGGGCCUCUAAAGAGUCUUGUAUUGUUAUUUGUCGUCACUACCUUCCCGGGUCAGGAGUGGGUCAUUUGUGCGUCUGCUGCCUUCCUUGCAUGUGGUAGCCGUUUCUCAGUGUCCCUGUACAGAAUGCAACCCUGAUUCCCCAUUACCAGUGGUCACCAUGGUAGACGCAGAAACUGGCAUCGAAAGUUGAUAUGGAUGACAUCCGUAUGCAAAGUCACCACCACGGGGAUGUGCGAUUUGCCCGAUGUUCUCUAGAGUCAACAAAGUUCCUGCGCAACUAUAAUGUCAACAGCUACUCUGCGGAACAGAGUUGUCUUUUUUUAUAUGUCCCAAUAUUUGGGGGGCUACCCAAAUUAAAAUAUUUAUAUAUAUAUAUAUAUAUAUAUAUAUAUAUAAACAAAACAGAGACUGCUCUCUGUGAAAGAAUUAGAGGCCACAGAUCCAGUAUCCGGCUAGCCUAUCGUGAUGGCAAGUCGGACAAGCCAGUGGCCCGACAUUUCCUAGAAUCUCAACAUCCUCUGACCUCAUUAAGAUGUGUAGCAAUUGAACAUAUUCCUUCUCCUAUACGUGGGGGGAUAGAGCCAAACUCCUGUUACAACGGGAAGCUUAUUGGAUAUGGCAAUUGGAAACCAUGUCACCGAAGGGUUUGAAUGAAAAGUGCUCAUUUUUAGCAUUCUUAUAGUUACACCAUGCCCUUCAUAUUAGAUGGUCAACAGGUUUAGUAAUAAUCAUAACAUUGUCCUUUCUUCUCCUUCAUACCUAUAGUUAAUACUUGUUUGGGAGACCAGCUAGGAACCUCAGGUGCCGUAAGCUUUUGACCCCAUACUUAAGACAUAUAUGGUUAGCAGAAUUUUAAUAUUAGAGGCCUUUCGUAUAUAUAAUUUUUUAUUUUUUCAUAUUCUUUAGACCAAUUUUCUUAGUUUUAAAAUCAUUCUCUUGUAGGACUAAUUAUAUUUGUACAUAUUUUACUUCAGGAGAACUAGGAGUAGCUUGUUACUUAUAUCGCCUAUACUGUACCUAAUAGGAUUCACAUAUAUUGAUAGAUUUGUAUACCAAUAUUUUAUGACAUCUGUCCACAGUAUUACAUAUAUUUUUUUUUUCACUUACUCUGCAUUUAUUAUUUUGAGGCACACAUUUUGCACCACUAGAAGAGAUUUAUUCAAUUCAUUAUAUAUAUAUAUUUAUAUUCAUGAAAUUAUUACCUCUGGGUAUAUUUGUAUUCAUAUGCCUACAUUCUUCAUCACUAUUCCUGCUAUAGAUUUAGCACUAUUCCUGCUAUAGAUGGGUCUGAUUUAUCCAUCAUAAUAAUAACUCACUGAACAGUAUUAAUCUUUUAUCUUUAUUCAUUAGCUAUUCACUAUCUUUGGGGUCAUCUUUCUACCUAAGUCUUAUUUAUUUGGAAUAUACCUAUUGGUAACCGCAAACUUUAUUCUUAUAUAGAAUCCUUUCUGUUUUAUUUAAUGUUAAAUCAACUCCUUUCCCUUUCAGCUUGUUUUCUCUUCCCUCUAGCUCCUGUUCACAUGCCGGUUGCUAAGGCGACGCCCUGUUGUUGAUUGUUUUGCACUUUGCAAACAGGCUUACUUUGGUUUAUAUGAGACACCGUAACUUGGUGAUUCAACCAAUGAGAUGUAAGUGUCCCUGGUUACCCCAAUAACAUAGUUGUCAAGCCAAUGAAAUUAGCCUAUUCGGUCAGAUGAUUAACUGACCAGGAAGCACCUUUGAAAUUAAUGGGUGGGCAUAGUAAACUUGGUGGCUGAAUGUAAUGAAAACCAGCUGAUUGUAAGUACCACAUGAUUAUAUGUCCUAUAUAAGUCUGUUCAGUUUUAUGAAUGUUUGUGUCCUGAUGAAAGCUCCCCAGUGGAGCUGAAACGUCGAAUUUUUCUUCCGCAAUAAAUGGAGAAGUUAUCUUCUGGAAAACCUUGAGUGCCGGUAUUUUCACUUUGUUUAUGAUUAAGCCACCAGAGCACCAGGUACUAUUUUUAUUUCUCUAGUUGGAGUGCAGGGGUAUUUUGUAUUUUUUACAUAUAUAUAUAUAUAUAAACAAUGUUGGCUACCUCAUCCUCCUCCUCCACCGCUAUGGUCAACGAUGUCCGCUCAACUCUAUAGGAAACUAAAAUCUGUACAGCAAAAUGAAAGCUAAAAUGGUUGAUAUAGACAAAGUUUACAAAUCAGCUCUAGCCACAGCUUGGCUAUUUUGGGUACACAGUUCCAGUACCAUUAUACUACAACAACAUUUUUUCCAUAUUCAGGCAAUUGUUGUUCUACUCUCUACACUGCUUGAUGUAAUAAGAUAUAUUUUAUAUACUCUUAAAUGAGGAAAGCUUUUGUUAAUCUUUCCUGUACUCUCGUGCCCACUCUUUUCUGUACAUUGUGAUAACUUUCAACAAAUAUUAGAAAACAUUUUUUUAAAAAGCUUUUACAUGCUCAUAUACCUAAUUUCAGUGUCCUUCAAAGUGGGGGGCUAAAAGGGCAAUGACACAAAUUGCAAAUGGGCAGUAACACAAAGGGGAGGGUUCUGCCUGAAAACUGGCAGGUCAGUCUGGCAUGAAUGCCAGCCUAUUAGGCCAGCCGACCAAAGGCAGGCCAUGCAGAAACCACUGUUUCAGCAUUCUCUUUAUGUAUUCUGAACAUAGCACAAACACAUCUACUGAUGUGUUCAAUCUACACUUUCUGAGGACAGUUCUCUAGUGUCCCAAAAAGCGGUUCACCAGGGACUGCAUGAUUAGAUUCACCAUGUUUUCAGGAACACAUAUAAUGUUGUCAUAUUUAUGAAAAUGGUUGCCCUGCAGUAUGUAUAAUGUAUAUUCUGCAGGAUUCUUAAUUUACUUAUUACUUAACCCCUUUCCAACCUCGGACAUACCAUGUACGUCCGACAAAAAAUGGUCAUUAAUGACCUCGUAUAGUAAAUCCCCACCUUCCUGAUCGCUGGCAAUCCCCUGCCGAUGAUCAUGAUCCACGGGUCUGCCUGGGAGCUCAGACAGAUGACCUCUGCCCGAUCCGGCUCUCCCGGGCCAUGUGAUUGUGGGGUCCUCGCGAUCACAUGGCUGAAAUAGCUGGCUUAUGCAGUGCCUGCAGGGGGCAUGCUUGAGCUCUCAGGAAGUCCCCCUAAUGCCUAAAAAAAGUUUUAAAAGUUUUAAAAGUUAUUAAAAAGUUUAAAAAAGUGAAUAAAAUUACUUAGAAUAUAUAUAUAUAUAUAUAUAUAUAUAUAUAUAUAUAUAUAUAUAUAUAUAUAUAUAUAUAUAUAUAUAUAUUUAUGAUCUAAGUAAUUUUAUAUGCACAAACAUGAAUCAUUAUUAAAAGUGUAUUUAAAUAUUAAUAUAUAUAUAUAUUUCAGGAAGUAUUACUUUACUGAGAGGGUAGUGGAUGCAUGGAAUAGUCUUCCAGCUAAAGUGGUAGAGGUUAACACAGUAAAGGAGUUUAAGCAUUCGUGGGAUAGGCAUAAGGACUAAAGGCCAGGGACUAAUAAAAGUAUUUAGACAAAUGGGCAGACUAGAUGGGCCAAAUGGUUCUUAUCUGCCGUCACAUUCUAUGUUUAUAUAUAAAAAUUAGCACUCCCAGGUACUUUUUUAGUGAAGAAGUUCUUGAGAAAACUACCUGGGAGUGCUGAUUUUUGUCUUUUAUACAUUUAGUGCAAUCAAGCACCGGGUCAUGUACUGUAAGGAGUGCAAGGCUUUCCUCUAUUUUUUAUAUAUCAGAGUAACUAAAUGACCUCCAUUUGUUUAAAUAUACAUAGGGAUUAAGGAGAGAGUGCAGGUAACUUUUUUCCUUUGGUUUUUAAUAUAUAUAUAUAUAUAUAUAUAUAUAUAUAUAAAUAUUAAAAUACACUUAGAAUAAUGUUAAUUACACACACAUCUAUAUAAAAAAUAAAAAUAAUCAAUUAAUAAAUUGAAAAAAUAAUAAUAAUACAAUUAAAUUUAAGACAAAUUAUAUACCAGUUUAAAUUUGUUCUUACUAUAUUUUGAUAUUAGUAUAAGGGAUUUUUUUCUGUGUUGUUCCUUAUGAUGGACUAAUAAAGAUUAUAUUGUUCUAGUUUUUUGCUCUCUAUCUAGGCACCAUCCAAAUACUUGCAGAGCAGUUUCUCCUUGUAGGAUACAAGGUCUAAUAGGGGCAGCUUUUUUCAAUCUGCAACCCUCUAGUCCUUCUUUCUUUUCAUAUUUUGAUAUUAAAGGAACACUAUAGUCACCUAAAUUACUUUAGCUAAAUAAAGCAAUUUUAGUGUAUAGAUCAUUCCCUGCAAUUUCACUGCUCAAUUCACUGUCAUUUAGGAGUUAAAUCACUUUGUUUCUGUUUAUGCAACCCUAGCCACACCUCCCCUGGCUAUGACUGACAGAGCCUGCAUUGAAAAAAAAACUGGUUUCACUUUCAAACAGAUGUAAUUUACCGUAUAUACUCGAGUAUAAGCCGACCCGAAUAUAAGCCGAGGCCCUUAACUUUACCACAAAAAACCUGGGAAAACUUAUUGACUCGAGUAUAAGCCUAGAGUGGGAAAUGCAGCUACUGGUAACUUUCUAAACAAAAUUAGAUCCCAAUAAAAUUACAUUAAUUGAAUAUUUAUUUACAGUGUGUGUAUAUAAUGAAUGCAGAAUGUGUGUUUGUGUGUAUAUAAUGAAUGCAGUGUGUGGUUGUGUGUGUGUAUAUAAUGAAUACAGAGUGUGUUUGUGUGUUGUGUGUGUGUGUGUAUAUAAUGAAUGCAGAGUGUGUGUUUGUGUGUAUAUAAUGAAUGCAAUGUGUAUAUAAUGCAGUGUGUGUUUGUGUGAAUGCAAUGUGUGUGUUUGUGCAGUGUGUGUAAACUGGGUGAGGGGAGGGCAUUUUUAUUUUAAUUUUUUUAUUUCAUAUUAUUUUCAUAUUAUAUUUUUUAAUAUUAUUAUUUUAUUAUUAUAUUAUUAUUAUUUUAAUAUUUGCAUUAAUUUUUUUUUAAAUGUUUUUGUUGUCCCCUCUCCCUGGCCAGGCAACAAGCAGGGAGGGGGGACAAAAAACCAUUUAAAAAAACAGUGAGCUGUUACUUACCUUCCUGCAGCUCCUGUCAGCUCCCUUCUCCUCCGUGCAGCUCCCUGGUCAGCUCCGUUCCGCUUACAGUGCAAGUCUCGCGAGACCAGUGGGCUGCAGGAAGGUAAGUAACAGCUCGCUGUCAGCCCCCAACAGGACCACCCGGGUUGUAAUGAGCCCGGCGGUCCUGGUCUGUAUUAAUUCAAUGUAAGUUGCCAUAAUACAGACAUUGACUCGAGUAUAAGCCGAGUGGGGGGUUUUCAGCACAAAAAAUGUGCCGAAAAACUUGGCUUAUACUCGAUUAUAUAUACGGUACCUUAAAUAAUUGUAUCUCAAUCUCUAAAUUGAACUUAAAUCACAUACAGAAGGCUCUUGCAGGGUCUAGCAAGCUAUUAACAUAGCAGGGGAUAAGAAAAUCUUAAUUAAACAGAACUUGCAAUAAAGAAAGCCUAAAUAGGGCUCUGUUUACAGGAAGUGUUUAUGGAAGGCUGUGCACGUCACAUGCAGGGAGGUGUGACUAGGGUUCAUAAACAAAGGGAUUUAACUCCUAAAUGGAUUGAGCAGUGAGACUGCAUGGGCAUGUUCUAUACACCAAAACUGCUUAAUUAAGCUAAAGUUGUUCAGGUGACUAUAGUGUCCCUUUAAUAUGCAUAUAUAUUUAAAUAAAAAUACAUUUAGAAUUACGUUAUAAGUACAUAUCCCCUUAACUACUGCGGACGUACUAGGUACGUCCGUCAAAAAAAGUCUGUUAAGGACUAGGUACGUCCGCGGCAAAUAGGCAAAUAGGAGCCGUGGACUUACCUGGACCGGCGAUCAGCUGGCGAUCACGGUCAGGGGGGACUGCCAUGCCGAAGACCCCAGCAGUUCCCCUGCAGAUCCAGCCACCCCGGCCCUUCAGGGCCAUGUGAUCACCAUGAUCACAUUGCCGCAAUAGGAGUCUAUGGAGCUGUCAGCAGGGGGAGUGUCUGAGCUGUCAGGCAGUCCCCCAGGCUGCUAAAAAGAAAAGUCAAAAAAGAAAAAAAUCAAAUAAAUAAUAUAUUAUACUUAUAUUAUAUAUCUAUAAUAUAUUGUAAAAUAAUUAAAGCAUUUUAUAAUAUAUUAUAUAUAUCAUGUGUAUAUAUAGCAUUUUAUUAUAAGUGUACUUUGAGAUAUAUACACAUAUCUCAAAAUACACUUAUGAAAUCAUAUAUAUGCAUUAUAUAUGUAAAAUAUAAUAUAAAAUGCUUUAAUUAUAAUAUAUUGUACAUAUAUAGGAAAUAAAAGUGUGUGUGUGUGUGUGUGUAUAUAUAUAUUGUGGCGAAAGUGACCUCACCACUGGUUUUUGGCAAGGCCUGCUUGCCAGCCUCUUCCCCUGUGACUAUGGCCCCUGGGGUGUAUUGCCUUUUAAAAACACUAUUUGUGCAUAUUGGGACUUAGCACAAUGCCCCUUUAAACAUUCAAAGUGGUCGAAGUGGAACUUCGAACUACCGAACAGCCAGACCACAAACAAGUGGAGUGUGCAGCCAAUUUACCUCCCAGGCUGGGAGUUAAACCGCAGCUAAAUUGACAAAUGGCUGGGUGGUCGCUGUUCAUAUAGUUGAACACGUGGCGGCAGCCAUCUUGUAUAGUCGAACGUGUUCAGCUGUGUUUAGUCAUCGAGUUCAUGGAACUCAAAUUGGACACGCGACGGCACGAACUACGCUGAACUUUACCUUCUCCAGAACUUCGACUCUUCGUUAGGAGUCGAACAGCGUUCGAUAAUUCGAACGGCACUUUGACAUUGACGAUGUGCAUGAAUGGUCCCCGUUUGACUAUUCAUUGAAAAUAGAACUGUUUUGGGCAUGAAAAUGUGCGUGCGGUCGGUCAAAAGAGACUUCCAGGAAUUUCCUGAACCCCUGCUCUGAUCUGUGUGAUUUUUGGAUAUCCAGAUCAGGGCUAUCCAGAGAUGUAUGGGGAUAUGUUGGAGUUUUGGGGUGUUUCUGUACUUUGGGUAAAAAUGUGUGUUUUCUGACUGUGGAUAAUUAAGUUAGUACAUUAGCUUUAUGACUGUAUGUGGGAGUGUUACAGUGCUAAUUAUUGUUCCCAUUGGUUUAUGUUCCUUGUGUCCCUGUUUUCCAUCAGGUCCAGAGGGUGUGCCUCUGGCCUGAAAAACUGUAUAUAUAAUCCAAGCUGUGGCAAUAAACCUUCUGUUCUACUUCACCCUCAAUCUAGAAUCCUGUCUCUUAUUGGGGAAAUCUGCUACAAGGGAUUGCUAUGCUCUUUAUACUCCCUUGAAUAAUCACUAAGCUCCUGUUCCUGCUUCAUUCUCUGGGGAAAGAGAGGUUCACCCACUGGAACCUGGAGCCUCGUUAUAGAUCCAGGGUGGGUAGGAGACGGCGAGACCCCAACCAAGCUGCAGUGGUUCGUGGGGUCUGCAGUGUUUAUGGUGUCAAGUGGAGUGCUUGGAGCCUUCGGGAAGCACUAGGAGCAUCCAUCAACGGAGGUACCCAGUCAGGGUGCCAGGUGAUCCAUUAUAUAUAUAUAUAUAUAUAUAUAUAUGUAUAUGUAUGUAUUAUAUGUAUAUGUGUGUGUAUAUAUAUAUAUAUAUAUAUAUAUAUAUAUAUAUAUAUAUAUAUAUAUAUAUAUAUAUAUAAUGAAAAAAAUGUAUAAAAAAACACGCAAACUUUGGCCAGCGUUUGUGACUAAGUGGCUACUACAAAAGACUGGAAAUACCCCAUUUUUAAUACCCUGGGUUGUCUACAUUUGGAAAUGAUAUGCCAUGAUGGGGUUAUUUCACAUUUCUGGACCACCAUAUUGUCUCAAAAGGCAAAACAGACCCAGCAAACCAAUCUGGCAAUCUCAAUUUGGGCCAUCCCUAUAUUGACCAUGUAACUUUCCAAAACACCAUAAAACCUGUACAUGGUGGGUAUUAUUAUACUCAGGAGAUUUGGCUGAACACAAAUAUGAGUGCCCAAAAGUUUGACAAAGACUGGUGGUAGAAUUAGUGCAUGGAAAGUGUUAAAAUACCACUAUUUGAAAUACCCUAGGGUGUAUUACUUUUCAAAUAUAUAUGGCUUGAUGGGGGUAAAUUACAUUUAAAAAUGUCCCAAAUAGGACAUGGGUGCAUGAUGACCAGCUGCGAAAAUUGCAAGUUGGAAAACUGGAAUGCGCACCCUCCAAAUAAGGUCUUUUCGUCCCCAGAGAACUCGACACACCUAUACUUGGGCGGUAUCACUGUACACGGGAGAUGUUGCUGAAUACAUAUUGGAGUUUUCUUUGGCAGUAACCCUUAAAGUUCUCAGGACAUGUAUUCUUAAAUUGCUAUGUGUGUCAAAAAAUCACCAAUUAUUUUUUAUUUUUUUUAAAUUUGGCAUAGAUUGGUAGUAAAAUGGUUGCAUGAAAAGAAUCAAAAUACCCCAAGUUUAAUACUUUAGGUUGUUUUCUUUUAAAAAAUAUAUACUUGUGAAGGGUUUUUCAGGGAUUCCUGACAGAUAUCAGUGUUCCAAUGUAACGCGUUAAUUUUGAAAAAAAAUUGAUUGUAAAUAGCAAAGUGCUACUUGUACUUAUUGCCAUAUAACUUGCAAAAAAAAAGCUAAUCUCAGGAAAAAAGUUAGAAACUAUUUAGCAAAAAAGAGUGUUUUUUAAAUCUUUUCAUCUUAUUUUAUAAAUGUUUUUAUAGUAAAUCAUAUGAUAUGAUAAAAAUAAUGGUAUCUUUAGAACGACCAUUAAAUGUGGAGAAAAACAGUAUAUAAUAUGUUUGGGUUCAGUAAAUGAGUAAUUGGAAAAUUAUAGCUAAACAAAAACACGGCAGAAAUGUAAAAAAGAGCCCUGGUCCAAACAGUAAGAAAAUUGAAAAGCGGUCUGGUCACUAAGGGGUUCAUUUUAUACACCUUCUUCUGUAUUCUACAUACUACAAGGUUAGCUGUUUCAUGUGCUGUCCAUCAAUAUGUAUAUGUGAUAUGUGCUGCUGAAAACAUGGUGAUCUGGUCACCCUGACCAGGGAGCAAAAUUGGGAUGGAAGGACAGGACCCUAAAUAAGAGACUGUCACAUUGAAAUUGGGACAAAUGGGAGGCCUAUAUGUUUAUUAUUUUUAAUAGUUUUCAGUAUGGUUAGAAGCUUUAGAACUUAUCAAGGUCAAUCUAAUAACAGAAACAUUCUGUUUGAUAGUAAUAUGCAAAAACCUGGGGUGAGAAAAGAAUGAAUGAAGUAUGAAUAGAUACUAUGAACAAGAACAAAACUCUAUUAGUCAUAGUUACUGUUAAUUUAUACAAAAGUUUAAAUGUCAGUGGGACAGAAGCGAGGUAAUUAAAAUAUAAUUUAUGUUUAAUACAGCCUAGAAAGUAUGAGUUCCUAAAUUCACUCCAUAACUUCCAUGAGCUGGAAUAUCAAUUAGGUUAUCUUAGAAACAUGAAAAUCGCUGUUAAAUUCUGUCCCAAUUGCUGCUCAUACCUACAAGAGUGAUGCGCUAAAAUUCCUUGCAGUCAUUAUCUAAUCAUUUUCAAACUUUUACUUUUUUCAUCCUGAAUUUUAACAUAUACUGUAUAAUGUUUCUUAGAAUAUGUGCAUUAAUUCACAGAAUUUUCAUUUUAGCUUUUAUUACUCAGAGAAGUGAUGCCUAGACAUCUGUCUUAGGUCCCCUUACAAGAUAUUCAGCUUUCAUCAGUUUUAGAGAACUAAAGAUUUCUGAACAUUGAGGGAUGCACAAAGACUGAUUUUGGAACUUUUAAAGUGCUAAAUACAGCCAUUUUAUAAUCCAUUGUAUACCAUUGAUAUUGUCUUAUUAACUACUCCACAAAAAGGUCUACUUUGUACAAGAAUAAUUUGGGAAUUUGCAAUCACUUAAGCAUAUUGUUCUGUUUAAAAGGUACAUACAUUUUUUAUUAUUAAUCUCCUCAAUUUACCCAAGAUUAAGAUUAUUGAGAGUUACACUUCCAAGCAUCAACUUUUGUUUGCAGAAGUCCUCCAUUUUAUUUUAGCCCCACUUUCUAUUAUGUUAAUGUGGGAGUUGACCAGGCAGAAAUGCUGUGAUAUCAGGAAAGGCGCAAAUGGUGGCAGCUGCAAAUAGUGGGUCAUUCCAGGGAAUAUAACUCCAGUCUCUCUUUUAAAAUUAAAGGACUGCUAGCCCUUACCUUAUUUUUUUUAAAUAAAUUGUGCAGACUAAAAGAUAACUUAUGAGAAUAUAACCCCUUUAGGAUUUUUGGGAGAAAAUUAAGAUUUGAAAAUGUACUAUCAGGAAUGUUUGAGAUUAUGCAAAGGUAUUUCAGAGAUUGAUAUCUCCAUAUCACUUUCAGCAAAAUUAUUUAGUUUUUUUUUACCAUAUACUGCCAACAUCAAUUAUUAUUUGCACUUGUAUUACCGUGUACCUCUUCAUUGCCUGGACUUCACAAAACUAUGUAAUAUUUAACUAACAAUUAUUUUCUAGUGUCUGCCACUCUGUAAUUAAGUGGCCGAUCAAUUUCAUGGAUAUCUACUACCACUCUGUUUUAAUUAUAUGUAUGCUUUUAUAAUUGAUAAAGGUCUAGUAUUUAACGUAUUAUCCGUGUUCACAAUCACAGCUAAGACUUUUAAUAUUGAUGUAGCACUGUGAACAAAAGAAUAAAAAACAGUCAGUUUUUGUAAGUGCACAGUUUGAGGAAAAAAAAGUAGAGGCCAAAGUUGAAGUGGUUUAUGAAUGCAUUUAUUCACCAUAAUCAUAAGUCUAAUAAUAAGGUAAUAGCUAGGGUUAAUAUAGAGUUUCAGUAUACAUAAUAAUUUAGUUUGAAUGUGUGGUGCAGCACCUACUUAGUUGUUUAACUAUUAAAGGGUCACUAUAGGCACCAAAACAGCUUUACCUGAAUAAAGCAGAUUCGGUGUACAGAUGAUGCCCCUGCAGUCUCACUUCUCAAUUCUGCCAUUUAGGAGUUUUGGUGCCUAUAGUGACCCUUUAAUAGUUAAACAACUAAGUAGGUGCUGCACCACACAUUCAAACUAAAUUUAGGCUUGCCUUUAUUUAUUUAAAUAAUCUUUAGUGUUUAGCUAAAAUUUACAAAUUAAGAAAAUGACCAUAUAUAUCAGACGUACACACACCUAUUGUACUCACAAAAAUUGCUGUGAUACUUUUUACUGUUUUGAAACACAAAUAUUUGAGUUCAGUGAAGUCUCCCGAGUACAACAGUGCCCCUCAUGUACAGGUUUUAUGGUGUUUUCAAAAGUUACAGCGUCAAAUAUAAGGCUUGUGUUUCAUUUUUUUCACAUUAAAAUUCGACAGAUUGGUUCCGUUGCCUUUGAGACCAUAUGGUAGCCCAAUAAUGAAAAUUACCCCUAUGAUGGCAUACCAUUUGCAAUAGUAGACAACCCAAGUUAUUGCAAAUGGGUUAUGUCCACUCUUUUUUGGUAGCCACUUAGUCACAAACACUGGCCAAAAUUUUCAUUUUUUGAAUUUUUCCCACACAAACAAAUAUUAACGCUAACUUUGGCCAGUGUUUGUGACCAAAUGGCUACUAAAAAAGACUGGACAUACCCCAUUUACAAUACCUUGGGUUGUCUACUAUUGCAAAUGGUAUGCCAUUAUGGGUGUAAAUUUCAUUCCUGGGCUACUAUACAGUCCCAAAGGCAACGUAACCAAUCUGGCGAAUUUGAAUUUCAAAUGUAACGUGCUAUAUUUGACCCUGUAACUUCCCAAAACACCAUAAAACCUGUACAUAGGGGGUACUGUUUUACACAUGAGACUUUGCUGAAUACAAAUAUGUGUAUUUUAUUGCAGUAAAAGCAAACAGUAUUAUGACAUUGACAGUUAAAAUGUCAUGUAGAACUAAAAAAAUAAAAAAAAUCUUAUUUUCUCCCAUUUUUUUCAUAUUAAAUGUUUCAUAGCUAAAUAUUUGAUAUUAAAUGAAAGCCCUGUUUCCCCUGAAUAAAAUUAUAUAUAAUAAGUGUGGGUGCAUUUAAUAUGAAAGAGGUGAAAUAUGGUUGGACAGACAUGGUGCGCCACAUGUUUUGUUCACAACGUGUACAUUUGGCUCAGUCCUUAAGGGGUUAAGUAUUCUGUCAAAGCAAUAACAAUCUGUGCACAUCACAAAAGAUAAACACCAAACUGUAACACCAUACUGAAAAACGGCACAUCCUGUAACUGGAUCAUAGAUAUAUGGCAGUAAUAACUGGGUAAAGUAACAAAUUAUAUGGUAAACUUGUAUCCAAUUUAGAUUCUCUAAGUAAGGGGGUGUGUCCAACGUGCAUUUGCAGACAAGUUUGUAAAAGCACAGCACAAAAGAAAAUGAGAGGUUUAAGAAAGCAAAUGCUAUAAGUACAUUGUAACAAAAACAGUAAUUAAUUACAGUAAUCUUUCAUUUGUGUUUCCUUUUUGUUAUCUGAGCAAUAUAAUCUAGAGAGAUUGAAAAUUUUGUUACUGAUGUCAAGCAAUGGUUGUUAGAAAACAAUGGAAAUGGAGACAUAAGGUUUAUAUGCAUCCCCCACAUAUAUUGUAUACUACUGCACAUGUGUGUGAGAAUAUAUAUAUAUAUAUAUAUAUAUAUAUAUUUAAUAUACACUAUAAUAUACGAUAGAUAAAUAGAUAGAUAUUAUGUAUGUGUUUAUUUGAAUAUAUACAUUGAAAUAUCUGGUUACAUUGAAAUAUAAUAUAUAUACAUUGAAAUAUCUAGUGUACAUGGACAUGUCAUGCAUCUUUGUGACUACGUAGAACUACAUGUAUAGUUUUAAUCUGCAUUUCCAGGAGGACUGAGGGAUAAUAACAAUGUGGUUUUCUCCCUCUCUAUCAUGCUCCCUCACAGUUGCCACAAUUCCCAGUACAGCCACAUCACAGAGUAGUGACUAGUCUUAGAUGUGGCUGUGCUGUGAAUUGUGGGAACUUCGAGGGAGCAUGAUAGCGAGGGAGAAAACCACAUUGCUUUCAGUGCUCUCCCAGAGCCACAACUCCUCCAGACCAGGGGAGCUCCAGAACAGGACCAUCAGGCAGAGGCAGCCCCCAGGGCCCACACAGUGGGCAAAAGUUCAAAUGGCCACCAAAGUGAGAGUGGGGGCUGCUACCACUCCCCUGAGGCCCUCAUCUCUGACUUAGAGAGGCCAGAGGCAGAGGUUUGGAGGUGCAGCAUGCAAGGAAGAUUGAAGAAAAAAAGAAGUCAUAGAGGUGGGACAGGCUCACGAGGAAUUGGAUGCACAGUCAGAAAAUACAAAACAGUGAGCAACAUGGUUUUUAUUAUUUUCAUCACACAAACUAGGCACUCUUAAACACACACAGAUACACAGACACAUUUGCAUACAUAGACACUUACACAGGUAGAGUAUGGACAAAAGAAUCUAGGGCCUUAAUUUAUUUGUCAUAUAUAUAUCUGUGGAUUUUUAAAAUUAUUUUUGCUAUUCUCCUAUGUGACAGUACCCAAAAAACUUAUUUCACCAAGAUUAACCCUUUACCCACCACUUGACGGUCUAUGCCAUCAUGCAGUGCAGGUCCUCAUGACGGGAAAGCAGAUAUAAAAUCCAGGUACACACAGAGACUUGUGCACAUGCCAUACAUGUACCUUUCCACUGUGAUGCCCUGAUUGAGAGCUGGGUAUAUAGGAACCCUUUGCAGCACUACCCUCUGCAGCGCUGAAACCCUGCAAUGGCUCACAAGUGGUGAUGGUGCAUGAAGUGCCCCUUGAAAACUCUCUGGAUUCUAGUAUUGGUAUCCAGUAAGGUAAAACAUAGUGCACUAAAUAGGAGGAAAGAAAGCUUUCAAUAUAUACAAUAUAUACAUUUUGCUAAUACAAUGUACAGAUAGAAGCUGUAACUGAUGUCAUUCUGACAGUAAUACUUUAUAUAUAAUGCAUAUAUAUUGUACAUGUAUAUAUACAUAGUACGCACAGAAUUUUCACAAUAUAUAACAUAUAUUUAAUGAGCAUAUAUGUAAAAAGAGCACACUUAUAGGACUUCAAAAUAAACAAGAUAACAUGACAGUUGUGCAAUGGUAUACAUUCACAAUUUCAGUCCCAUUACCAAACUUUCCUUAAUAUGUCAAGGUAGUUGGACUGAAACACGUCUGCUUAAAAUAAAUUUGCUUUCUUUAACAUUAGAAUAAUAGGUUUCAAUAACAGUUUUUUUUUUUUUUAAAUCACUGUUUAGUGAAUAUAACCCAAAUAUAAACAUAAAUGUUUUUAACCCCUUCCCGACCCAGGACAGUUCAGGACCGUCAUCGGCAUUUUUGGCUUGCCGACCGAUGACGGUCCUGAACCGUCCUAACAGUCUGAGCUACUUACCUGAUCGCCGUCGUUCCCCCGGCGGCGAUCAGCGUGGCUCCGGUUGUGGGGAGACUGCCUGCAGCCCAGACAGUCUCCCCACACUGAAUUAGGACCCCUGUGGCCAUGUGAUCGCUUAACAGAGCGAUCACAUGGUCACAAUAGGUGUCCAUGUCUCUGCCUGCAGGGGGACUGCCUGUGCUGACAGGCAGUCUCCCUGCUAGUGUAAAAUCAAUAAAAAAAAUAAAGUUAAUGUUAAUAAAAAAAAUAAUAAUAAUUUUUAAAUAUGUCUAUAUAGCAUAUAUAUAAUGCCAUACUAAGUGUAUUUUUAUAUUAUUAUGUACUUAUAUUAAUAUAAAAAUACACUUAUAAUUAAAUUACACAUGUAUAUAUAUAAUAUAUAUAAUAACUAUAUAUAUUGUAUAUAUAUAUUAUUAUAAAAUAUAAAUAAUUAAUUUAAAUUAAAUAAAAAAUUUUUCAAUAAUAAUAAAAAAAAUUUAAAAAAUUAUAUAGCUAUAUGAAAUUUUAUUCUAACUGUAUUUUAAAAUUAAUAUAUAUAUAUAUAUAUAUUUAUAUCAAAAUACACUUAGAAUGAAUUUGUAUAUAUAUCUAUGUAUAUAAAAAUAAAUAAAAAUAAUAAGAAAUAUACAUAUGUCCAUAUACAAAAUUACAUAAAUAAUUAUAUAAAUAUACACAUAGACUUCAAAUAUAUAAAUAUGCAUAUAUAUUUAAAUUCUACGUGCGUAUUUAUGUAAUAUUUUUACAUAAUUCAGUAAUUUUAUUGAUUGCAAUUUGAGGGACCUGCCUGCCAACCCAGGCCGAAAUUCCAGAGAAUUUAAUUUGCUAGCACUGUAUUUUACCCUGUAACGUUCUACGACACCCUAAAACCUGUACAUGGGGGGUACUGUUUUACUCGGGAGACUUCGCUGAACACAAAUAUUAGUGAUUCAAAACAGUAAAACAUAUCACAGCGAUGAUAUUGUCAGUGAAAGUGACUUUUUUUGCAUUUUUCACACACAAACAGCACUUUUACUGAUGAUAUAAUUGUUGUGAUACAUUUUCCAGUUUUUAAACACUAAUAUUUGUGUUCAGCGAUGUCUCCCGAGUAAAACAGUACCCCCCAUGUACAGGUUUUAUAGCAUUUUUGAAAGUUACAAGGUCAAAUAUAUGGGUCAAAUAUUUUUACAUUGAAAAUGGCCAGGUUGGUUACGUUGCCUUUGAGAGCGUAUGGUAGCCCAGGAAUGAGAAUUACCCCCAUGAUGGCAUACCAUUUGCAAAAGAAGACAACCCAAGGUAUUGCAAAUGGGGUAUGUCCAGUCUUUUUUAGUAACCACUUGGUCACAAACACUGGCCAAAAUUAGCGUUCAAUUUAGUUUUUUUACUUUUUUCACACACAAACAAAUAUGAAUGCUUACUUUGGCCAGUGUUUUCGACUAAGUGGCUACUAAAAAAGACUGGACAUACCCCAUAUUGAAUACCCUGGGUUGUCUACUUUAAAAAAAAUAUGUACAUGUGGGGUGUUAUUCAGAGAUUUAUGACAGAUAAUAGUGUUACAAUGUCACAAUUGAUAAAUUUUAAAAAUGUAUGUUUUGAAACCGCAAUAUCCUACUUGUACCUAUAGCCCUAUAACAUGCAAAAAAAAAGCAAAAAAGCACGUAAACACUAGGUAUUUUUAAACUCAGGACAAAAUUUUGAAUCUAUUUAGCAGUUUUUUUCAUUCGCUUUUGUAGAUGAGUAAAAGAUUUUUCAAGUAAAAGUCAAAAAACAUGUAUUUUUUUCAAUUUUUCAUCAUAUUUUUUUUAAAUUAAAAUACAUGAGAUUAUAUAAAUAAUGGUAUGUAAAGAAAGCCCCUUUUGUCCUGAAAAAAACAAUAUAUAUAAUUUGUAUGGGAACAGUAAAUGAGAGAGCGGAAAAUUACAGCCAAACACAAACACCACAAAAGUGUAAAAAUAUGCCUGGUCGCAAAUGUACAACAUCGCAAAAACAGUCCAGUCCUUAAGGGGUUAAUGCUUGCCUACUUUGUCCUAUGUGCCAUUACAGUGAUAAUCUAUUUCAAGGUAUAUCAGACUGACCCUAUCCAUAAUGUAAGGCCAGAACCUAAAUGUCGACAAGUUAUUUCUGCACAUGAGAUACAGCAACCCGGGAUGAUCAUUGCGGCCUUCUUCAUGACCUCUAGGCAUGGAGUCCAUGUCUGGAUUAGCCUUUUAAUUUAGGGAGAGCCAAGUUAUUGAAGUCAACAAAUACCGAGAACAUGUGAACACAGAAAACAGACAAAAGCUUAGAGAAACUCAGUUGCUUGUCCUUCAAUACAUUAACUAGGCAAUGCAUUAAUUUGUCUCUCUACAAGUUAAAAGGGUAAGCCAGAUGUGGACCCCAUACUCAUCAGUAUCAUAAGAAGUGAAUCUUUAAUUCUGUAUUAAAAUAAACAGUUUAAACGAUAUGUGUCAAAGCAGCUUUUAUUUCAUUCUAAAUAUGCUCUAAAUAUACUACAUUCUUGAUAGGCACAUUGACUUUGAUCUACAACCUUUGACCAAAUUAAAGGUUUAAUACAUUUGACAGCAGAAUUAUCUUGCAUGUAAGAAUAUAAACAAACUUUGGGAAGCGAUGGGGAGGAGUUAGGAAUUUAAAGGGAUGCGCCAAACACUAUAAUCAUAAGUUAAGUUCUCACAUGCCAUAGCCAUGAACUGCAUGAUCAUGCUGUAAAACAAGCAACUAAGAACUCUGUGAUAGUAUGAUUCACAGCUAUAACAGCGUAGGUCAAAAUUAUAUUUAUAUUGCUUAUAGUGCUAAAUUAUCAAAGUUGUAAAGUGUUAGCUCCAAUGCAUGCUUACUUUGAGCAGGAAAUGAGUAAGCUGUAUUUCAAUAAAUAUGCAUGGUAUUUCAAUAGAAAGGCAUGGUAAAGAUUUUAUCAAAUCAAAUCAAAACAAAACCGCUUGACAAAAAAAAUAAAAAAGAGGGCUUGUAAAUAUUGCUUUAAUUAUACAUAACCACAAUAAGGUAACAUAUUAGUGUCUAAUUUAAUAGCAUCUAAGAAAUGCUACAUAGGGACUGACUUUUAAAAGGAACACCAUUAUUUUAACUAUUUAGUAGAUUUGCCCCCUUUCCCAAGUAGCUGAACUCCAGCUUAUUGAAAAGGGGGAAGGCAGAUCUGCUCUAGCCCAGAGAGCCUAGCUAAUGCAUGUGGAACAAAACCUCCAUGUCUGUCUAUUUGUCAAUGAAAAUUAGAUGUAAGACAGCAAACAUGUAAUGCCUUUAAGAAUUCUCCUGAAAUAAAAUGAGGGUUGCAGCCUCCGAAUAUUCAAAGUAGUAGGGCAACAUGGGCCAUCUGCACUUUGUAAACAUUUACAGAGCAGUCCACAGGGUGGAAGCUAUAAGGACAAAUGUUUUAAAGGACACAAAAUAGGGUUUGUGCAUGUAUUAUGACCUAACAAUUUAGAUUAUCUCUGAUUUUCUCCUAAUGUGACAAGUAUGUGGAAAGAUUGUCAGAAGGUCUGAUUUUAAUUAAACACAUGGAAUGGGUAGAAAUUAUUUUUGAAAUCAUAACUCGUAGUUUCCAAAUCUACUCAGAGAAUACAAAUUAACUCCUUUGAUGACUCUACAUGUUCUCAGCAAGGGCUUGAGAGUUAUCGGAGACCGUUUUUGAGAAGUGAUCUCAAUUACCCUUUUCAACCUUAAAUGAUAAAUAUAUUUCUUCAAAUAUUUUCAAAUUAUUGUACUAAUAAUACAGAAUCAAAUAAUAAAAAAAAUAUUUUUCACUGUUACUUAAUUUCUUCCUGUUUUUAAGUCAUAUGUAUACAUAUUUAUUUUGCAUCAGUUUAACUUGGAUUGGACAGGCUGUGGAAAAGUUAAUAACAAUUAUGAGAAAAUUUUUGCCUAUAUAGGCAGACUCACUCAUGCUACCCCACUUGUGGAAAAAAAAACACCUCUAUCGGACCACUAUUUCAUACCAGACAGUAUGAAACAUGAUAACUGAAUCCAAUCAUUACAAUCAGGGUUAUUCACUCAAGUUUAAACAGGGCAAACAACAAGGUUAUUCAGACUGCAAAAUACAGACAUUGUUCAAGGAUUUUAAAAAAAUGCCCCGAUUUUGAUCUGGAUUUCAGCUGGAAGGAAUGCAGCUGGAUGGAUGAAAACCAGACCAAACAAAUCAAUUCUGGGCUUGGAUUAAAAAAAAAAUCAGUGCUAGAAGCCAGCAGAUAAUUAGUUAAACAUCCUUGGUGACAUUAGGGUUAAUUAUAGGGUGGACCUCACAUAAAAGUAAAAUAAAUAAAAAUCCUACGUAGGCCACUAAGACCCCUAUGUUAGUAUAAUUGAGCUUUUCAAUCUACAUAUGCACCCACCUGCAAUGUGGCAGGUGGGGGCAUGUCUAAUAAAGGUUUACAAAGUCGCUAGAAAAGGCCCCAUCACAUGUUACAAAUCUAACUUUUCUCAGGACUUGGCUCUCAGAGUGCUGUGAUUGGGUGGCUUACAAGCCAACCAAUUAAUGAGCUUUUAGUCAUAUUGCAAAGCGUGGCAAAUUUACCUACACUUAUGAUAGCUGACAUAGUGUUUCAAGCACUAUGAGGGACUUCCCUGCUUUCAGUGCUGAAUUUGUGGCAAGCCCACCGUGGGUGAAUAUGAAUUAAUUUUUGUUACGGCACGGUUUCUAUUUAUUCCAGCAUUAUGUUUUGUUUAUUUGUGAUCUGACCUUUUUCCUUAUAUUAAGCACGUACGUUGUGAAUUCUGGAUUUUAGUUUGACCUUUUCUGGGGCAGAAGAACAGAAUAACUAAAAAUAGAAGCUAUUGGAAAGAAGUAUUUUUUCCCCAACAGGUAUUAGUUAAAUUGACCACACUAUUAUUAGGAUUAGAGGAAUUAGGUAGGAUAAUGUAUUCUGAUUAGUGAAUUGGGGACCCCUGGCCACCCAUGGGGUGGGGAGACAUGCCAUUAUUUGAUGGCAUGUCUACCCCCUAUUUUAUAAUAAAUUAGGGCCUGCGUGGGUGGAGGCCUAAGGGGCAUUUGCCCUUCUUUCACUUGUAAAAUGAGGACGCCCACAUGUUGCCUAUGAGUGGAGACAUUAGGUCCUCCCUCUUUUACUGUUAAUAUUAACAUCAAAAUUUGAAGUUAAUUUUAAAUUUAAGGACAAAAUAGCCAGAAUUGUGUCUCUUUAAAAGAUUCCCUAACAACAUGUCAAAGAUUUGUAAGAUCACAGUAAUGGCAUUGAGGAGCGCCUAACUAUUAAGUCUACUAGAUCGACUAAUAAAUAAUUGGUACAAAGUCACAUCAGAAUGAAUGAAGUAUGGAGUAUGAAUGCUUAGUUGAAUGAUUGUAGUCACUAAUUUAAUGGACAUUUUUAAUAAUAAAGGAAAGAAUAAAUAGAAAGAGAAAAAGAAAAAUAUUUUUUUUUUUUGUGUAAUUUGAAAAUGGUGAAUAAAGCAAUAGAUAUAGAAAGAGAAAACGAGAAAUAAAUGAUGAAAAAGGUAUAUCCUUGAACAAGUUUAUUAUAUACCAAUCUGAAAUAUAUAUACUAUAUAUACUAUAAAAAAUUAUAGUAGGCCAUGUACUUAUAGCCACGUGUAAUUGUAUUCUUAAUAUUAGAAAUCAGAUAAUAUUCCUUCUAUUAAAGAGGUGUUGAAUUUAGUAUUAGAAAACAAAUCAUGUGAGCUACUACUUAAUACUAAUGAAUGAUAACCUUUUUUUCUGGAAAACCUGGGAAGAUUACAUAUGUAAAGUAUAUUUACUCUAAUUAUGGCUAUACUCAUAUAUUUGUUUAUGUAAGUUUUUUUAAGUUUAUCUAACUUGUCAACAUGUUGUAAUACAUUAGUGAAUGUAUUUGGUACGAUGACCAUGAUUUGUAACAUACUUUAGAGAACGUUAUCACUCAUACUCUAAAGUAACACUCACAGCUGUUAUUCUGAUACAAUCAAUGCAAAGUUAUUUUGUUGAUGUGCACAUAUUAUCUUAUCUGAGGUAUUUCUCUGUUUUUUUUAAAAUAAUUUAAUUAUUAUGUUUCAUUUUUAUUUUGUUACAUGAAAUGUUUAAAAAAUUUAUUAAAAAAUAUUUGAAAGAAAAAAAAUAGCCCACAAAAUUGACUUGGAAAUGUUUCUCAAUUUUAACUAUUGCCAUAGAUUUUCUUCUAGUGUCCAUUUCCACAUAACAUGAAGUCACCUGCUCAAAUUAUUAAUUUUACAUGUUGGUCUGAUAUCUGCUAGCUGACUUGCUAACAGAAUUAAAACAAGUUGACUAUUUGUCCACUAAUAUCAGUCAAUAGGACUAAAAUUGUCGCAUUCUUGGUUAAUAAUUGAUAUCACUUAUUAAACCAUAGUUUAGUUGUUUAGCUCUUUUUUUCUGAAAAAAAUGUCAAAACCAUGUUUUUUUUUUCUCCAAGCACUAGCAGUAUAAUUUUUAAAGUCUGCAGUAUAAACUUGUUGUUUAUGUAGACUAAUUGUUUAUGUACUUUCAGUUGUACGUUUUUUGUUUACAGUAAAUAAUAAAGCACACCACAUUUGUAGAUGUUCAAAAAAAUAUUGAUUGUAGCUGAAUUUUGUAAAAAAUGAUAAAAGGAUUGUCCUUAUUUCACAAAUUGUACAAAAAAAUUCCUCAUUACGGAUCAACAGUGGUGUUACUGGCAUUGAAAGGUAUAAAGCUGUCAUUUGUCUGGGGGGAAAAGCAAUUACUUAUUGAAAUGCUGCUUUUGUUUGGAAUGUGGUGAUCUAGCAUGAAUUUGAAAAGCAGCUCUAUUUGGUUUUUAACAUUACACUGUAUUCCCAUUAUACUGAGAUACCAUAAAAUUGAGGAGCACAGUUUGGUACCUUUUAAGAUAAGUGAAAGAAUUAUGUUAUUUACUUUUUCAAAAAUGUAUUGUCCGUGUCCUGUUACAGAAAGGAAUUAUGCUAAUAUGUGAACAGUAGCUUGGCAGGAAAAAGAAAUGAAAAAAAUAUACAUAGUUGCCAACAUUUUUGGUUUGAUCUGGACUUAUGUCCUACUGGCCCAUUGUUUCCACCAAUGUCCUUAUUUCCCUAAACUGCAAAUUUGCAUUAGGGAUUUUCACAAGUGCAAUAUUCGUUUUACAAUGCAAUGCAAAGAUAUAAUAAAGCACAUUCGAUGAUGCAUAAAAUAUUCAAUAGAUACAAUAAAAGUCACCUACCAUACCUGCCCUAAAUGAUGUCUAUGUAAAAAGUACUUAUUCACCAUGCUCUUCUCUAAUAUAAUAUUCUAUCCAUCCCCUACUGCAAGGUUAGAACAAAGGGGAUUAUUUAUAAUUCCCCAAUUAUUAUUGGAUUUCAGAGGACUCCACAUCAUUUUUAUUUCCCUGAGCGAAGAAUUAAUAUACAUGAUAAUAAAUGUAAUAAUGACACCAAUUUAAAGUAUAUUAGAAUUUUUACAAUUUAAUUUCCUUUAAUAGUUUUGAUAUGUGUCAUAAAAUAGUACAAGUGCAAUCAUUUUAUCUUUCCAAAUAUAUACAAAAUAGUUUAUUAUCAUUAAAGGGACACUAUAGUCACCCAGAACACUUCAGCUCAAUGAAGUGGUCUGGGUGUCAGGUUCCUCAGGUUUUAACGCUUCAGAUGCAAACAUUGCAGUUUCAGAGAAACUGUUAUGUUUACAUUUGGGGUUAAUCCAGCCUCUAGCGGCUGUCUUCCGAACAGCCACUAGAGGCGCAUCUGCGACACUGGAUGCGAAUUUCACAUUCAUCGCGCAGAGCGUCCAUAGGAAAGCAUUGAGAAAUGCUUUCCUAUAGAUUCUUUGAAUGCGCGUGCGGCACUUGCCGCGCAUGCGCAUUCCGCUCCACUGGUGAAUUUCAAUUAAAGGAACAAUAUAGUGUUAGAAAUACAAACAUGUAGUUUAAUCUAACUAUUUAGGUAAUCUUCCCCUAUACCAGUAAGGGUGAGAUUUACUUACCUGAGAGUCUAGUAAACAUGCUUGGCAAAACACAACAUCAAUCAAAUUCUGCUCUACAGUUUUAGCAUUAUUUGUAUUCAUUUUUACAUACAUCAAAACAGCAUGUUGUUGUAAAGCUACAGUGAUCAAAUCUGUUAAUCAUUAGCAUAUUAACUUUAUAACAGGCAGAGUUUAAAAAUAUAGAAAACAGGCAAUUAUAUGCACUAACUAUAAAGAAAAUAUGGGCUGCAGUGGGUCACCCAAAGAUUCCCACACAAAGAACAAAAACAAAGGAUGCACAACACCAGAAGAAUACCUUAAAGUGCACUUUUGUACCUUAAAGGACCACUAUAGUGCCAGGAAAACAUACUCGUGGUGUCCUCUGUUUCCGAGUGGAUUUAGGGUGUUGCAGGCGUGGUGGAGGGCUGUCAAGUGAAUCCCCUUCCUCAGAGGGCAGUGGGGACACUUUGCGAUGAAUCGUGGCCUGCAUUGCGCCAGGUGACUGCAGCACUUGGCUGAUGUCAUGCUGUAGCUUUGGGGUGUGUGGGAGCGGUUUUUGAGACCUGCAUCCCAUCUCACCUGUCUUUUGCUGGCUAGAUUGAAAGUCUUCUGAGCCAAGUAUGUUCCACGGGAAGAUUCCUUCAGCUAUAUCUUGCUGCGGUCCGCCCGUGCAGUAGGCCUUGCUGUCUCAGGGUUGAUUUUUGGAGCCUGGUGUCAGAAAAAAUGUCAUCAGUGGGAUGCUCUGGAGGUGAUGGCAGUGUGUGGGGCUGGGGACACUGCAGAAUGCCUCCAAUUUGUGCGGAUUAGAGAAGGUGGCUCAGGAGCUCGAGUAAAGCAUGUCUGCACCGUUGUGGUGUCAGGCUCCUCCCCCCUUCAUGCACAUUCUUAACUUAAAUCUCAAAUAUACCUGUGUCAGAUACCUCAUGAGGAUUUGAAUAGUUAAAGUUAAACUACUGUAGCAGAGUAGUAGGGGUUAAUCCACAGUAUCUCCACUGGUAGUCAGGAUAAGCAGGUAAAACACAGGUAGCGUAAUAAUAAUCCUUUCCUCCCAAGAGCUAGAUGACAUAUAGCUUGGAGGUCAACUGAGCUUUUAUUCACAGGUCACGAUAUUUAUGCAGUUCCCCAUCUAAGUGGUUUACAAACUGGCAUCACAGGGGCUUUAAUCCAGGGGACUGUGUGGGAAACUGACCCUGCAAGGUCUUUUCCCAUCAGGCCAUGCUGUACAGGAGAGAUAAUUGUGUAAUAAUGUACUGCUAACCACAUUAUCUCUCCAUACAGUAAAACAUACCAUUAUACAUUAAAAUCCAUAACUUGUAAAAUAGUGAGUGGAAUUAGUCGAAUGGCCCUUUAUUUUAUGAAUACCAAUCAAAGGUUGCCUCUUUUUACAGAGGAGUGUGUAUAACAAAAGUGCUCAAAAGAGUCAAAAAGUGAUUUACAGGCAAAAACUUACACCGCACCAAUAUCGACCCUUUAUUUUAUAGCUGGGAUCUGAGUGCACUGUCUGGUGAAUUACCGCUCAUAUCCCUGCAGAAUAAUAAACGCCAUACGAAAUACACUUUAGGUGAACAGACACUGUACUUGGAGAAUACACGAAAAACUUUAAUCUACCAAUAUAAUUAUUUACACUAACGGCCUGGAAGUCCAGCGGUGUUCGGUAAGUCGAGUAGCCGAUUUUAGUUCCAGGCACUCGAUGACCAAACACCGCUGUGCUUUCGUGGACAAAGAUGGCCGCCGCAACGUGUUUUGUAUACGAACGGAGACCACCCACGAAACCAUUAAUAAACUGGAGAUACAUUGUUGCAGUAGUUAAUGGGAGACACACAACCCCCGUUGUGUGGUCUCCCAUUCAGCAGUUGGUUCGUUUCAUGAACUGUGUUUGAAAAUCACUGUUCAUGGAACUCCAAGCAGAACGCUGGUGGCAUUCGUAUGCAGCAAGCAUACAAAUGCCUUAUACAUAUACAUGCAAUAAAAGGGAAAAUAAAUGAAAAAUUAAACGUUUUACCCACAUAUAUUUCUUAAGUGGCUGGUUUUGCCACAACUACCAUUUUUCAAGUUUUUUUAUAUUAUGUUUACUUAUCGCCUAUGUUUGACAAUUGUGUGGGUACAAAAUAAAAUUAAAAUGUAGAAAUUAGCAAAUCUCCAUCCAAGUGGACAUCUUCCUCUUGGCUUCUUCUCAACUAUUGUUAUAAGCGCUGUCCUUUGCACCUGACAGUCAUUAUAGAGAAAACAGAUAAUUUCUCAGUUUUUUUUCCUGCUCAUUUGCAAUGUAUGCCCUAGCAAAGCCUUGUCUGAACUAGAUUGUGAGGUAAUUUGAAAACAAACACACAAAUAUAAAGUCAUAAAAGCUUUGUGUGCAUUAUUUUCUGUUAAAUGUAAACAUAUGCGACACAAAAAUAUAUAUAUUUCCAAUAACACCAAUUAAAAUCAACAAAUAUAUCUGAAAAUAAUAAAAAGCUUCACUGUGUGGUACGUACACCCACCCCAGUGAAUACACAGUGGAGUGCUGAAAAAUAUUUCCACUUACCCUCGCUAUAUGGGUGAGGUAUAUUAUCCUAUAAUGAAAAAUAGUAACAUAAAGUAGUAUAUCCAGUAUAGUGUACAUGACCGUGUAUAUAGAGUGUACACUCACAUGUAGCUGAGCCACACUUAAGUUGUUGUGUACUAUGGUGACACUGUCCCUCUUCCUCUGAGUUAGUGUGGACACAUACACCCUUCUUUGUAGCAGGAACAAGGCAGUGGAGACUCCAAGUGGGAUAAAAUUAUCUAGGUUUAUUAUAAUAUACUAAAACAAAACAAAUGUAUAUAAACUAUAAAAACUUUCCAAAGUUUCACAUGUAAAUAGCUAGAUAAUUUACACAUUUAAAAGAAAACUUAACACGUUAGGAAAAGAAAUGCAGGUUGCAGACGAUUAUAUAUUAGUUUGUUUUUUUUGUUUUUUUUAAUGGUGCAGUUUCCAGAGAAGUGACAAUUCCCUAUUACUUUAGUAACCUAAGUUACUUUUCUUGAGAAUAAUAGGUUUCUACUUUUCGUAAUUGUAUUAUAUUAAGUGAUGGUUAACUAUGUUGCUAUUUUUUUAUUUCCUUAAUCCCCUUCAAUAAUUCCCUAUAUUAUAUUUCCAACAUGGCCGGAAAGUCUCAGCAAUGGCAUGCAAAUUAAGUUUUACUAUCAAAUCACUUCGAUUUCUGUUACAUGCAGGGAUAUAGACUUUUAAACUUUAACUGGCAGCAAAGCAACCGGCACAGCUAAUCACAGAUUGCUGUUGCAGUCGUGCUGUUGCCAAAUAAUAUUAUAAAUCAAAGUUUUACAAUAAUCUUCAAUUUCACGGAACAAUAGUUUUCAUUUAUUCAGAAGCACUUCCUCAACAUUUCUCAAUUUGUAUCAGUGCAGAUGUUCUAAUCAUAAAUAUAAUAAUAACCAUGUAUUUUUCGGCAUGUGCUUUUACCAAAAUCAUUUGCUCAUUAAAAUGUUCUUUUGGAUUUAUUAAAAUAUUUUAUUGAAAAGCAAACACAUCUGAAAUUGGCUUUCCUUUUUAGCAUUAUUUGUAUUCAUUUUAACAUACAUCAAAAUAGCAUGUUGUAAGAUUAAAAAUAUCAAAUCUACUAAUCUUUAGUAUGUUAACUUUAUAAGAGGCAUGAUUUAAAAUGAAGGGCAGAGGUUAUAUUAACAAUUAUUUCAAAUAUUAUGACAAAUAUUAUAAUACACAAGGUCUAGCACAAGUAUUCACACUCAUUAAAUUACAUGUUAUGUGUUACAAGCUGGAAUUAAAAUGGAUUGCAUUGAGAUUUUUAACAUUUAAUUUACACAACCUGCACAACACUUUGAAAGUGAAAAAUGUGUUUUAGCACAAAUGUAAAGUAGUUUUUUUGUAUAAGCAUUCACUCUCUUGCUUUGAGACCUCUAAAGUAUCAGUGCCCCAACCAACUGUCAUCAAAUGACGUCUAAAUAGUGGAACAGUGUGUAGUUGCAUAAUUAAAGUAUUGUCUGAUAUCAAAAUAUAUACCUGUGAUUCUAUAAGGCCACAUAUUUAGUUUGAUAACAUAUCUAAGCAAAUGGCAUGACAAACACCAAUACUCUGUUAAAACAAGUCAAGAAAGUAAUUCAGUAAUAAUUCCAGUCAGUAGACUGGUACUUCUACUGACUAGUAGAAGCACCAAGGCUCCAGUAGAUUUGAUUAUUUAAAAAAAAAAAAAAACAUGACAAAUAAAGUCUUCUGACUUUUAAAAUCAAUUGACUAUUGAAAUUGGGCAUUUGAUGGAGAAGAAACAAACUAAUGUUAAUCAAGUUGCUUGAGAGAUCCAGCAGUUAUAACUUAUAUGCAACAAAGUGUGUUUUCAUGGAUGUAUGAUGAAAAUCAAAUCCCAACUGGAGUUUACCAAAAGCCAUGUGGGAGGCACAACAAAUGCAGAAAAUGUUGAUGUGGUAGUAUCAAAAUGUAACUAUCUGGCUUUAGUGCAAGACACUGGCUAUGGAGCAGAGCCAACACUGAGAACAUCAAACCAAUGGUAAAGAAUGGCUGAGGUGGAUGUUCACCGUUCAAUAACAUAAUACAUGUACACACACAGCGGGAGCUACAUUGGAUUACCUUAAAAUUCAGGACCUGGAGAACCUUAGGAUUAUCUAGUCAAAAACCCAGAUGUCUAUCCAAAAACUGUGGAACGAUUUAACAUUUUAUGUUAAACAAAUUGUUCUUAUCCAACUAGAGAAGACCUGGUAGAGCUUGAUCUGUUUUGACAGUCAUAAACUGAAGAAUGCAGCUGUGCUCAUCUAAAACUUAGCCCAAAAUAUUCCAUGUAACUGUAACCAAAAGAUGAUUUUUACCAAGUACUGACUCGAGAAGGAUGAAUAAUACUAAUAUUGCAAAAAAAAAGGAAUAUAUAUUUACUAUAUAUAUAUAUAUAUAUUUACUAUAUAUAUAUAUAUAUAUAUAUACAUACAUACAUACAUACAUAUAUAUAGUAAACCCCCCCAAUAAUAUCAAUUUUAUUUUAAGUGGUGAAUAAUUAUUGAAUACACUAUAUAGCAACUACUGUUGUACUAUAAUUUCCAUGUGAUUUUACAUAUAAUUAUACCCAAUAUGAUUAUGUACAAUUCAAGUGCAUGACCUUGGAAAACCUAUUUUUCUGACAAUAGCUUUUUGAUCCCAAAACUCAUUUUUAUACAUAAUCCCCAAUAUUAUAAUUUGUAAAAAUGCAGCAAAUGCAAGUAAAAUUUAAUUUUCAAUGCCCCAUUAAUUUAUUUUAUUUUUACUUGAAAAUGUAAAGAAUAAAAUGUCCCUAUCCUUCACAGCAAUGCAAUAAUUUCAUCAAAUUGCAGGUCAUCAUUAUGCCAAACAUCAUUAAAAGUGCCUUGCUUGGAUCUACGUUUCACAGCACCUUUAAGGCUGAUGCCCUCAAACGCUAAUAAUUCCUAACCUUAAAUAUCCAGUAACAAUAAGCUCUCUAACACCACACACAAUCUUCAUGAAUCAUAUUUAUUUUAUCCAACCCUAAAUCCACCUCCAAACCUAUCUACUUCCAAACAAUGUUGCAAAGAAAUGGCACCCACUGACUGGUAAGAUAAUUACUGCAAUAAGUAGCAGUUGUUAUGUUGCCUAGACUUCCCCUUUAAGAGGAUAAGAAUCCAAGAAUGCCUACACUUGCCAUUGUUAGCAUUCUCAGGUGCCUACGCCUGCAGCUGCUGCAGAUAGUUCUCAUAUGGUGCAUAUUUAUUCUAAAGCAAGCAGAAAAUACACUUGUCAUCCGUUUUCCCUCCCAGUCUGAAUGUAAUGAUAAUGAUAACCACGUAAAGUUCAGUUUUAAAUACUUAACUCUGAUUAUACACAUGUAAGUUCCUGCGUUUGCAUUUGGAGCAAGCUUAUUUUCCUGAUAAAUUGUAUACCACAAAACCGGAAUUCUUUCAACCACAUCCUAACUUUCAUACAAUGAACACAGUGUUAUAGCAGCAUUGCAUUGCAGAGAGAGGAUUGAUUUUUGCAGAAUGAAAGCUAUUGGAAAUCUGCUCCAUAAUAUACAGUACAUUACAGAAAGAUUCUGAAUGCUGGACUAGGAGAUUUUGAAAGCAUAUUUAUGCUUAUUGUGCGAAUGAUCUUUAAGCACAUAAAUUAAAGGUCUUAUUAGGUGGCAAUCGUACAAAACAAAACAGGCUUUGCAAAUAAAAGCAUGUACAAAUAUUGUAAUUUCUUUCAAACAACAUUCCCUGUAUUGAAAUUAUGUGGGACAUAUUCACAAAAAUUAAGGUUAACACAUUUAUCAGUAGGAUUAUAUUUUAUCUGAGCAUUAUCUGCAGUAUUGCAAACAAUAAACCAACAAACAAAUAAAAAAAAUCAUAUAUUUCCAUGACUGAGAUCAACAAUAGACAACACAUUUGACCCCAAACUGUUUCCUCCCCCUCUGAACUACUGUUUCACCAUAUGUAUCAUGGCAGUGGAUGAGAAAGGAGGAUGUCUUCCUGUAGUGUGGCAUUGUGUGUAAAAAUUGGGUUUAAUUUUUAAAUAUAGAAGUGUGUGAACUGGGAUGUUUUUGUAUAAGUUGAAAUUGUGUAUGAAAGUUAAUUGUGUUGUGUAAGGCAGUAUGUUUUAUAUGCUGUAAGUCUGACAACAUAAAGAAUUAAUGCACAGUCUUCCCCUUCUCAUCCUGCCAUUCUUUUUUUUACCUUUCCCAAAUCCUCCCUGAUUCCGAUAUCCAAUAAACAUUGCUGCUCAAAUCAUAUUCUCACCUCUACUAUUACCAUCCUCCCACUCCCUACUCCUUCCAAACUUCUUUCCGUGGUAUUUAUAUUUUUACUAGACUAUUAAUUCUAGACUUACACCCAAAUCUUUACAAUCCUAUCCCCAAUAUUCAGUCCUCUCUGAUGUUUUUCUCCUACCACCCUACAUUCCCAAUUAAGAUGACUACUAUUAAAAAGGAGAUCACACUAAAAGUUUGAUUGUCACAUUUUUUGUUCUCUAUAAUUAAAAACUCGGUAAGUUUACCCACAUGAAAGCAUUUUCACAAAGCUCUGCACAUAUGCUGUACUUAAGAAGCACAAAACCAACAUGUCCACAUGCAUAUCAUUGGUGAAGACAAAACUCACUAACUCUCUGGCCCCACCUCCCCAACGAUAGCUACUUAGCCUGUAAGUGCUUUUGUCCUAGUUCUUUUUUGUAGUAUGUGUAGAACCCCACUCACUCCCAUCACUCUGAGCCAGGGUCCUUCUGUACCGGGAUCAAACACCGGAUUCCCAAAUAGUAACAUAAAAAUGAAAAGAGAUCCAGGCACUCCUUGGUUCAAGACAGGCACUUUAUUUGGAACCACAACAGCAAAGUUUCGACCCUGCGACUUCAGGGUCGAAACGUUGCUGUUGUGGUUCCAAAUAAAGUGUCUGUCUUGAACCAAGGAGUGCCUGGACCUCUUUUCAUUUUUUUUGUCCUAGUUCUGUCAUGUAAGUGACACAUGAAAGUACAGUAUCUUAUACUAUUAAUAGUAGUCCAUGGGUUGUUCAUAAAACUCAGAUUUCCAAUUUAAACCAAAACUGCUAAAAGCAAGGGAAUAUAAUGGAGUUUAAAAAAAAUCCAAUUGAGCUAUACUCACAAACUGACUUUUUUUCUGUUUUUAACUGUCAAUUUACUUCAAUUUCAUAAUCACUAGGACACAAAGUGUCAAUUUAUUUUUAAAUCACUUGUACACUUAUAUUGGUAAUUUAUAAUAUUAAUAUAUAUUGACUUGUGUUACUCACAAUAACAGUCAACUCAAAACUGAUUUUUCAGGCAGCUCCAUUUCUUUGACCAAUUUAAAAACAGAUUCUCUACAAAAUCAGAUUGAAACAUUUAAUGAAAGUGUAUAUAUAGACUCUCAGCUGCAAGCCUUAUGCAAAGGUAGCUUUUUUUUGCAUGGUCUAUCUAAGAAUUCCUGCACCACUUAUUUUAUUCAUCUAUUUUUUUAGUCUCUGUUUUUGCUUCUCUCCCCUUUAGUAUAACUGCUUAAUUGUUAACAUUGUCCCUUCGAUGCUAAACUCUCGUUUAUAUAAAUGUUUAUUCUGUUAGUUAUUGUGCUGAUAGUCUUGUUAAAGGAACACUAUAGGGUCAGGAACACAAACAUGUAUUCCUGACCCUAUAGUGUUUAAACCUACAUCUAGCCCCCUGGGCCCCUCAUACCUCCCUAAAUAUAGCAAAAUCUUACUUGUAUUUAAGCCCGAAGCUGUAGUUCGGCAUGCUGUUUGCCUCAGAAUAACAAGCUGUCUGCUGACAUCAUCAGAAGUGGUAGCCUGAUCGAAUCACAAUGCUUCUCCAUAGGAUUGGUCAGACUGACAAUGAGGCAGAUCAGGAGCAGAGCCAGCAUGAUUCAAACACAGCCCUGCCCAAUCACCAUCUCCUCAUAGAGUUGAAUUGAAUAAAUGAAUCUCUAUGAGGAAAGUCCAGUGUCUGCAUACAGAGGGAGGAGACACUGAAUGUUUGGAUGCAUUUUAGGCAGCCAUGACCCAGGAAGGAUCUUUAACAGCCAUCUGAGGAGUGGCCAGUGAAGUUAUCACUAGGCUGCAAUGUCAAAACUGCAUUUUCUCUGAAAAGACAGUGUUUACAGCAUAAAGCCUGAAGGUAAUGAUUCUACUCACCAGAACAAAUUCAAGAAGCUGUAGUUGUUCUGGUGACUAUAGUGUCCCUUUAAUUUAUGUUCACCAUUUAUCCUCAUAUCUUUAAAUCUCAAAUACUUUCUCCUCUGUUUAUUUUUCCUCAUUAACUGCCAUUUCUCACCUCAAUAUCUGUGUCUUCCCCACCAUUAAAUUUCUAUUUGAUCUAACCCAGAUUCUUUAUUGCAGCAUAGGUCCCAAACACACCAGCAUCUAGCUCCCAAGACUCUCAGCUGCAAGCCUUAUGCAGAGGUAGCUCUUUUGGGUGGCUUCCCGACCACCCCACCCCAAGUAUCUUAUUACAUUUAUAGAAAGGACAAAUUACCUGCAGCCCAAACACACUAAAUAUGUCUGUCAAACACUCAUCACCUGCUCAAUUAUCACAUUCCUUGCCCUUUAACCCCUCACCCCUCUCUUGUAACUCUAAUAUACAACCUCAUCUAAUUUGGCAUAAUUGAAACUCCUACUCCCCUUCUAUAUAAUAUAAAAUCUUUGUUUCUUUUUAUCAAAUGUUCUCCCUCAUAUUUUUUACUUUCACCCUCACUUCUCUCAUUGGAAAAAUAUCUCUGUCAUUCUGCCUACCUGUUCCUGCUGACACAAUUUCCAUUGCUCCGACAAUACUUCCUCCCCUCUUUAUUCAUCCCAUGCCCUCUACUUGUACCUUUCCAAGUUAUCUCUACAAUCUCCUUCUAAAUCCUCAAAAUAUAAACACUCUCACAAAACCUUUAAAUCCUGCUCCCAUAUUUUCUUCCUUUCUAUCCUCCUACUCCUAGCAGCUGGUGAUGUCUCUCCAAACCAAGGUCCCACACUUGCAAACCCAUCAUGUGCUAACUGCAACAAUCACUCCAAUCUCAUACCCAUUUUACAAUACUCUUCCUUUAAAUCCUCCUUCCACACUGCCCUAUGGCAUGCAUGCUCUGUUUGCAGUGUUACUAAAUCCACGGCUGUGCAUGAUCUUUUCAUCUCUUGUUCCCUACAAUUACUAGCAUUAACUGAAACAUGGCUCUCUCCCUCUGACACUGCUACCCCUGCCUCUUGGUGGUUUUCAAUUUUUCCACAACCCAAGAAACUGGUGGAGUAGGGUUUCUGCUCUCACCUCACUGCUCCUUCAAACCUCUACCCACAUCCCCUUGCCUCUCUUCCUCAUCAUUUGAGAUUCAUUCAAUCCGCCUUUUCAAACCCAUCUCUGCUAACAUAGUUGUUAUCUAUCGUCCCCCUAGUUCCCCACUUCUCUUCCUUGACCACUUUGCUGCCUGGCUUCCUUACUUCCUCUCCUCUAACAUUCCAUCUAUAAUACUCUUAGAAGUCAACAUUCCCAUUAACCCACCCUUGACCCCAGCAGCCUCAAAACUACUUUCUAUUACCUCCUCCCUUGGGCUGUCACAGUGGGCUAAUUCCUCCACCCAUGUAGCAGUCUCUAACAUCUGCAACACUACAUUUCUUCUCUCAGAUCAUCAUCUCCUAUCAUUUGCUCUCAAUAGCUCCCUCCACCAACAACCUCAGUCUAACCCCCCUCAACUCAGAAGGAAUCUGAGUUCUAUAAACCUCCAGCAGCUGUCAGCUGAUGUUGACUCCCAACUAUUAUCCAUUCCUGCAUACUCAUGUCCCUCACUGGCCAUCUCCUCAUAGAACUUUACCCUCACCUCAGCCCUGGACGCUGCAGCCCCUCUCCAAAUAUGCACCUCGAGGAGAAUACGCCCCCAACCAUGGCACACUAAUUCAACACGCUAUGUGCAGAGAUGUUCCCGUUCUGCUGAACGCUGCUGGAGGAAGUCUCACACUGAGUCAGACUUUCUACACUACAAAUUUAAAGUGUGUUCAUACAGCGCAGCCCUUGCCCUUGCCAAACAGUCAUACUAUUCUUCUCUUAUUAGCUCAUGCUCUCACAAUCCCAGGCUUCCCUUUGAUACCUUUAAUUUUCUUCUUUGCCCUGCUGCGGCCACCCCCCAAACUAACCUUAGAGCCGAUAGUUUUGCAUGCUACUUUACUGACAAGGAAAUAAUUCUCACAAUCUUGCCCCUCACUUUCUCAACCACAACUGGAUCGUGCCUCUCCAACCCUUCCGACCUUCUUCCAGGCUACUGGACAAGAGGUGGCUGCACUUAUCCUUUCCUCUUGCUCCACCACUUGCCCGUUUGAUCCUUUUCUGGAACUGUCCCUGCUGUCCUUAAACAUGCUACUUACCCAUCUUAAAAAUCCAUGUCUUGAUCCAUCCUCCCCUUCUAACUAUAGCCCUAUAUCCCUGCUCCCUUUUUCCUCAAAGUUUCUUGAAAGACUAGUCUUUAUACGUCUGCUCUGCUUCCUCAACUCCAACUCUCUCCUUGACCCUCUACUGAGACUGCCCUUAUCAAAGUCACUAGUGACAUUAUCACAGCUAAAUCCAAAGGUCACAACUCCAUACUAAUUCUACUUAACCUCUCUGCUGCCUUUGACACCGUUGAUCAUGUUCUCCUUCUCCAACCUCUCUGUCCUCUCAUGGUUUUCCUCCUAUUUCACCCAACGCUCAUUCAGGGUCUCCUUUUCUAAUGAUACCUCCACCAUUCGUCCUGUCUCAGUUGGAGUUCCCCAGGGCUCUGUCCUUGGUCCCCUUCUAUUUUCUCUGUACACUGCCUCUCUUGGCAAACUUAUUACCUCAUUUGGAUUCCAUUACCACCUGUACGCUGAUGACACCCAUAUAUAUUUCUCCUACCCGGACCUCUCCCCUGAUGUCCUGCAACGUGUCACCUCUUGCCUUUCUUCUAUCUCUGAUUGGAUGUACUCCCUCUUUCUGAAACUGAAUCUUUCCAAAACAUAACUUCUUGUCUAUCCUCCUCCUAAUAUUAAUCCUCCUCUCUCGCUCUCCUUUCAGAUUGGUGGUACCCAUAUCAACCCAUCCUUACAAGCAAGUUGUCUUGGUGUUACUUUGAUUCUGGCCUCACAUUAGAGCCUCACAUCUGGUCUGUUGUCAAAUCAUGCCAAUUCCACCUUAAAAACAUCGCCUGCAUCCGCCCCUUUCUUACACAAGAUGCUACUAAAGAGCUUGUCUAGUAAUCUCUCGCAUGGACUAUUGUAACUCUCUCCUAAUUGGUCUUCCCAAUAGCCGUAUUGCCCCGCUACAGUCUGUAAUGAAUACUGCCGUCAGACUGAUUGUCCUCUCUAGUCGGUCCUCUCACACCUCACCCCUCUGUCAGUCUUUACAUUGGCUUCCUGUAUACUAUAGGAGUAAAUUCAAAGAGCCAAACCAUACCUAUAAAGCACUGAACAAUCUUAGCCUCUCUUAUUUCUCCUCACAUUCCAUAGGUAUGCCCCUUCUCGGUCUCUCCGAUCUGCCAGUGACCUUCUUCUGUCCGCUGCUCGCACCCGUAUGGCCAACUCGCACUUGCAGGACUUCUUGCAGGACUUUCCUAUGGAAAAGCCUGCCUACUGCCAUCAGACUCUCGCCCUAUUGUUUAAGAAGUGCCCAUUUCUUUAUGAAAGCCUAUGGCCUCCCAGACUAACCUCUACUUCACAUACCUGUCUCUUGCUCUCUUCUAAAGGACAGCAUUCUACCCUUGCUCCAAAUCUGCUUCACUCCCACCUAAUUUGAUUGCUAUUUCCUGUCCUAAUGUGUUUUUUACCCCACCUUCUAUAGACUUUAAGCUUGUUUGAGCAGGGCCCUCUUCAACCUAUCGUUUCUGUAAGUUUUCUUGUAAUUGUCCUAUUUAUAGUUAAAUCCCCCCUCUAAUAAUAUUGUAAAGCACUACGGAAUCUGUUGGCGCCAUAUAAAUGGCGAUAAUAAUAAUAAUAUAUAGGAUAUGACAAAGAAAUUAUCUAAAUCAAAACCAAUGUGGUAAAAAUAAUUUCGAUUUCCAUAUCUCUUCUAUUUUUUCAAUAUGACUUAAAAUCAUUUUACAAUUUUUCAAUAUUUUACUACAAGAAACACUCCAUGCACCAUACCUUCUUCAUCACAAUGAAGUUGUGAUGGUGUUAGGAGGUCCCUGGUGUAGGCUUACCAUCAGGGCUUACCAUUAAUGAAAGAUUUAACCUAAAAGUCUUCAUUAAUCAGUAAGACUCAGAAAGGGGCACCUAUGAUAGCAUGAUACGCUCUCCAUUCACAAAACAGAGUGAGAAACAUUAAUUUUUGUUCUGUGGAUGUGGAGGUCCUGAUAACUGAUGCUCUCAGUACAUUACUGAUGCCCCUCUCCAAGGCAACCUGAGCCUGGAGUGUUCUUUUCUGUGGACUAUUUUGUGCAAUCGAAAAGCUUUUCCACUCAAUUUAUAUUCUGUUUAUUGUGUCAACUGGAGAAUAUACUUUUGUACAUAGCUCAUUGUAGUAUUUCUGGUCCUAGAAGUGAAAUAGCUCCAUCCUAGUGUAAACAGGCUAACUGUUUUAUUAUGGUUUGACUCUUACCUGGGUCAGCUAUGCUAUCUGCAUCUUACUUCUCUUGUUUGAGUUGGCCAAGAAGCAACAUGGACACCUGGAGGAAUCCUGGUAAGUGUUAAACUCUAAAGAUUAAAAAGAUGACUUGAUCUAGGAGAAACCAAAGCUCACAAAAAGAGUGAUAAAGGGUUAUUUAUCAACUAAAUAUUACUCUAAACAUGCAAAGGAGUGACAAUACGUCAACAAAAAAAACCCCUAAAAUAAUAAUAAUAAUUUCUAAGCUACAUAAUAAAACAUGAAGUGCAUAUAGAGGACAAUAGCAAUAUCUGGUUGCUCUUUCAGGGGCUUGCACCCUGAGGGACCAUCACUUCUUCAAAGAAUACCCUGAAGUAUUUUUAUUGUUAAGAGAAGUGUAAGCUCAAUCUCCUUGGAGCCAUCUACCCUGCUUCACACUGUUACUAUUGCUUGUAAGAAUAAAUAUGUUGUAGUGCACACUAUGGGUCUGGAGUUUUUUUGUGUAUUUAUUUUGUUUCAAACUGUGAUCACUAACUUGUAUUGUAUCACUGUCAAUGGUGGAUCUAAUGUAGAGAGGGCCCUGCUGAAAUAAUUUUUUUGGACCAAAGAUGGCCAAAAUGUUAAGCCCCAUCUGUUGUUCAGCUCCCACAAUGCUUUGCCAACUGAAUAUAUACCAUUUGCCCAUCCUCACAGGGUGCAAUUGUGAGCAGUUUUUGUGUUUGAAUCUAAGCAUGUUUUUAUAUGAUGAAUGUGUAUGCGCAUGUAGGGAUGUGUUUGUUUGUAGGGUUGGCAUUUGAAUUCAGUUGUGUUCUAUGUGUGUAGUGUUUGUAUGUAGUUUUGGUAGUUCAGUGUAGAGGUGUAAAGGUAGUAUUGGCAUUUAGAAUGCAGGGUGUUGUAGGUAUUGUUGGUAUUUAGAAUGUAGGGGUGUGUUCGUAUAUAGUGUUGGCAUUUAUAAAGUAGGGGUCUGUAGUGUUUGUCUUCAAAUGCGGGGAUUCUGUACAUAUUCUCAUAUACUGCCAUACACACACACAGAGACACACUGAAAGACACAUAUAUGCAUACACCUACACAUACAAGCAGAUGAACAAAUAUACACACACAGAAACAUACAAAGAAAGAUCACAAUUUACAUAGCUUAGCCAGCCCUGCUUUACUACCUUUUGGGUGCAUGAGGGUGGCUUUUCCAGGUUCCAGUGGCAUCUAGCUGAGACUGAUGUGAACCUGUCCUGGUCCCUCCUCUUUCAUGCGCCACUCAUUGGUAAGCUGGGAAGGCACGGCUUGUUCCAACUUUCUUCCAGCACCGUGGUUUCACAACAAACAGAGGGCCUGGUCAUGCUUUUAACCCCUUAGUGACCAGGUAAUUUUUCAAUUGUAUUACCGUUAAGGACCAGGGCUCUUUUUCUGCAGUGGCUGUGUUUAGAUGUAAUUUGCCUCUUAUAUAUUUACUGUACCCACACAUAUUGUAUACCGUUUACCUCACUAUUAAAUGUUCAUUCUAAAGAUAAAAUUAUUUUCAUCAUAUCACAUGAUUUACUAGAGUAAAAAAAGUGAAAUAUGAUGAAACAUAAAACACAGCUGGCCAUCAUGCCCCCAUGUCCCAGUUGGAACAUUUCUGAAGCCAGCCAAUGUAAUUCAUCUCCGUCAAACCGUAUGUUUUGGAAAAGUACACAGCCUAGGGCAUUUCACAUGGUGGCAUUUCAACACUUUACAUGCACUUAUUCUACCACCAGUCUCUGUCAAACGUUUUUGUGAUGUCCUUUUUCACUCACACAUUCAUGUUCACUUUUUCACUCACACAUUCUACUUUAAGCAUAAAUUCUAACCUCCUGUUAGGUGUUCCUGCCAAAGGACACCCCAAUAUGUGCUCGGCAACAUCUCCCGGGUACAGAGAUACCACGCAUGCAUAUGUUUAUCAGGUUCACUGGGGGGUGCAAGGCAAAAUGUCUGAUAUGCGUUUUUCAAAUUGUACAUAUCUUCUUUGCUGAUCUUCCUUAUGGGGGACUUAUCAGAUAUCCCAAUGUAUUUUCUUGACAUGAGCGUGCAUGUAUUUGAAAAGUUGACACCCUGCAGUAGUUGAAGAACGCUUGUGGAGGUAACUGUUCAAUCCUCAUUUUCACACACACACACACACACACACACACUGCUUUUUGACUGUGAUUUAGGAGAGCCCGCUGUUGGUUAUUGCAAGAACACACCCCAGGGGGUUUUCUGCAAGGCUUCUCCUUAGGACACCCAUGCCCCCCACGCAUUGGCUUGCCAGGAUUUUGGGAAGGUAUGGUUACAAUUGUAUGACUUUUCAGUUUGAGUUGAAAUUGAGAGUAUUUCUUCUGAUAAGCCUAUCUUUAGCUUGGGGCUUAUCACAUAGCCCAGUUUUAUAGAUCGCCACGAAAGGAUACACACUUUGAAACGUAGACACCCCAAGGUAUUGCAUGUGGAGUGCUUUGAUGCAACUUUUUUCUUUUUUCAUAGCCAGACCAAAAAUAAAUAAAUAAAUAAAAUAAAACAGUUGAAGAACGCGUGUGGACGUAACUGUUCAAUCCUCAUUUUCACACACACACACACACACACUGCUUUUUGACUGUGAUUUAGGAGAGCCCGCUGUUGGUUAUUGCAAGAACACACCCCAGGAGGUUUUCUGCAAGGCUUCUCCUAAGGACACCCAUGCCCCCCAUGCACGGGGUAAAUGUAAGAACCCCCCCAAAAAAAAACACUGAACGGCAAAUGUUAAAAAAUAAAUUAAAAAUGGACCAGCGUGUGGUAGCGUUUGAAGCAGUCGCCAAUGCAGAGUCCAGGCUGUCCAGGGCAAUCAGGACAGUAAUAUACCAUGUCUUUUCUCUGUCCCCUCUUAGAACAGACCCUGCAUCUUUUUUGGGGAUUCUGCUUUGUCGCAGUAGGGGGGAUUUUAAAAAUAAAAUGUGUAGCCCCAACUCUGCUCUCUCCCAUCACCGCCCGGGGAGCAGGUGCAUCACGGUACAAAAUCCCCGAAAUUAUCUGGAGCUGAAACUGUAAAAAUCUCAGUUGCGUCCCGGGGUUUGCUUUUUUGAACAACAAGAAAGCGUUGUGGGUUACAAUCUGCAUCAGGUAGAUUGCAACCUUUUUGUACCAGGCCCUUGUCUUUCGUAUAAUUAGGUAGGGCUGCAGCAGCUGAUCUGCCAGAUCAACCCCACCCAUGUGCCGGUUAUAGGCCUUGAUGCACACUGGCUUCCUUGUCCUCUCAGCUCUGCCACGUACAGGGACCUCCACAGUCCCCUCAGUGUGAAUGCUGGUAAGAAGGUACACAUCCUUCUUGUCUCUGUACUUAACUGCCAACAGCUCCUCUUGGCGCAGAGCGGAGGUCUCCCCCCUUCGUAGCCGGGUGCGUGCAAGUUGUGCUGGGAAACCUGUGCUGUUCUUUUUAAUUGUGCCGCAAGCUACUGUAUCAAAACAGUACAGUAGCUUGAACAAAGGGACACUUGUAUAAAAAUUGUCAGUAUACAAGUGGUACCCUUUGUUCAUGAGGGGGAAAAUCAGGUCCCAGACAAUCUUGCCACUUGUUCCCAUAUGUUCUGGGCAACCUGGAGGGUUGUACACCCGGAAGGCCUGAAUAUACCCAUUCUCACUAUCACAGAGCUUAUACAUCUUUACACCAUACCUAGAGUGCUUGGAAGAAACAUACUGCUUGAAUCCCAGCCUUCCCUUAUACUUCAUCAGGGAUUCAUCCACGCAUAUAUUCCUUCCAGGUGUAUAAGCCUCUGCAAACCUGGCAGCGAAGUGGGUAAUCAGGGGGCAGAUUUUAUACAGCCUGUCAAAUUGGGGAUGCUCCCUAGAGGGACACAGGCUGUUGUCGUUGAAGUGCAUGAAAUGCAGAAUCAUUUCAUACCUCUUCCUCGACAUACAUUGCGAGUAAAUGGGGGUAAAGCAGAUGGGGCUACUGCUCCAGUAGGAGCGGAUGGAGGGCUUCUUUAUGAUGCCCAUCAGCAUAGUCAAUGCCCAGAAUCUUUUAAAUUCUGGCACAUCGAUGGGGGCCCAUUGCUGCUUUGCCAAAAAAGAGUCAGGAUUUGUAGCUCUGAAUUGAUGGGCAUAUAAAUUAGUUUGGGCGACAAUGUUCCCCAAUACAUCAUCGCCCAGAAACACCUCCAUAAACUGCUGAGGGCUAAAUCCUGUGACAUCAAAUUAAUGCCAGGAUUUGCAGUAAAGGAUGGGAUGUCUGGCCUCUGGCGAUGAGGCACUACCCACUCCUCAGCAGUUCUGCCAGCUGUAGCAGCACGUCUCCUUCGGGCAGGGGGACUAGCAGGCACAGAUACAACAUCACUAGAUGCAUCACUUGCAGCAGACACUGUAUCUAGUGAUGAUGUAUCUGAGCACCUGGCUGGGUCAAAAUCAGGGUCAGAGUCUGACAUAGACGCGUCAGACUCUAGCGCAAGGGUGGCAUAUGACUGCUCAGCACUGGUUGACUUCCGUGACCCAUGUGACAUGAUCACAAUCACUUUACUUAGUGACCUGUCACAAAAAAAAAAAUAACCCCUAAAAAAAAAAUGAACAGACAGCAAAAUAAGUGCUGCUGUGCAAGAGCCUGUGAUCUGCAGAGUGAUCACAGGCAGGACAGGGGUUAAUCGUUCUGAAAAGAGCUUUUGGGUCUCAAAAAAAAAAAAAAAAUUUCACAAAAAAUGAACCCCUAAAAAAAAAUAUGCACAAACAGCAGACAAUUACUGCUGUGCAAAAGCCAGUGAUUAUAGUGAUAAAUGGCAAAACAGGGGUUAAUGGCUCUGAAAAGAGCCUUUGGGUUUCAAGAGUUUACAAAUCCCUACCUAUAAACACCUAAAUCUCUCUAGCUAAACCACAGAUCUCUCUCCUUCUCUCACUAAAGCACAAGUGAGGAGAGGGAGGCAGAUCCACACUAAUCAGAGAAAUGGGGAACACACUUGGGAUGAAAUUGCUAAUGGGGCAAGCUGUGACUGGAUGACCCCAGCCUGCCCCUUAUGAUGCGGCAUGCUAGGGACACCCCCAGAAGCUCCAUGAUUCAUUGCCUUUAGAAAGGGAUGGGGGUUAAUAUUGAUCAUUUUAUUUAUUUUCUAUUUAAUUUUUUAAUAUAUAUUAUUAUAUAUGCACUGAGAGCCAGGACCCCUCGAGGCACUCCGCACAUGCAGAGCAUCACUGCAAUACUAUCAGAGCUUCCAGAGCUCAAAAUAGCUGCAGACGUACCAGGUACGUCCAAGGUCAUUAUGGAAUGUUUUCUGCCAGACGUACCAGAUACGUCCACGGUCAUGAAGAGGUUAAAGGGCUGUGGUGCCUAGCCAAACUCCUGAUAAAAGAUGCCAACAGAUGGACUCCCCUUGCCUUUCAGGUCCCAAUUGCACUGGCUGCACCGGCAGUAGUUCUGCAGUUGAUCCCAGUCUCAUAUGGACUAUUAAUGAACUAGAUUCAUAUGCAGCUUGAGAGGUAUCUAUGAUUAGACUGAUAAAUCAGUCUGUCGCUCAGUGACUUAUUACAUUGUUAGAUGUGUAUGCAAUAUUGCCAUUGUUCUCUCAAUAUCAGCUCUACAUUUUUUGUCAUUUAUUGUAGUUUAGUCAUCAUUUAAUUGUUAAACUGUGCUUAACCCCUUAAGGACACAUGACAUGUGUGACAUGUCAUGAUUCCCUUUUAUUCCAGAAUUUUGGUCCUUGAGGGGUUAAAUCAUUUGACAAGUUACAUUGGAAUGGCACCUAGGCACUCCUGGCACUUUUACCACUACAGUAAGUGCUGGUUACAGUGUUUGGACAGUUCCUUUAAUCAUCUAGUACCUAAUGCAGUGUAAAUCUAGUGUGGUACAUUCACAAAAAUGAUAGUGUCUAUAGUUCGAUCUGAAUGCCAUAAAUAUAUUUGGCUAAUAGUCUAAAAAAGCAGAAUAAAGUAACUAGAUUCAGAAUACAUACUGUACUUUCAGAGCCACAAGUAUGUGAAAACAUUGGCACUCUGCCUGAAUAUCAGGAAACACUUGGGAUGCAAAUGUAGUGCUAAUGCAGUAGUGGAGUAAAUGGUUUCUGCUAUCUGUGAUGUUUCAAGAAAGAGAAAAAGCUAUAUCAAUAAAGAAAUAAAUGAAGUCUGUAAUUGAAUCCAUUGUUACAAAUCAAAUGACGGCUUAUUACAUUGUUUUCAAUAUGCUAUAUAGAUUUAAAUAUGAAAAGCCUCACAGACAUUCAUGUUCUCUUGUUAUUGUCUUUGUCAUUGCUCUCCCAUUUUUUUUUAACCAGGCUUAUUAUUGGUUACCGUGCUCCACCUAGUGUAUUUCUAUACAAAAUCAUGUGUUAUAAUUCGCUGUAAGUUAAGUAGAGAACACAACUUUCUCAAACUAGACUUUGUUUUCUUCUCAAGGUGUGAUAGCAGUUGAGGAUAUGCACUAUAACUUUUAACAUCCUCUAUGUUCCCUUGAAAGAAAAAUGCUGCAUUAAAAUAUCCUCAAUUUAUUGUGAGUUUUAUCUAUAAAUUUAAUCCCUUAUAAAGUCUAUCCAAAAGAAAAUGUACUAUUUGUUUGUUACAAGUCUGGUUUAUAUUUCCAUUGGUAUUGUUGGCUUUUAUUGUAUUCUGUCAUUCCUAUUUAUAUAAAUCAUUUAUAUCAGCAAAAUUGACUGUAUUUUUAUCUACAAAUAAAAAGGCAAUAGCAACAUUUGUAACACAGCACACUCUUCAAUUUAUUUGAAAUACAUCAAAAAGGUCAAAAGUGGAAUGCUAGGGGAUAUUCCAAUUUCUUUUAUACAUUUUGUCAUUUGAAGUGUUCAUGGUGUCUGAAGUCUCUAUGUGCACCGUCUUGCUUUGAAAUGCUACAGAUACAAAGAUUAGCCCCUUAGCUGCUGGAGAUGUAUUUCCACAUCUGGCAGUGUCAUUAGCCUGUCCAUAACAACGUUCUGGUCCAGCUAAUAUCAGCAAAAUGUUUCUGUCUGGGGAUAAUUAGGUUAUUGUUUUAUCUGCCUUAAUUAUAUCACAGGCAGAGGGGAUGGAUUGUGUGCUGUACGUGAGAGUGUCGGACAUUGUUAUAUUGUUUUUAUUGGUCUGUACAGUUUGUUAUGUGCUGCUCCAUCAGGUCCAGGGGGUGUGCCUCUGGCCUGAGAAAUUGUAUAUAAAGCCAACCUGUACCAUUAACCUUCAGACCCCUUCACCAUCAAUACUGAGUUCUGUCUCUUAUUGUAGGAAGCUGCUAUAUCACUACCAGUGAUUGCUAUACUCGUUAUACUCUCUUGGAUAAUCACUAGCUCUUGUAAGAGCUGUUCCUGUUGUGCUCUCCUGGAGGAGCGAUCUUUCCCACAUGGUCAUGGAUGUCAGCAGUUGGUACAGGGUGGGUGGAAGACGGCGAGAUUCCAGUUAUACUACGGUGGUUGCAGAGUGUGCGGUGCUGAUGGUGUCCGUUGCGGUGCUUAUAAUCCUGGGGGCGUAUGCUAGGAAGCAUCCAUUGACGGAGGUGCCCAGUCGGGGUGCCAGGUGGUCCGUUAUAUACUCUGCUCUUAAGAAUAUCAAACAAUUGCAAACACAAAAGCUCUAUUUCCAUUUCAACUGUCCAUAGAACACAAUCCCAUUUAAAGUUCCAGUAGUGCCUGGCAAACUGAAGACACUUGAGUUUCUUUUUGGAUGAGAGUAUAGACUUUUUUUAUAAACCCUUUCAAACAAAUUGUGGUGAUGUAAGUAAUGCUGGGUUGUAGUUUUGGAAACUUUCUGAACCCAAGAUUCAACUAACUUCUGCAAUUCUCCAGCUGUGAUUUUUGGACAUUUCUUUGGCCACUCGAGCCAUCCUCUUUACUGUAUGUUGAGAAAAUGUAGACACACAUCAUCUUCCAGGUUGAUUCAUAAAAUUUUCACUUGACUGGAACAUCUUAACUAUUGCCUUGAUGGUGGAAAUGGGCAUUUUAAUGCUUUGGUAUUUUGAUAUAGCCACUUUUCAUUUUGUAAAGCUCAACAACAUUCUUCUACACAUCACAGCUAUAUUCCUUGGUCUUACCCAUUGCGAUGAAAGACUAAGCCUAUGUUACCCUAAAUUUAUACCCCUGUGAAAAAGGAACUCAUAGUUCAACAAUGUCCUGUUCCUAGUCACCCAUGUGUACUAUCAAAUAUAAAAUAUCAAUGGGAAUAUUCUUCAAAUAUAUAUUUUAUCACAUUCAUUCAUAAAUGUGCGAUACUUGUGCCACACAUAUUUCACAAAUAUUUUGUAUAUUUUUUGUGCAUUUUUUGAACAAAAGAUCAAAACAAAACAAUAAAGAUAACUUUACCUAGCCCUCUUUGCUCAUAUUUACCAAGGGUGCCAAUAUUAAUGAGAGGCACUUUACCUAUUACAUUUUUUUUAAUAUGUACAUAUUACAGUAGAGUACAUAAUAGUUAGAGAAUGGAGAUGUGCCAUUAGUUUCAUAAAAAAAAAUUUUUUCAACGUUUCAGAAAACCAAAGAAGAAAUCUUUCUAGUGUCAAGCCCAAAAUCAAAAAACAUAACCUUCAGUUAAGUUUCUUUCAGAUAUAUAUGAACAAUCAGACUAUACUCAUCUAGUCAAUAACUGCAAAAAAUUAAUAUGUAAGGCUCAGAUCAAACCAAUUCCCUCGGCAAUAAUUAACCCCUUAAGGACCAAACUUCUUGAAUAAAAGGGAAUCAUGACAUGUCACACAUGUCAUGUGUCCUUAAGGGGUUAAAUUGAAUUUUGAUUUGAAAAUAGAUAUAACUAUGAAAGAAUGGAAUAACUCCCUUAAUACAUUAUACAAAGCUACAAACUCACUAUAAGAUAUUAAACAGAUGGUACAGAACUCCUAAAAAAAAGUCCCCCCUAAUUGUUGGAGAUGUACUGAAUCAACCACAGAUUUUAAACUCAUUUGGUGGGGCUGUCCUAUAAUCAGACCCUUAUGGGAGACGACAAACCAAUAUUUGUCAACUUUAUUGGAACAGAAAUUGAAUCUGACUCCAAAUAUGGCCUUAUUACAUAUGGAUAUGGGGCUGAUUAAUAGAGAAUUCAGACCAAUUAUUUUUCAUAUUCUAAUGGCAGUUAAAACAACAAUAGCCAGAAAUUGGAAGUCCCCUAGGGUGGACAGCUGGGCCAAGAUUCACCAUAAAAGCAUUUUUCAGUGCAAAAUGGAACAAGCUAGUACAAACUUUGCCCCAAAGAAGGGCUACUAUUAUAGUUAUUGGGAUAGAUGGAAAAAAAAAUUAGACCCGGAAUAAUGAACUAUUUUCAAUUUUACUUUUUUUUUUUUCAGAGUUUGCCGGGAUACCCCGCUUAUUUGAUUUAUCUAUUUUUUUUAUUUUUUUUUAUUUUUUUUUACCAAUUUAUUAUUAUUAUUAUUUUUUUUCGGUACACUGUGAACCAAACAAAUGUUUGUUUUAGUUUAGUAUGUAUAUUUGGUAUUUAAAAUAAAAAAAAAGGAAAUUAAGAUAAAUUAAAAUGGGAGAUAGGAAGAUAUAUAUAUAUAUAUAUAUGAAAAUAAGAUGAAAAUAAAACAAAUGAUGAUGAAUUGGUAUUUGAUAAAGUCAAUUUUGACACUCAUAAAGUAUGAAAUAACAAACACCAUAUUCUGAUGUUAAAGUAAAGAAAAACGAAAAAAAAAACAAAAAAAAAACAUAAUUUGGUAUCUUCUAUACCCCCUCAAAUAUGAUUAACAACCAUUUUCAUUUUUUUAACAAAAAAAUUGUAUGUCUGAUCCUAUGGUAUAACUUUAAGUGGCAGUACCUCAGAUAAUGCACAAUAUUGGAUACCAUUAAUAAUUUAACAAUAAUUAAGUGUAUGCACAUAAGAUUCAUGGAACAAAUCAUAUUUUGCCAUUUUAUGGUGCAAUUCACAGGAUGACAAAUGUUAAAAAAUUGUAAUGCCCCAGAAGCGAUGCUGGGUGCACACAUAGUCACGCUGCCCAAAUCAGGGAAACCACCCACGUGUAGCCAAGAUUUCAGACCAAUCUCCCUCCUAAAUACAGACAUUAAGCUAUACGCGAAGGUACAAGCCAACAGAGUAACCAACAUACUCCCAACACUGAUCCACGGGUCAAACAACACCCGGAAGGUACUUGACUUACCUUGAAAGAGGACUUUUAAAGAGGACUUUUUAAUUAUUAUUGUUUUUAUUGAUUUUGUUCUUAAUGAAUCCACUAUAUUUUUUUACUACAUUCCUUUUAAGUCCCUCUUUUGGAAACCUCAGGAGAAUCUUCCCAGGGGUAGUGUCAUCCCCACUUAAAGUGACACCAAGCUUAUAUACCUAGAGCCGGGACCCACAGGCUCAGGAUCAGGUGAGCAAACCAUUUAUCUGCAUCAUAUUGUGUUUUUAUUAAGCACGUUCUACACAUUGGUCUGCUCUCUCUAUCAUUUUGUUUUGGAGAAUUACCCCACACUGAAGGAGACGGGCGGUGCUACCCUUAUAAGCACAUUGGCCAACAUACGGAGCCAGUGUUCUUAUAUACAGGCUCCUAGAAAUGUGAGUGUUCAAUUUACCUAAUAUAACUAUUAUUAUCAAAUUAACACUUCCCAUACCGUCUACACUAUAUUGUAUUCUUUUGUAUCUUUUUAAACAUGUACCUUACACUGCGCCAUUGAAUGGGAUACCAUUUGGUAAGCUGUACUUGUGUUAGGAGCGCUCCACUUAUUGGUAUAAGUUUGUCUAUAGCUUAAACCACACCAAUAACUUUUACUGUACAGCCUACCUCGAAGCAGGGAGGGGAGGGUUCUUCUCUCAUUAGAUGCCGAAAAGGCCUUUGACAGGCUCAACUAGCCCUUUCUGCAGGCAGUGCUUGGUAAAUAUAAGUUCCUCCCAGCCUUCAUAAAUACUCUCCGGGCACUUUACUCGCAUCCCACAGCCAGAGUCCUAAACUCUGGGUUGGUAUCCAAACAAAUUCACAUCACCAACGGCUCGCGACAGGGAUGCCCCCUGUCACCGUUGCUCUAUAUCCUAGCGCUGGAACCCCUGGCAGCAGUCAUCAGGGCUGAUGCAGACAUACAAGGCAUACACCUAGGCCAUAAGGAAUACAAGCUUAACUUGUUCGUGGAUGAUAUUAUGGCAACGCUAACACACCCCAUAAUCUCUCUACCAAAGCUGAGGUCACGAAUCCAUGAGUAUGGAGCAGUGUCCUAUUACAAACUAAACGUCACGAACACCCAAGCUCUCGGAAUAAAAUUGAGUGAGAAUCUAACAAACAGACUGGAGAUGGCAUUCCCCCUAGACUGGAGACACGACUACCUGACAUUCCUGGGCAUCAAACUACCCAAAAACCCAGCCCACCUGUUCGGACACAAUUAUGCCCGAAUGCUAAAAGAAUUCUCGAAAACUCUGCAAACUUGGAGGGGAAGGUACCUAUCAUGGCUGGGCCGAAUUGCAGCAGUUAAAAUGUCGCUCAUACCUAAGAUACAAUAUCUUUUCCGUAUGCUACAAAUACCCAUACCAAAACAAUUCUUGAAAAACAUGUAACAUACUAUCAACUCCUUCAUAUGGGAGGGGGAAAAGGCGAGAGUAGCAGCAGGGACGUUACAACAGUCAGUAAAAAAUGUGGGGUUGGUCCUACUCAACCUAACAGCAUACUACAGAGCUGCCUACUUACACAACAUUGCCCAAAUUAACCGGCUUAUGAACAUCCCACAGUGGGUGACGAUUGAGUCCAGCAGAGCCCCACAAAGUGAUCUCCGAUCACUAAUGUGGAAACAGACAGGCAAUAACCGAGCCCUAACCAUACUGCGAUUAUGGAGUAAAAUGAAACACAAGUUGGUGUCAACACCGAAACUACCCCUGGCCACACCAAUGCAAACUAUUGGGCUAGAGAUCCCUACAUUCCCAUGGGAAACAUGGGUGAAGGGAGGUGUACACCACAUAUACCAAGUUAUAGAUAGGGGUCGAAUAACACCAUUUCCUGACAUACAGGACAAGUACAACCUACCCACUAAAGCUGUAUUCUCCUAACUCCAGCUUAAAUCGUAUGUGACCGACAAAUUGGGGAAACAGACACUAAUGUAAAGACACACAUGACAGACUUCGAAAACCAAUGUACGGGAAUCGCACCACUCAAAAAAACGAUGUCCUAGGGAUACCAGAAACUAUUAGCGCACCAAACACACACAUUAGGAGAGAUACAACUGGCAUGGCAGUAGGACAUAGGCAGAACAAUAGAAGAUAGGGACUGGGAGAGGGCCUACAUAGCCCACAAGGGACUCACAGCAUGUGCCACGCACCUGUAAUUACAGAACAAAAUCUUAUACUGCUGGUAUCUGGUACCGGACAAGCUGCACAAAAUAUGGCCAGCAACCAGCAAUAUAUGCUGGAGGUGUGGGGAGGAGGUGGGUACAAUGAUACACGUCUGGUGGACAUGCACCACACUCCAUUUUGGGAAGCAGUAGCAAACUUAAUACAGAAGAUACUGCCCACCCCAAGAGCAGAUGACCCACAGGUGUGUCUCCUGUUCAUAUUACCAGAAGAAAUACCGAAACAUGUCAAGUUGAUAAUAUACCACACAUUAAUUUCAACUAACCUAGUAAUAUCUAGACUAUGGAAGAAGGCGGUGACCCCACCUAUAGAAGAUCUCAUACAGCAGGUAGACCGAAAUUGGGCGUAUGAAAGGAUGACUACCACACAAUUUGGUGAACGAAAAGGGGUACAGGAGGCACAUGACCUAUGGGUAAAACACACUAAAGAACCCUACAAUACCUACCCAUAACCAAUCAAAUGUGACCUAAGUAGCCCACGAAUAACAUGCUGAGAGGUACCACGAUGAGUACCUACAGGCAAAAGGCAACAAACAGGCGACAUAUAUCUAACCCAAAGUACACUACCCAAAUAUUACCAUAACAUAACUCUGAAGCCUCGAUGCAACUCUGUAACUUCUUUAUUCAACUAUAAAUAUGCUCAGCGGCGGGCACAAACCGCAAUGCUCGGCAAUGGUAGCCUAUAGGGUCACAGACCUGCAUAAGUGCCCGUGUCCCCUAAGCGCAGAAAGUGAGGAAUUGCAAACAUGGAGAUGACGAGGGGAAAGGGAUACAUAGACCCAAGGCUCCCCUGCCACACCCUGGAACCCAAACUGCCAACAUUACGAACCCGCACACAUAGAAGCCCAACUGGGAUAUUCGGGCGUAAACAAUAAACAAUACACAAUCUAGUACCAUAACCACGAUCAAGAAUAACCAAAAGCGUACUGGUAGAUAACACACACGGUAACUGUAACUGUAAAACUCAUGUAUAAAACCAAUGAAUCUCUGGAACCAGGGAAGUCCAUGUUGUAUAUAUCCAUGUUGUAUAUGUGCGUGUAUUCAGCCUGCAAUCCCCCCUCCAUUCUUUGUUUUGUAUCCCCAUGUUUUGACUUGUGACAAAAUAAAAAAUUGGCAAUGGCAAAAAAAAUUGUAAUGCCAAAUGACUGGCACUUAACUAGUACAACACUUUUUUUUUAACAUGUCCGCAUUUAGUUUUUCUUAUAAAUGUAUGUUUUGCAGUAUUAACUAAAAGUCAUUCCUAGGAGAGCAUUCAAAAUAUGUGUGACCCUAGUUCAGUGAUGGCGAACCUUUUUGAGCCCGAGUGCCCAAACCGCAAUACAUGCCAACUUUUUGUCUCCUUAAAGUGCCAACACGGCAAUUAAACCCAAAUACUGAGGUUUAAGUUUAGAAAAAACAACUCGUACUCUUGUCCGAACUAAUAACUUUUGUUUUAAAAGAACACAGAAAGUUCAAUGAUACAAAUUUUAAAUAAUGAUUUAAAUAGAUAAAAUUAAGCUUAUAUUUAUUAGUAUCUCCAACAAAUGCAAUACAUACACACAGAUGACUGCUGAAUACAGAGACUGAUGAAUACACACAGUCUGCUGAAUACACAUACAGACAGACUGCUGAGUACACACACAGACUGCUGAGUACAAACACACACAGACUGCUGAGUACACACACACACACACACAGACUGCUGAGUACACACACACACUGCUGAGUACACACACACACACUGCUGAGUAGUCACACACACAGUCCGCUGAAUACACGCAAACACACACAGUCCGCUGAAUACACGCACACACACACAGACUGCUGAAUACACGCACUCACACACAGACUGCUGAAUACACGCACACACACUGCUGAAUACACACAUACUGCAUUGAGGUGGGGGGUGCUGUGUGUGGAGGGGUGCUUGUGUGGGGGGUGCGUGUGUGUGUGAGUGUUGUAUGUGAGGGGUGCUGUGUGUGUGUGUGCUGUAUGUGUAAGGGUGCUGCGGGGGGGGGUAGGGNNNNNNNNNNNNNNNNNNNNNNNNNNNNNNNNNNNNNNNNNNNNNNNNNNNNNNNNNNNNNNNNNNNNNNNNNNNNNNNNNNNNNNNNNNNNNNNNNNNNGUGUGUGGGGGUAGGGGUACUUCUGGGAGGGUUGGGGUACUGCUAGGGGGGUAGGGGUACUGUGUGUGGGGGGUAGGAGUACUGCUGGGGGGUAGGGGUACUGCUGGGGGGGUAAGGGUGCUGUGUGUAAGUAUACCCCCCCCUCCCUCCUUCUUACCUUUAAUGAAGUAGGGGGGGGGGCACAGCCAUCCCUGGUGGUCCGGUGGUGGUAAGCACUGCAGGGGGAGGGCUCUGUAAUGCAGCUCCCCUGUCCUCCCGCGCAAUGCUGUGUUGAGCGUUGCCAUGGCAACGCGCUGCAACGCUCCACACAGCAUCGCGCGGGAGGACAGGGGAGCUGCAUUACAGAGCCCUCCCCCUGCCUCCCGACCCGGAAGCAGAGUAGGCGCCUGCCGUUUCGGGCAGGCAGGCGCCUACUCUGCAUUGAUGGUGAACCUGUGGCCGCGUGCCAUAGGUUCGCCAUCACUGCCCUAGUUACUCACAAGAAAUCUUGGACUUAGAAAAAAAAUGCUUACCAUGGCAGUUGCUAAGAAACCAAUGCAAAACAAAAAGGGAUCAAAGACCAUACUAAAAUCUAAUAUUGGUAAUGCAAAUCUAGACAAAGACUGUGAUCCCUUUGCUUUUGCAAUGAAUUGGUUAUAUCAUUGUACAACAAAGGGAUAGAUAGAUAGAUAGAUAGAUAGAUAGAUAGAUAGAUAGAUAGAUAGAUAGAUAGAUAAAUAGAUAGGCAAAACAUAUUAAUUUCAAUUUAAUUUUAUUACUUUACAGAUGAUCAAUUUUACCUUAAAAAUACAUUUUCGUGAUAUUAAGUUCUGAUUAGAAAUUACAGAUAUAAAUCACAUAAUUAGAAACAUUACUCUGGUGCUUGUAGGGGUUUUGUUUGAUCACAAGGUUAUUCACGUCUAUAAUUUAAUGUGAUAGUAUCGCAGUUAAUGAAGCUAUAUUAAUAAGAAGCUAGAUUUGAUUUGUGAUACAAUUUGAUGUUAAUUAUCUUAGCUAUCACUUUAAUUUCUAUGUGUUUUCUAACACAUGCAGAUUUUGAUCUAAAAUUGAAUGGCCAGCAUGACAUUAGUGUUAUAUAUUGUCAAUACAUAAAUGUUCUUCACAUUAUAUAUCAUUAUCAUAUAUUUAUAACUUUCACCCUGAUGAUAUAUUUAUCAUUUGCAGAAUUUCAUCCUUAACUCUUUCAUGACUCAUGAUAGAUUUGCCUAACAAUUUCCCAAAAGGGGUGAAGUGAUUUUGUUCAUCGAAAUGAAUUGUUUAUGUUGCCUGGAGGCUCCCUUACAUCGUGGGUUAAACCAUUGUUGAACGGUUAUACUCCAAAGUUGCCUCCAGCAGCAAUGUCCACUCCCCAAAAACUUUGCAUGACCUGGAAGCAUUGUGCCAAGAUGAAUGGGCAGCUACACCACCUGCAAGAAUUAGGGGCCACAUAGACAACUAUUACAAAAGACUGCACAAUGUCAUUGAUGCUAAAGGGGGCAAUAAACUGUUUUGAGAACUAAGGGUACGAAGACUUUUGAACAGGGGUCAUUUAAUUAUUUUUCUUUGUUGCCAUGUUUUGUUUUAUGAUUGUGCCAUUCUGUUAUAACCUACAGUUGAAUAUGAAUCCCAUAAAAAAUAAAAGAAAUGUGUUUUGCCUGCUCACUCAUGUUUUCUUUAAAAAUUGUACAAAUUGUACACCAAUUCCUAGAGUAUGCAAACUCUUGAGCCCAAAAUAUCUUUUUUUAUGUUGGAGAAUAAAAGCCCUUAAGCGCAGAGGUCCUAAACACCUGCGGGCUGCAUAGGAUGUCCCUGUCAGCAUGACUACUCAUAUGCUCCUUGCCAUUUCCCCACCGGUGAUCAAGAUCGGCGGGACCGCCAGACAUGCCAGGCAGUCCCCUAGUGUCAGAUCCAUCACUCCAGGGCCAUGUAAUCGUGAGAUCCUCACGAUCACAUGGCCAAAAUGCCUGUCUGCAGCUCUGCCUGCAUUGAGUUUUAUAUACGUAAUAAAAAGGGUGCACUCACAGGUCUUUUCUGUGAAACAAUUAUGUUAGUUUAUUCAAAAAUUACAUAAUACACAAAAACUUGGUGAUCGACGUUUCGAUCCAUCAGCUUCUUUCUCAGGAUCAAUGUGACCAAGGUUCAACAAGCUAUAUAUAGGAAAUAUACAAAACGUACACACUUUCUAACUCACUGAUCCACCUAACUAGGAUAUACAGCAAUUACACAUAUAUAUAUAUAUCUAGUGAGGUAGCCAGUGAGUUAGCUCAGUUGGUAAAUUCCCUGACUGCAGAGCCUGUUCAAAUCCUGGCACAGUCAACUCUAUUUAUUAGAGGGUAAGUCAGCUCAGCAGUGUGACAUUUUGCCUCAUAUGAGCUGAAAUGUCACAGUGCUGAGGUGAAUUACCCUCCAAUAAAUAUAGUUACCAUCUGUAUCCUGGAGUGCUGCCUGUUCUUCUGGUCUUCUCGAACCCAGGCAGAAAGUUCAGAGAAUUUAAUUUGCAAUCCCUGCAACUUUCCAAGACAAUGUAAAACCUGUACUUGUUGGGUACUGUUGUACUCGGGAGACAUCGCUGAACACAACUGCGAGUGUUUUAUAGCAGUAAUAUGUAAAAUGCUGAUUAUAUUAUUAGUGAAAAGGCAGCUUCUUUGUGAAACUUUUUAAAAACUAAUAUGAACACUAAGUUUGGCCAGGGUUUAUGACUAAGUGGCUACUAAAAAAGACUGGACAUACACCAUUUGCAAUUCCUUGGGUUGUCUACAUUUGCAAAUGGUAUGCUAUGAUGGGGUUAAUUUUCAUUUUUGUGCUGCUAUAUAGUCUAAAAGGCAACAUUACCAAUCUUCCAAUUCUCAAUGUGUAUAAACUGAAAAAAGGGAACCUGCUAUAUCUGACCCUGUAACGUUCCAAAACCCCAUACAACAUGUACAUGGUUGGUACAGCUGUACUCGAGAGACAUCACUAAACAGAAAUAUGUGUGUUUUAUUGCAGUAAAAGCUAACACUGUUAUUACAUUCACAGUUAAAAUGCAAUGCAGAACUUGGAAAAUAAAAGUUUCCCUUUUCUCACAAUUGUUUAGAUUUUAUUAAAAUCUAAUUAUGUUUUUUAUAUAUAAAUAUUUCAUGUGAAAUGAAAGCCCUGUUUCUCCUGAACAAAAUUAUAUAUAAUAAGUGUGGGUGUACUUAGAAUGAAAGCGGUAAUUUUUGGUUGAAUAGACAUAUAGUCAAAUUCCAGGUUUUGUUUUGAUUUUCUUUUGAUCAAAACAUGUACAAUUGCCUCUGUCCUUGAGGGGUAAAAGGCAUGAGCAUGGAGUGCUGUAUCUUGAAAGGAGCUCAGAUAGGCACAAAGACAUAUAGGUAUCCCAGUUAAUAAAUACAAAUACAAUGGUAGUAAAUGAGAAUUGGUUCAUCCUUCAAAGUUUUUUCACUGUCCAAAGGAGGUCUGGGUUGUUUGUUAUAAAUUGUUAAAAUCCAGUGAUGUUUUCCAUAUGUAUCACUGUUUAAUUUAGUUUGCAAAAUAUUAAAGCAUGUUUGAGAGUCCCUGUCUUUUGUUGUGUUUACAGUUUGUUUUGUGUUUUUUUUGUUGUUGUUUUUUUGACAGCCUAACUAGACAUUCAGUAUAAGAAUUAAAAACACAAACAUCAAGAGAAUCACAAGUGUGGAAAAUCUUUACCCAUUAUUUUAAACAAAAUGAAAAGUAGAAAGUUAUGCUUGCUAAUUUAACUUCAAAGAAAUAUGAGCUGAAUUAACUAUUACAUUUAUUUUUUAUAGCCCAAGGCUGUUUAUGGUUUCCUAAAUACAGCAUGCAUGUUUGCUCUUCAAUUUUCCAAAUGACUGUCCUACAUAAUUUAACCCAUGAAUUCAUGGUCGUGUAGGUACACAUGUUUAAUAAACCUUUAAAUUUUCCCAUAUAUCUUUUUUUCUUCAAGUUAAUAAGGACUCAUAUACAAAUCUUAGACACGAUCCUACUGGUGAAAUAGCCUAAACAAUAUAAAAUCUCAAACUGUAGUUUGUCGUUUAAUAUGGGCCUAUAUAUAUUCAAACCAUGUAUUUCCUGUUAGUCUUUACCAUUUCAGCUAUACCUUCUCUAAAAAGAACAGUUACCAUCUGCCUGACUGCCACUUAAAUCAUGCAUUCUAGUUUUAUUCCCUUCCAAUCAAAAUUAAAAAAAAAACUUUGAAAAAUGUAGGAAUGUGUAGUUAGAGAGAAUUGUUGUGUAAUCUCCACAGAGAAAUCAAGUUAUUUAUGCUAGACAAAAUAAGUUAAAAAUAAAAAGGAGACGAGAUACACUUACAGUGUACAGAGCUAUCAGUUAGCUCUAUUUCUGUACAAUCCCUGCCUAAGGAUAUAUGGUGUAUCUCUGUGUCCUGUGGAAGCUGGUCUGGAAGGUAUGAAAAAUAAUCAGAAAGACACCAAUAUACUUUAGUGUAUUUGGUGUUAUAAAUAAUAUAAGUAUAUGAAUAAAAAUGCACUCAUAUAAUAUGAAGCCUACCAUAGCUUAUUGUAUACAGUGUGAAGUACUACAAUCCCACUCUUGUUAUGUAAGUGGCUGAUGUUCUGUGUGGUGUUAUGUGAAUAAAAACAGAAAUAAAAUUUAAUGCUCACUGUAGAAUUAAAAGUAUUAAAUUACUUGGAUAGGUACUCACUGAUGUAGAGCAAUAUGACAGUUUUUGCUCAAUGCUCAGGGCAUAUGUGGUAUCACUAAAAAAUCACUAAUUAUAUUGAUUAUCACUUAUUCAAAUAAAAAGAAAUAACACAAAAACAAGUAAAAUAUGUUAAUAACAGUAAUGCAUUUAAUCUAUUUUCAAGGCUUUCUGGUAGUGUUAUAGGUUCCUGGUCCCAAACUGUUUAAAUAGAGAGCACAAAUUCAAAUUUACCAGUCACAAGACAUCAUAAUCAGGUCACUGCAUGCUAAUUAGCAUAUUUAUAAAUCAAAAUGCGUUUUUAAACUUAAAACCUAAUAAAUAUGGGGGUGUAAGACUGAAUGUGAUAUAGAAACCUAAAUAUGAGGCUUUUUUUAUAAGCAGGAGUGAGAUAGAAAUAUAAAAUAAGAAGAUGGUGCCUCAGUCCAGGUCAUGUGAUCAAUGAGCUCAAAAUAGGGUCACAGGUCACAAUUGCAAUUUAUCUUGCAGGGCCAAUUCAGAAUCUGAAAUAUGAUUAAAAGUCGUAGAGUUUGGAAUGGUGAAUAAACUAAAAAGUGUAUAAAAAGAUGAGUGUAUUCAAGCAUAUAGCCAACUUAUAAAACAUGUAAGCUUGGCUUUACAACCUAUUUGUCCUUUUCAACCUAUUGUUCCUGUAAGUUUUCUUGUAAUUGUCCUAUUUAUAGUUACUGUUGGCGCUAUAUAAAUGGCAAUAAUAUUAAUAUUAAUAAUAAUAAUAAUAAUAAUAAUACAAAGAUAGCGCCAGAAUCCACAUUCCAAGUCAACUGAUUUGCUGUGGGAAUUUAAAGGUAUUCGCUUUGUGGGAAAAAAUAAAACUAAGAAAAAUAAUACAUUAUAGUUAAAAAAAACUGGGAAAAUAUAUAAAAACUGUGAAAAACAUAAUUUCUUGUUUUCCUAAUUUCUUAUAAUGUUGCCCCUUUGCCGUGGAGAAGUGAACUUUUCUAUGGCACAGACUAUGGCACCCAGUGAUUGGUGAAACCUUCACAGGGAGAUCAUGCCAAACUAAUCUUAUUGAUUUUUUUGAUUGGGUAACUAAAAUUAUAGAUCAGGGUGGUGCAGUAGACAUUGCUUACCUAGAUUUCAGUAAGGCUUUUGACACUGUUGCACAUAGAAGGCUUAUCAAUAAACUGCAAUCUUUAAGUUUGGAUUCCAAUAUUGUUGAAUGGGUAAGGCAGUGGCUGAGUGACAGGCAACAGAGGGUUGUAGUUAAUGGAAUAUAUUCAAAGCUUGGAUUUGUCACCAGUGGGGUACCUCAGGGAUCUGUACUUGGACCCAUUCUCUUUAAUAUUUUUAUUAGUGAUAUUGCAGAAGGUCUUGAUGGUAAGGUAUGUCUUUUUGCUGAUGAUACUAAGAUAUGUAACAGGGUUGAUGUUCCAGGAGGGAUAAGCCAAAUGACAAAUGAUUUAGGUAAACUAGAAAAAUGGUCAGAAUUGUGGCAACUGACAUUUAAUGUGGAUAAGUGCAAGAUAAUGCAUCUUGGACGUAAAAACCCAAGGGCAGAGUACAGAAUAUUUGAUAGAGUCUAACCUCAACAUAUGAGGAAAGGGAUUUAGGGGUGAUUAUUUCUGAUGACUUAAAGGUAGGCAGACAAUGUAAUAGAGCAGCAGGAAAUGCUAGCAGAAUGCUUGGUUGUAUAGGGAGAGGUAUUAGCAGUAGAAAGAGGGAAGUGCUCAUGCCAUUGUACAGAACACUGGUGAGACCUCACUUGGAGUAUUCUACACAGUACUGGAGACCGUAUCUUCAGAAGGAUAUUGAUACCUUAGAGAGGGUUCAGAGAAGGGCUACUAAACUGGUUCAUGGAUUGCGGGAUAAAACUUACCAGGAAAGGUUAAAGGAUCUUAACAUGUAUAGCUUGGAGGAAAGACGAGACAGGGGGUUAUGAUAGAAAUAUAUAUAUAUAUAUAUAUAUAUAUAUAGAGAGAGAGGGAAUCAACACAGUAAAGGAGGAGACUAUCUUUAAAAGAAGAAAAACUACCACAACAAGAGGACAUAGUAUUAAAUUAGAGGGACAAAGGUUUAAAAAUAAUAUCAGGAAGUAUUACUUUACUGAGAGGGUAGUGGAUGCAUGGAAUAGCCUUCCAGCUGAAGUGGCAGAGGUUAACAUAGUAAAGGAGUUUAAGCAUGCGUGGGAUAGGCAUAAGGCUAUCCUAACUAUAAGAUAAGGCUAGGGACUAAAGAAAGUAUUUAGAAAAUUAGACAGACUAGAUUGGCCGAAUGGUUCUUAUCUGCCGUCACAUUCUAUGUUUCUAUGUUUAAAUGUUUCUGCAAUGUUCAUUCAGGUUUAUUGUAGACCACAAACGCAUUCCAAUAAGUUAUGACAUUUUUUAUAUUGUAGCUUUUCUGAGAUUGGUUGGAUUUCAAUUUAAAAAAUAGGGUAUUACUUGUAUUUGUAUUAUUGCAUGCUAUGCAAGAUUUGCAUUUAUAUAAUCCUUUUUGUCUAAAAAUGUGUUGCUGUGGAUAGUUAUUUUUCCUAAUUAGCUUUAGGUUAGACAUGUUCUUAAGUUGGGAAUACCUCUGAAAAUAUUUUUUUGUUUAAUUGGAAGAAAAUCUCUCAGUGUGUCAUCUUCUUUUAAGAUGACACACAGAGAUCUUAUUCUAAUUAAACCAAAAAUCAUAAUAUCUGAACACUGCAGACACAUUUCUAAUGAAAAGGUCACUCCUCCAUGGCGAGGGGACAGCAUUUCAAAAAUUUUAGGAUUACAAGAAAUGAGAUGGGUAUUUAACUUGAUCACUCUUUUCCACUAUGGUCUAGAUGUUGAUUUUGAUCAUUUAGUUUAUUUUAUAACAUUUAAUUAUAAUACCUACACUGUUACCACUUUUAUCCACUAAUGUCAAUGUUAAUUUUGGAUUCUUCAUUAUGUCUUAUACCUUAAAUUUCAUAUUACUUGUUUUAUCACAUGUUUUUCACAGUUUUUUACUAUCAUUUAUUUUAUUAGUUUUAUUUUUCCCACAUAGCAUGUACCUUUAAAUUCCCUCUAGAUAUGCUGAGCCAUACCCACCGCAAAUCACUUGACUUGGGACCUGGGCUCUGGCUCCAUCUUUGUAAAGCCAAGCUUAAAUUCUUUUAGAAGCCAGCUACAUUCUUAUAUACACUAGUUUUUUUUAAUACACUUUUUAGCUUAUUCACCAUUCCAACCUCUAUGGCUUCUCACCAUAUUUCAGAUUUGAUAUUUUACCUUCACCCUGCUGCAGUAUCUUGCAAGUCAUGUCACUCAGGACCUGGCUCUAAGCACCAUUUUGUUUGAUCCGUAUUUAUGAGCUGGCCAUUAUAUAACACUUGUUUUUAUAUGUUUUUUUACUUUUGUUCCACCACCCUCAGAGCCCUUUCCAUAAUAAAACCCUAAUUUUUUAUGUUUCUAUAUAACAUUACGUCUAUAAUAACCUGUCUGCGGGUUUCCAGUUUAAAAAUGUAUUUUCAUGUAUUAUUACGUUUAUUGGCGCACGGUCAUGUCACUAUGAUGUCAUGUGACUUCGAAAUUUGAAUGUAUGCCCCCUAUUUAAACAGUUUGUGUCCCGGAACCUGUAACACCAGAUAAAGCCUUGCUAAUAGGUGAAACAUUUUCGUUUAACUUGUUUUUAACUCAUUUCUUUUUAUUUACAUAAGUAUUUAUCAAUAACAUUUGUUAAUGUUUUAACAUUUGGGGACCAUCCUGUUUAUUUUUGGACUUUGGACACCAUUUUCCAUGGUGUGUAAUAUACCAGCAAUGCCAUGAGGAUUGGGCAAAACAGUUAUUUUACACUACAUCAGUGAGUACCUCAUCUAUUUAUUUUAUGCUACAGUGAGUACUAGAUUUUGUUUCUGGUUUUAUUCACAUAAUAUCACUGUGAAAACACUUAUAUAGCCAAGAGUGGGGAUUAUACUAUUGAUACUACUAGGAGCCAUUGGGAGGCUUUAUAUUAUGUGACUGCAUUUUCAUUCAUAUACUUUUCAAACUUUUUUAUUGAACAGUAUUGUAAAAAACAUAUUUCACAUUAAUUUGGUAUAUAAAGAAAUCAACAUUUAACAAUAGAAACAAGUAGAAAUAAGAAGGAAAGGUGAAUAAAAUAAUGAUCAAAAAGAAAAAAAAGUGGAGAGGACGGGUACUAUCCAAAUGUAUAAUAAUAAAAUAGUGGAUUUGUUCCAGUCGUCAACUGCUCCUGACGACGGCGUGCUGACAUGCCGAAACGAUUGUCGAGCUAUUAGUUUUUUUGUUUUCUCACUACAUUUUGUAGCACUAUGCACUAGCUUUAGUUAGUUAAGUUUCAUUUAUACUUUUUUAGUUGAGGAAGGGAGAGUGGUUCAGGUAGGCAUUAGUGGCUUGUCCAUGGUGCUGAGGUAUUAUAGGGACAGAUCUUAUCUAAGUGAUUGUUUUUUAUUGGGGGGUUUCGGUGGGGACGCUGUGGGUGGUUUACUUGGGGUUUAACCCCUUCAUCUAUAUCCCCUUUUCCCUUAUCUCUGUACAUACCUGAGCUUUGUAGGUAAGCUGCUGAAAUAUGUAACUUUAGCUUACACUUUUUAAGCUUGGUUUAUUUUAGCUAAUUCAGCUGAUUUUUUACACAGAUUCAUCCUUCUGUGUACAUGUGUUUAUGUGCAUGGUUGUACAUAUAUCACAUGUACUCUCUUGCCUUUCUGUUUACUAUUUUUUGUUUUCCCUUAGGACUAAUAAAGGUAGGGAUUCCUAUAUAUGUUAUUCUCCUAAUUAGGACCUUUAGUCCAUUUUCUUAAUUUUGUUUGCUAUUAGUGGGUUAUCCCCACAUCUAGGAGAAUAAUAGUGAGUUUUUAUGGACCUAAUCAACUAGCCCCCAGUAAUUGUGGGACUUUUUUAUCAGCUCUUAUCAAAUUAUUUGCAGAAUCAUUAUAGGCAUUAAUCUACAUGCUAUAAAAGAACAACAGCCCAUCCCCAAACAGGUGUAAUAAAACCUGAAACUCAAAUACAAAACCCCACUUACCAUACCAAUGAAUCCUGUCACCUAUAGCAAACAAUACGGGUAUGAAAAAACUGAAAACAAAACUGAGAAAUCUACGUGUUUCGUCUCUAACAGACUUUUUCAAGACUGAAAAAGUCUCUGUUAGAGACGAAACGCAGAGACGAUCGGGUCUUUCUUUUUUUACUACACCCAUUUUCAAGCACGUUACCCUGGAAGUGGAUUACGGCAUCAGCUACACUCAUUGAUACCGAGAGUGGGUUUCAUCACCUGGCGUUUUUGUUUCGGUGUGCUCACCUCCUCCGGCAACUGGCAGGCGAACAGGGUAAGUCGUUGGGGGACUCAGUGUUUUACACGGACUUGGGUAUUCCCCUCCUGCAACCUUAGCCAUCUCCAUUUUACCGGACGGGUUUAUGAGCUCCAAAUCUUCCCCAGGUAGCCUUGAGGAAUUUCAUUGCAAGAUAUAAAGAUAUUUUGAUGGGCUUGCACUACUCCUCUAUUCUGUGAGUGCAAUAUUUACAGCAGGGACAUCUCUACUAAACGGUGUUUCCCUAUGAGUGUUCUCUGCUUUUGUUUUUUCUAGGUGUAUCUUGUUUUGUGUAACAAUUUAAGAGUUAUCUGAUUCCAGCACCUACUCCAUUACCAGACUUAGGGGCUAAUGUGCAUUAGGCCCUCCUCAUAGGAAAGUAUUACUUCAAUGCUUUCUAUAUGGGUAUUUUACUGACACUGGAUGUUCUCAUACACAGCAUGAGGACGCCCAGUGUCAUUUAGAUGACCAAAAGUCGCCUGACCACCAGGAAGUGCCUCUCAUGGCUGUUUGAUUGACAGCCACUAGAGUAAGUCUAAGUAAUGCAAUGUAAUCAUUGCAGUUUCUCAAAAGUGGAACUGGUAAAAUUUGGUAAUAAAUAUAUUCUAAAUACAUUCCUUCAGUGAAUUCUGCAAUAUUGAACUGCAAUUUAAGCAGCCUACCAGUGGCGUACACAUAAUCCAUAGGGCCCUGGUGCAAAAUUGAUCCCUCCCUCUCCUUCCUCCCGUGCAGCUCUUGGUGGUUGCUCGGAGGAGUGACCGGGGCAGUCACUUCCUCCCAAUGUCUGACAUCAUCAGAGGGGGCUCAGUCAUGCUGACCCACUCUGAUGAUGAUAUUCAUUUCCAUUGGGUGGCCCUAGCAGCAUGGGCCACCCGAUGGGCACCUUCACGUGCGGCCCCGGCAAUUAUACCACGCAGCCUAAGCUGCAACACAUGGCAGCGGGAACUGGUCACAGGGGUCCGCUGGUUGCCUGGGCCCGCAGGAGUGAAGGGCCCAGUCGCAGAUGCGACCCCUUCGAACGCGGUAUGUACGCCACUGCAGCCUACUAUUAAACAGUCAACUUAAAGGACAUACAUUUAAAAAAAAAAAAAAAUAUGUAGAAAUUUUGAGUUUAAACAGGCACUAACAUACAUGCCUUAUUAUUAUCAUGACUGUGGUGAUAUGUCAAACCUCAAAAUGCUCUUACCACUAGAACUUGUUUUCAAUAUAGGAUUGAUCUCACACUAUUCUUACUUGUCUCCCACAUACAGCUGUAAUAAUACUCAAAUCGACCAUAUCAUCAAAUGCCUUCUACAUGGUUCCUAAUAUGGCUUAUGGCUACACUCACGAUGCAUGUUUUUGCUCUUUGCAGCAUUUAUACUCCAUACUGUAAGAGAUGACAGGUAGUGCUUCCAGUGUAUCAGUCUUGAUAAUGUUUGAAUACUUCAAUUAUUUGCUAUAAGUAAAAUAUAGUGUUUAAGGAUUGUUUUUGUACAAAUUUCUCAUUCAUUGCUUAUUUUAAUCUGUGUAGGCAUUAGUACAAUAAGGGUUAAAAACGUUUACUUUAGAAUUUUUGGAAUAUCACUCCGUCUUGUGUGACUCACAAGGCUCAACUCCAUGUAUUUAAUUUAGAACAUUACGUGCAUAUUUAUGACAUUGAUCUAAAAAUAAAUAAUAACAAGGUCUAAUAAAACACUACUACUGGACAACUCAAAGAUCUUGCCCUUCAGUUGGUCCUGCUCAGCUUUAAGCUAGUUUCAUCUAACUUGUUCCAAGAGAGCAUUUAAGAGAGCACCUUUCAGUUUUAUUAUCUGAUGCUAUUAUCCAAAAUGCCAGCAAAUUCCUACUUCACAAGAGAUACAACAAUGUAAAAUGAUUGUUAGGAUGCUAAGGGGCUUGGAUUUACUUAUAUAGUUUGACUGCCUCUGGUUUACUUGUUUAUAACAAUAUUACCAAUAUCACUUUUAAGAUUUUAUUUUGCAUAACUCUUCUGACUUUGAUUUGGCAGAACCUUUGGCAUUAGAGAAUUUGCUCUAAGUGAGAUAAUAGUGAUUAUUUUCAGUCUAUGUAUUUAUUUUAUGUCUGAGAAUAAAAUAAAAUAUAAAUCUUAUGCAGAUGUUUUGCUCCUACUUCACAGUUUUGCUGUGCCAUUGUUCAUCUUAUUUAAUACAUCAAUAAUUAAAGAAAGAAACUACUCUGCUCUAUUUACCAGCUGUAUGAAUCUGUUUUUGCAAACAAUAUUUUUUUAUAUUAUCCUAUCCUCCAUUUUGCUCCCUGCUGUCUAUGGAAUUUUCAUAAGUGAUUAAGUUACUAUCCCUUUCAGAUAGCUAAAUCUUGUUAACCUGUCAAUUAAUUCACUACAGAACUUUAGAAACUUUCCAGGUUACAUACAUGCCAAUUUCUGACUGUAAACCAUAUAAACAUUUACACAGAGGCUGUACAUCGCUAUAAUCAGUUCUCCAGCUCCUGAGAACUAUGUGCUCCAGGGUUACUUUUGCACAUCUGCUUGCCUUUGACUAUUUGUCCAUCUGUGUUUCUGGACUUUCUUGAUCUUGCUCCAUGCUUUCACCUGAGUUUAAGUAGCUGCAAAGCCUUAACAUUUUUACAGUAGUUGAGUCCAGGUUCAGCCAAGAUUUGCAACAUCUCUAUGAAGUCCUUAACUCCAACUUCUUUCAAAUAUCCCAUUGGUCCUGUAAAAAAACCCUGACUUAAUCCCAGUCAGUUCUUAAUCCCAGUAAUGUUCCAGAUAGCAUGAUGAUCUAGAUUGUAAGCUUGUUUGACAACUUAUUGUUCCGGUAACAUUUUGUAAUAGUCUCAUUUACUGUUAAAUGUCACCCUUUAUAAUAUUGUAAAGCACUGUGGAAUAAGUUGGUGCUAUAUAAAAGGCUAUUGCUAAUAAUAAUAAUAAUAAUAAUUAAAGGGACAAUAUAGUCACCAGAACAACUACAGUUUAAUGUGGUUGUUCUGGUGAGUAUAAUAGCUCCCUUCAGGUAUUUUCAUGUAAACAUGAAAAUGCAGUGUUUACAUUGCCCCUAGAGACACCUCCAAGUGGCCACUCCUUAGAUGGCCACUGGAUGGGCUUCCUGGCUCAGGGCUGCACACUAAGUAGCCCUGCCAUUCAGCAUCCCCACGCUCUGCAUGGAGACGCUGAAUUUUCCUCAUAGAGAUGCAUUGACUCAAUGCAUCUCUAUGAAGAGUUCCUGAUUGGCCAAAACGGCAUUUGGCCCUGCCCCAGUGCCGAUUUUAGCCAAUCCAAUGCUUUCCCUAUGAGAAAGCAUUGGAUUGGCUAAAAAUCGGCCAUUUCAGUGAUGUCACAAAAGGGGCAGAGCCAACGCUGGCAGACCCGCAGGCACUGUAAAUAAGGUGAGUUUUCAACUUUUAUAGGGGGGGCUAAGGGUGGGGGAAAGCCACCUAUAUGGUGGGUUUAGUACUAUAGGGUCAGGAAUACAUGUUUGUGUUCCUGACCCUAUAGUGUUCCUUUAAGCCCAAGUUUUUUUGCACUGAUUAACAAGAACCAAAGCUCUCAUUUUUCCUUUACUUUUAAUUGCUGAUACCAGUGAAUUGUGGUAAAAGGGAAACAAAGCAACACUAUUAAAGUUAAAUUAGUCAAGCUGUAAAUAAAGAUUUAUUUUUUUUAUCAGCAACAGUCACCUUAUGUUUUGAGAUUUUGUUUUCAGUAAACCACAAUUUACUUUUAAGAUGUUAAUCUUGUAGAGUGGUUUCAGAUAAUUACAGCUUGUAUGAUUUUGGUGAUGUAAAGUCACUAGAAAUGCAAGAGUCACAAAGCUUUACUUUUUAUAAAAUCAAUGACUUGUUUUUCUGUAUGGAAAAAAAUUAAAAUAAUUAAAAAGUCAUUUAAAUUCAAAAACAUAAGCAUGCAGUAAACCUUAGAAACUUUCACUCUCCUAAUGUCACAUUCACAACAAUUAAUGGGAAAAGCAAACUGAUUCAUAAAAUAAUUUCUUAGUGAAAUCAUCUAAACCUUUUACAUCAUAAACUCUGAACUUUUUAUUCAACAACUCUAUGUUAAGCAUCAGAAACUCUAUGUAUCAAAAGAUCUAAAUACAAAAUAUACACCAUGUUUUUCAAGUUGAGUACCCUCUUAUUCCAGUGACCCCUUCUGAAACAAAUUCUGUUUUUUGUUCGGUACUACUAAAUUAAAUUACAGUAGCAUUUAUUAAAAUAAAUGGUACUUGUAAAAUAAAACAAAGAAGUUUGUACUUGUGUCUUAGAACACAACAAAAUGUAUUUUCCUCUACAAUGUCACCGAGUGUCAGCAUGAAACAUCACAUUAAAAACCUUUUAAACAAUAAAAGAGCUUAAUAAACAUUGCAAGGAAGAUCUGACGGCUUUUGCCGUAUUUGUGACUCACCGCAUGUUAAAAUUUUAGUGCUGUGCACACAAUGCCUCAUUCAAUAAAACAAGGUUAAGAAAUUAAAUCUUUGCAAAAUAAUCUUCCACAAAGAGUAACAAAUCCAUUUUUACAGCUAAACUGACCAUUGAUGUUGCUCCGUCUGUUGUUACAGAUAAGAGUUUAUGCAGAGACUUGUCAUGGCUUUGCACUUAACUCUUGUCUGGCUUAAAAGGUCAUUCCUAUUUUGUCCAGAAUAAAAAAGAAUAUAUGGAUAUAUACAUAUACACACACACACACACUUAUGUACAUAUAUAAAUUUUUAUUUAAAAAACAAACAAACCUCAAAAAAUAUAUAUUCCUGACUUUGAAUAUCAAAUUCCUACUGCAAGUACAUAUCUGUUAACAACUCUUUGUAGUGAGAAUUUGUGCACAUUGAUAAAAAGGAGCUCACUCACUAUAUUUGCAAUUUUUCCUUCACUAAUGAUGUCCUAUAGAGAAAUUCCACAAUCCAUUGUAUAAUUGAACAAAAUUGUGCUACGAUGAAAAGGUUUAAACAUAGGUAUUAGAGGUAUAUAUGUGGUACUUGUGUGUUAUGUUGUCUUUUUGGACCUAGUAAUCUUUUUUGAUUACAUGCAUAUGUGUGUAGUGUUGCCUCUUUGGACCUAGUAAUCUUUGCUGAAAGUACUGUCACAAUAAUUUUAACUAAGGGUUGAAUGAUUGAGUGAAACUCUGUUGUUACUAAACGUCAAGAUGGUACACUGGACAUAUCAUACCAAAACCAAAGUGAGCAGAGCAAUGGUUUAACAGGAACCACACACAUAAUUAAGUCAUUUAAGUUGUUCAAAGCUUCUAUUCAAUACAUGUAUCACCACUGGAUUUAUAGUUUACAGCUAUUCCUGCAACAUACUAUGAAGACAAUAUAUAUCUAACUGUGAAUCACCAAAACUUCACUGUAACAAACCCUUAGCUGCAUCAAAAUAAUAUGUUCCUUAUUGCACUCACUGCAUGCAAAGAAAAAAGCAAUUUAUUGUUUAUGCACAUGUACAGAUGGCACACAAUUAGUUACAUAUAUAAAGAACAGAUCAAGAGAAAUGCAACAGGUAAUCAGAUAAUAGGAUGUAGUAGUACAAAGGUACAGGUUUACUACAUUUAGAAGUCAACCUCAUGUUCCAAUAGACAAACUCAGAAAGAUGGUCCUGUCAGGAAAUACUUGUGGUCCAGAUGGUGUGGAUGCAAAAGAUAAAUUGUUGGAGUCUGAUUUUCCAAAGAUAUAAAAGGUAAUGUGUUUUGGUGCAUGCAAUAAUAAAAACAUCAUAUAUAUUAUGUAAAAUCCACCUCCCCACCUCAUGUUAAAUGUCAUUUUUCUUUGCAAAUUUAAAUUUGGCUGAUUAAUCCCUAUUUCCUUUCCUCUUGCCAGGCGUUACAAAGAUGAUACAUUUUUGCACCAGAGCUCUGUUCAGCCAUACUAUAUCUUUGCAAACCUCACAUCAGUGUUAUGUAUUAGCCACGUUUAUGCUUUUCUACAUUCUUCUGUCAUUUUUAGAAUACUAAAUUCCUUGAAAUGUAGUCAGUUUCAUUACACUGUUUUUUGUUUUUUUUAAAAAUAUUGUAUGAUAAAUUAUAUUCGUUGACCGAAAGAUAAAGAAUAUCUUAUAAGUAUGAUGUUAAAUUAUACAAAUGUUUCAGAUAUCCCAGAAAAAUAGGCUAUACAUACAACUGCUGACUUGGAUUAGGUUUAUGUGCUGAUAUGCAUUAAGCUGUAACAAAACAGUUUACUAACAAACAAACGAAAACACAAUUAAAACAAUUAUUACCCUCCAAAAUAUGAGACAUUAUAUAAAGAAAUGUGUGUCAAAGCAAAAGAAAAAAAAAUCUUACAAAGAACUCAAACCCAAAUAUCCCUCUAAACCCCAAAUAUGUUAAUAAGCCUACAGUUACCUGUUCUUAUGUUGCCUGAGUGUCUCAGCAUCAUUAAACCUGGUCUCAGUCUUUCUCUUAUUUCCAUUGUUUAGUGUGACUGUGACUUUUAUAAUAUUGUGCUUCUAUAUUGCCUUCUAUUUUGGAUAGCAAUAGUUUUUAAAAUAAUUUAUGUAAUAAAGAUUUUGUUUGCCAAUUUUUUUCAUUGUUCAUCCUUGCAUAUUUUGGUUUUAUCUUCUAGUUACCAUUGAGUACCUGUUGGGAAUAGCACACAUUAUUGUGUUGCAUUAUACAAGUGCCACUUUUUUGAUUGUGUUGUGGCCUAUGUUAAACAUUUUAAUAAGAAUCCAACUCUCAGUAAUGAUGCGGUUAACAUCCCAUCUUUUUGGAUUAUGCUAUAUCAGGUUUCUGAAUUAGUAAAUAUUGAUCUAGUUAUCCUGUGAGCCAUUGCUGAUACAAAGAGAACGUCUUCAGAUACUGUACUUUACGCAAGAAAAACAACAGUUAAACUGAAUAAAAAUGGAGGUUGCAGUCCUGGAAGAAACUUGAUUCUCUAAAUAUUAAACAUUGCCUUUGGUCAACCCCUGUUCUUUUGAAAGCGUGUCAUUGUACUUUAGAUAGGUCUCAAACUGACAAGUAUCUUUGUAAGACAAUACUGUCCUUUAUGUUUGUUGUUUUUUUUUCCUUUUCCCAUUCUGUCAGAUAUUAGACAAAUGCUCGCCUUUUAACUAUAUUUUUUUUAACUAUUAUUUUUUACUAUUGUGUAGAGAGGUCACUGUUUUUAUGGGGGACAUUUUGGACCUGGAAAGGUUUUGUUGCUUUGGUUCACAGGAUUUCAAGUAGAUGUUUGUUGCAGAAUUUUUGUAACGACUGUAUAUGCAUGCAGAUGAGGGCAUAGCUCAUUUAGCAAAGGAUAGCUUCUUUCAAAUCUUUUGAUCUUGUGCCCACUGGGAAACUAGAUGCAAUGCCAUAACUAAUUCACAGAAGUUCUCUUGAACCUAUAGUUACAUUAAAGCAGUAGUUAAUUUUUAAAAGAUAAAAUUAAACCCUGCUACAAUUUUUAUGUAUUUAACAUAUAGACACUUACACAUACGUACACACAAUACAAAGUUCUCCAAAUUUCAAUAUGUACUGAUUUGUUACAGGUUUUUAAAAUGAUUCGGCCUUGUUGUUUUUCCCUCACAGGCCACCUGAUGCCAACAAUCCACCUUUCUACCCUCACUAAAUAAAACAUCAAGGUAAUACUUUUGUAUGAAUUCAUCAGAUUUCAUUAUAUUUUAUUUAUUAUGUUGCACACAACUAUAACACCACAUACCUUCAAGAAUACUUAAUAAACCACUUAAAUAAACAAACAAAACUGCCUGCUUGCUGAGACCUCUUCAAAACAUACAUUCAUUCUGGCACAUAACAGCUCCCAGGGUGAAACAUCACCUCAUGUCAUUUUCAUGGGUCAGUUAAGAAAGAAAAAUAGCAAAUCUCUUUAGUUCAAAUCUAUCUAAAUAAACAUUGGUGUAAAAUAAACAGACAUGUUUUAUCCUCCUUUAAUGCACAUCAAUAACUGAUGAUUUUGUAGCGUACAUAAGUUUUUCUUCUAUCUACAAAAGUCAGACAUCCAAGAUCUUACUGAAUUCUCAAGAAAAUUUAUUUGAAAAAAAAGAAAUACGUAAAUUAACCCCUUAAGGACACAUGACAUGUGUGACAUGUCAUGAUUCCCCUUUAUUCCAGAAGUUUGGUCCUUAAGGGGUUAAACUUGUGCAUGGAGAGGUUAGGUUGAACAAUUUUUUCUGGAAAACCCAAAACAAAAACAUUUUUUUCAGGAUGGCUGGAUUUCGCCCAUGUGUUGGUUAGGCUCUGCAGAAUUUGGUACCAAAACCUGAUUUGGGAAAGAUAAACCAAAAAGAAAGCAAAAAUAUACCAGUAUAAUGCAAUAUAUAUAAAAAUAUUAUAUUUUGCAGAACACUCAUAGGAGCAUUUGCCCCUGUUUGGUUCAUAGAUCAAGUAAAAAAAGUGACCAAUAGAAGGAAAUAUAGGAAAGAGCAGUAAAAAAAUACAUUUAUUAAAUAUAUAUAUAUAUACACAUACAUAUAUAUAUAUAUAUAUAUAGCUGUAAUAGAAGGCUGCACUCACGGAUUCCAUAAAAUAUAACUUUUAAUCAGUCUUGUUAAAAAAUCAACGUUUCAGUCCUACUUGAGGACUUUCAUCAGGAUAAUUUUCAAUCUGGUCACUUCUUUUUACCUGCCAGUUGCUGCUUUCUAUUGCUAAAGUGCAUACUUUUAGCAUGUAUAGGCUGUUUACUGUCACAUUUCAAAAGCACUAACAGAGAGUUACUAUGUAAAGGCUGUCUCUUAGAAACUAUGAACAGUCUUUCUCUUAGUAUUAUCAUGAAAGAUAAGAUAUACAGUAUAUGAAUGUGUGUGUUAGCAAUAACUGCUAUAAACCACCUUAGUGGGAUCCACUUAUACCACUCUAAAUGAUACUUGAAAAAUACAUACAGUAGGUGGAACACACGUGUAUAUUUCUCUAAGUAUUGUUUUAUCAUCCAUCCAUGAACUUUAGCUGCUAGUUAUAUUACACAUGGGGAGAAAAGAGUAACAACAUAGUUACAUAGUUACAUAGCUGAAAAGAGACUGGCGUCCAUCAAGUUCAGUCUUCCUCACAUUUGUUUUUUGCUGUUAAUCCAAAAGAAGGCAAAAAAAAAAAACAGUUUGAAGCACUUGCAAUUUUGCAACAAGCUAGGAAAAAAGUCCUUCUUGACCCCAGAAUGGAACAAGCAGUUAUUACCCUACAUUGAAAUAUUAUAUCCUUGAAUAUUUUGUUUUUGCAAGUAUGCAUCUAGUUGCUGUUUGAACAUCUGUAUGGACUCUGAUAAAACCACUUCCUCAGGCAGAGAAUUCCACAUCCUUAUUGUUCUUACAGUCAAAAAAACCUUUCCUUUGCCUUAGACGAAAUCUUCUUUAUUCCAGUCUAAACGCAUGACCUUGUGUCCUAUGUAAAGUCCGGUUUGUGAAUAGAUUUCCACACAAUGGUUUGUAUUGGCCCCGAAUAUAUUUGUAUAAUGUUAUCAUAUCCCCUCUCAGGCGACGUUUUUCUAAACUAAAUAGGUUUAAAUUUGUUAACCUUUCUUCAUAGCUGAUAUGUUCCAUUCCUUUUAUUAAUUUUGUAGCCCGUCUCUGCACUUUUUCUAGUGCCAUAAUAUCUUUCUUUAGAACAGGUGCCCAAAAUUGCACAGCAUAUUCAAUAUGUGGUCUUACCAGUGAUUUAUAAAGAGGCAAAAUGAUAUUCUCAUCCCGAGAAUGAAUGCCCUUUUUCAUGCAUGACAAUACCUUAUUGGUCUUAGCCACUGCUGAUUGACAUUGCACAUUGUUGCAUAGUUUGUUGUCUAUAGCAAUUCCCAAUCCUUUUCGUGUGUUGUUAUCCCUAAUUCGCAUUCCAUUAACCCCUUAACGCCAUUACGGCAUUCUAUGCCAUCGCGGCUUUAAAGGGCUUUAAAGCUGUUGCGGCGGCAUAGAACGCCAUAACGGCUUAAGCCCCCAAGAGAUGAGAUCUACUCUCCUCCACCACAAUCUUCAUCUGGAGGGCUGCCUGACAGCCCAGGCAGCCCUCCCUGUGAGCAAUCACAUAGCCCCCUAUAGCUGGCUGUGGAUCUGCCAGCAGGGGGACUGUUUAAAAUAUCAGACAGUCCCCCUGCUGGUAGGAGGUGUAAAAAAAUAUUAUUAGACAUGUUUAAAAUUAAUUAAAAGUAUUUAUAUAUAUUAUAUGUAUAUAUUAUUUAUAUAUAAUAUAUAUAUACAUAUUAUAUAUAUGUAAUGUCAUACAUAGUGUAUUUUAAUAUUAAUAUAAGUAUAUAUUAAUAUUAAAAUACACUUAGAAUGAUGUUACAUAUAUAUAAUAUGUAUAUAUAAUAUAUAUAUAAUAGAUAUAUACACAUAUAUUAUAUAUAUAUAUAUAUAUAUAUAUAUAUAUAUAUACACACACGUGUAAUUACAAUAAUAAAUAAAUAAAAUAAUAAAAUAAAUAAAUAAAAUAUAGAAACUAAAUUUUAUAUAAAUUAUAUAUUCAUAUGUAAUUUCAUUCUAACUGUAUCUAUGUUAAAAUUCUAUGUGUAUAUUUAAGUAAUCUUUUAACAUAAUUAUGUGAUUUGAUUAAUUAAAAUUUGAUUGACAUGCCUGACAACACAGGGAGAAAGUGCAGAGAAUUAUUUCGCAAGCACUAUAUUUGACCCUGUAACCCUCCAAGACACCAUAAAACCUGUACAUAGUGGGUACUAUUUUACUCGGGGGACGUCGCUGAACUCAAAUAUUAGUGUUUAAAACUGGUAAAUUGUAUUACAGCGAUGAUAUUUUAAGUAAAAGUGAAGUUUUUUGCAUUUUUUACAAACAAACAGCACUUUUAUGGACUAUAUUAUUGUUGUAAUAUGUUUUACUGUUUUAAAACACUAAUAUUUGUGUUGAGUGAAGUCUCCCGAGAAUAACAGUACCCCCCAUGUACAGGUUUUAUGGUGUUUUGGAAAGUUAGAGAGUCACAUAUAAGGCUUGCAUUUCAUUUUUUUGACAUUGAAAUUUGCCAGAUUGGUUAUGUUGCCUUUGAAACCGUAUGGUAGCCAAGGAAUAAGAAUUACCCUCAUGAUGGCAUACCAUUUGCAAAAGUAGACAACCCAAGGUAUUGCAAAUGGGGUAUGUCCAGUCAUUUUUAGUAGCCACUUAGUCACAAACACUGGCCAAAUAUUCGUUUUUUGCUUUUUUCACACAAAAACAAAUAUGAACGCUAACUUUGGCCAGUGUUUGUGACUAAGUGGCUAUUUAAAAAGACUAAACAUACCCCACGUUCAAUACCUUGGGUUGUCUUUAAAUUUCUCACAGUUUUUUAAAUUUUAUUCAUAAUGAAUUAUGUUUCAUAUAUAAAUAUUUUAUAUGAAAUGAAAGCCCUGUUUCUCAUGAACAAAAUGAUAUAUAAUAAGUGUGGGUGCAUUUAAUAUGAAAGAGGUGAAUUACCGUUGAACAGACAUAUAGCGCAAACUCCAGAUUUUGUUUAUGUUUUGUUUUGAUCAGAAUGUGUACUACUGACUCCAUCCUGAAGGGGUUAAGGGUAUAUGUUGCUUGUCAACAACAACGUCAGUCAGCACCAUUUGGUAGCAAAAAAGUUUAAAUGUUGCAACAGUUAGAAUUAUAUUUGUUUUGGUUAAUCGUCAACAGCAAUUUCAUUAUUUAUGAUUCUUUUAUGACAAUGUCUACAGCAAAAUGAACAGUCUAGCACUCCAUACAGAGAGAUGUCACACUGGCACAUUACCUUACAAAAAAUACACAGAAACAAACAAAAAAAGAUUUUGUGCCAAUGCAGAAGGAGGAUGAACAUCCAAGACACAAACUGGCAACCAAGCAAACCAUGGUAAUUAAGAGAAACCCAAUGGUUUCAAUGUGAGCAGUUUUUUGAAGGAUGAGAUACACUUCAUUCAUUGCUUAGAAAACUGAGAAAUAUAUUCAGCUCCACUAAUGGAACAAAAAAAUCUUUCUCAGAGAAGAUAAACACAAGGCAUAGUAUAAAUCAUUACAUGCCUCAUAAAAUAAAGCUACCAUUUAUAUAAAUCUUUACAGAAAAUCUUAAAUCGUUCUAUAACUGCUUCCCUAUACAAUUUCCUUUGUACUCAUUUUCAUGAGAGAGGGGUGAGGUCAAGAGAGGUAGGGUGAGGUCAACAGAUGAGAUGGUAGUCAGUUGGUUUGGUCUUAAAUCUGUCAUUUCCUGUUCUGUUACAGUUUAGAGCAUGACCUUUAAUUAAGGUGCAAAGCAAUAACAAAAGACAAUGGUCAAAAGUCCUUAUAAACCUCAUUAAAGCAAAAUAAUGUGGCAUAUGUUUUUUAGUGGAAAGUUUAUUUCUAUAAUAAGAAAAAUAUAUAAAAUGUUUCAGGUUGGUUUGUCCAUCUGACUAGAUGGCAACUUUUAAUAUAGUAUUUUAAUGGUGAGCAAAAAAUGAACAAACAAUUGAAAAUGAAAUAUUUAAUAGUAUAAAAAGUCUAUUUGUGCUAUUGUACAUCAAAAAUCCCAGGUUGAUAUUGUGGUCUGAAUAGCAAUUUAUCUCUGGAAAGCAGAAAGGGAAUAUAGUCAAUAACAACAAACAAAAGGCUAUUUUAAUAACCAUGAGACAUAAACAUUAUUGUGAGAACAACAAUGGUUGUCAUUUGUUUUUGUUUUGAUUUUUUAUACCUUUGUUCAUGUAUUUUUGCCUUGUAUUACAUUUUUGUCUUUUUAUAUCUUAGUUAAUAAGUUCUUGAGAAUUAGCAGGUGGCUAUUUCAUUAGGAGCUUAUAAACUGUUUUUUGGAAAACAUUUCCCUUUACACAGUUCUGUACACUUCUAAUCACUGCAGAAUAACCUCUAUUUUAUUCAACUUUAAAUUAUGUAGUUCAAGGAAAAACAAGUGCUGAGGGUAAAAGCUUAAUUUUAAGAGAUAAAUUAAACAUACCAGGAAGUACUAAAUAAAUAAAUAAAAUCUGGGAUUUAAAUGUGCCAAGGAUUGAUACAAAAUUAUUAGGAAAUGCUCCAUAUAAUAUAUAAGUUGUUAGGAUAUUCCAACUGAAAUUGUUUAAAUUCAUUAAAUCGCUAUAUGGUAGUGUGAUUAAUUCAGCCACUGCUAAAUGUGCAGUGUGAAAUCUCUCUGAAAUAGAGAUACCACAUAUCUCAGUACAGCGAGUGUGCUAUUACUUAUUGAUAAACUAUUGACAUACCAUAAAUACAACAAAACAAAGUGGCAGUGCACAAAGACAUAUAGAACAAUGUUUCCACUUUUUAACAUACAAUAUUUCUGGAUAAUUUCCCUUAAAAUAUGCAAAAGAAAAAUUUAAAAAUACCCGUAGCAUAGCAGCUAUUAGCAUAGGUGUAGGAACCAGGAGUAUUAACUCACCCCCAACUUCCAUAAACAUUUUUUUAAAGUUUAUGCAGUUGUAAUCAAAAUUAUUCAACCCUCAUUGAAGAUCGGGUUUAUUGUGAACAUGUAUAGACUUUCAGCUGUUUGCAAUGAACAAAUCAAACAAAAGCAAUUGAAAAAGCCAAACAUAUGCUUUAAGCGGUUUCCACAAAUUCAACUGAAAAUGCAACUUAAUGACUUCUCAAAAUUAUUCAACCCCCUGAAUAUAAUCCCUCAUAACAGGAUAAGUAUGCAAAAUAGGUGUUGUCUCAAGCACACCUGAUUCAACUAUUGUACUGUUCCUAUUAUGGCUUCAUUAGUUGUAUCAGGUGUGCUUGAGCUGGAACAUUUGAAACACCUGAACUGGCGAGGGGUUUGAAUGCAUGUUAGAAAUAUGGUCAAAUACGUCAAAUAAAUGGUCCAAAGAGUUAAAAGAGGAGAUUAUUGCCCUUCACAAACAAGAAGCAGGAAACAAAAAGAUAGUGAAGGAAGUGAAUGUUCCUAAAGGCAACGUUGAAAGCAUAGUUUACAAGUUCAAAGUUAAAGGAACAGAGGUAACACUACAUGGACGGGGCAGACAAGAAGCUAUCAAUUGCUACAACCAGAUUUCUGAGAAGGUGGGUUGUGAAACACCUACAGUGCAAAAGACCUGCAGCAAGGCUUGGUGCCAACAGACACUGAGGUUUCAGUGAGCACAGUAAGACUCGCACAAGAAAAGUCAGCUUUAAUAUGCUCAAAAUCAUAUAAAUAAGCCACAGUAGUUUUGGGACUUUGUUCUGUGGAAUGAUGAAACAAAACUGGAACUUUUCAGCCCAAUGGAUCAGCAAGAUAUCUGGCAGAAGAAGAGUAAAGCAUAUGCUGAAAAGAACACUCUGCUUACAGUUAAGCAUCGUGGUGGCUCUGUGAUGAUGUGGGGCUGCUAUGCCUCCGCUGGCACUGGAAACCUGCAGCAUGUCGAAGGUAACAUGGAUUCAUUAAAGUAUUAGGAGGUCCUAGGAGAAAACGUCAGGCUGUCUGUGAGAAAGUUGAAGCUUGGGUGUCAUUGGACCUUUCAACAAGACAAUGAUUAAAGCAUACCUCAAAUUCCACCAAGGCUUGGUUGCAGAAGAAGUAAUGGAAUUUUUUUUCAGUGGUCAUCACAGUCAUCUGACAUGAAGCCCAUGGAAAAUCUCUGGUGGGAUGUAAACAAGGCAGUUACAGCAUGCAAACUCAAUAAAAUUACUUAACCGGAGGCCAUUGCUCAUGAGCAAUGGGCUCAUGAGCUUCUGGCACAGGAACAGUGACAGAAGCUGGUGUCUGGCUAUGCAUCUCAUUUGCAGGAGGUCAAUACAGCAAAAUGGUGCUCUACUAAGUACUAAAGAUUAACCAUGAAGAGGAGGUCAAUACAGCAAAAUGGUGCUCUACUAAGUGGUUAAAUAAUCUUGAAACUGACAUUCAAAAUAAUACAUAACAAAAUAACAUUAAAAAAAAAAAUUCAUAAAAGGUAAGGCAUCUUAUAAAAUCACCAUAAAAAUUAAAUCAGAAAAAGGGGGAAAAUGGAGGAGGGAAAGAAUUUAAGAAAAAGGUGAGGAAUGUAGUGGGACAUAUAUAACAAAAUAAUAAAAUGUCUUGCAAAAAGGUUUUACAUUUGCCCCAAAUGUUUCCACCUAUGGGUGUUUAAACAUAUUUACAUCUCAAUCUGUAUAUUAGGAAUUUGUGUUUAAAACUUAUUAUACCAGCAAUAAAUAGAAAGAGAAUUUAGUGAUAUACCAACAUACCCAGUUAAAGAAAAAGCAUAUUUUCUAUUUUUAAAAUAAAAGUAUGAAGGCAUUUGAAAAAGCAUGUUUAGAAGAAUAUAAAUUAUUUAAAUAGGUUACAUGAAAAAUUUAUUUAUGAAAAAAAAUGGUGUUAAAAAAGAUCUUUACCAAGACAUGAAAAUAGUUAUUAAUACUGCAGUCAAAGGGGGUGUUGUAUGAAGGAAGAUUAUCUUUUAGAGAUUAAAAACUAAUUAAGUGAUAUUAAUACUCAUUGUAAACUGAACAAAAAUCCUAUUUUGGACUAAAAAAAAAUAGAUUAAUGUUUAUUAAGUAGGAUAAAAUGGAUGAAUAUAAUAUCCUAAAUGAGCCAUCAUAAAUUCUAGUUAUUUAUAUUCUUCCUGUACUGCAUGAAACCCUCCACAAUGCCAUUGAAAGACUUGCAGUGGCAUUAUUUAUGGUAUUCACAGUACUACAAUAACCCCCUCUAACUUUUAGUUGUAGAACAGCCAUCUUACUUCAAACAUACAAUGAGUCAUUUAUAUAAAAAAAAGGAAGUAUGUUUAUUAGUAACGUGUUGUGAGAGUUUUUAUACCAUCACUAUAUAUAUAUAUAUAUAUAUAUAUAUAUAUAUAUAUAUAUAUAUAUAUUAAAAAAAAAGAAAGUAAUCCAGUUGGAUGUGUUUAUUUUAAAUACUAUUUAUUUUUUAAAUAUGAUUUCUCCAGAAAGGAUAAAAUGUAUACACAUGUUAGUAUGGUGCCAGGGGGUCCUCGGCACUAGUUUAUCUUUAAGGGUUAAACUCUUCUCAAAUGGUUUAAGCCUAAAAGCCUUGAAUCCAGCGCCAUUUAGCUCUACUCCUACCCUUCUGCUGCUCUCUGACUUUUGAAACAGGAUACAGGGGUGUUUUCUAACACUCUAAGCCAAUUAGUAGCUACCCACUCAUAAAAAGUCUUACGUUUCUCAAGCCAUUUUGUGAAUGUCUUAGAGCAUCAGCUGAUGCUUUCAGUCAGUCAGCAGUUCCCCUGUCCAAAGUUUCUUGUUUCUAGAGUCAGAGAGAAUGACAUAGGCCGAACUAAACAGUGCCUGAUUUAAGACUUUGGGAUUAAAACAUUGAUGAACAGUUUAACCCCUUAAGGUAAAGUGGCAUCAGGUACCAUAACACUUAACACUUAAUUGUGAAUACAUUGUUAUGGCUCCUGGAGGUUCCCUUUAAAAAUAAAAUAAAAUUAAAAUUUAAUUAAAAAAAAACACUUGCUUUACAAAAAGACAAAAUAAGAAAUAAAAAAUGUAUAAACUCCCUAUAUAUUUAAUUAUAAUUCCAAAUGUUUAAUCUUAAGAAAAUGUAAAAAAAUAUGCAUAUUUUAAAACAAGAUACAGAAAUAUUAUAAUACGUAAAGGAAAAAUAAAUAAUGAAUGGGAUGUCUCCCAUCUUGAAGUUACUUCAGUUUAUUCAACUCAGAUUCACAAACAAUACAUACAGGUUAGAUGAGCCUCCAAUUUAAGGCAAUUCCUUGGUGGACUUUGCAAACUUCAGAGCAUAUUACAUUUAAGGACCUAUUCACUAAGCAAUGGAUAAUUAAAGUUAACAAGGAAAUUGCACAUUUUACAUCAAAAUAGUUGAACUGGCAUAAUUCUCCAACAGAGCUAUUUUUUUUUUUUCAGUUCAGCUAACUUGACCUAGCUUAUCCUAGCUAACAUAGUGGGCCAGGCAAGGGUGAUGUAGGAUUAUAAUCAUCAUUUCACUUUGUGAUAGACAUGUGCAAUUUGGAUGAAUUUCGGGCAAUUCGAAAAUUCGGGUACUUCCGAAUGUCCGAAUAGAUGAAUUGUCGAAUUGCCGAAUUGCCGAAGUGCUGAAGUUGACGAAGUUCCAAAGUGUCGAAGUGCCAAAGUGCCGAAGUUCCGAAGCACAGUAUUGCCUAAGAACUAAUAUACUUACCCAGUGGAAAAAUUAAGAAUGUUACACUGUAUACAAGUUUAAAUAAAAAGUAUACAAACAUAGACAGGAUUCAGCUGUAAGCAUUUGCAACACAACAAUCAAGUAACAUACAUUCAUAUAAAAUGUAAGUUACUUAGCCUGUCAAUGUAAUGACAGGAAUGAAUAAGUAGAUAACUCCCUAAUUCGCACGGUAUUAGGGAGCUAUCUAAUAAAAGACUGAAAGACCUAAAUUGGUCUUUCAGCCAAUUUUACUAAUACUAAGUAAAGACUAAUUAGUAUUAGUAAAUUAUGCCCCUACUCGCUAUACCGCGAGUAGGGGCAUGUCUAUUAAAGAGUGAGCAGCCAUUUAAAAAAAAAAAUGCCGCGUGAGUGAGGGCUUCUAACUCUAACCUGAAGGGGGUACCUAUUGCCCCCCCGGCCCCCACCCCUGAAUGGUGGGUGGGGGAACUACAGUAAAAUAAGGGGGGACCUAAAGUCGCACCCCUGAGCGGUGGGUUGGGGCCCUAAUAAGGGGGGCCUAAUGUCCUCCCCCCUGGCCCCCACCCCUGAGCGGUGGUUGGGGGCCCUAAAUACUAAUAAGUCCUCCCCCAUGGCCCCCACCCCUGAGCAGUGGGUGGGGUUCCUAAAUUAGAAUAAGGGGGGGGACCUAAUGUCCUACCCCUUGCCCCCACCCCAGAGCGGUGGGUGGGGGCCCUAAAUACUAAUAAGGGGGACACCUAAUGUCCUACCCCUUGCCCCCACCCCAGAGCGGUGGGUGGGGGCCCUCAAUACUAAUAAGGGGGAGACCUAAUGUCCUCCCCUCUGGCCUCCACCCCUGAGCGGUGGGGGCCCUAAAUACUAAUAAGGGGGGACCUAAUGUCCUCCCCCCUGGCCCCAACCCCUGAGCGGUGGGUUGGGACUCUAAAUACCAAUAGGGGGACCUAUUGUCCUCCCCCUGGCCCUCACCCCUGAGCGGUGGGUGGCAAGGCCGGAUUAACAUAGGGGCUGAUGGAGCUGCAGCUCCAGGCCCAGGCCCAUGGAAUAGGCCCAUUGAUUUAAAAAAAAAAAAAAAAAUUUUUUUUUUUACAUUUUUUUUCACACACUACUCUUAGGGAUUCCACCUGGCUUUUAUUUUAUUGGCACAGCCAGUAUUUGAGGCUGCCUGGCUGGUGCAAAUAUUGCAGUGAUACUGGCAAUACAAAUGCUGGUAUUUUUCUCAGUAUAAACAAGAGAUUACUCUGCAAUACCAGCACCGGCCAGUAGGGGUCGCUGUAUGUGGAGACAGGCAGGGAUAGGAAGUUCCAGCAUAUCCCUCCCUGCCAAUCUAUACUCACUGAUCUGCAGGGGUGCAGUUACAGAGAGUCCAGACAGCCACUCCCACCCUGCAGAGACAGCCUACAGCUCAGGGAAGUAAGGGAUGGGGGGGAAAGGCUGCAAGGAGACAUACACUGAGACACUAAGGGACAUUGGGAGACAUUAUGACACAGACACAUGGGGACAGAUUGUCCCCAUGUCUCCCAGCCAGUGUCCCUGGUGUCCCAGUGACCCCUAGUCUCCCAGUGCCCCCAGUCUGCCAGUGUCUCACUGUCCCCAUGUCUCCUAGUGCCUCCAUGUCUCCCAGUGCCUCAAGUGUCACAAUGUCCCCAAGCAAGUGUCCCUAGUGUCUGUGGCCCUGGUGUCUGUGUCCCCAUGUCUCCCAGUGCCCCCAUGUCUCAAUGUCCCCAUGUCCCCCAGCCAGUGUCUCUAGUGUCUUUGUCCCUGGUGUCUGUGUCCCCAUGUCUUCAAGUGUCCCCUAUUUUCCCAUUGUCCCCAUGUGUCCCAGCCAGAGUCCCCUAGUCUCCCAGUGUCACUGGUGUCUCCGUGUCCCUAGGUCUCCCCGUGUCCCCAGGUCUCCCCGUCUUCCUAGUGUCCUAGUGACAUGGGGACCCUGGGAUACAUGGGGACACAGGGAGACAUGGGGCAUUGAGACAUGAUACAUAGGAUCACUGGGAGACCUGGGGACACAACAUAAGGGGACACUGGGAGACAUGGGGCACUGAGACACUGAUACAUAGGAACACUGAGACCUGGAGUAAUCGACACAUGGGGGCACUGAGUCAUGAGGGCACUGGGAGGAAUCCAUCUAUACAGCAGAUUUAAACUAAGUAGUUUUUUGGUGAUUUUACAGCAUUUUCUCUUAUGUCACUCCUUGUGAUUUACAUCAUGUGAUGUCACCCACACAUAUUUAAUUAUGCAAAUUAGUAAGGCCGGUAUGUUUUUUCCAAGUAUGGAAACUUAAGAGGGAUGUAUGGGAACAAAACUUGUGUGGACUGGCUGACAAUGAAUAUAGUUAAAGAGACACUAUAGUCACCAGAACAACUACAGCUUAUUGAAUUUGUUCUGGUGAGUAGAAUCAUUACCGUCAGGCUUUUUGCUGUAAACACUGUCUUUUCAGAGAAAAUGCAGUCUUUACAUUACAUCCUAGUGAUAACUUCACUAGCCACUCCUUAGAUGACUAUUAGAGAUCCUUCCUGGGUCAUGGCUGCCUAAAAUGCAUCCAAACAUUCAGUAUCUCCUCCCUCCGCAUGCAGACACUGAACUUUCCUCAUAGAGAUUCAUUGAUUCAAUUCAUCUCUAUGAGGAGAUGCUGAUUGGCCAGGGCUGUGUUUGAAUCAUGCUGGCUCUGCCCCUGAUCUGCCUCUUUGUCAGUCUCAGCCAAUCCUAUGUGGAAGCACUGUGAUUGGAUCAGGCCACCACUUCUAAUGAUGUCAGCAGACUGCUUGUUUUUAUGAGUCUAACAGCAUGCAGAGUUACAGCUUCAGGCUUGAAUAUAGUAAGAUUUUGCUAUAUUUAUGGAGGCAUGAGGGGCCCAGGGGGGCUAGAUGGUGAUGUUAACACUAUAGGGUCAUGAAUUCUUGUUUGUGUUCCUGACCCUAUAGUGAUCCUUUAAGGUAAUGCUGACUUUGGUCUCUCUAACACUGUGGCAUGUUCCCUUCUUCUACACUCACUACAUACAGCUUUUCUCUGUCCCAGACCAUAUACCAGGAGCUUCUGCCUGCUAGUAAGACGGUAAGGAGACAAGUGGACCAGCGAGUGCUAGGGGACAGGUCUUAGAAAGCGUUGAGUGAGCGCAUCAUUAGAUGCAUUUAUGCCAAGCUCAGGGUGCUGUCUGCAUAGUAUUCCCUUAGUUGGCCAGCUGCAUGAUUGGCAGGCAGCCUGACAUGCAUUCAUGCCAGGCUGGCCUUCUAAUUCUUUGAGCAGACAUGUCCUCUUUUUAGGCAUGUUCGCCCCUUUUGGCAGGUUAUGUGAUUUGUGUCAAUGGCACACCCUUUUACCAUGCCCAUUGACUUCCUGCUUGACUGGACACUGCUGUUAGGGGUUAUGGAUUUACUUGAAAGAUGAAAACAUAAAUUAGAGAGAGAUUAGCCUAGGGUAUGUGUUUUCUUAUAGUUGCUGUUUUCUUUCUCUCCAGCACCAUCUCCAUCAGAUACAUGAUGCUUGGGAGUGUUUUACUGUUUUUGGUCGAUAUGAUUCUGUAAUUAGGCCCGUCAUAAUUGUCAGCACCAGGCCCUGGUGGGUGGGGGCCCUUAAUACUAAUAAGGUGGGCCCUAAUGUCCUCCCCCCGACCCCCACCCCUGAGCGGUGGGUGGGGGCCCUAAAUACCAAUAGGGGAGACCAGGGGUGGGGGCCCAAAAAAAAAACUAACUCCUACCUACCCCCCUCACCCUCAAAAUAAUGAGUGGGGCCAUUAACUAAGUACCUGUAAAAAAAAUAAAACUUACCAUUUGAUGUUUUCUUCUAAAACCUUCUUUUUUCAGCCACAAAAAGGCCAAAUAAAAAAAAUCCAUAAUAACUGAGGCACUUAAAAAAAAAAAAACAUCCUUCACCCAUGGAGGGCUCCGCACAGACUGAGCUCUGCACGGCGGGGGAAGGCUUAUAAAGCCUUGCCCCGCCCUGCAAUUAGGCUCAGAGCACUCUGGUGGGUUUAAGCCAUCCAAUCAGAGUGCUCUGACAGGUAAAUGAAGAGACUGACAGGUAAGUGCUCUGUGUCAUUUUACACAGCGUGGGAAAGAUCUUUGGAAUUUUCCCACACUGUGUAAUUUGACUCAUAACACUCUGGUGGAUUAAGUAACUGACUUAAGUAAGUUAAAGGACCACUAUAGUGCCAGGAAAACAUACUCGCUCAGGGGUGGGGGCCGGAGGGAGGACAAUAAGUCCCCCCCAUUAUUUUUCUGUAGGGCCCCCACCUGCCGCUCAGGGGUAGGGGCAGAGGGGGCAAUAGGUUCCCCUUUAGUUUAAAAGCCCCCACUUGCGGGUCGCGGGUGGGGGCUCAGGAGGCGGGGACUUUUUUUUUUAACAGUGAGCAGCUACAGUCUGCUCACUGUUUAAUAGACAUGCCCCUACUUGCAGUAUAGCGAGUAGGGGCAAAAUUUACUAAUACUAAGUCAUUUUUACUUAGUAUUAGUAAAUUUGCUGACAGACCAAUUUAGGUCUUUCAAACUUUUGGUAGAUAACUCCCUAAUACCGUGGGAAUUAGGGAGUUAUCUACUAAGCGGCUGCAAGAGAAGUUCUGAAGUGCCGAAAUUCCAAAAUGCUGAAGUCCCAAAAUUCCGAAAUGCAGAAGUACCGAAGCUCUGAAGUGUUGAAGUUCCGAAGUGCCGAAAUCCCAAAUUGCGGAAGUCCCGAAUUUCGGAAUGCCGAACCGAAAAUUUUCCCCAUGCACAUGCCUACUUUGUGAUCAGUAUGGAGUAUAAGAUGAAAAGAUGUUUCAUGCAAACUAUUCACAUUAAUUUAUCAAAGACACUUCUUAAAAUAGAAGCUGGUUAAAGUGUUCUCAGAAAGCUUCUGACAAGCUGUACAAAUACAACUAGUCCAAAAAAUUUAAUAAAAAUAAUUACACUACAAAUUUUUGCAAAUUUUGUUAAAAGAAAUGUCAAUGCUUCUGCAAUAAAAAAAGUUAAUUAAAGAGAGUUGCAAGUGGACUGAGCAUCCAAAACCUCCACCCAUUCUCUAAAACCUGGGUAGGAAACCUUUGGCACUCCUUUUGGAGCAUUUCACCAUCCUGUUUAUAUUCUAUUUUGGUUCACCACAAGCAGGUAUUGGGAAACCGUGCUAACCAGGGUUACUGCUGCCUGUCACCUGGUUAAUCUAGUGAGUGCCUAAAUUCUUGUUUUUUAUAUGUUAUGGACUACAUCUCCCAUAGAGCUCUUACAGUCUUACUACUGGUAGCGCAUAAGGUGAGAUGCAGUCCACAAUAUCUGGAGUGCCAAAGGUUAUCUACCCUUGAUCUAAAACUGUUUAAAACUCAAGAAUCAAGAAGGUACAUUUAUUGGCAUAUUGGCACAAAAUAGCUGUGAUUUAUUUAUAGCAAUCGUGCUGCAAAACCACUCCAAGAAACUUCAAUUGACAUUUGUGUUAUUUCUAUAUUUGAAUUAUCAUGGCUUUUUUAUUGGUCACUAUCCCUUUAAGGAGUUAUCCAGAAAUUCAUUAAGUUGAGUGUAAAAUUAUGGUACUUUUAUAGAAUAGCGGAUGGCAAAAAAACUUAAAUUUGAAACAUAUUUGGUCACAGACAGGUAAAGAUGUUUACUCUCAAUAGCAAUAAAUUAACAUCACAGAGAAGAGAGACAAAGCAAUGUCAAAAAUGUAGCCUAGCAUAAUACAAUAAACCAUGCAAAAAAAUGUGUUUUUUGCCUGCUGCCUGAAGUGAACAGAUGUGGAUGGUUAAUUUUUUGAACUUGCUAUGAGAUUAUGGGAAUUAAACACAGCCAAAUCUAUUACAAUGAGUAUUCUCAUAUCACUUUUGUUCAGCGUUACCUUUCUACAAAAAAAAAUAAAAAAAUGUAUAAGCUAUUUAUUGCGAUACUGUGCCAAAAUAGCUUUCAGCUGGUGUUCAAAUGUGUAAUUGAUCUCUUAGAACAAAUUUACUUAUUAAUAGAGAGUUAAGAGAUAUAAUCACACAACUGAAUCGUAUCAGACACAAUGUUAAAAUGUUCCCUGUGAAGCAUAGGGGUUUUGCCCAUGGUUUGUCUAAUGAGGUGAAAAUGAAAUGUAUAACUGCUUAUUCUGUCUGGCAUUUACAGAAUUAAUUGGCUAGAUGUUACCUUCUGUAAAUAAGAAAUAAACUGUGAUUUAUCUAGAACAACGAUAUUCCUUCAAGUGUGUGAGAGAUAUUAUUACAUGAUCCGUCCAGUAUUUUCUUUAUAACAUGUUUUAGAAUUCCAUGCUACACAGAUGGUGUUGUCUUCCAUUACAAUUGUAAUGAACACAUUAUAAUGCAUGGAUCACCUCUAGGGUGCAAUCUAGGGUCACUAAUCAUGUCUUACUCUGCCUGAGAUUAGUGGGAGUUACACUUUUUUUUUUAAGAUCAAAAAUAUUCUGUAGAUCAAACCCCAGUUGGGGGAAGACCAAAAUAAAAUAGACUUCCCUUAAUUAAAUGAAAAAGAAAAUAACUUUAUUUCUUCAUGUCAACUAUAUCUGCGCACAUUACUAGCAGGUCAUGCUUGUGUACACACUAGGCUGACUAGUCAAUCAUUUUAGUCUUUCAACUGAGGGCUAAACCUGCAGGUUCAGUCCUCUCCAUAGGCGUGCGCAGCCUAUUGCAUUAGGGUGUGCACCCUAAAGCACAAACACACGCCACGCGCGUGUGUGUGUAUGUAUCUAUAUAUAUAUAUAUAUAUAUAUAUAUAUAAACACACACACACACACACUGCUGUGUGUGCUGUUAGUGUGCUGUGUGCUGUGUGCUGUUAGUGUGAUGUGUGUGUGAGGGUGCGUGUUUGUGACUGUGCUGUUUGUGUGUGAGGGUGUUUGUGUGUGUAUGUUUGUCCUGUGAGGGUGCUGUUUGUGAGGGUGCUGUUAGUGUGCUGUGUGUGAGGGUGUUGUGUUUUUUUUAAAGGUGCUUUGUGUGUUUGUGAGGGUGCGGUUAGUGUACUGUGUGUGUGUGAGCUGUAUGUGUGUAGGUGCUGUAUGUGUGUGUGCUGUAUGUUUGGAGGGAUUUGGCAGAUUAGUAAAUCCUUGCUGCCAUGUGCCAUCCCUGGUGGUCCAGUGGAGAGUGAACUCUUGCCUGCGGGGCUAGAGUUAACUCUCGCGAGAUCUGAGCGUUGCCGCAGCACAUACAUACUCACAGACACACACUCACACACACACACACACACACAUACUCACAGAAACACACACACACACACACUCACAGACACACACACACUCACAGACACACACACUCACAGACACACACACACACACAUACUCACAGACACACACACAUACUCACAGACACACACACAUACUUAUAGACACACACACACACUGACACACACACAUACUCACAGACACACACAUACUCACACACACACACACACAUACUCACACACACACAAAUUAUUAUAUUUUAAUUUUAAAAAACAAUGUCCACCCAGCCUCCUACCUGGAGUGCUGGUGGACUUUUCCCUGGGGUCCAGUGGGGGCGGGCGCCUCUCUGCAGGUCAGCGCGCGGCGUGGGAGCUCUCUGCUGUAUGCUGUCUGCUCCCUCUCGCCGCGCGGGCUGUCUGCUGGAGCUGGGAGCCGGAAUAUGACGUCAUAUUCCGGCUCCCGGCAUCAGCGCGCGGCGAGAGGGAGCAGAGAGCCGACAGCAGAGAGCUCCCACGCCGCGCGCUGAGUGGGGCGUGGGAAUCCAUCACCUCUUGCCCCCCCAUGACAGGGGCAAGAGGUGAGUGGGGCGCUGAGUGCCUGCAGGAACAGCAUUCCUGCUCAAAAAAAGUGCAGGAACGCUGUUCCUGCAGGACUCAAACCAUAGGCGUGCCACGGGGAUUAGGGUGUGCCCAGGCACACCCGGCACACCCCGUGUGCACGCCUAUGGUCCUCUCUGCAGGAUCCUAGUGCCAUGAAUAUAGAGCAAUUUACAAUGCACUCAUGCUUUGAUUGUUGGGGACAGUUCCCAGGUGUCCCCAAAAGCGUAACAGUAGGGAACAUAUGGACUAUUGAGAGGCAUGCAACAGGUAUAUUUUAUAUAAUAUUUCACUGACAUUUAUACUUAAGGAUCAAAUUGAGUGAUCCAGACUUUUUUUUCAAUUUAAUAAUGACAGAAGAAAUAGCUGUUGCCUGGAUUAAUCCUAGGCAGCUGUCCCAUCUACACUGCACAGCUCCUUAUUACUAUAAUACACUAUAAUACACUAUAUGGUUAUGGUAUGCAAUGGUUUAAAAGUAGAUACUUAACUGGACCAUUAUGAAAGCUAAUCAAGAAAAACGCAUCUUGGCAGGACUAUUAAAUUGCACUUUUGUCGUGUGCACUUUUUAAAAAAUUUUUUGUGUUUAUGCGAAUUGUAAUUAAAUACUUGUUUAGCACUUGAUUCAAGGUUACCUGUUUGGGGAGUAUCAACCUACAAAUUGCCUACAACCUCUGAGUCAGACCCUUACCAAUCAUCUCACCUAUAUAUUUUACCAUUGCAUAUUGCACAUCUUGUACCCUUGUUUUUCAUUUUAAGAGUGAAAAUUCACAUAAGCAAUGUGUGGUGAGGCCUAAAAGAGCACAAUUGUGUAAAAAAUGAACCAUAUAUUUUGGUUGUAACUCUUGUGUGAAUCUGAAUCAUUACCCAAAACGUGUCACCUAUAAUUACCAUCUGCACUAUAUUUCUUACAAAGAAACACAAAAUGUGAUGGCACAUAAGAACCAUUAGGCCCAUUUAGUCUGUCUAAUUUUCUAAAUACUUUAAUUAGUCCCUGGCCUUAUCUUAUGGCUAGGAUAGCCAUAUAUCUAUCCCACGCAUGCUUCCUAAACUCCUUCACUGUGUUAACAGCUACCAGUUCAGCUGGAAGACUAUUCCAUGCAUCCACUACCCUCUCAGUAAAGUAAUACUUCUUGAUAUUUUUAAACCUUUGCCCCUCUAAUUUAAGACUGUCCUCUUGUUGUGGUAGUUUUUCUUCUUUUAAAUAUAGUCUCCUUCUUUACUGUGUUGAUUCUUUUUAUGCAUUAAAAAGUUUCUAUCAUAUGCCCCCUGUCUUGUCUUUCCUCCAAGCUAUACAUGUUAAGAUCCUUUAAUCUUUUUUUGUAAGUUUUAUCCUGCAAUCCAUGAACCAUUAUCUUGCACUUAUCCACAUUAAAUGUCAGCUGCCAGAACUCUGACCAUUUUUCUUGUUUACCUAAAUCAUUUGCCAUGUGGCUUAUCCCUCCUGGAACAUCAAACCCUGUUACAAAUCUUAAUAUCAUCAGCAAAAAGACAUACCUUACCAUCAAGACCUUCUGCAAUAUCACUAAAUAUUAAAGAGAAUGGGUCCAAGUGCAGAUCCCUGAGGUACCCCACUGGUGACAAGACCAUGCUUCGAAUAUACUUCAUUGACUACAACCCUCUGUUGCCUGUCACUCAGCCACUGCCUUACCCAUUCAACAAUAUUGGAAUCCAAACUUAAAGAUUGCAGUUUAUUGAUAAGCUUUCUAUGUGCAACAGUGUAAAAAUCCUUACUGAAAUCUAGGUAAGCAAUGUCUACUGCACCACCCUGAUCUAUUAUUUUAGUUACCCAGUCAAAAAAUCAAUAAUAUUAGUUUGGCAUGAUCUCCCUGAAGUAAACCCAUGUUGUCUCUUGACAAUCUUCUUAUAGCCUAGGCCAUCUUUAUGUAGAGCAAGAAUUCUUUUUUUUAGGAUCCUCAGAGAGUUCUUUGCCAUGAGGUGCCAUGUUGAACUUUCAGUGACCAGUAUGAGAGAGUGUGAGAGCGAUAACACCAAAUUUAAAGGACCACUAUAGGCAUCCAGACCACUUCAGCUUAAUGAAGUGGUCUGGGUGCCAGGUCCAUCUAGGUUUAACCCUUUGUGCUGUAAACAUAGCAGUUUCAGAGAAACUGCUAUGUUUACCUAUGGAUUAAUCCAGCCUCCAGUGGCUGUCUCAUUGACAGCCGCUAGAGGCGCUUCCAUGCUUCCCACUGUGAUUUUCACAGUGAGAAGACACCAGCGUCCAUAGGAAACCAUUGAGAAUGCUUUCCUAUGAGACUGGCUGAAUGCGCACGCGGCUCUUGCCACACAUGCGCAUUCAGCCAGUGACGGAAGAAGAGGAUUAACCCCUUCCUCCCCCUUCAGUGCCAUGAGAGUGGGACCCUGAGGGUGGGGGCACCCUCAGGGCACUAUAGUGCCAGGAAAACGAGUAUGUUUUCCUGGCAUUAUAGCGGUCCUUUAACACACCUGCUCCCCAUUCACACCUGAAACCUUGUAACACUAACAAGUCACAUGACACUGGGGAGGGAAAAUGGCUUAUUGGGCCCAAUUUGGACAUUUCCACUUAGGGGUGUACUCACUUUUAGACAUUAAUGGCUGUGUGUUGAGUUAUUUUGAGGGGACAGCAAAUGUACACUGUUAUACAGGCUAUACAUUUACUACUUUACAUUGUAGCAGAGUGUCAUAUUUUCAGUGUUACCACAUGAAAAGACAUAAUAAAAUAUUUACUUUUGUGAGAUACUGUAGCUUCGGUGCAAUCUACAAAAAUCACACACGCCAUAUUAUACCUGCCUCUGCCCUUAACAACCCUUUGACCUGCACAUCCUUUUCGUAAAUGCAAAGGCUUGCCUGCAGUUGUGGGAGGGGCUUGUUACACUACUUAAACCCCCCUACUCACCUUCCUCCGUCCCGUACGUGAUUAUAGCGAAUCGCUUGUCAUUAUUUCUGGUCGCUCCAUUUCUCCACUUACCUUGUCCUUGAAGCUCCUUUGCCUGGCCUGCUGUUCCCCUGCUGCUCAUUGUCUGCGGUCCUCCUGGGCUCUGCUCCGGAUCUCCGGUUGUCCCUGGCGCUCCGAGCCUCUGUUGUCCAUCCGGGGCAGGCUCCGACCCCAGUUUUAUUUUCUACUGCCCAGUGUGCAGCGGACCAGGCUGGGUGUGCGGAUCGUGUUGUGCACCGCAGUGCUCUCUGGUGUGGGGGAGGCCAGAGUAUUAUUUGUGCAGGUGCGAGGCUAGUGGCAAUUGUUGAUGGGGAGACUGGAUGCGGGCAUCACUCUGACCGCCCGGGUUGGAAACAGGCUCUUGCGGUGACUCCUCUUCCCUUUUUUCUUGAGCAUUCCCUCACCCCCUGCGACGCUGUCGCACGUGCACAUCUGUACUCACCGGCGGCCGGGUAUCCAUGUGGCCACACACGUGUGUUGUGUGCAGUUCUGGAUACGGGUAGGUACCAUGGUUAUAAGUCGACUUAAUCAGGGACUUUUAGCUGGGUGACAUUAUGUGUUUUGUUUCUAUGUGCUAUCACUAUUGCAGGUGCAGUGUUUUUGCCUAGAACCUCUGCAGGUACAGAUCUAGUGUGCUUCUACAUGGCAACUUCCCCUGGAAUAAUAUAGAGUUAUAUCAAUAACCUGCAGCCGAUUUAGGUUUGUUGUGCCAGGUAAAACAAAACAAAAUUUUUUUUUGUGUUUCCUUUUUCUGCUGUGUCAUGCGCAGUCUUAAGCUACGUAAUUGCUGUUGCCAAGCGGUUUUCAGUCCCGUUACGGGGUGUGACCCGCGUAUUCACCUCGGGUUUUCGUUUCCCUGCUUGGCUGGGCCAAGUCUGCCCGCUAUACCCAUGCUCCAUUAUUUUCCAGAAGGAGCAUUACAGUCUGCUUUAUGAUUCCUCCUCAUACCACCCCCAUCUUCAUCACACGGGCAUCCACUCUCUCACUCCUUACCUAGCCCCUCUUAGUUAGCUGUUGCUGGCUGUAAUGGUCCUAGGUGCCCACUAGUGGUAAUUUCCCCCCGGCUUCUACGCCUUAGGUUAGUGGUCCCGCGAGGCCCACACCCAUCCUCAUACUCGGAGGUACUACACCCCUCGGGCCAAAUCAUAGUUAGUCGCAUAGAGAAGGCCUCACCUGUCACUCCCAGUCUAUCUUAUGGUUAAUUGUCACUGAGAGGCUGUCACCCCGCCACAACGUUCAGUGGCCACGUUAUCCCCUCGUGCCAACACAUAGAUAGAACCUCUCCCGCCACUUGGCAUCUAGCAGGGCCUCACCUGUCACCAAACCUAGUUUUAAUCGUUUCACCUUUGGCUUAGCUAGUAUGCCAGCACUCACACGCACACACACACACACACACACACAUGCUUACACCCGGUCUUGUGAACCCCGAGGGCUUUACACCUACACGAAUUCUAUUACCCAUUACCCAUUGCCGGCAUGCUCCAUUCGGCCUGACCGCCUGGACUCUGACGUGCUUACUCUACAUUCCAGUUACGGUCGGCCCUGCGGUACUUCCUCGUUUCACCCUCACAUUUUCGAUACACAUUCAUCAUAUUCGUCCUCUCUCACGAUACCUUCCCUCCCCUCUUAGUUAGAUGUGGUUGGCUGUCAGGGUCCUAGGUGUCCACUAGUGGUAAUUCCCCCUGCCUUCUUCGCCUUAGGUUAGUGGUCCCGCGAGGCCAACACCCAUCCGCAUACUCGGAGGUACUAUGCCCCUCGGGCCAACUCAUAGUUAGUCGCCUCGCAUUGUGGCAUAGAGAGGGCCUCACCUGUCACUCCCAGUCUAUCUUAUGGUUAACUGUCACCGAGAGGCCGCCACCCCGCCACAACGUUCAGUGGCCAUGUUAUCCCCUCGCGCCAAUGCAUAGAUAGAGCCUCUCACGCCACUUGGCAUCUAGUAGGGCCUCACCUGUCACCAAACCUAGUUUUAAUUGUUUCGCCUUUUUUGCCAGCUCACACUCACGCACACACACACAUUGGGUAGCUUAUGCGCUGUUUUUCGUCUCUUUUUUAAGCUUGGCGCUGGCGUGCUACUUUUUCCGCCUGGCUCUCUGGCUAGGUCUGGUACUCAUCGCGCUGUGGAGUUUCGGCUACUCCCUCUCGUGUCCUGGUCUCUUCCUCACUUCGUUGUGUUUCUCGCAAGUCGAAUUAUUCCCUCCCUAGCAGCCUUUCGGUCGGUUUCAGAUUGGCAAUUUGGGUAAUUGGCGUCUGCCGCUCUGUCUGGAUCCGAGCCAGACUUCCUGCACCUUUUUCAUACGAUCUCUCCUGUGCCUCCUCUACGCAUUCCUCUUGGCUCUGCCUUCGGCCUCUCCCGUAGCCGCUGCCGUCCCCUGCGUAUUGCGGUCUGCUCGUGGACUACCAGCCUUGUUAGCUCUUGGUCGUCAUCUUUCUCGUCUGGUUCUUUCUAUUAACACUCGCGGUACAUAUAUUAGGGCCUUCUGUUUUGCGGCUCCUUUUCGCGUAUACUGUUACUGUCUUUUUGCUAGGUUGUCUGCAUUUGGUUUUCGCUUCUUUUGCCACCUCUAACUUGCAUCAACUCUACCUAUUACAACUUCACAUGCUGUUACAGGUUUACCAUUCAUACUCAGUUUCAUGUCCUCAUACCAGUUUAGUACCAUACUCAAGGCAUUUCCGGCUCCCAGGAAUUUCAAAUCUUGCAGAUAUCCCGUCCGCAACCAAUUAGUUCAAUCACUAUCAGACCUAUUAGAUGCCUGUCCUUACGAACCAGACACCAGCCUUCAAUGUAGGGUAAUAACUGCUUGAUCCAAGGAUAAAUCUGAUUACCAUUCUGGGGUCAAGAAGGAAUUUUUUCCCCUAGCUUGUUGCAAAAUUGGCAGUGCUUCAAACCGGGUUUUUUGCCUUCUUUUGCAUCAACCACAAGGAAAUGGGCACCUAUUUACUCUCUCUUUCUAAUCAAGCCUCACUAUCACAGAUCUCACUACUUGGGGCCAGUCCUUACACUCCGACAUUCUUUGGUGCAUUGAUCUUGGGGCCAGAUUUAAUCAGUUCUACUAUUCUGGUCACCCCUCUAGGAUAGGGUGGCAUCUAUGGCCUCAAUCUAGUUCACUUUGGUCUGUAUAUCUUUAAUCUCUAGGUCAAUGGAAGCUCUCAGCAUAUUCUCCCAUAUGUACCACGUACCGCCAAGUUUUCGACCGGCUUUACUAUAUAGCUAGGCAAUUAAGGUUUUCUUAUCAGUUGCUGGUUGUUCUACGUUUCUGGGAUGUUUUAACUUUUUGCCCUCUUUUAUUACAGGCCUGCCGCGACCUUGUGUCCGGCACACCUCAACCGACUUAUUUCCCCCUUUACUAUGCUCCUCUUGCUAUGCUUCCUAUACGGCCUUAUUUGCCCCUCACACAAAUGCAAAGGCUUGGCCUGCAGUUGUGGGAGGGGCUUGUUACACUACUUAAACCCUCCUACUCACCUUCCUCCAUCCCGUACGUGAUUAUAGCGAUUCGCUUGUCCCCACCCUCCACUUCCUCUAUCUAUAUUUUUCAUUACAUCUCAUGGGUGGGCCCUUUUUUAUGACAGGCGUGCCGCGACCUCUGUUCCAGCACACCUCAACUGACUUAUUUCCCCCUUUACUAUGCUCCUCUUGCUAUGCUUCCUAUACGGCCUUAUUUGCCCCUCACACAAUUUUAAAUAAUAGCACUGCUGAUGUUAAAAAAGAGGUGCAAGUGUGUUUUAUUUUUUCUCCAGUCAGAGUAACAGUUUUCUGUGACAAGUAAAAAGCUUUCCUGAACUUUAUUUUUGUUUAAUGACUAAAAAAAACCUUCACAUUGCAAAUGUGUCUUCUUUUUUCAAUGUCUGCUUUUUAUUGAAAUUUUUCAUUGACAAGAACAACAAUUGGGGAUACAGAAAAGAAAGAGGGGAGGAUGAAAACAAGCUCUGCAAAGCUAUACAUAGUAGAUACUAAACAGUAUAGGUAAUGCAACCAAUACAAUCAGUACAUAAGAUAUACAAAUUUAAUUUACAUAUUGAAAAACAUAGUGUCGACAAGUGAAAGCAGUAAUAAUAAUGGGCACAUUAGUACAUGCCAUAGAUACUCAACACAUUACACCGUAAUUCAGUUUGUUCAUAAUUCCACAUAAAAGCAUGAGAGAUCAAGGGAUAAACAUGAUACAAGGGACUUGGGUAUUUGCUGCUAAGUAAGCUUUGGUCGAGGAAUUUAACAUUACAUAAGCAUUAUACAUUCCAAUUUACCAGUGAGGUAGAUAGAGUCGAAAUAUCCACUAGUACUUCGGUUUGUUAGUGGGUCAUAUAACCAAAUGUGUCUUUUUUAAGUGAUUGCUUAUUUUUUUCUCUUAAUAAUAUGAAAGUGUUAUUCCAAUCAAAAAACAUUGUUUUCAUAAAAGACUGUUUUUUGUUAGAGUAAUCCCUUACACGUUACCACCCACAGUUAAAGCCUGAUUCUCAUUACCUGAUGUCAGGCAGGAUAUGGAGGACAAACUGAUGAGUGGAAAAGAUAUACACAAAUUUGAUAGAUAGGAACCAGCGCUUAUUACAUAUAAUUAAAAUAUACACAAUUUGUUAUAAAUACCUUCAAACUAGCUGCUAAACAUUCAUAUGGUGCUUUUCAACACCUCAAACAACAAAGUACUUAAAAAAGGAAAGAAUGUAGCGCUUGUAGUAGUAAAUAGUCACUUUUUAACAGUCUCUGAGGAAUAUAUUGAAAAUCUUCAGAUAAAUGCCUAAAAGGAAAAUAAUCGCAUAUGGUGUAGAUGGCAUAUUACAGAAUGAUCAUAAGUAUAAAUAUAUGAAUGAACUCACAAACGGGGAGCUGUAAACUCAGCUCUGGUUUAUUUCACUUUCGGAUCCGUUUAGGCGAUCCUCCCCUUUUUGAAAGUUGUGUCACUGUUAGGUCCGUUUAGGUGAUCCUCCUUCUUCUUUGAUUAAUUGUGAAUACUAUAAAUCUUGUCCUGGAAAGGGGGUGAAAACUGAUGGGUGGACAGGGUCAGCAGUGGGAAGCACCUACCACUAUGGAGUGUCUAGUACCAGCAUGUUGUGAGUACUAAUGUCAGAUGCCAAUUGUUCACAGAAUUAAUAUUAGCUAGGCUAAAAGUUACUUAUGGACCGGCUAAUGACACUGCAAAGGGGUUAAUUUCUGAAUGUGCAGUGUAUUCUAGCAAAAUGCUGCACAUACAGACUCAAGGCACCAUGGCCACUUCAAAAACUGAAUUGGUUAUGGUGCUUAGAGUAGUGGUCAUAGUACUUAGAGUAACCCUUUAAUCAUGUGUCUUAUUUUGAGAGUGCAGUCAAAGGUAAAAUCUUCAGCUAUGAAACAAGUAAAACAAUCUCAGUGAAAUAAAAAGUGGUGGAUACACAAAUUACAUGGAUGGAAUUUUAGUUUUAUACAUAAGAAAUUUCAUGCAAACGUGAAAGCAAAUCUGACAAAUUUUAUGCGUAUCCUCCUAAGUUUUCAAUUACAUUUAACAUUUAACAUUUUCACUUAUUCAUUUGGGUGUUUAGUGCUGCCUUGCUAUGGGUGAAUUGACGUGAAGUAUCACUGUUUAUCCAUUGUUAUUAUUCCCUUUUAACAUUAGAUACUCCACUGCCCAAAUACAAAUACAUUAAAAGCACAUUUUAGUAGAUAUACACCAAAUGAAAACUUGCAUGCAUUUUAUUGUGCAUUUUCAUAUUGGGGAUAUAUCUAAAAAUAUCUAAAAUCAGCAAUGCUUUCCUUUGGGGAGGGCCUAAUGUGCUUGCCGCUCUAACCAUGCGUGCACAAUAGCCCCCCCUAUCGGGUGAUGUUGGAGGAGACAGAGCACCGACCCAGUGCCAAAACAGACCAGUGCUGGCAUUGGGUAAGUGACUAAAGGGUCACUUGCAGUGCCCAGGGGGUGGGGGAGUGGGAUGGGGGGGUGCCAGAGGGAAUGAAAGUUUAUGGAAUACAACUUUGUAUUCCUUGCACUAAAUAAUCAUUUUAACUCCAAGGAGCUAACCAAACCAGGAAUUAACAAGACCUGUUCUCUGCUUGAAAGCCGUGGAGGGGGUAACCAUGUUAAUUCAUAAAAGUGUAAAUUUCUAUUGAAAUCUGAACUUUUUGUAAAAUUAAAAAUAGGACACACUCCUCACACAUAAAGCUUUUUAGCAAGCUAAAGGGCUUUAGGGGUCUGGACUGUCCCUUUACAUUUUCUAAGACGGAUUUUAUUAUUUAUAGUAUAUUGGCUUAAAUUUUAUACUUUUGGAUAAGCUUUCCAAAUUACUUAAUAUUUUUGGAUAAACUUGUAAAAGGAUUUAAUAUUUUGCAAAUAAAAGCUUAUCCAAUUAUAUUAAAUCAAGGACUUUCAAUUUAUACAUUUGUAGUUUUAGUUAUUUAAGUAAAAAAAUAAAACAUCACAUCUUACUGGAUGUUAGAUAAAAAAGGCAAGUUAUAUUUGGCAAAGGCAAGGAUUUACAAUCAAGCAAUGGUUUCAUGUGGUGUAGAAUUGACAAAUUUUUAGCUUGCUUUGCCAAUUGUAUUCUGAGAACAUCAUAGCUUUGUGCAAUUUAACAUUCCUAAUGAUCUUCUGCCUCAGUAGAACUUAUAUUGGCAGCAAUUUCUGCAAAGACAAUGACAUAAUAAUCAAUCAUUAAUGAUCAGUAUUAGAAGACAUUUUGGUGACUUACAAAAAUAGUCAUUAUAUGUAGAUUAAUUAGAUGAGCACACCUUAGACAAGAGUUACUUUAAUUAAGUUUUUAACCACAUGUCUUAUCUUUUUGGCUAACUCAUAGAAGAAUUUUUUGACUUUGACAUUUUAUUUUUUAUCCAGCAGGGAUCAAAUAUUGAAUAAAUGUCCGAAGAAUCAACAGAGUAUGCAUCCUCAUAUUGAAUACUGCAGGAAAAUGGUUCCAUAAUUUUAUGGUUGAUUACCAGACUGUAGUGAUGUCAAUUAAAAGCAGACACUUUAACAAACUGCUAAAUACUUAUAGGAUAUGUGUGUACACGAGCAUAGCACAAAUAUGAUGCAAGUGUGUAUAUAUAACAUAAUGCAUUAAAGUAUUAUGAAAGAUACAUUAAAAAGUCUACUCUAUUUUCUGCAUUAAGGUAUUUGACACUGCCCAGUCGAUCCUGACAUAAUUUUUAGAUUGUUAGCACAUAAGAUAUCUAAUUCCUAUUUUGCAUGAAGGUGCUACAGUGCUGGAUUUAAAACUACAGUUCGGAUCAGAGGCAUAACUAGAAACCAGUAGGCCCUAGUGCGAAAAUUGCUCUAGACACCCCCCAUGUGUUUUCUUUACCCACGUGCGUCUCAUUCCCCCCCAAGCUCCUCAUCCCCCAGACCCUGUGUGUUUCAUUUCCAAUCCAACCCAUCCAUGUUUCAAAUUUCCCCUUCCACGGAAGUGCAAAAUGCUGUCAGACAGGGGCACCGCUGAUUGGCUUGGAGCAGUCAGCUAAAGCUCUCAGCCAAUCAGUGACUCCUAAUUCAUAAAACUGUCUUGAAAAAUUUACAUAUCUUUUCAAGCCAGUUUUAUGAAUGGGGAGUCACUGAUUGUCUCAGAGCUUCAGCAGACCACUCUAAGCCAAUCAGCGGUGCCCCUGCUCAGUGGCACUCCGUGUUUCCUGAAACUAAGAUUUAAAAGCCGGAUGCCACCAGGGGGACCUGAGGAUCGGAAGUAUACUUUGGGGAUAAACAGUUGAGAAUGGCUUAAUCCCUUAAGGUAAGAGUGUGCCUGGGGGCUUCCUGGCAUCAUAACAUCUUUAUUUAGAUACGUUUGUUAUGGUGCUCGGAAUGUUCCUUUAAGUUAAAAUUAGAGAUUGUAAAGAUAAAUAAAUAGCUUGUACCACUAUAUUGUCUCCUAUUUUAUGAUUUAGGUAAACCUGGAAGUGCAUUCAGUCUUCUACUUUAUAAUACAUCACAUUGUAUCACAUUAAGCAUUUUGGAAUAUAGCAAAAGGUAAACACAUCCUGCAUUUAUAAGGACAUUGGGAUCUGAUCUCCAUGACAGCAAUUAGAUAUAGUAGAACUAUAUGUACAUAAAACAUAUCUCCUCAAAGCAUUUUUAUCCAGAAUCUUGCUCUGUAAAUGUGAUUCCUCAGCUAUUAGACUUGUUAACUUCAUAAAACCAUAAAAUGUGAUUUUACUCAUCUUAAAAUUAUCUAAAUUAUUUUACAUGUAUUUUUAUGUGAAAAUCGGUAUGCUUUAAUCGAAUAUCAGCUCCUUCCUCACAUAUCUCUAUGAGCACCGAGAGGUGGAUUAAACCUUUUAUGAAACAUAUUGCAAAUUUCCUUACAAGAUAAAAGGAUUGAUCUCCCUUGUAUACUUACAUAGAACAUCUACCUCUUACUUUGACCGACCACAUUACUCCAAAAAGUAUGAGUAACCUGAUAAUCUGGACCAGGAAGACUAAAUAGAUAUGCAUGAUCACACAAAGCAUAUUACAGUUUACACAUAGUGUAAGAGACUUGUCUAAAGUUCUAGCGAGUAUAUUAGUAUAUUAAUUCAUUCAUCUAAGUCGAUGUCAAAAUUUGGUAUGACCUCAGAAUGGAAAAUCUAUCACUAGAUACUUAAUUUAAACUAUCAAAAUCUUUUUUUUUUUUUUUUAAAUGAUCCUCGCAUAUGAGAGUUAAACAAGCAAACACAGAAAAUAAAUAGAUAGAAGAGUCUCAUUUAAUACCUAGGGAGAUAAGAAGGUUCUGAUCCCACACAUAAAGUUAGAGCAGUAAACAACUUCUAGGAUGAACAUUUAAUUAUGACAGCAGCAAAAAAACAAAUGUGAGGAAGGCUGAACUUGAUGGACCCAAGUCUCUUUUCAGCUAUGUAACUAUGUAACUAUGUAACAUGCUUUAUUCGAUCCUUUACUGCUCUUAAUUUUAGAGCAUAAACUUACUAAUAUUGUGAUUGCAUAAAUUGUUUUGCAUUUUUAGAAAUAUAUUGUUUUACCUUAAUAACCUACUAGGAAUGAUAGGACAUUUUCCCCUUCUGUUUUGUUUCCCCUUCUUUUAUUUCUUCAGUAUUCUUUCUCUACAGAUACUUUUAACUCUUAUACGUCUUGUGUUGCAUACACUUUUUCUGACAAAUUAAAGGGACAUGCUGCUGCCCAAAUACAAAAGAAAUAUCAGCCUAGUGGAAACAUUCAUGCAUUUAAUUAUGCAUUUUCUAUUGGGACAUAUCUAAAACAGCUUGCAAAAUCUGCAGAUCUCUUGUCUGCUGCAUUUACAAGCCCUCCCCUUCUUCCCCAACAUGUAGCUGUCCAAUCAGCUCAAUGCAGCUCAUUGAGAAGUCUGCAGAGUGACAGUUGUCUGAUUGACAACCAAGGGGGUGUCAUAAGGUUAAUUUAUAAAAAUACAAAUUUCAACUAAAAUAGGCUUUUUGGAAAUUGAAAAAAGAGGGCACACUCUUCACAUAUAAAGCGCUCCAGCAAGCUAAAGUUUUUUAGGUGUGUGGCAUGUUCCUUCAAGUCAAAACAGCCUCUAGUUUAAUGACACAUGUUCAUGUGGAAUAAAAACAUUAAUUUUAUUCCAAGUAUAAAUCACAAAAAAGUCAAGGAAUAUGCAAGUCUCAUAAAACUCCAUAUAAUAAUAUGAUUCUGUCACAAAUGUAACUUCAAUGUACAAUGGAGUUAUAACAUAAAAUCUAGGUUUAGGAUUCAUGCAACAUUUUGAUGUAGUCAAAUAUAUUCUCUUUAAACUUGACUUUCAAUAGCACUGAGGUUUUACAGUGUCAAGAGUAGGAUGACAGGACUUACAUUAUCACUGACAAAAAGGAUGAAUUUUAAAGUAAAUCUGGAAUGUUUGAGUGUUAGAAAUCAGCUAAAUGUCCAUGUACAUUAUUAUUAGCUGUCAGUCUGAUUGCUCACAGUAUAAUCAAAACAGAAAUUCACUUCUUUUGUAAGACUCUUUAAAACACCUAAGAUUUGUUCUUUAGAAUAGUGAUGACAUCUCAUGAAUGUUUUGACACCAGAACUACUCAGUGUAAUAAUUUUAAAUUUCACAAUGCAACAGGAAGCAUUGUUACAGAUGACAAAAUUACUAUUAGCCUUCAGUGGAAAUGUGGAUGUUGUUCGUCUUUUACAAUUAACAUAGGAAAAAAUAUUUAUCAAGUCAAGGUUAUGUAAUUCAGGAAAACAGCAAAUUGUAGAACAGAAGCAACUAUAAUGUUUUUAAGCUUUGUAUUAUUUGACUUAGUGGUCCAUAUAAUCAAUUUACCUUGCAUAAAUUAGACAAAGAUAGUAAGAAAGGCAAACAAAGAGAGUGAUUUGUAGCCAACAUUUGCAUAGAAAUAACCUGCUAUUUUAAACCUAUUUUUCUGGAUCUUUGCACAAAGUAGUUAGAAUAUAGGUUUACCAAAUGUUUAGCCAUAAGACUUAUUUUGACCUAGUGAGUCCUCUGUAUCAAUCUUUUGGAGCAAAGCUGAAAUUUGCAUUUUUUAAAAGCAGAAUUGUGCAUCACGUUAUGAAGCAAACAUCAUCUCCAACUGCUUUAGAAAAGAAGAUAUUGUAUUUCAUAUGCCUUUAUAGAUGCGAGAUAUGACCAUAAAAUAUCUGCAGAAAUGAAAUGCUGUUUCUGAAGCACUGAAACUGAUAAUUUACUUUUUAAAAUGGAACUCAAAACUAUCAAUACUUUUUUUUUACUGUUUGUCCCUUUAAAUGAUAUUCUUCAACCAUUAAAACUCACCAAUAGGUCUGCUGUUGUCAUUCUUUUAGAAUCAAAAUUAAUGUUGGAAUUUAUUUACACUGGUAAAGAGCAUCUAUUUAGUCCUGAAACCUGCUGUGUACUAAUGUAUCUUAUAACAUGGUUUUGUAAUUCACAGUAAUUAAUAAAAAAAUAUAUAUCUGGCCCUCUUUUGUACAAGUGUAUUGAAGUGAAAAAAGAGAACAUAUAAUAUAGUGUGAAUGUGCAGUGUUUAAAUAUACCAUAAUACCUUCGAGUAUAGAUUUUUUGUGUUUCGCAAAAUAUGUUUUCAUUAUUCUUAAAUUACAUAAAACUAGAUAUAAAAUAUGCAUUAAGACCUGUGCUUUUAGGAACAUGUGGAUGUGGCAUUCCUGCAGGAGAUCCAUUGGACUAAAGAAACUAAGGAAAAUACCUCAAUAAAGGUGUACUCUAAUAUUAUAGACUCCUCUUUAGUUAAAAAGAAAGGACUCACAAUUUUAAUAUCUGAUUACAUAAAUUUUGAGAAUAUCUACCAAGAGAUUGAUUAUGAUGCCAGAUAUAUUAUAUUGAUUUGUAAAAUAAAUGAGGUCUUGCAUACUUUGGUAAAUCUAUAUUCAUCUAAUAAAGGUCCAGUUGGUCUCCUAAGGAAUAUAUGCAAUACAUUGCAAAAUAUUACCUAAAGUUUAUUAAUAAUGGUACAAGAUGAGAAAAUGGAUAAGAAAUAUCUAGGGAAAAGGGUAUUGUCUAACGAAUUUAAAAAUCAAACCAGACGCUUUCAGUCACUCUUGGGAGAAUAUAACCUAUAUGAUUUAUGGAGAACUAUACAUCCUGAUGAGAAAAAUUUUACACAUUUCUCUCGGGUACAUUAUUCGUAUUCCCGAAUAGAUUUUUUUUUAGGAAAAACACCCCUUAUUCAACAAAUUAAAAACAUAUAUAUAAGAGAAUUAACAUGGUCAGAUCAUAACGGAGUGAUAAUGGAAAUUAAAGAUCAGUUAGACACAUUUACUAGACCAGACUGGAAAAUGGACAAUAGUUUAUUAAUAUCAUAAAAAAAGAAAGAGUAUAUAAAUAAGAUGGCUCAAUGCUAUUUUAAGGUAAAUGAAACAGAUGAUAUGUUACAAUAUUAUGGUGUGCCUACAAGUCUAUGAUUAGAGGAUAUUUAAUAAAAAUGAAAGCAAAAAAAUAGAAAGGAAGCUCCCUCUAUCGAAGACUUGUAUGUUAAACUAUAUAAUUUAUCCAGAAAUAAUAGAGAAAAUUUGACCCUAGAAAAGGUAAAAAAAAAAAUUGAAAUUGCCAAAAAAUAAAAUACUAUCUUGUUAGAAACAUAUUAUACACAUAUACCUAGUAGAGAGCACUCUGGAGUCUUGAUAAGUCUCUUACCAUACAUAUUUUGAUUGCCAGCAAAAUAUUUAUAACUAAAUAUUUAUUUGGUUUACUUAUUGCGGGGAGAUCUAAGUGAAAAAGCCAUGUUUGUUGUUCCAACUUAAUGUUUCCCCUCAAUAGUUUAGAUAAUACACUUUCUAUCAAUGAUAAUUGUUGAAUUUUUUUUUUAUCAAUUCCACCAUUAAUGUACCUUAUGUAUGUGAACAUCUCCAACAUCCCCCUUUGUUUAGCCUAAGAUAUUAUAAUCCAAUUCAGAUAGGGGAGGCAUUUAAGGAUUUUUAUCUAUAACAUAACUCUAUAAUAUUCCAGUAAACAUAGAUAAGACAUAUCUUAAAGAAUAUCUUAGACAUUUAAAAAAAAUUUAAUUAUCAGGAGACCAAAUAAAUUUUAUAAAUACUCUUAUAACUCUGGAAGAAGUUAAUUUGGCCAUUAAUAAGCUUAAAAACAAUAAGGCACCAGGACCCAAUGGUUUCUCUAAUUUUAUUUGAUAAAAUUACCAAAAAACAUUAUUAGUCCAUAUCUGGUAACAAUAUUUAAUAAAAUAGGACUAUUGGAUAGUAUACCAGAAGAAAUGCUACAAGCAAAUGUAGUUCCAAUCCUCAAACAAAGUAAGACUCCAACAGAAAUAGACAACUAUUGUUCCAUUUCACUUAUAAAUGUGGAUAUUAAGAUCUACUCUGCAUUCUGGCUACUAGAUUAAGAUAUAUUAUAAGUCCAUAGAGACCAGGUAGGAUUUGUAGCUUCAAGAUCUUCAACUUAAAAUAUGAGAAGACUUAUAGACUCUUUAGAUAUGUCAAAAAGAGAUUCCAUACUCCAACUGGUCCUAUUUUUGGAUGCCGAAAAAGCAUUUGAUAGGGUCUGUUGGCAAUUUAUGCCUGAAAUGCUGCACUCAUAUGGAUUUGGAGAUUGUUUUAUAAAUAAAAUGAUUGCCCUUAUAUACUAUACCUAAGGCUAGAAUAAUAGACUCAGGAAUAAAAUCCUCCUGGUUUAAUAUAACUGGACAUGUCAAGGAUGUCCUCUGUCCCCUAUCUUAUAUGUUCUAACUUUAGAACAUGUUUUAUAACUGAUAAGAGGCAAUACAAAUAUAACUGGUACUUCUAUAAACCAUGAAUUAUUUAAAUCUCUUAUCUUCUGCGGAUCAUAUAGUCAUAAUAAUAAACAAUGUAGAUGUAACGGAGCUCCCUGUACUCUGACCAAGUACCCUCCGUUGAUGGAUGCUCCUAGCGCUUCCUGAGGACUCCAAACACUACAGCAGACACCACAACCACCGCAGACUCCACAACCGCCGUAGCUUAACUGGAGUCUCGCCGUCUUCCUUCCACCCUGGAUCAGCUUCUGUCCUCCAGGACCGUGUGGGGAAGACCUCUCCUCCAGGAGAGCGUAACAGGAACAGCUCUUAAAAGAGCUAAGUGAUUAAAAGCUCAGGGGAGUAUGCAGAGCAUAGCAAUCCCCAGUGUGAUAUAGCAGUUCCCUCCAAUAACGAGACAAGGCUACGUAUUGAGGGUCAAGAAGAUCUGUUUACUUGGCACCAAAGGGCCUUCUUUUAUGCAGGUUUCCCUGAGAUAGGACCACCCACAGGGGUUUACAGAAUAACCAAUCAUAAACGUACAUUACAGAAACACUCCCAGCAAUUACACACAAAAAUCCUCCCCUCUGCCUGUGAUCUAAUUAUGGCACACAAUGGGUUAACAUAAUUAAACACAGGCAGUAAAAAUACAGUUUUUAUACAUGUACUAUAACUUCCAAACUACACAUCCAAUCUUCAUAAAAAUUACAUAUUUGGAAUCAAUCCAUUAAGGGGAGCAACAUAUUAAAAAAUGGCACAAAUCAGACAAGGCAUUCAAAAGUUAGCAAAAGUGUCUUUUGGGGCCUGGCUGGCAGCAUGGUUUCUGGCCCAAACCGGUUUUACAGAGGCCUCUAUCCUGGACAAUGGGGAAAGUAAUCCAAUUAUCCAGGGAUAGAGGCAGACUCCAUUAACCACAUGUUAGCAAAAGACACAAAAAGACACAAAAAUACAUAACUCCUAUUGAACUGAACAGAACCCCCACAUUCAACCUAUCCCCAGAUGGCUUGGAUCUGAGCGCUCAAUAUAUCCAAACAGCGCUCAGAUCCCACAAAUACAGUCAAAUCGCCAUACACACUAGGUCCAUAGUCAUGGGGCAGAAGGCUGGCAAUUAGGCUUCUCCAUAACACAGGGAAGCAGGGCAAUUUGUCAAAUAAAAUAACAGUUACAAAUGGCAGUUUGUAACAGUAGAUAAUUAUUUUGCUGCUCUACUAGAAGCGAUACAAAUAUUUAUCAGUCUCUCUAAUUAUAAAUUAAAUAUUUCAAAAACAUCAGCUAUGCCAUUAAAUAUUGAUAAGAAAGUAAACAAACUUAAAUUAGAUUAUAAUUUCUGAAAUCUAUUAGCUUAAACUAGAGAAAAUCUUAACAAAAUGCACAUACAAUGAAUUAUUGUGGUGGGGUAGACUAAAUGUAAUAAUAUCCUACAUACUUCCCAAAUGGACGUAUUUAUUUAGGAUGGUACCCUUAACGUUUCCCCAAAAGUGACUGAAAGAAGUACAAACUGUUUUCAAUGGUUAUAUAUGGUUUUCAAAAAGAGCUAGUUUUGCAGCAUCCAUUCUGUCAAGGAAUAUAACAAAAGGAGGUAUUAAUCUGCCUCUUGUUAAAAGAUAGCAUGAUGCAUCUGUGAUUCUUCAUUUAAAGAAAUGGUGUAAUCAAGAGUUUUUUUCUGAAGCAUGGUAUAAAAUUGAAGCAUCAGAUAAUAUUGAUCUAAACUGUAUAUUGUGGAUAGACAAUAAGAAUAGAAGAAUUAUAAAUUUAAAUUUAAUUGUAGAGAGGUUUUGGAGGAAGUUUCUCAAUAAAAAUAGUUUAAAAUUUAAAAAAAAAAAAAUUGCCCACAUCGUUUAAAGUUUUCAAAUAUAAAAUACAGGAUAUCAACCUUAAAGAAUGGAUAGAAAAAGGAAUAACUAAAGUUGAAGCGUUGUUUAAGGAUGGACAAAUUAAAUAAUUUUAUUUUAUUGUCCAAGACUAUAAUCUAAGUCAAAAAGAUGUCUUCUUAUAUUUAAGAGUCAAAAACUGUAUUAUUCAAAAUAUUAUUGGGAACCCUUUGGAAUGAGAAAAACAACUCCAGGAAGUCCUAACAAGGAUCAUAAUAUUACAAAAAUCGUGUCUAUAGGAUUAAUAGACACAACCAAAGAAAUAGACAAUAAGUUAAAUGCUUUUCAAAUUUGGGAGAAAUAUAUAGGUAGAACUUUUGAAAUCAAUGAUUGAUAUAAAAUAGUGUUAGAACUUAACAAAAUGUACCUUGUCUAAAUCUCUAGAAACCCAGUAUAAAAUCAUCCAAAGAUGGUAUAUGGUACCUACAAAACUGAAUAAAAUGUAUCCCUCUAUUAGUAAUAUCUGUUGGAGAUGAGAUCACUUCGAAGGCUCUUUGCCCCAUAUAUGGUGGGAAUAUGAUAAAGUAAAAACAUUUUGAGAAAUUAUUAGAAAUCUCCUUGUAAAUCUAGAACUCCCACAGAAAAACUUUGAGUUAGAGUCAUUUAUUUUACAUCUCACAUGACCCACAAUGAAUAAAACAUCUAAAUAUUUAAUUAUAUAUAUUUUGAUUGCAGCCAAAAUCUCAUUAGCGAGGAAAUGGAGAAAUCAAGAUAUACCUACUUGGCUUCAUAUUAAAAAUCAAAUAACAUAUGAAUUGAAGAUGGAAGAAGGUAUCAUUCUGAAUUCUGGUAAUAAGGCAACACAUUGAUUAAAAACAAUGGUUAUCAUUUAUUAAUAAAUAAGACCGAAAUAAGUUAUUUAAAGUUGAGAGCCCUGAAUAAAAUCUAUUAAAUAAAAUGUAGAUAUAACCAUGGCUGUGUGAGGAAAAUGUUUAUAUGUAUUUAUGUAUGUAUGCACGUAUAUAUGUAUGCAAAUAGAUUAACUUAUUUCAUUCUGCCCCAAAAAUGGAAGACGAAGCAGGUCUAUAUAUUUGAAAUAUAGUAAUUAACAUAAUAAUUCCAUGGCAUAAUAAUGUAAGUAAUGUACGUCUUUAAAACAUGUAAAAAAAAUAAAUAAAGAAUGUAUUUAAAAAAAAAAAAAAAUCUGCACUUUUAAAUUACUCUUGAAAACGGGAGGUCAUCCCAAGAGAGUUGAUUGAAAACAGUAGAAAAUCUCAUUAUUUUCAUUAUACCAGACUAUUUUCAUCUUUUUUUUUUUAAGUGUCCUAAAUUAACAUUAAAAGCCUUUGCUAUGCAUCGUGGCUGACAUGUUUUGCUUCAUAGCAGACAGCAGGAAAAACAGUUUGCCUGGGCAGCAGUGGUUCAAGGUUAGAGAUAAGUAAGGGAAUGGUACACAGAGAAACACUAUAUAGUUAUAUAAUUAUUAGAACAAAAACAUAUACAAUAGCUCAACUAACAUCAUGAACUAACAGCCAUGAACUGCAAUGUUGUUAUAGGGAGAGGUAGAUGUGACACACCCACUGGGUGAGGGUUGACACAAUCAAAUCACCCGUGGAGUAUAAAUUCCCAUACUGCAACAGGUGCCACUCACAUGGGCAUGAGUACCAUGGACAUGCCACAACCAAGGUCUCUUGAUCUGAAACAACUGCCAUCCUGGAAUCUCGUUUGAAGACAGCACUGCACAUACCCUGUCAGCACGUACAGCUGGUCUGGCCUUUGGAAGAACUUAUCUUCCAAGGAAGGUAUAAAUCCCUCUGCCUCUCCUGCUUCUCCCAGUUAGGUAAAAUGUCACUGCCCACACCUCUGUCUCUCAAGCAAGUAUCCCUCUGCCCAUCUAGUUUCUCCCAGGCAGGUAUGGGUUCACUGCCUGUGCUGCUUCCAACUUGUCUCUUUACAAAGGCACUAGCUCUUACUUAGUUUGUCCCCGUGACCAAGGACAGGUGCAGCCAACAAGCAGGUUCAAAAAUUGUGCAACUGGAAUCCCUGAACAAACCAGAAAGAACACUCAGUUCAAAAUGACAACCCUUUGGUGUCUUGUCCUUAAACAUGUGGUAAAAACCAUUUACAAUACAAAUAUACAGAACACUGGAGAACAAGCUAGUAUAAUUAAUACAUUAAAUAAAUAAUACAAGUAACUUUUUCAAACACAAUAAAAAGCAAUAAUAUAUACAUUCAACUACUUAUUUGGUUUAAAUAAUUUGCAAACCAGCAUUAUGCACAUUAGUAUUCAGUCGGCAGAGGGCGCUGCAGAGUUAUCAUUUGUACAGUGACUGCUACUGUCACAACACCCUGCACCUGUAAUGGGCACAGGGUGACUUAAACCUAAGAGUCAUCCGGGGACCUACAUAAAGUGUCAGUCUUAUGCUUCCAGCGAUAGUGACCAAAACAUCACCAAACAGGAUUAUUAUGGUCUCCUUUUCUGGUACCCUAUUUUUGGGGAUGAAAAGGUUGCUAUAUUCCAUCUCUCAAUAUAGUACUUUGUGGAUGUAACAGAAAAUAACACAUAAAAGGAAGGGUGCGCUACAGAAGUGAUAAAAAUAAUACAGAUAACUUAACUUUGUGGAUGUAAGCUCCUUUUUAUUUUUUUAUUUUACAUAAAAUUGCUUGCCAAUCUAAACUCAAUUCUGCCACUUGCCGUUUUUAAAGAUAUUUCAUCAAUGUUAUAUAUUAGGUGCCCCCAAUGUGUAAUAACUGAUAUAGAAGGGGGCGUGGCCAAGACUUGAAUGAAGAAUGAAGUACGAGAGCUCCAUUGGCAAUGGCCAAAUAUAGCUUGAUUCCACACAAUUGGUGAAUAAAUUAGCCUCAGACUACACCACAUUCGUCUCUCAAUGAGAUGCCAAGUAAAUCGGCAUGAAAACGAAGCACAAAACCCCAUCGCCACAAAUUUCAGCCUUUCUCCAUCGAGCAAGCACGCCUAAGAUGGUGCAGGUGAAGCACACUCUACUACCUCAGAAUCAGGGCACAUUAAAUCAGGCCGCAGUGAUCUGAGCUUGAUCUCCCAGGCUACAGAGAUGCCAGCUGCUGACAGCACACUACACAAGCUGCUGGAUGCAGGGCCGGAUUAACAUAGGGGCUGAUGGAGCUGCAGCUCCAGGCCCAGGCCCAUGGAAUAGGCCCAUUGAUUUAAAAAAAAUAUAUAUAUAUAUUUUUUUUUUACAUUUUUUUUUCACACACUACUCUUAGGGAUUCCACCUGGCUUUUAUUUUAUUGGCACAGCCAGUAUUUGAGGAUGCCUGGCUGGUGCAAAUAUUGCAGUGAUACUGGCAAUACAAAUGCUGGUAUUUUUCUCAGUAUAAACAAGAGAUUACUCUGCAAUACCAGCACUGGCCAGUAGGGGUCGCUGUAUGUGGAGACAGGCAGGGAUAGGAAGUUCCAGCAUAUCCCUCCCUGCCUAUCUAUACUCACUGAUCUGCAAGGGUGCAGUUACAGAGAGUCCAGACAGCCACUCCCACCCUGCAGAGACAGCCUACAGCUCAGGGAAGUAAGGGAUGGGGGGGGGAAGGCUGCAAGGAGACAUACACUGAGACACUAAGGGACAUUGGGAGACAUUACGACACAGACACAUGGGGACACAGUGUCCCCAUGUCUCCCAGCCAGUGUCCCUGAUGUCCCAGUGACCCCUAGUCUCCCAGUGCCCCCAGUCUGCCAGUGUCUCACUGUCCCCAUGUAUCCUAGUGCCUCCAUGUCUCCCAGUGCCUCAAGUGUCACAAUGUCCCCAAGCAAGUGUCUCUAGUGUCUGUGGCCCUGGUGUCUGUGUCCCCAUGUCUCCCAGUGCCCCCAUGUCUCAAUGUCCCCAUGUCCCCCAGCCAGUGUCUCUAGUGUCUUUGUCCCUGGUGUCUGUGUCCCCAUGUCUUCAAGUGUCCCCUAUUUUCCCAUUGUCCCCAUGUCCCAGCCAGAGUCCCCUAGUCUCCCAGUGUCACUGGUGUCUCUGUGUCCCUAGGUCUCCCCGUGUCCCCAGGUCUCCCCAUCUUCCAAGUGUCCUAGUGACAUGGGGACCCAGGGAUACAUGGGGACACAGGGAGACAUGGGUCAUUGAGACACUGAUACAUAGGAUCACUGGGAGACCUGGGGACACAACACUAGGGGACACUGGGAGACAUGGGGCACUGAGACACUGAUACAUAGGAACACUGAGACCUGGAGUAAUCGACACAUGGGGCACUGAGUCAUGAGGGCACUGGGAGGAAUCCAUCUAUACAGCAGAUUUAAACUAAGUAGUUUUUUGGUGAUUUUAUAGCAUUUUCUCUUAUGUCACUCCUUGUGAUUUACAUCAUGUGAUGUCACCCACACAUAUUUAAUUAUGCAAAUUAGUAAGGCCGGAAUGUUUUUUCCAAGUAUGGAAACUUAAGAGGGAUGUAUGGGAACAAAACUUGUGCGGAACUGGCUGACAAUGAAUAUAGUUAAAGAGACACUAUAGUCACCAGAACAACUACAGCUUAUUGAAUUUGUUCUGGUGAGUAGAAUCAUUACCGUCAGGCUUUUUGCCGUAAACACUAUCUUUUCAGAGAAAAUGCAGUCUUUACAUUACAUCCUAGUGAUAACUUCACUGGCCACUCCUUAGAUGACUGUUAGAGAUCCUUCCUGGGUCAUGGCUGCCUAACAUGCAUCCAAACAUUCAGUGUCUCCUCCCUCUGCAUGCAGACACUGAACUUUCCUAAUAGACAUUCAUGAAUUAAAUUCAUCUAUAUAAGGAGAUGCUGAUUGGACAUGGCUGUGUUUGAAUCAUGCUGGCUCUGACCCUGAUCUGCCUCUUUGUCAGUCUCAGCCAAUCCUAUGGGGAAGCACUGUGAUUGGAUCAGGCCUCCAUUUCUAAUGAUGUCAGCAGACUGCUUGUUUUUAUGAGUCUAACAGCAUGCAGAGUUACAGCUUCAGGCUUGAAUAUAGUAAGAUUUUGCUAUAUUUAUGGAGGCAUGAGGGGCCCAGGGGGGCUAGAUGGUGAUGUUAACACUAUAGGGUCAUGAAUUCUUGUUUGUGUUCCUGACCCUAUAGUGAUCCUUUAAGGUAAUGCUGACUUUGGUCUCUCUAACACUGUGGCAUGUUUCCUUUCUUCUACAUUCACUACAUACAGCUUUUCUCUGUCCCAGACCAUAUACCAGGAGCUUCUGCCUGCUAGUAAGAUGGUAAGGAGACAAGUGGACCAGCGAGUGCUAGGGGACAGGUCUUAGAAAGCGUUGAGUGAGCGCAUCAUUAGAUGCAUUUAUGCCAAGCUCAGGGUGCUGUCUGCAUAGUAUUCCCUUAGUUGGCCAGCUGCAUGAUUGGCAGGCAGCCUGACAUGCAUUCAUGUCAGGCUGGCCUUCUAAUUCUUUGAGCAGACAUGUCCUCUUUUUAGGCAUGUUCGCCCCUUUUGGCAGGUUACGUGAUUUGUGUCAGUGGCACACCCUUUUACCAUGCCCAUUGACUUCCUGCUUGACUGGACACUGCUGUUAGGGGUUAUGGAUUUACUUGAAAGAUGAAAACAUAAAUUAGAGAGAGAUUAGCCUAGGGUAUGUGUUUUCUUAUAGCUGCUGUUUUCUUUCUCUCCAGCACCAUCUCCAUCAGAUACAUGACGCUUGGGAGUGUUUUACUGUUUUUGGUCGAUAUGAUUCUGUAAUUAGGCCCGUCAUAAUUCUCAGCACCAGGCCCACUGGGCUCUUAAUCUGGCCAUGGCUGGAUGAGUUGAAGACUACCAUAAGGUCAUAGCUGUUGAUAUCAGAAGGGACGUGUAAGCCAUAGGUGAGCGUACUGCCCACCUAGAAGAUAAAAAAGAGGAGAUCAUGGAGGCCUAUAACACGCUGGCUGAUGCCUACACGAGAUUUUCCACAAAAUUACAAAUAAUGGAUACGAAGGUCACUGACCUUGAAGAUAGGGCCCGCAGGAAUAACAUCCACCUGCGGGGCAUAUCAGAGCAUAUAAAAGCACCACAUUUAAAGGAAUACCUCCACCAGCUAUUUCGAGCUUUGUAACCUCACGCCUAGGCCCAGGCAUUGGAGUUAGAUAGGUCCCACAGGCUGAUGAAGCGAAAAAACCUACCUGCUGCAGUCCCACGGGACACUAUUGUCUGUGUCCACUUUUUCACUACUAAGGAGAGGCUGAUGCAAGCGAGACCUGGAGCAGCUGAUGGGCAGAUAUGCUGGCAUACAAGUCUUCACAGACCUAUCCCCAGCCACCUUGGCCAAGAGAAGAUCCUUUGGCACCAUCACCAAGGCACUGAGAGAGGCACAGAUUCCUUACAAAUGGGGAUUUCCCCCUUGACGCAUCAUCCAGAGGAAUGGCUCUGACAAAGUGAUUUCAACGCCCGAAGAGGGACACAAACUGCUACCACAAUGGUAUAUCCUGCAGCAAGCAGGAACUUCACCCACCAAAGACCUAGCGACAACCUGAACCCGCAUAACAGGGGACUGGCAAAGAAUUGCUGCAGCAAAGUGAACCAAUUCAUCGCUCUGGGACAUCAUCUCUGCGCUCUCUAUUAACCUGCAAGUUUGGUCACUGACUUGGUGUAGUAUCACAUUUCUAAGUUCUAUCUACUUCUCUUUACGUACUCUCACUUCUCUAUAUCUGUAUAACAUCUCAGCUAAUCUGAGCAACACCUACAAAUACCACAAAAUUAAAAAAAAAUCUAUAAAACCAAUAAGAAAAUAAAAACAAAUUUUCAGGUUUUUUUUUCAAUCUUUCUUUUAUUAAGGCAAAUAAGUUGGGAUACAGAAGUAAAAAGAAGGGAAACGUGCAAGUAUAAAUACACAUUAAAGAGAUCACAUCAUAGAAUAACAUUUCCCAUAUAAACGAUACCUCAUUUUUUUUGUAGUGAGAAUUAAACAUGCACGGGGGGUGGGGGUAUCAUGCAUUUGAGGGUAUCAUGCAUUUGAUGAACGGUGUGGUGCAGGUGUUGGGAGGCCGCCCUCCAGCCCCGGGUCAUGAAGAAGGCACGCACCCAUGAUCCACAGACUCGGUAACUCAUGGAGGCUGGGUCUUCCCUUUGUCGGGUGCCCGGAUACGCCCCGGUUGGCCUUCGGCCCAGGAUGGCCUGUAGGAUGAGGAAUAGACUUGGCUUUGCAUGAUGUGCCUGAGCAUGCCACCUUCUGCUUCCGCCCCACUCUCCACUUAUUGUGGUUGUUGGUUACUCCCUGGGUGGAAGUAUCGGCUGUCUGGUGCUUCUUCGGGUGUUUUCCCCGUUCGAUGUACAUGCAGGCUGUUCUCUGGUUGAUGCUGUAACAGACCAUUUUGCCGACAAGAGGUUAAAAACCGUUUAGGCGAUAUUCCCCUUUCAGAUGCAUAGGCACAGCUACUGCAGAACACCAAUGCGCUGAACAGGAAACCAUAUGAAUGCUGUAAACAGCCGAAUAGGAAAAACUAUACGAAUAGGUUUACACUCCUAGCAGUCAAACUGGAACAGCAUACAAUAAAUCCCCCCAACAACGAGACAAAGCUCCGUGUUGAGGGUCAAGCAGUGAACAGUCAGAGCUGUGGGUUUAUUGUGUUUAUGUACACAUUCUUACACAUUAGUACCACCCACAGGGUUUUGGAACACAACCAAAAAAAACACAUACAAUACACUCAGACACUCCCACACAAAAUCCUCCCCUCUGCCUGUGAUACAAUUACCUUACACAAUGGGAAAUGUAAUUAUAACAAGCAGAGAAAUACAAUUUUUCCACAUUAUUCAUAAUUUGAAAAGUAUGCAUCACAUUCACAUAAACUUACAUAUUCAGAAUCAGCAUACUCCAAAUACAAAAAUAUGUCAAAAUCAUCCAAAUUGGUCCAGUGGUUCAAAAUAUAGAUCGUAGUCCUUUGUGACCAAAGGAAGCAUGGCUUUUCUGCCCAAAACCAGUUCCACAGAGUCUUCUAUCCUGGAGAUAAUUGGGAAGUAAUCCAAUUAUCUCCAAAGACAGAGGCAAAACUCCAUUGAACACAUGGCAGCAAAAGACGAUAAAACACAUAACAAACAUAUCCCCAGAUAGCUCAGAUCUGAGCGCACAUUAUUACUGAAUGGCGCUCAGAGCACACACAUACAGUUCAAUUGCCAUGGAGCCAAAGUCUUUCCCAUAGUCUUUCAUUAUACGAAUGGGCUCAAUGACAUAGCUAUCUGGGGUAUCACCGCUCAAACAGGGCAAGCACCAAAUGACCCGGCUUUCAUGUCUUUGCAGGGGAAAAUCAAGCCUUUUAACAUGGGGCCAUAAUCCAAAGGCAACAGGCGAGCAACCAGGCUUCUCCAAUGCAAUGUGGUGAGAUUGGUCUCGUCACAGAUGCAGUGCCAGAUUUUGUGGCAUAUGGCAUCAAACUUGGCUUAAAACAGGGCCCUCCAGUGAGUGUUGGGGUUGCUUUGCUGGGCUUCCUGCAUGGCGGCCAUCUUGGCCUCACCACAAGGUUCGCGCUGUUUGGUGUCUCUGCCCUCUGAGUCUCUAUGUGUGCUCCACCCUCUGCCAUAGGUGGUCCGGGAUAACCCCCCUCCAGUCUGGGGGGGGUACAGGAGUGCGGCGGUUCCAUGUGCAGGGCCCGAACUCCGGGAGAUCGGCCGCCUCUCCCACGUCCAAGUCCCAACAGACCGCCGCAGUCCCAACUGCUUUUUUCUUUGAUUAAUUGCAGGAGCUCAAGCUGCAUGCGUCUGCUCGGCUGAGCAGCCAGGCUCCGCCCCAAUUUUUUUUAUUAAGUUUACCAAGUUUUCACAGAGGCCAUAUCUGUUACGGCUCUUAUGGACAUUACAUCCUCAGGGAAUGUGGCUUACUCCACGACACUCCGCAGACGCUCAACAACACAAAAAUUGGAUCAAAUCCUUUUGACAUAUGGAUACAGAGAUCCAUGGAGGGUAACACACCCUAAGGAGAGGGACUAUACAUUCCACUCUCUUGCUCACAAUUCAUACUUCUGGAUAGAUCAAUUUCUUACUUCAUACUUCUGGAUAGACCAAUUUCAUCAUAACUUGAUGGUGACAAAGGUAAAUGAGACUAAGGUGGGCCUUACCUCAUGGUCGGACCAUGCACUGAUCACGAUGCAAUUGGGGGAACAAUUUCCCACUAAAGGCAAGGGCUCUUGGCGCAUGAACGAGCACCUCCUCACAAACCCAGAAAUACUUGCAGAUAUUCGUAAAGAACAGAACGCUGUAUUUUGUAACUAAUGAGGUACCAGGCACUGAUCCAAAAUCACUAUAGUUAGCGCAUAAGUCUUAUGUAAGUGGGGUACUAAUUAAGCAAGCAAGCCAAGCCAAAGCACAGAGACUUAAAGCCUACCUAGACCUUACAAAAAGAUUAGUGGAACUAUCAUCAAUGAAUAUAUCAGCCCCUCACUCUCACUCCAACAAGCAAUAGACAUUAAGAAAUCAAGCGCCAAAUAUCAGAACUAGAAAUAGCCAAAAACUAUUUUCGCUUUGCAGAUUUAAGCAGCACUACUUUGAGCACUGCAACAGGGCUGGAGCUCUCCUAGCCUCCUAAUUAAAAAAACGGGAAAUGUCCGCAAAGAUAGCAUAUAUACACACGACACAAGGCAACAAAAUUAUGAACCCAGACCAUAUUGUCCAGGAAUUCGCCAAAUACUAUAGCUCGCUGUAUAACCUAAAGGAUGACUCCUCCACAUAUGUCCCAAUGCUACAAUAGAUAAAUAUCUUUCUAGACUCAACUCAUCUGCCCAGACUCCAGGACUUGGAAAUGCACAACCUCACAAAACCUAUUACACUGAACGAACUACACAGACACAUCAAAGCCCAGGGCCUGAUGGCCUGCCAGCCACUUAUUACAAAACCUUCCAAAAUCAAUUGGACUCCCACUUAAUAGACUAAUUUAAUCAACGCUUUCAAAUUGGAUCCCUCCCUAAAGAAAUGCCCAUUUAGUCACUUUGACAAAGCCCAGCAAAAAAACAACCAUUUGCUCAAACUUCAGAGUGAUUUCCCUUCAGAAUACAGAUACAAAGCUAUAUGCCAAAGUCCUGGCGGACAGACUUAGCUCGCGUCUACUGAAACUCAUUCAUCACAAUCAGUCAGGCUUUAUUAAAGGGCUGCAGGGUUCAGAUAAUUCCAGGCAUCUCUUGAAUGUGAUCCACCAUAUCAAUAAGGAAUCGAGCGAGGGUCUUCUCUUAGCGCUGGAUGCGGAGAAGGCCUUAGACAGGCUUAAUUGGGAAUACAUGACAGAGGUGCUGGGAAGGUUUGGACUCCCGAAAUUAUUCAUAAUGGCUAGCACCUUCAACGCUGGUUUUAUAUCCCGUCCUAUUUAUAUAACCAAUGGGACCAGGCAAGGUUGCCCCCUGUCCCCUCUUUUGUUUAUUCUGUGUUUGGAACCAUUGGCUCAGCUCAUUCGGAAAUUCCCAGAUAUAGAUGGGAUAUCAAUUGGUGAGCAGACUCAUAAAUUAACGUUAUUCGCAGACAAUAUAAUUUUAACGAUCACCCAUCCCAAAACAUCCCUCCCAAAACUAACUCCCUCCCCCCCAUACCCAUCUACACAAGCAACAAUUACUGCCUGGGAUGCAUUUCACAAUAAGCUACAAUCAUCUUUUAAAUUCCAUCGGCUACUGCCAAUAGAUGCUCUGAGAGCUAAUUCCCCAUGGAUGUCUAUACGCCACUGGAAAAAUUGGGAAGUUAGGAGCUUAUCACAACUAAUAUCUGGGGGAUCACUGGUUUCUGUCACAACCCUACAGGAAACAUACCAACUGACAUCCAAAUUUAAAUGUCUUUAUCUGCAAAUUAAAAGUGUACUACUAGAACAUGUGGAUUAUAAUAAGGAUGACACUAAAUAUUACAAGAGGAAAACUCAGCAUUUGUUGGCCUCUUGCUGGACAACUCCACUGAGGCCCAAACUCCAUUACAGUUGUUAUAAGGCCCAAAUGACCCCCAGGACUAAGACCCCCAUGGAUUUUGUGACAUAACAAGGUGACAUAAGAUGGUUCCACAGGAGAGGUGGACCAAGACAUUAAAUGCAUUACAAGGCACUACCAGAUGCUUCUUGCAUAUAGAAGCUCACCGCAAGCUUAUAUACCACUGGUACCUCACGACUGACAAACUAAAUCACAUAUAUAAAACCGUAUCGGCAGUAUGUUGGCAAUGUGGCUUGGACAAAGGCACCAUGCUCCAUGUUUGGCGGGACUGCAGGGAGUUAAAAAAGCACUCUGGGCCACAGUGGCAAAAUUGGUUGCAUCACUUGACUUGAAGAUCCCAUUAGAGCCAGGGGCAUAUCUAUAGCUGGAGUUUCCACCUCAACUUACCUUCCAUGAAAAGGCCUUGGUUUUGCACAUUGCCCUUGCGGCAAGAGCCUUUAUUGCUUUAAAUUGGAAAUAAAACUUGUGUCCCAUGGAAAUAAUGCUGUUAGAUAAAAUAAACCUUAAUUACGCAUAUGAGGGUAUGUCUAUUCUCUCCCAGAACCUAAAAUAAAAAAAUUAAAAAAAAGAAUUUGGGAACCAUGGGAGGCACUUUACUCAUCAACUCCCAGUCCAGGUUGAGUGGUUAGCUUAGCUCAACUCUGUAAAUACAAAAAAAAAAAGAAAAUAGGGGCAUGAUAAGGUUCCUCUAGGUGGUGCAGGGGGCAAACAUAGGCUACAGUCGACAAGACAUAGCCAGACUCUCCAGAUGCAUUGUCACAAGUCAUACCGUCCAAAUUUUGGACAUUUUAAAUUGGGUAGCAUGCAUCACUGCAGGAGAACCCUCCAGCAGCUAUUGUAGUAGGCUGUCAUGUCUGCACAUUGCCUAAUCAAUUGCAGACAAUCUGUAAAUUAAUUUUAAAUUUCUAGAAAUCAUGAAUCCCCAGGGGACCUCUCUCUAAACAUGCUCUUCGAGUCUUCAAAACAUCUUUAGACUAAAGUAUAAGAGAGGUCUCUAACUUAGCUAACACAUGUGGUAACGAGCCCACCUCUUGCCCAGAGCUUUUCUGCUAAUGAGCACUGUGCUUAUACAUGCAUAUAUACCUGUAUCUCAUUGCAAGCUGUACCCGACUUUUAUUGAAUGUAUGGCUGUGUGUACUUAUAACUGUAACUGAAUACUAUGUGGACUUUUUACUGCUGUAAUGUUGCUGUAUUAUUUGAAUAUAAAACAAUAAACUUCAAUUAUGAAAAAAAAAACUGAUUUAGAAAAAUGACCCACCACAAAUCAACUACUAGUUUGAUCCGUGUUCAUAGAUGACUAGUGAAUACCUAGUCUGAAUAUAUUUUUCCAUACAACAAUAGCAAAAAUAGCAAUAUCAAAGUUAACCACUUCGCAUGGUGGAAUUGAUACCCUGAUCACACCAAGUUCCAGCCACCAAAUUUAAAUACCCUGUGUGCAGUUCACUGUAAGUGCUGCAUAGUCCCUGUUUUUCAGGGGCCAUAUUUAUGGCCCCAUCUGACAGUAGUCCCAGAUGUCUAAUGGUGUUAAAUCCCAGUUUUGUAUUGGCAUAAUAGCAUGUGCUAUCAUCAUCAUCAUCAAGGGAUUAAAUAAAUCUGUACCCAUGUGGUGCUAAGUUUGACUUUAAUUGAUUGAUCCUUCCAUUUCUUCAUCUUUAAACUUUCAUUGACAGCAUUGCACUUGAGUCUAAUACAUUUUGCUCUAUCUGUUAAAUUCUACUUAUAUUUUUCUGUUUCUGUGUUUUGCUGUCACAAGUCAUACCGUCCAAAUUUUGGACAUUUUAAAUUGGGUAGCAUGCAUCACUGCAGGAGAUCCCUCCGGCAGCUAUUGUAGUAGGCUGUCAUGUCUGCACAUUGCCUAAUCAAUUGCAGACAAUCUGUAAAUUAAUUUUAAAUUUCUAGAAAUCAUGAAUCCCCAGGGGACCUCUCUCUAAACAUGCUCUUCGAGUCUUCAAAACAUCUUUAGACUAAAGUAUAAGAGAGGUCUCUAACUUAGCUAACACAUGUGGUAACGAGCCCACCUCUUGCCCAGAGCUUUUCUGCUAAUGAGCACUGUGCUUAUACAUGCAUAUAUACCUGUAUCUCAUUGCAAGCUGUACCCGACUUUUAUUGAAUGUAUGGCUGUGUGUACUUAUAACUGUAACUGAAUACUAUGUGGACUUUUUACUGCUGUAAUGUUGCUGUAUUAUUUGAAUAUAAAACAAUAAACUUCAAUUAUGAAAAAAAAAACUGAUUUAGAAAAAUGACCCACCACAAAUCAACUACUAGUUUGAUCCGUGUUCAUAGAUGACUAGUGAAUACCUAGUCUGAAUAUAUUUUUCCAUACAACAAUAGCAAAAAUAGCAAUAUCAAAGUUAACCACUUCGCAUGGUGGAAUUGAUACCCUGAUCACACCAAGUUCCAGCCACCAAAUUUAAAUACCCUGUGUGCAGUUCACUGUAAGUGCUGCAUAGUCCCUGUUUUUCAGGGGCCAUAUUUAUGGCCCCAGCUGACAGUAGUCCCAGAUGUCUAAUGGUGUUAAAUCCCAGUUUUGUAUUGGCAUAAUAGCAUGUGCUAUCAUCAUCAUCAUCAAGGGAUUAAAUAAAUCUGUACCCAUGUGGUGCUAAGUUUGACUUUAAUUGAUUGAUCCUUCCAUUUCUUCAUCUUUAAACUUUCAUUGACAGCAUUGCACUUGAGUCUAAUACAUUUUGCUCUAUCUGUUAAAUUCUACUUAUAUUUUUCUGUUUCUGUGUUUUGCUGUCACAAGUCAUACCGUCCAAAUUUUGGACAUUUUAAAUUGGGUAGCAUGCAUCACUGCAGGAGAUCCCUCCGGCAGCUAUUGUAGUAGGCUGUCAUGUCUGCACAUUGCCUAAUCAAUUGCAGACAAUCUGUAAAUUAAUUUUAAAUUUCUAGAAAUCAUGAAUCCCCAGGGGACCUCUCUCUAAACAUGCUUCUCAGCAACGUACAGAAGUCUGAGCGGCUGUAAGGUAAAAAAUAAAUAAAUUGAUAAAUAAACCCCACAACUGAAAUCAUAGAGUUUUAUUACUAUCGUGUAUGAUUAAUUGUAUUGGACAUUCUGUAAGAAUUCAAAUAAGAAUAGUGUUUAUAUAAUUGAGAAUAUUUACACUUCUUUCUCAUUUAUUCUUGUAGAGCGUAAGGAUAAGCAAAAUAUUUGAGGAAAAGUAAAACAUACAGAAUGGGGAUAUUUGCAACCUUACAUAAAAUCAAAUGGAAAAAUGUAUCAGUUUGCAUAAUAUUUUGAUUAAAAUAUAUAUGAAAAUUAAAUUUUGGACAGAACCCUGAGUGGACCCCCCCAAAAACAUUUUUUUUUUAAACAUGUGUUUAUGUCUGUGUGUGUUUAAGGAUGUUUUUGUCAGUGAGCAUGUAAGGUGUAUGUGUUUCUGAGGGUAUAAUCAUGUGUGUGGUUGAUGUGUGUUUUUGAAUGUUUUAUGUGUGGGGGCAUGUGCUUAGGGUGUAAUUGUGUGUUUGAGAGUAUAAUUGUGUGUGAGUUUACAAGUCCGAGUGAAUGACAGGUGCCAAAUACCCAUUAUAUGCCCUAUGUACACCCUGGCACUCAUGCAUUAACACUCACACACCAAACUCUCCACAUGCACUUACAUAUACACACAAACUAACAAUCUACACAAUAUCUCUGUACAAUGCAUAUUGCAUUACAGAGACAAGCAGCAAUAAAAGUAACAUACAUUAUUAAUAUUUUUUUUAUUGACUUUGCAAUUGAAUAAUCUUGCACUGCCUACCCCGAGACUGGGCUCACAAUCCGCACCUGUCUCCAUUCAGACUGUGGAGAUCCAGAAUAUGAGAGGGAGGACGAUUUAGAAAAUACACUCUGUUGCAGUUGAUGUGAGUGCUCCUCAUCUUCCUACAGAGUCUUUGAGGGAUUAUCAAGGUCAAGUAUGUAUCCUUCAUGGCCUGAAGCCAUGUUCCAGUUGCUAAAAUCAUGGUGUGAUUGACACGUCACAGGUUUGCAAUAGGUUUGAGCUAAAAGGUGUGAAUACUCCCCAGGCUGCCUGUCUAUCAUGCAGAUCAGCCAACUGAGGGCAGGCCAUGCAGGGAGCAGUACUUCAGUACUCACUGCAAGGUCCUUGUGCUCUGAACAUUGCAUUAGUGUGUCUUAUGAUGUGUGCAUGCUAUGAUUGUUGGGGACGGUUCCCUGGUGUCCCGAAAAGCAGGACAGCAGGCAACUAAGGAGGGACAGGACCCAAAAAUUGGGACUGUUGUGCCAAAUCAGAACAGUUGGGAGACAUGAAGUAACUUCAGUAUACUAGGCCUUCUACAUGCUAUGUUACAGCCAGUAUUGGUUUCAAUUGAAACUUAAACAUAUAGCUAUUAAAAACAAGGAAGUUACAUGCAUGGCAUCAUCAUUUUCAAAACAAACAUAUUUUAAUAACACUUACUUAACUAACUUUGUUUUCAGAGAGAAUUACUACACACGAACAGCUAAACAGUUGACAAUGUUUCUAUGGCAGUUAAAAGUUACCACAGCAACACAUUACUAGGCUACAUGACCAUGACCAUAAACAUAAAGUAUCUGCGUGGGUAUAGUGUGUUCUUAUGUUUAAUUCUAUGACUCACAAAGUAAUGAAAAAGACACACUGAAUAUGUCUAACUGGCCAUAAAAUAAUUAAGGAGAUCACUGAGAAAAAAAAUGUCUGACACAGUAUUUUCAUAAAAGAUUAUAAUCGAUGUAAUUAAAUACAUUUAGUGAAAGCUGUUUACUGUGUUUCUUUUAAAGAUUAAUAGAUUUAAUUCAAGGGGUAUGUAAUUUGAUAACUUAUCAAGUUGCUGAAUUCUCAAUUUGUCAGAUACACCAACCAUGCUGUUGAAUACCCCUGGAAUAAUUGUAUCCCUUAGAUGAGGUUUAGGCCACCUUCAUCACUCCAGAUGUUGUGAACUACAUCGUCUACAAUGCUCUUACUGCCAUAAUACUGGCACAGCAUCAUGGGAGAUAUAGUCCAAAACAUCUGAAGUACAUCUUCCUCAGAUGAAUAUACCACUUUUUGUUACUAAUGUGGUGGGUUGGGCUACUACUAGCACCUUCUUUAUGAUAUCAAUGCUUUAUCAUGUUUUUCUGACAGAAUCUUCAAUUUAUAUAAAGGCAAUCUUCUAAAUUGCUGGUAUUGCUGGCAUUUUCUUUUGUAAAUGGUUAAUGUGCUAGAAUAACUUAGAGUAUGGCCAGGUUCUUCAGGUGAGCUUUCUUUCCCCUUUGCCUCUCAUCAGUUGAAUGGCAUCUGUUUCCCUGACCUACUGGCUGCCUUGGAAUACUCCAAGCUCCAUAACCACUACAACGUACUGACCGCGUUAACUGAGCACUCCCUGCCAAAUCCUAAACCCUACUUCACCAGGUUUAGCUUAGGUUCUAAGAGGAAGGGAGCGGCGCAUGGCACCUAAAAUUAUAUGACUACUUCUAUUGGGGAGGUGAUAGUAUAUGCCUGGUUCCAUAGCCACUCCAGUGUGAUCUAUUAGUUAUGGUACUUGGAGUGUUCAUUUAAACUGAGUUGAUUCUACAUCUGGUCCUGGUUAUCUUCCCAUUUCAUUGUCCUUUCUCUGCUACCUCCUCUCUUUUUACUUACUCCCACAAGCUUUCACAUUUUCAGUCCUUUAACAUUAAUGAAACAUAAAAGUGGUUUCCUACAUACUAUUUAUCAUAUUUCAUAUGUUGUGCAGAUGAAAAUGUAUGGUUUUGUGUAGUUGUUAUAUGAAAAUUAGUAUACUGUUUAACUUUUACUUCAACCCAACUCUCCAAACAUCUAAUGUUAACAAUUUGCACAUUUACUUUGAUAAACUGUUCUUAAUUGUUUGUAAAAUUAGAUUUUCACUCCCUAUGUCUUAUUGAUAAUAAUAGGUUGAGCAUGAUGUUAUCUGCCUGAUCACUAGGGAGAUUAAACUUCAUCCAUUAUAUUUUAUGCAAAAAUAAGUAGUCUUCAAUUGGAAUGGAAUCUGGUUCUUGGUAAAAGGGAUACUAUAGUGCCAGGAAUAAAAAGCUGUAUUCCUGGCCCUAUCUCUCCCUCUCCCUCCCCCUCCCUGAUCCCAGCGCCGAUAUCUCUUAGUGCUGGGUCAAAGCUCCUCCUUCUCCUAAAUCCAACGCAUGCNNNNNNNNNNNNNNNNNNNNNNNNNNNNNNNNNNNNNNNNNNNNNNNNNNNNNNNNNNNNNNNNNNNNNNNNNNNNNNNNNNNNNNNNNNNNNNNNNNNNUUGACAAAUGCUGCAUGCGCAGUAGACCUCCCUAUAGGAAAGAAUUGAAUCAAUGCUUUCCUAGGGGGAAAAAAUCGGACGCUGUAGGUCCUUAAGAAAAGCGUGAGGGCUCCCAGUGUCUGAUACUGAACCAAAGGUUCGUUUCAAACCAGGAAGCCCUCUAGUGACUGUNNNNNNNNNNNNNNNNNNNNNNNNNNNNNNNNNNNNNNNNNNNNNNNNNNNNNNNNNNNNNNNNNNNNNNNNNNNNNNNNNNNNNNNNNNNNNNNNNNNNACAAAUAACAGCGGAUUUGCAAAGCUAGUUAUAAGUAAUCAGAUUAAUAAUUCAAAGGAUAUUUGGGAUCCAGUACACAAACAUUAACAAAUAACAUUACAAAAUAAUUCAUUAUUACAACAUAUGUAUGAAAAAGUGUCAGUUAGAAAUGUGUUUGACUUUAGGUUGACUGACUGUUGGUCCAAAUUCAGCAUCACCAAAGCUCCAUAUAGAGGUAUAAAAAAAUGAUUAGUGCAAUGGCCAAAAAUGUUCAUUUGAUUUGGUGUACGGAGUUCUGUCUCUAGCACUAAAAAAAAGAGAUGACUGAUUAAUGUUGAAUUUAUUCACAGAUCAAGGGGGGGAAGAAUAAGGAACUGUAUACAAAUCUAAAUAUAGAUUUAUUCACUGCUCCUCUUCAUUUUCCCUCUAUUGGUUCCUGUUUCUGGCUUGAUCUGUGAACCAAAUAGCAGAGCAAUUCACAAAAUAUAUAUACAUAACAUUUAUUUUAUAUUUUGCAGUGCACUAUUUUGCCCAUUUUUGCACCCUCUUUUGUUUGUCUAAAUCAUUUUAAUGAAUAUUUUUCAUGAACAAUAUUCAGACAAGCCGAACAGUCAACUGAACAAGUAGUGGAGGUUUCAUUUUCAGAAAAGAUGGUGGCAUAACCAAAUGUAUCUCCCGUGCAAGUCUAGUGUCAACUAAGAAAUGUCUUGCACAUAAAAAUGGAUACAUAAUAAACAUUAGGUGGAUUGCAUGUGCAUGUACCGACAAUGACACCACACUAGUUACAACCAUCCAAUAUAAAAAAUAGAUGCAGUAAGUUGUAGGAAAUGUAUUGCCUGCUGAUGUGUCCAGCACACACUCUCAUACAAAAGAAAAAUAAAGAUAAAAAAUUAUUUUAAUAUACAACAUAUUAAUUUUCAUAGAAGUCACGUUCGCACAACACAAAACUAUAUUUUCCAAAAGGUCAAUUUUACUCGUUUUUUUUUUCGUUAGGUAACAAGCACUGAUAAAAAAAUGUGUAAUCAAUCAAAGAUAUACUAAAAUCAUUGAAACAGCAAAAAAAAUUGCUCAUCAGAAAAUAAACCUUUCCAACUGUUAAUUAACUAGCAAGUAUCAAGAAAUCGUCCAAUAUCUUUCUAGUGAGAUCAACAGAGACAACAUAUACUCCAUAAGCAUUGUUUUUUAACACAAAAGAUAUACAUUAAACUAUAUACAUUAAACUACUCAAUGAUUCAGUUGCAUACCAGUUAAGAUGGCAAGCAAAUUAUUACAUUUUUAAGUAAAAACAAUAGGAUUACAGAACAGAUUUAUACUACACUAUUCAAAUACUUGAAAAUGUAACUUUUUUGGAAAAAAACAAGUAAGAGACCAUAAAAUGGUUUGCCAACAUACUUUUGCAAUUUUUAUUUGUAAUAGAAAAACUGCUAUUUUCCUAGAAGCAUUGAAAUAUGUCACAUGUUGGCAAAGUGAAUAUGAUAUAAUGUAAUAGUCAUAUUUUAUUUUUUCACACAUAUGAAUGUUUCUAAUUAAAUUCAAUGUGUCAUUAUUUCAGACACAUAUUAUACAACAUAUGGCAGAAGUCACAUAGUUUAAUAGAUAGUCUGAUUGUUUUUAUUACAAAUUAUACUAUCUCAUAAUCAUAAUUACGGUUCACAAAAUUGUCAUCAUAUAUUUAUGUGUCUAUAUAUAUAUAUAUAUAUAUAUAUAUAACGAGAGAGAGCACUCACAAGACUUCUUAAUAUAUAUGCUCUUUCUUUUAUUGAAGCAGACAAUGUGCAAAAAAGAUUGUUUCAUUCCUUUAAUGAACUUUUAUCAAUAUAUAUAAAAAUAUAUACAUUGUUGAAUUUUGGAGCCAAAAGAGCAAGUAAUUUUACCUUAUCCAGCUUGUGAAGUGUCUCUGAAGCCUGAAAAGACUGUGUAACACCCUAAUUCUAGGACAAGGUACCAAAGGAAAUGUGUACUUUUGUCACUAUAUAUAUAUAUAUAUAUAUCUAGUGAGGGAAAAAAGUAGUUGAUCACCUGCUGUUUUGAACAUUUGCCCACUGACAAAGAAAUGAUCAGUCUAUAAUUUUAAUGGUAGGUGUAUUUUAACAGUGAGAGACAAAAUAACAAAAGAAAAUCCGGAAAAAUGCAUGUCAAAAAAGUUAGAAAUUGAUUUGCAUGUCAAUAAGUGAAAUAAGUAUUUGAUCCCCUAUCAAUCACUCUCUUAAAGGGAGUGCUCCUAAUCUCAGCUCGUUACCUGUAUAAAAGACACCUGUCCACAGAAGCAAUCAAUCAAUUUGAUUCCAAACUCUCCACCAUGGCCAAGACCAAACAGCUGUCCAAUGAUGUCAGGGACAAGAUUGUAGAUCUACACAAGGCUGCAAUGGGCUUCAAGACCAUCAUCAAGCAGCUUGAUAAGAAGGUGACAACAGUUGGUGCAAUUAUUCGCAAAUGGAAGAAACACAAAAUAACUGUCAGUCUCCCUCGGUCUGAUUCUCCAUGCAAGAUCUCACCUCAUGGAGUUUUAAUGAUCAUGAGGACAAUGAGGAUUCAGCCCAGAACUACACGGGAGGAUAUUGUUAAUGAUCUCAAGGCAGCUGGUACUGUAGUCACCAAGAAAACAAUUGGUAACACAAUACGCCGUGAAAGAUUUCAUUCCUGCAGCGCCCACAAGGUCCCUCUGCUCAAGAAAGCACAUGUACAGGCCUGUCUGAAGUUUGCCAAUGAACAUCAGAGGAGAACUGGGUGAAAGUGUUGACCAAAAUCGAGUUCUUUGGCAUCAACUCAACUCGCCAUGUUUGGAGGAGGAGGAAUGCUGCAUAUGACCCUAAGAACACCAUCCCCACCGUGAAACAUGGAGGUGGAAACAUUAUGCUUUGGGGGUGUUUUUCUGCUAAGGGGACAGGACAACUGCCCCGCAUCAAUGGGAUGAUGGACGGAGGCCAUUUACCAUCAAAUCUUGGGUUAAAUCAUCCUUCCCUCAGCCAGGGCAUUGAAAAUUGGUCAUGGAUGGGAAUUCCAGCAUGACAAUGACUCAAAACACAUAGCCAAGGCAACAAAGGAGUGGUUCAAGAAGAAACAGAUUAAUGUCCUGGAGUGGCCUAGCCAGUCUCCAGACCUUAAUGUCAUAGAAUAUCUGUGGAGGGAGCUGAAGGUUUGAGUUGUCAAAUGUCAGCCUCGAAAAUGAAUGACUUGGAGAGGAUCUGAAAAGAGGAGUGGGACAAAUCCCUCCUGAGAUCUGUGCAAACCUGGUGGCCAACUACAAGAAAUGUUUGACCUCUGUGAUUGCCAGCAAGGGUUUUGCCACCAAGUACUAAGUUGAAGGGGUCAAAUACUUAUUUCACUCAUUGACAUGCAAAUCAUAUUAUAACUUUUUUGACAUAUUUCUGGAUUUUCUUUUGUUAUUCUAUCUUUCACUAUUAAACUACACCUACACUUACCAUUAAAAUAAUAGACCAAUUUCUUUGUCAGUGGGUAAACAUUCAAAAUCAGCAGGGGAAAACAUACUUUUUUUUCCUCACUGUAUAUCUAAAUAUACACAUAAAUAUAUAUAAUCAUUAGCCACAACAUCAAAACCACCUGCCUAAUAUCAUCUAGUUCCCCCUCAUGCUGCUAAAACUGUUCUUGCAUUGAAGCAUAGACUCCACAAGACCUCUGAACAUGUCCUGUAGUAUCUGGCACCAAGACAUUGGCAGCAGGUUCUAAAAAUUGCGAGGUGGGGCCUCGAUGGAUUUGGUUUGUUGUUCCAGCACAUCCCAUAGAUCGUCAAUCAAACUGAUAUCUGGGGGAUUUGGAGGCCAAAGCAACACCUUGAACUCUUUUGUCAUGUUCCUCAAGACAUCCCUGAACAAUAUUUGAGUGUAGCAGGGUGCAUUAUUCUGCUUAAGGAGGCUACUUCCAUCAGGGAACACCAUUGCCAUGAAGGUGUGCGUGUGGUGUUGAGCAUUCUCGAGGUAUGUGGUACAUAUCAAAGCAUCAUACACAUGAAUGCCAGGACCAAAUAUUUCCCAACAGAACAUUGCCCAGAGCAUAACACAUCCUCUGUUGCCCUGCCUUCUUCCAAUAGUGCAUCCUGCUGUUAUCUCUUCCACAGUUAAAUGAUGCACAUAUACCUGGCCAUUUACCUGAUCUAAAAGGAAACGUGAUUAUCAGUCCAAGCAACCUUCUUCCAUUGCUCUGUCAUCCAGUUCUGAUGCUCAUACCCUUUUUAAAUACAUUUGGGGGUAAAUAGGGAUCAUCGUGGGCACUGUAAGUAGUCUGAGGCUACACAGCCCCAUACGCAGCAAACAUUGAUGCACUGUGCGUUCUGACACCUUUCAGUCAUGGCCACCAUUAAGAUUUCAAUUUGGCCUACAGUAGCCCUGUGUGUGAUUAAACCAUAUGGGCUAGCCUUUGCUCCUCAUUUGCCUCAAUGAGCCUUGGGUACCCAUGACCCUGAUGGUUUUUUUUUGUUGCUCCACUUUUGUUAGGUACUAACCACUGCAUACUGGGAAUACCCCACUUGCCAGUUUGUAGAUGCUCUGACCCUGUUGUCUAACCAUCACUAUUUGGCCCUUGUUAAGGUGACUCAGAUCUUGUUGCUUUCCAAUUUUCUCCUACAUCCAACAUAUGAAAUUCAAGAACUGACUAUUCGCUUGCUUCUUGACAGAUGCCAUUGUAAUAAUCUCAUCAAUGUUCACUUCGCCUGUCAGAGGUGUGAUGAACCGCCUGGCACCCCGACUGGGUGCCUCCGCCAAUCAAUGCUUCCUAGCUGAUGCUGAGGACCAUAAGCACCGCACCGGACACCAUCAGCACUGUAGCCCCCAUUGCCGCCGCAGCUUGGCUGGGGUCUCGUCGUCCCUUCCCACCCUGGACCAGCUCCUGGAUCCAGCUCUCAGUGGGAAGGCCUCUCCUCCAAGAGAGUACAGCUGUGAAGCUCUUAUAAGAGCUAGUGGUUAUAGUAGUAUAGCUGUUCCCUACAAUCACAAAACAAGGCUGUGUGUUGAGGGUGAAGAGGAACUGAUUUUAAUGGUACCACACUUGACCUUAUAUGACAAUCCACAUGCAAAGGGUACACUCACAUGGACCUUGUGCGGAACUGAGUGAUAAUAUUCACAGACCAAUAAGAACAGUAUUCCAAUGCACGACACUCCCACACAUAGCAUACAAUCUGCCUGCCUGGGAGAUAAUUGAGUUAGAUACUGUAUUAACCCAACUAUCUCCAGGCAGAAAAAAACACACAUUUCUAUAAAGUCCCAAAAGUUCCCCAAAACACAUAAUAUCUCCACAAAUGUCACAUCCCCUGAUAGCCCUGAUCUGGGUUACCAACAUAUCCAAAAAUCACCCAGAUCAGUUCACGGGCUCAGGAAUUCUAUGGAAGUCACAUUUUGACCGACCACAAGCAUGGUCUCAUGCCUAAUACAGUUCCAGAGAAUGAGGCUGUGCGCUCUAUUUUUGGAAUUCAUAAUAAAGUUCAAAAUACCGAACAUAGCCGAUCGUGAGUAGAGUCAGUGUAUGUCUCUUGAUUAGGAGUUUAUUCUUACCGAACGCUGUUCGACUCCCGUUCGAAUAGCCGAACAUCCAUGGAAGGUAAAUCUUUAGCAGUGUUCGUGCCAUCGCGCGUCCGAUUUGAGUUCCAUGAACCCGAUGACCACACACUGCUCAUUGUACUUGUGGCUUAAGAUGGCCGCUGCCACGUGUUCGAAUGCUGCUUCGAACCACUUCAACCAUUUGGGAGUUCGAAAUGUGGCCAUACAAGUCCAAAAAGAAACACACAGUAUUUUAAACCAGGGUUUAACACAGGGGCCAUAGUCACAGGGUAGGAGGCUGGCAAAUAGGCUCCUCCAAAACCCAAUGGUGAGGGUACUUUCGCCACAAGUGGUUUUAAUGAUAUGGCCAGUAUAUAUAUAUAUAUAUAUAUAUAUACCAAAAUACCAGAGUUUUGCAGUAUGCAAUGAUACCUUUUUUAUUGGACUAACAUAUAUUUCAAAGACAAGCUUUCAAGAUUUUUCCUCUCUUCCUCAGGUCUGAAGCAAUACUGAGGUAUACUGUUAUUAUGUUAGUCCAAUAAAACAGGUAUCAUUGCAUACUGCAAUACUCUGGUAUUUUGGCAUCUUGUCUACUGGACUAAUAUGGCUAAUCCAAUCAACACUAUCUAUCUAUCUAUCUAUCUAUCUAUCUCUCUCUCUCUCUCUCUCUCUCUCUCUCUAUAUAUAUAUAUAUAUAUAUAUAUAUAUAUAUAUACAUUAUACAAAUAUUUAUAUUUUACAUACAUACACACAAAGUGAAAAGUGAAAAUAGCUAAAGUGAAAUGAAACUAAAUAGCAAGGAGAAUUUCCUUACUAGAAGAAACUGUGAUGACAAGGCAAGACAAGACUUUGGGGGUGAGGUGGAUGUAAGGUUGCAUUAUAAUUUUAGGAUUGAGGGAGUUAGAGGUUGCAUCAUGAUGACUAAGGGUUAGGAAAGACUUAGAAAUAACAAUGUAAUUACCAUGUUCUUUAUCAAUGGAUAUUAAUAUUAAUCAAAUAAAUACAUUUGGAUGCAUUCAGCUGUUUUUGAAUAGCUGAAAUAGGAAACUUAUAUAGAGAUGAUAAAAAUGUAUUUAUUUGUUUCACUACUCCUCGUAUGCUCUUUAUCUAUGAUGUAUGUAUGUAUGUAUGUAAGCAUGUAUGGAGAAGGGACGUAGAACUUGUGUGGACUGGCUGGCUAUAAAGUAGUUAACAUAAAGUUGAUUUAAAUAACUGCUCCUGCUCCCUCUAUCUCUCUAACAACCCGACAUCCUUCUGCCAUCAUGUGGCAGUGUGAAACAUUCUCUUUUCUGAUACAGUCACUGCACUCUGUCCUUUUCUGUACACCUAGUAUUAAGCUUCAAGUUUGCAAGAAGGAAGGAAGAGGAGAGGCAAAAGCCCUGAACAGGGAGAAUUCAAAGUUUAUAAAAAGUGAGAAAGAGGAGUCUUGAGCCACAGGGAUUGUAAAAUAGACAAUAGUCUUGGUGGGAAGAUGGAAGAGAGAGAUUGACAUACGUUAUGUGUAUUCUUAAAGAAUCCUGCAAUUGUCCCCCCCAGUACCACCUCCACCGGACAGGUAAGGCUGUUUUUGUGCUUUCUAUUAAAAAGAUUCUGUAAUAUGACCCAUUAUAUUUGUCAGCACCAGGCCCAAUGGUCUCAUAAUCCAGCCAUGGAGGGGGCUGUACGCCAUUGACUCAUCAAGAUCUGUUUCACACAAUUAAUCCCUAUUUUAUUUUAGAAAAAAAUUGUUAUCAAUUGCAUUUAUUUUUAUUGCUAAAUAAUUACAUUUGCUAAAUAGAAUAAAAAUAUGAUAUAUGCAAAAGUUUCCCAAAGUUAUUUAAUUAGAUACAUUUGCUAUGUUGAUUCAGACUAUCAAGUUAUGGUAAAUACUCAUACAUUUAAUACAUCCUGCUUUGCUGGUGUCUACUUGUAAAUACAUUUUAUAUAGUGAAUAUAUAGAAAUUCACUACAGUCACUGCAUAGAAAUUCACUUACAUCUGCAUAUAAAAAAAUAAUUCUUUCCCAUCUUUAUAAAAUAUGUAUUUUGAUUAUAAUCCAAAAGUUAAAGAUGAGUGACCAUUGAGUCUGGACUAAGAUUUGAGAAUCUCAACCCUUUCAUUGACUUGUGUUCCAAGCAUUGGUAACGUUGAGAGUCCACUGACAAACAAGUAAUAAUCAUAGUAAUACAAUGUUAUUUGCUGCUAAAAAAUAAUAAUUUAAAAUAUAGAAGAGCUUUAUUUGUCUUGUAAAAAUGUUUUGUUGUCAUUGGCUUUUUGUAGACUCUUCUUUACAUUUCAUUUUUUAAUCUACUUAAAUAUUGUCUAUUGGAAAACCAAAGGUUUAAUAACAUAUUUAACGUAUGUCUAUAAUGUGACCACCAUAAAAUGGUACCACUAUAAUUCCUUUCUUGAUGACAAAAAAGCUAUUAUUAGACCAAGUGCUCUAAUGAUGUGGGGAUCAGCAGUGUACCCCAUGGAGUAACCCUAUAUUUUUGCACCCCUUAACCUGCCACUCACAGUUCUUACAAUCUUUAAAUACAUUCCAACCAUAUACCUAAAUAUUCUUAAUCUUCUAGUAGUGUCAUUUGAAUCCGCAUUGUGAUUCACACGUAACUCUUUUUAACACAAUGUCAUAUCAGCAUUACUCAAAUGAGGCUUAACAUCAAAACUAUCUGUUCUAACAACAAUAUUUUAAAUGCAUGCAAGGGGCAAUUGACUGCAAUGCAGCAUAAAACAAUGGAUGAUUAAUUAAAGGUUAUUUUUUUGUAAUCUUCACACAGAAAUGCAUUGGUGCAUAAUAAAGGUAACUUGAAAAAACAAAAUCCAGAAAAUGUUACAUCACUAGUGAUGUCCCGAACGGUUCACCGAACGGGUUCGCUGCGGACUCAUCAUUGAGUAAACUUUGACCCUGUAUCUCACAGUCAGCAGACACAUUCCAGCCAAUCAGCAGCCGACCCUCCCUCCCAGACCCUCCCACCUCCUGGACAGCAUCCAUUUUGAAGCUGCAUUCUUAGUGAGCUGUCCAGGAGGUGGGAGGGUGUGGGAGGGAGGGUCUGUUGCUGAUUGGCUGGAAUGUGUCUGCUGACUGUGAGGUACAGGGUCAAAGUUUACUCAAUGAUGAGUCCGUGGCGAACCGUUCGCGAACCGUUUGGCGAACCGUUCGGGACAUCACUAUUAAUCACCAAAUAAUAUUGCUGACUUUGUGCUUGUGCAAUACUCUAACUAUCCUUUAAUAAUUUCCUGAAAAAUUAAUGGAAUACUGUCUAAUUAGCGCACCAAAGAAAAUCUAAAUAUCUAUUUUACAUCCACUUAGGUUGAAAUACCUUGCUGUUUAACACUGUCACUUUUACAAAUGCAAAGUGUAUUCUUAACCAACAGCAUUGAUGCUAGUCUAAAUAAAUAACCAACGGGAACCAAUUUUAAAUAGAAAUUAUACAACCAUCCUGUCAUAAAGUCAACCCAUAUGUAUUUAGUGCAUUUAAAAUAAACCAAGCAGGUUUACCCAGAAUCACUUAAGAACCGGUUAAAGGGAUAGAAUACAAACCAACAUUCCUAAUGCUAUAGUGCCCUAUUUGCAGUUUGUUACGGUUCUCUUCCUUGGUUUAUUAAAAAAAAAACCUGAAAAAAGGUUGGGUUUUUUUUUACCGUUACUUCUCUUGUAAAGCUCCCUUGACACUGCCCGCCACUGUGUCUCCUGCUACAUCAUUAGAUUCUUAAACCCAUGACCAAUCCAAUGCUCAUCAAUGCUCAUCAUAGAUGAAUCCACGUUUCCUUACAGGAAAGCAUUCAAUUCAAUGAUGGCCUUCCGUGUCAUAUGGCAGAGUUUUACUUUACAGGGGACUUAAUGAAUAGCCUCACUACAGUCUAAACACUAAACAGGUGGGGAGAGGUUGCUUUUCUUGUACUACCAGUCUAGAGUAGUUUCAGAAGGAGAACGAUUGCUGGUGCAGCACUUCUGAACAAGGUCAGGCCCAGCGGGCCUGUCAGUGUGUGUAUCUAUGUGUGUGUCAAUGUGUAUCUGUUUGUGUGUGUCAAUGUGUAUGUAUAUCAGUGUAAGUAUAGAUGCAUAUGUGCAGACAUUCAAAUGUGAACAUUACAUGCAAACACACCCUUGCAAUCAAAUGCAAACACAUGCAAAAACACUACUGCAGUUAAAUGCCAAAGUUAUAUAUACAUAUACCCUUUCAUUCAAACUCCAAUACUACACACAUAUGUACACCCUCCUUUAAAAGCUAACAUUACAUACAAACACACCCUUCCAAUCAAUGCAAGUAUUACAAACACUCCCCUGUGUUAAAAUGUCAAAGUUAUAUACACACACCUUGUGAUGAACUAAACCUCGUCACAGGUUCUUGGAGGGGCCUGCUGGCUAGUCUCUUGCCUAAGGACUAUGGGCCCUGCAAUUUACCUUGCCCAAUGCACUUUAAAAGGCUCUGUUCAUGUGAGUUAUGUACUUUUGUACUCCAGAAAGAGAGGCCGACCGUUACCCCUGAUUCAAUGGAACUGUUUUGGGCAUAGGACCAUGUGCACUGUCGGUCAAAAAUAAGACUUCCAGGAAAUUCCUGAACUGAUUUGGGUGAUUUUUGGAUAUGUUGGUCACCCAGAUCAGGGCUAUCAGGGGAUGUAACUUUGUGAGGGGUUUGUGUGUUUUAAGGUGUUUUGGGGGGUUUGUAAAAAUGUCAUUUUUUUUUAAUUGAAGAUAAUUGGAUUAGAUUAGUACAGUUCCUGAUGCAAUUAUCUCCCAGGCAUAGAGGAGGGGUUAUCUGAUUUUGUAUGGGAGUGUCGUGGACCUGAGAGACAAUGCGAUUGUGUAUUUAUUUCUACUGUGGUUUAUUCUCAGGCCCAGGGGGGGAGUGCCACUUGCAUGGGGACUGUCAUAAAAGGCCAGUUGUGGAUACCAUUAAACUGAGAUUUGUUUUACCUUUCAUGAAGUCUAGGCUCAUGUUUGGGGGAUUGGAGAGCUAUAUUCACACUAUAGGGAUUGUAUUAUCACUAUAUAUACAACAGUUGCUUUUAAAAGAGCAGCCUGCUUCACUCUCUGGACUAGGAGAGGUCUACCCACUUAAAGCUGGAUCCUGGUGUUGGGUCCAGGGUGGGUGGAGGACAGCGACACCCCAACCAAGCUGUAGUGGUUUGUGGGGUUUAUGGUGGUUAUGGUGUUCCAGUGCAGUGCUUAUGGUGCUCGCAAGUACUUGGAAGCUUGCCAGGCAGUCCAUCACAACCUUAAUGCAAACACUAAUACUACACACAAAAGUACACCUGCAUUUAAAAGUAAACACUAGAUACAAAAAAAAACCCUGCAUUCAAAGGCAAAGAUUACAUUGAAGUAACCCUCUGCAUUCCAAUGGCAAUGUUAUAAACAAAUACACACACAUACUCCAUACAAAAACAUGCUUAUAUUUAAAAGCACAAAUGCUGCUCACAAAUACAACCCUGCAAGGAUAGGCAAAUGGUAGAUUCACAUCUGGCAUAGCAUCAUGGAAGUUGUAAGACAUAUGGACAUCUAUAUUUUGGCCACCCUUGAGCUAGAAGGGUACCCAAUUCUCAAAAAUCUCUAGGUUCCUGGAAUUAGGAUGCCCAGUUCAUCUGGUACUAACUAUCUUUACCGAAAUCAUAGCCUUUACAAAAUUAUAUGUAGGUAUCCCUUAAUCACUUUAAAAUAUAAUGAUUACGGGUUGACUUUUUAUGGAGAAAAAUGUGACACUGGAACUAGUAUGCCCAUACUCUCCCUCAAGUGUCUCCGUGACUCAUAGUGAGUAACAGAAAUAGAAGUUAUAAAUGAUACUGUUUUUAAAUUCCUCUCACUCACUGUUAUGGAGAGUGAGGGCAAAGCUCUAUAGGUAAUAAAAAGGAUAACAUGUUUUCUAAAGUUGAUAUUGAUGGGUGUGGAUUAGGCAGAUUAUUUUUCCUUAUGCUUCCUAAUCUAAUUCCUGGCAGGGAAGCUUGGAUUACAGAUACAGCAUUAAUAAUGCUAUUUUCACCCAUUCAUUUGUAUCACUCCGGGAAAUGCAAGGGAGGGAAUGAUGGUGACUGCCUCAGCCCAUUUUUCAUAAAAAAAUCUUUAAGAUAAAAACCUUUUAUAGGAAAAAUCUCUCAUGCACAUGUGUUCAUACUUAUAAAGUACCAAAUCAAAACCUAGAAAUGUUUUCUUUAUUAAAUGAAAUAAGUCAAGGUACCUCUAGUCAGUUUGGUAUCAUUUUAUAUUGUAGAUUAUGUUAUGAGUUUCAAGUCACUGAUUAAAAGGCUUAUUUCCACCAUUUACUAUAACAAUUAGAUUAUUUAGCAUGUAAUAAACGUGCAAUGCCAGAGGAUGUCUCAGCAUGGUUUUACAACGUGCUAAAAACAUUACUUAAGUUGUCUUGUGAAGGCAUAAUAAAACAAAAGAUUUAAAUUCUUAAGAAAGGUUUUCUUUAUAUGUUGUGGUGUUAAAAAUGAACAAGGGAUAUUUUGUCAAGCUUAUUAUCAAUAUAUAGCUCUAAAAAUCCCCUGCUGAUGGCUUAUCAAGUAUACAAUUGACUCAAUAUUGGCUGUACUUCCAGACAAAAUUAAAUCAGUAUACAUUGCCCUAUUGCAACAAAACCAACUGUGACUUUCUAAUGAAUUUACAUGACUGGCAAGCAUGGUUUUACAUGUGAGAUUUAAAUCUAAUGAUGUUAAUGUAUGCUGUUAAAAAUAUGGGCCAUACGUGUACAUUUACAAAUCUGGCAUUCAGAUUUUGAUAUGUAUCAUAUGUACUAAGCUGUAGGAUGUAGUCAAAGUGCGUGUGUGUGUGUCUGUGUCUGUGUCUGUGUGUAUAGAUAGAUAGAUAGAUAUAUCUUGAUUCCACACAGUGCUCUAGGCUAAUCAUAAUGAAAUAGUCCAAUAAUCACAUCAAACAGAUCAACUGUUAUGCCCUCUAGUAUUCCCAAAACUGACGUCAGUGUGGUUCACAAGACUGUCCAGAACUGGCAUUUGCAGGUUGUAACAAUGUUUAUGAUCUCUCAAAUGUUCGCUAAUAUACCAUAGAGUGAUUUUUAAAUUUAUGUUUCAAAUGCAACUGGCAAUAUACAUUAACACAUUGAUCUCCAGAGAGGCCCCUUGACAUCGAACCCUAUUUUGAUAAUAAUAUAUCUAUAAACAUGUUAAUAGAACUUAUUAAAACUAUAUGAAUUAAGGAGUAGCAAUAUUGCUGUUAUCUUUAGAUAUACUGUCACAACAGCCGCAUCCUUAACUCUAAUUUACUAUUAUUGUUAAUUUCUUAAGAUCCAAAUGCUUUGGUGUAAACAUAAAAAAAAAUGAAAAGUAUGAUCACAUACAGUAAAUAAAAUAUCAUUAUGUUUGCCUAUGUUAGGUGUUUAACCCCUUAAGGACCAAGCUUCUGGAAUAAAAGGGAAUCAUGACAUGUCGCACAUGUCAUGUGUCCUUAAGGGGUUAAGAAAAAAAAACAAAACAAAACUAUUACUCCCUUCUGCAAGCUUUGAAAUUGCUGUUUAGUGAAUGACUGAGUGUGCUAUUAUUAUGGGUUUAAUAAGUUCACGCUUUUAAGUACUGAUGGUUUAUAUCGCCCUUAAAAAAAAGACUCUCUGAGAAUCUUGCCCCCCCACCCCCAAAAAAUGAGGCUAUUUCUUCUCAUCUCGUCUAACUAUCUUAUUUCUCACUUUGAUCUCAACUAUCUGGCUGAUGUUAGUGUGAAAAGGGGAAUUCAACAGCUCAAUGUGUUAAGCACAAAUUGAAUUUUCAUGGUGCAUAGUAUCCUAAAUUAAAGCAACUCUUGAUUUUGAGAUCUACUUUAUUAUUUAUUAUUCUGUAGUGCUUUACAAUAUUAUGUGGGGGAAAUUUAAACAAUAAAUGAGACAAUUACAAAAAACUUACAGGAACAAUAGGUUGAAGUCUACAGUCUAGAGGAGUUGGGGUAUAAAACACAAUAGGACAGAAGAAUAGCAGUCAAACAAUUUGGGAGUGAAGCAGAGCUGGAGGAGAGAGUACAUUGCUGCCCUUUAGGAGAGAGCAAGGAAUAGGUUUGUGAAGUAAAUCUUGCUCUGGGAGGCCAUAAGCUUUCUUUAAGAGAUGGGUUUUAAGGCACUUCUUAAAUGACUAAAAACUAGGGGAGAGUCUGAUGGUGGUAGGCAGGCUACUCCAAAUAAAGGGAGCUCCACAAGUCCUGCAAGCGUGAGUUGACCGUACGGGUGUGAAUACCUAUAGAUCAGAGAAGAUAUAUAAGAGGUGCUAGAAUUGUUUAAUGCUUUAUAGGUAUGGAUGAGUACUUUGAAUUGACUCAGAUACAGAAAUCCAAUGUAAGACUGACAGAGAGGUGCGGUGUGAGAGGACGUCUCUUGGGUACUUCUCUCUAUAAGAGCCAACAACAAAGACAAUUUGAGAGAGCAGGGAAGUGCAAUUGGUGAUCUUCUCUUGGCAGCCUGUCACAACAGCCUGUAGAUAAUCAUUGAGGACAAUGAUGCUCUAUGGAGGAAUCGUAGCAUGAGCACUGCGCAUGCACCUAUGUUCCCCAAUUCUCCUUUCCUUAUUAUCCAGGAUGAUGUAACCUGAGGAAGAGAUUGUGGCAGUGCUGAGGAAGACUCAUCACUGGAGAAAAGGUGAUCAAUAUUUUUAAUUUUUAUUUUAAUUUAUUUUGUGACACAUGGAGGGGCUAAAUAACAAGGGGCAUCAGGACUUUAUCAGGACAUAGUCAUAUAACAUUUGAGGUAAUAUGAUUAUUAUAUUUAAAUAUAUUUAUUAGCUUUUUUUAGUUUUGUGCAUGCUAGUAUAAAGUAAGACUGAGAUUCCAGCUGAUGUCUUAAAUGAAUAUGCUGAUACUAUUCUGCAUACUAUUAUUUUAUAAUAGUAUAAUAGUUACUGUAGUUAUAGUUACUGUAAUUGCAAUUCUGAUUAUGGACUAGGAUAAAAAUGUGUGAUGGAAUCCAAUCAUUUUAUUUUAUUGUUAUCCUGAUUGUUAGUAUAUAUCAUAUAUCUCAUAAAACCUAUAACUGUACAUGUGCAUAUUUCAUAUAUUUACAUUCUUUAGCAAUUUCAAAUACAUUUCACUUCUAUUUUAAACAAAACUCAACUGUAAUUUAUUGCAAAAUCACAUUUAGUUUUAGUUUGUUUUGUUUCUAAGACAAUGAAUGCAUUGACAUAAACACACAACAUCCUUGACAAUUAUCUGAUACAAAUAAUUGUGGCCGGUAUAUGAGAGCAGAGUGGGUAUUAUGUAGUGCAGGAGCUUUGGUGAUUCAGUAUUUAUCUUUGUAGGCAAAUCCUAUGCUAAACAAAAUAAAGACCAAAGAUAACUGUAACUAGAAAUGAUGCUAUGAAAGAGCUGAAAUAAAAAUGGUUACAUUAAAUUAUUUUCAAUUGCAAUAUAAGCAUAAUAGAAGUCAACAAAGUGCAGUGCAUUAAACUCUUUUAUUGUAUCUGUUCCUAUUCUGAUUAAAUAUUUAAAUCCAAAUCAAUGUAAGGUAGAGAUUGCUAGUUGUAUAUAAAAAGGCAUUUGAAAAGAGUAUUGAAAGCAGAUAUUUUAUUUCAGUGAAGCAUGUUACAUUACAACUGGUAUAGUAACCAAAACAAUAAUGCAUUUUGUGAAUAAUACAGACAGGGUUAUCUAGUUAUAUAGCAGAAUUGAGAUGUGUCCAUCGAGUUAAGCUUUUCUAACAUCUGGUUUAAACAGCUUUUUAUUUUGCAAAAAAUUAGGAAAAAACCUUCUUGACCCUAGAAUUGAAGUCAGAAAUCUAACUGGAUCAGGAAGCUAUUACUCCACUAAUUACAAAUUACAUCCCUGAAUAUUAUGUUUUUGCAAGUGUUUAUCCAAUUUUUGUUUAAACAUCUGUAUAGACCCUGCCAAAGCCACCUCAUCAGGCAAAUAAUUCUGCAUCCUUAUUGUUCUUAUUUUACCUUUUCUUUUGCCUUACACAAAAUCCAAUUUCUUCCAAGCUAAAUGCAUGAUUUUAUGACCUAUCUAUAAUAUUGUUUAUGAAUAGAUUUCCAGACAAAAGUUUGUAUUUGCCCCUAAUAUAUUUCUAUAAUGCCAUUAUAAAUUCAAGGCACAGUUUUUCCAAACUAAAGAGAUAUAAAUUUGGUAACCUUUCUUCAUAGAUAAAAUGCCCCCCUCUGCAUUUUGUCUAGUGUUAUAAUAACCAUCUUUAGAACAGAUGCCCAAAAUUGCACAACAUAUUCAAGGUGUUGUCUUCCCUGAGAUUUUUAACCCCUUAAGGACACAAGACGGAAAUAUUCCAUCAUGAUACCAUGUUAUUCCAGAAGUUGUGUCCUUAAGGGGUUAAAAAUCAACAAAUUAUAUUUUCAUCCCAAGAAUUCCAAGAACUAAUGCCCUUAUUUAUGACAACAUCUUAUUGACCUUAGCAACUGCCGAUUGUCAUUGCACAUUGUUGACUAGCUUUUUGUCUAUAACAAUUCCCAAAUCCAUCUUGAGUAUUGUUAUAUCUGAUUUACUACCAUUUAAGGUGUAAGUUGUUUCUGCAUUCUUUACACCAAAGUGCAUAACUUUGCAUUUUUCGACAUUAUAAUUAAUCUGCCAUUUGAGAUCCCCGUCCCCAAUCUAUUUAAAUCCCUCUGCAACAAAGCAAUAGCCUGCUCACAUUGUAUUGCUUUACAGAGAUUUGUGUCAACUGCAAAUACUGAAACCUUUAUAUUUAUAAACAUAGGAGUGGUCCCAGAACAAAUCCCUGAUGAACACUACUUACCACUUUUGCCCAGCUUCAACAUUUAUCAUAAAUGGCACCUUUUUGUACUCUGUCUUUAAGCCAAUGUUCUACCCAAUAACAAUAAUUUUAAUCUAUAACAAUUUGUUUUAGUUUGAACAUUAAACUAUUGUGAGGAACAGUAUCAACACUUUGGCAAAAUCGAAGUAGAUCACAUCCACUUCAGCACCCUGAUUUAUACUUCUACUUAAUUUGUAGAAUGCAAUUAGGUUUGUGUGACACUUAGGUUUCAUAAAAUCAUGCUGAUUAUUGCUAUUAACAAUGUUCUUCCCAAUGAAUUCCUAAAACUAAUUCCUUAAUGACUCUUCUAAUACUUCCCCAGCCACAGAAGUUAAGCACACAGGUCUAUAACAGGGUGCGAUAUGUUGGGAAUUAUAAGUGAAUUAAACAAUUAAGGUGUGACAAAUUCCCCUUUCCAAGCGAGUUUGCCACAAGUUCCUGGAGGAGUCUGCUUACCAGCCUCCUGCCCACAGACUAUGGGCCCUGUAAUAUACACUGAAAAAGUCUCUGUUUGUGUAUUUGGACCAUAUGGCUCAGGAACCGAACAGCUGCGUGAACCAAGACCACCCUGGAGCUUGUUAAGCCUAAUUGCUACUUUGUACCGCAGUGUUCUAAGUGUUCAUCUGACUAGCUGCAUUUCCUAUGGAGGACCACAAGGUGGUGGCCAGUUUGUUCGCAUGAACAGAGCCAGCGGUGUUUGAUUGUCAAGUUCAUGGAACUAUUUUCGGACACUGAAACUCCCGAACAACACUGGACUUCCAUGAUCGCCUGUGUUCGGUUUUAUAACACUUAGGAAGACAAUGUUCGGUGGAACAAGGAGAACAAGCUCCAGAGUAAGACUCUUGAAUAUGUUCAGCAGUUUGUUGGGUUUUUAAACUACCGAACUAGACCCUGAUUCUCUGGAACUGUUUUGGGCAGGAGCCUCAUGUGUGGUCAGUAAAUUAUGACUUCCAUGGAAAUCCCGAACCCCUGAACCAAUCUGGGUGAUUUUUGGAUAUGUUGGUCCCUCAGGGGAUAUGACUUUGUGGGGUUUCCAUGUGUUUUAGGGGUGUUGGGGAUAAAAUCAGCCCGGGCCCUUUGAUGGAUGUUUGCCAAAUCUAUUUAUCAGAGCUCUGGAAAUUGGAAAUGAAAAGCAGAGACGUGUUCAAUAACCAAUUCAAAUUUUAUUCAUACGUCAGUUAUAUUUAUACCCCGUUUUCAUGGGUAUGAGCAUAAAGGCGUGACAAUGACGUAUAUUGUUUUGCACAAGUUAUAAGCAGCUGUUUCUUUUUAUAUAUUACGUUAUAUAACGUACGUAUAUUUGAUAAAAAAACAGAUAUUUACAAAUGCCAAAUCUUGGACAAUUAACAAGAACAUUUCGAAAUCAGUAUGGUCAUUCUCGUAAAUGAUAUUAGAUAAAUUCUUCCCAGAAUCAAAGAUACAAUUCCAAUUUUAAAUUAACCCUUAUAUGAACAGCUAGGAUAGAUAGUGAGAUGGAUAUUUGUAUCUACAAGGGGUACUUUUGGGGUAUUGUAAAAUGUAUGUGUUCUGUGCCUGGAGAUAAUAGAGUUUAGUACAGUUCAUGACUCAAUUAUUUUCCAGACACAGGGGAAGGAUUAUCUUGUUUUAUGUGGGAGUGUCCUGGACCUGAGAGCCAAUGUAAUCAUGUGUAUGUUUUCACUGUCGUCUACUCUCAGGUGUAGCCGGAAACCCCUUGCAUGGGGACCUGCGUAUAAGGCCAGUUGUGGCUGCCAUCAAACAGAUUUAUUUUACCCUUCAUGAAGCCUAGGCUCAUGUUUGGGGGAUUGAGAACUAUAUUCACACUCUGGGGAUUGCUAUACUCCUUAUACUCCCUGGGAUCAUAAUCACUAGUUCUUGUAAGAGCUAUCUUGCUUUGCUCUCUGGACUAGGAGAGUUCUACCUACCCAUCUACUGAAUCCUGGUCUUCGGUCCAGGGUGGGUAGAGGACAGCGAGACCCCAACCAAGCUGUGGCAGUUUGUGGGGUUUAUGGUGGUUAUGGUGUCAAGCGCAGUGUUUAUGGCAUUUAAGGAUUACUAGGAAGCAGCGAUUGAUGGAGGUACCUGGUCGGGGUGCCAGGCAGUCCGUCACAUAAGGUUUAUUUUUAAAUAUUUUACACUAAAAUAGAUUUCUUUCUAAUUUGGCUAUUUUGGUCUACAUUUUUAAAUUCACUUUAAAUUCAUUUUGAAUUUAUUGUAAUUCUUACUAAAUAACCAUGAGAGAGUUUUCUAACAUCAAAAUUGUAAUCUAGUUCUCUAGUUAUUCCACAUUUAAGAUACAAACCGCUAGACCAAAGAGUAAGAUUAUUCAUCUAUAAGUCCUAAACAUGUAUAUGUCUAAAUUGACAUGGACAGCUGAGCUUACAUUCUAAAUAAAAUCUGAAUUAAAAGCACAAUUUAAAAAUAGAGGCCAUACUUAUAGUCUAUUGUUUGACAGUUAUCUAUAUGUUAAGGGCUGUUGAUGAGACCAUAAUGAUGUCUUUGCAAUCACAUUCUCGCCUAUCCAAUGUUUUACAAUACUUUUGACAUUCUAACAUCUGCCUUAUAUCAAGCAAGCAAGCUUAAACGAUCACAAUCACAUCAGAUCUAUUGACACAUGCAUGGAGCUAUUUUUAUAUUAUCAAAUUCAUCAACCAAAAGGACUAGACAAAUAGCUUAUUUUCAAACAAUUUAAUAAAUGCCCCAAACGUUAACAAACUUAACAAGGCACUUGAGCAAACAAAAAUUACAAACAUCUCUGCACCAUAUUUCUUUUGAAAUAAUUCUUAUUUCAAUUCAUAUUUCUUGUUUGAAAAAUUAAUGGAAAUGAUGCUCAAACAAGCCCUGUGAUAAUAGCAAUAUAACUUAGCAAAACUGCUAAUUGCACAACAAAUACCCAUGUCAACUAUAUCCAAAAUGCCCACUUUGAACAUGCUCACUACAGAGAUUAGAAUGUUGAUUUAGAACACAAGUUGAUGCUGCAUGUCACCUGUUAUCAUCACUACAAAGAAGUAAUAGUAAUUAAUUUUGUAUGUAUUGUCAACCUCACAAUAUCAGCAUAUCAAUCCUGAGAUCAUAUAAUUGACUACAAAGACCACAAUUACGCCUGAUUUAAAAUUGAUAAUGAACUCUAACUUCAGCAGCAUAACCGGUAGAGAAUGGAUUUAAAAUGCUUGAAUUGUGAUCAUGAUGAAACAAAAAAAAUACCAGCCAAGUUCAAACAAGUUAUAAAACAAUAUAUUUUCAGGGUAUAUAGGAUAAGGGGUGAUUUUAUGAUGGUUAGCACAUUGUCCCUUUUUCUACAACUUAUUUGUUUAUGUUUAUUGCUGUUAGAUAACUCUUUAGGUGCUGAAAAAAGGGCUAAGUAUGCCAUUCUGGCAGUCAAAGGAUUACAAUCACGCUAUCUGGAAUUUAAUGUUCUCUAGCAUUUAUUCUUUGUUUAAAACAAUGGACCAUACAAAUCCCAGAAUAGGUAUUGUUUUGGUUGGUUGAAUAUGGACGUUUGGACAUUUAUGCAGAAGUCAUGAAAUGUUAAUCUUUGCCCUAGAGAGCCAUCCAAGAACAGUUCAUUAAAAACACUUUGACAUUAACUUCAGACAGUAUUUUGCAAGUAUUCUCUGCAAAAGCCAGUUAACUCCUUCCUUUGCAACUCAAAUAAUAUACUAGCUAACAUUCAUUUACAACUGCAGAGCAAUGCUAAGUGAAAUUUGGAUCAUAAAUUCUGCAUUUACCUUUUUUUUUCUAUAGCAUUGGUUUUACCAUACAGACAAAAACAAGUAUCUACCAGGUUGCCAUUCUGCAGAGAGACUGCAAAUGCUAGUUUGAGAUUCCCUUUUACACACUGUGCAGACACCUUUGUAAGACAAACUUUAUCUGUACAUUUAAAGCAGUGGGUGCAGAAGCGAGGUACUGAUUACACUUUUGCAUACAACUGCACUAUGUAUCUGCAAAGAUGUAGAGAAGACAAUGGAGAGGGACAAAAUCUGUAAUUUUAUAACAUGACAGGAGGCUUUGUAUUUGCAUUAACUUUCUUUACUAGCUCCACAGCAGCAAAGAAAAAAAACAUUAAAGAAAGAACCAAUCAGAGCAAAACAGAGGAUAUAUAAGUCCCAGCGUAGCCAACCAUUUCCUCUUUCUUUGCUGCUCCAUCACAAGUCAGGUCAGAGUACUGAUUUCUUUAAGAUUCCUGUCAGGUUUCUUUAAGAUGUUAUUGAUGUCUGUUUUACUUUAAUUGUACCUGGUAGUUUUUUCUAUUGUAUUUCUAUUGUAUUUUCGAUUGUAUUUUUCUAUUGUUUUCUCUGCUUUGGUGCCAGGGGGACCUGAGUGGGUCUACCCUGCCCUGUCAGGGGAGCUGUACUCACUUUGGGGCAGGGUACUGGGCUGAGGCUGUCCUGGGAGUACGGGACAGCCACUCCCAGCGCUCUCCUCUCCCUGCUUUAAGGGGUUGGUGUCAGGCUAGACCGUCCGUCCGUCCCCCCCUUCCCUCUUAUUCUACCGGUGGCUACGCUCACCACCUUCUUCCCGACCGUUGCGCUCUGAUCGCGCUCUGGUAGCGCGAACAGGAGGGACGCUCAUUCCCACAGGGCGCCUAGCAUUCGGGCGGUCUGGGACUGCUCGCGCCCUCUAAGCCAUUCGCGGGGUUUGCUGCCGCAAACGCAUGUGUUGCGCGAACGGACAGUUUCCCAAAUUGCUAAAGAGAAUUCAGUCUGUUCGCGGGUCCGUUCACAGAUCGUUUAACAUUUGCGUUCGGCGGUUUAGCCAGGCGAACCGCCAAAUUCACGUCUAAACUGCCGAACGCUUAAAGGGCUCCAUUUUCGCGGGCUUUGCGCCCGUUAGUCUCGCGAGAUCCAUGCGCCCAUUUUGUGGGUAAUUAGUUUUGUGGAGUGUAACACCUAUCAGGACAAGGCUCUUGCUCUGAAAGCUCGUUUUUUCUACUGCUGAGGUGGAAGUCGUUUGGGACCUUCACAGGUUGGUGUCAUUGCCCCUGGGGGGUGGGACUGCCAGUAGGGUUUAACCCAAUAUCCUGGCUAGGGGUGAGCCCCCAUUGAGUGCUGCAUAGCGGGAACUGUUAAAGCAGUUCCCUGUGACCCUGGGUGAGCCCCAGCGAUUAGGAGUCCAGUCCCACGCCGCUGAGCGUUAUUUAACCUGAGUCCCUCCCGUACGGUCCCUCAUCUCUCAUACCUAUACCUGUGCCUGUUAGUAUGUGUUAGUGCCCAACAUCAUGGAGGACACAAUUAAUACCAGUGACCUUCAAGCAAUGAUGAACGCAGCGGUAGCUGCGUCUCUGGAGAAAGUGCUAGCUAAAGCGGCUCCUGCCCCCGCUGAAUCUAACGCGCUGUCUAACAACCCACACCAGGCUCACGAAGACUCCGAUGAGUUGGAUGACUCCACUAGAGAGAAGAAAUGCCCGGCAAAACUCCACUGGAAGGGCGAAGGUUCCAGGAGAGCCGCCUUCAAAGGCAAGGCCCCUAUGAAGCGCGAUAAACGCACUACUCAGAUACUUCCCGUGUACGCUGGGGAGGCCUCCUCAGAUGAGGAGCAAGACGUGCCCCACUCUCUCUCCGUUCUGGAUGAGUGGCAGGCUGAAACCUCCGACUCUGACUCUGAAGGUGGUUGGGGCUCCAACGCCUACGUCACUGAGACAUUUCUGGGUGAGCCCCAGCAGAAAGGAGAUGCGGAACCCCCGCCACAGCCACGCAGGAGCAGGAGAUAUUCCUGGACUCCACUGGCCAGAGAAUGUUUGAUCCCAGUAAGAUUCGCCACCCUCGAUCAGGUGAGUGGGCCCCUCCGGAUCAUCUCCUCCGCUUCAUGCAUUUCUGGAUUAGGAAACCUUUGGAAAAGCAUAUCCGUAAGAGGAUGCGGGCAGAGUGUCCGAGACCAACCCUGCCAGAUAAAGUGGCCUAUACGCCGGAAUUUGAUCAGCUUAUGCUGACCUCUAUGGAACAAGGGGGCCGCGACCCACGGAGGGGGAUUGAGAAGAGUUUUAAAGGAGCUCAGGAUAAACUCCUAGACACAAUGGGCCCUUUGGCCCGAGUUAUGUACCUGGCGGACGAAGCAUACGCCAGAGCGGACUCCUUCACGGCAGACAUGGUGCGAGCAUGGGCACAUGAUAUCCGAGAGUGGGCCCAGAGGGGCUUUUGUUUCCUCGGUAAUACGAAUGCAGCCCUCUCUACGGAGCGGCGCCGGGCAGCACUUUUUCGUAUCGAAAAAGUGCUUUCGUCUCUAGGUUGACCUAGGGGUCAAAGAAUUGGGCCCACAGGCACAGGGCAAGCUCUUUGGUGAAGCUUUUAUGAAGGAACUAAAUAAGCACGUAAACGUCUUUACCUCCUUGAAUAGGGCCCGCACGUCCAUGCAUAAGGUCUUCCGAGGUACCUCCGCAAAGGGUGUUUUUUCCAGGGCUGGUCGGCAGCGGGGCCGUGCCGCCAGCCGUUUCUGGCCUUCAGGCCCCCGUAUGGGCUUCCAACACCAAUUCUUCCCUCAACAAGGUUACCAGGACAGCGGAGCCAAACAACCAUUCCCCUACUACCAAAGGGGUUCUGACAAAGGACGAGGUUGUCGAGGCCAGCCUCCUCCGCCAAAACCCCACAUACAACCAACCGGUCCUGCUGUCGGAAGAAGUAUACCAAGAACUCCAGUGGUGGCUCCACUGCAUGCAGGCCUGGAAUGGUCGGGUCAUCUUCGGCAGUCAACCGGACUUCAUCCUGGAGUCGGACGCGAGCCACGUGGGAUGGGGCGCCACGGAUGGAGAAACGUCCACAGGGGGCACGUGGACACCACAGGAAUUGUCGAUGCAUAUCAAUUGCCUCGAACUCCUAGCGGGCUCCUUUGCUAUCUGCAGCCUUACAAAAGGGCAGUCCAAUUGCUGUAUACUAUUAAGAAUGGACAAUGUAUCCGCGGUACAUCAACCGCCUGGGGGGCACCCGAUCGAGAACCCUGGUGCAUCUGACGAAGGAAAGCUUCGACUACUGCCUCCCGCGCAAUAUCACACUACGGACAGGACACCUGCCGGGGGAGACGACUGGCAACUGGAUCCGCGGAUAUUCGCACAUCUGCAGGACCAGAAGGGACCCUUUCUACUGGAUCUCUUUGCCUCACGAAACAACCGGCAGGUCCCGCAAUUCUACAGCUGGCUACCGGACCCGGAUUGUACAGCGGUAGAUGCAUUCACUCAGCACUGGCCACAACAGGGAGCAUAUGCCUUUCCCCCAUUCGCCAUGAUUGCCAGAGUUCUCAAUCAUCUUCAAAGACGGAGGGUCCGACUAACCCUGCUGACACCCUCUGGCCGAGUCAGCCCUGGUUCCCGGACCUUCUCGAACUGUCUUAUCAGGACCCGAUCCUCCUACCGAACGACGACAUGUUACUCAGGGACCCGGCAAGAAACGCACAUCCGAUGGUGUCAGACGGCCGUCUGACCUUAGUGGCCUGGACUCUUUCAGGGGAACCUGGCGGACCGACGAAUUAUCGUCAACGGCUAAAGACCUCCUCUGGGAUUCCUGGGCCCCAGGAACAUGGAGAAGCUAUCUAUCCGCAGUUGGUGCGUGGGAUGGGACUUGGAUCCCUUUACAGCCCCUGUUUCCGAUGUCAUGAAUUUUCUCUCAGCCCUAUUCGAAGAAGGGAAGUCGUACCGCACCAUAAAUGUCAUGAGAUCAGCUAUCUCGGCAGCACACGUGCCGUUUCAAUGAAGGGCAGUCAGACAGGAUCCGCUAAUAUGCCGGCUGCUACGGGGUAUCAAACUAAGGAGACCUCCAGCACCUAAAUAUCAACAUCUCUGGGAUGUGGAGAUAGUCCUUCGUUUUAUCAGGAACUGGCCUCCCAACGAACAGCUCUCAUUGAAACAACUGAUGGCGAAGUUCACCUUCCUGUUGUGCAUGGUGUCCUUCCGGAGAGUGGCUGACGUUCGGACUUUCGAUAAGGACGCCUUCUCCAUUGGCCCCGAAGGAGUCACGCUUCACAUAUCACAGCAUAAUAAAUCCAAUACAACUUCAGUGUUCUAUCCGUUUUUCAAUUCGGAUCCCCAACUAUGCGUGGUCCGGGCCCUCCGAGCCUACGUGUCGGCAACGGAAGGCUUGCACUCACCGUCCAAACGACAACUUUUGGUAUCAUAUGUGAAUCCACACGGCCCGGUCUCGGUCAUCACAUUGGCCAGAUGGGUCAGAUGGAUUCUCGCUCUAGCCGGGGUAGAUGCCUCAUUUGGCGCACACUCCGUUCGAGGGGCAGCGGCAUCGUCUGCCUUUUUAGCAGGCGCCUCUCUGGCGGAUAUCCUACACAUGGCAGAUUGGUCCCGGGAAUCUACCUUUCGGACCUUCUAUUUUCGCCCGUCGUCCAAUGCCGCUUUCGCUCUUCUACCUAAGCGUUAAAACUGCAAAUACGAAGCCUCCUGUCAUGUUAUAAAAUUUAAGAUUAUGCUAGCGCAGUGUACUAAUAAUCUUAAUUUUAAUAAUGACAGGAGGCGAGUAUUUCCCACCCUUUCAUUCUCCUAGAAGUUCCCGCCCAGAUGGAGGUAAGUUGUUGGUGGGAGUAGAUUGGUUCUUUAUCUGGACUUACUCACUUGAAUUACAUAUUAUGCUGUUAUAUUUGUUAUAGGGCUAUUGAACUAGUUGGUAUGGUGGGAUUUUAAGAUAUCUUUAUUGACUAGUUGAUUCAUAACAGACAAUUGGUUUUCUUUGGUCAUCCCCGUAUCACUGAUACUAGUCUCUCUCUCUUUUCAGUUUGACAAGCCACAGGGAAGAUGGGAAGGCUGAAGAGGCCAUUGUUAUGACCAUGUUGGAUUUCGUUAUGACAGUUGGAAUAAAGUUACAACGGACUUAUUACCACAUUUGGAUCUUGUGAUGUCGCAGUAGUCAAGAGGAAAUGGUUGGCUACGCUGGGACUUAUAUAUCCUCUGUUUUGCUCUGAUUGGUUCUUUCUUUAAUGGUUUUUUUCUUUGCUGCUGUGGAGCUAGUAAAGAAAGUUAAUGCAAAUACUCGCCUCCUGUCAUUGUUAAAAUUAAGAUUAUUAGUACACUGCGCUAGCAUAAUCUUCAAUUACUUUGUAUACCUCAGGGUGAAUUCCUAGUAGAAGAACGCAUUUUUUAAUGUACGAUAAAAACUAGUUCAGGGGCAAAAUGUAAAUAGGUAAGUGGUGCUCUAUGGACAUAAAUACCCAAUAAAUACAUGGAUGUGACAGGCAAUUGUUCAUUUGUUAAUUGCUUUCACCUGGGCAAAGAGGCCCUGCUAUUUUAAAAAAGAGUCAAUUCCUAAAGUAAUCAGCACUUUUAUAAAUUAAUCUUGUUACAUCUCCCCAGCUGUCAAUCAGACAGUUGGUCCUACUACUUCUUCAUAGUUACAAGAUCUGAAAUAAUUGCAAGACAAGGUUUCAUAUACCCAAAAGAAUACACCACACAAUACAAAUUACAUGCAUAUUUCCUGUGGGAGUAUAUAUAUUAGAUUUUUUUUUUUUUUAUGGAUUGUUAAAUUUUAAUGCGGGAAUUAAUAGUAAUUACCAUGGAUGCAGUAGCUUUUGCAAAACUACAACUGUUAUAGGCCUCAAUUUAAUGGUUUUGGAUAAGCUUUUCAAAUGGUCACAAUUUGGUAGAUAAGUCAUUUGGAAAUUAUGUACUAACAUAUUGUGCUCAUUUGAAAAGCGUAUCCAAAAAUAUUAAAUCAGGGCCAUAGUCAGUGGCAUGUUAUACGUGUUAUCUUGUAGUUAGUUAGCGAACUGUUCACCGUAUUUGGCUGUAUAGGCAUCCGGGCUAGGGCUCUUGCCUAGGGGAAGUUUGGUUGCCAAUUUAAAUUUGUCUAUUGUAAUGGGCCGUUCUAAGGAUUCCACCAUGUUUUUCGGAACGUUUGUUGUGAUUCGGGUCAAGAGAAAAUCGUGUAUCUCUGCUGGGGAAAGUGGGGAAUCUCUGAUGUUGUACAGCUUUGUGUAAAACUCAUGAAAUGCAGCCAUGAUAUCCAGAAUUAGUUGUGAUUGCUUGCCGUUUGCUAGCUUAAUGGUGGGUAUGAAUGUGUGUUGUUUAUGUUGCUGUAGUUAUUGCGCCAAAAGGUGGCCACUUUUCCUUCCCUGGGUGUAAUAUAUGUGUUUAGUCAGCAACAGCCUACGCUUCAUGCGUAAGGUUAGAAUUGCGGUCAGGUCCGACCUUUGGUCGGUCAGUGACUUGUACAUGUUCAGUGAUUUAUCAGAUCUGGGUGUUUAAUUUUUUGUAGUAUGUGUGCAGUGCAUUCCUCCCUCUUGUGUUUGUGGGCUGAAGCAAUUUUUAUGAGUAGCCCUCGCAACACCAAUUUAUGUGCUUUCCAGGUGAUGGUCUGUGCAAUGUCUGGUUGGGAGUUUUCUGCGAAGUAGUGUGCUAUGGUGCAAUAUUUGUGCUAUCAUUAAGGAGGAGGUCAUUUAACUUUCACUGUGGAGAUGAGGGCGGGAGGGAGGGGAGAGCAAUGGGAAGAGACAGGGGUGCAUGAGCAGGCUUGAAUUGAGCAGGCUUGAAUUAAGUGUAGAAAGCAAUGAGGCAGGAAGAGCAUGUCAAUGCAAGUGUAUCUACCUUGAGAUGGAGAGUAAAAGGAAUAAUCUUUUCCCGUGGGGUGUAGUGCCCUCCAGCUACCAUGCAAUUGGGCCUCUUGUAAGAGUGCGUUCAAUGUAUGCGCUAGAGGAGGAAGAUGUGUCAAGGGCGCCGUCCAUGAUGACAUUUAGAUCCCCUCCCAUAAUAAGUAUAUUGUCUUGGAACUGUUCCAUCUUAGUAAGUAUUUGACGCAGAGCUGGGCAUUGCUUCUUAUUUGGGAGAUAAAUGUUGUCAACGUGAUGGUCAUGUUGCCUAUCUUCCCCCUCAUGAAUAGAAAACUACCCAUAUCAUCUGUGAGUGUGUCCUGUGGGGUGAAAGGGACUUGUGCACUGUACAGAGUAGCCACUCCACUUGUUUCAAUUUGGUGUAGUUACUGAAGUAACCUGUAGGAUAUUUACAGUCUCGCAGCCUGGGUGCAGAGUCCUUACAGACUUGUAUUUCUUAAGCAAAAAAAAAGUCUGCCCCCAGUCUGCGGAAAUCUACCAAGGCCAAGGAUCUUUUCUCUGGAGUGUUUAGGCCUCAUGCAUUGAAUGAUAUAAUCUUUAUCUUAGACAUAGUGGUCUGCAGUCCCAACACCUAUAAAUUGUCUAACCUCAAGCGUGUAUCAGUAUUGGUACAGUUAGUAGUCUACAAUUCAGAGAACAGAACGUGUGACCUUCACGCUCAAUAAUUAUGAAGGUAUGUGUGAUUGUCACCUCAAAUCCGGCACCUACGGAUUCUAUUCGAGGGUAUGCUGGGGCCCCGAUAGUGGCUUACUAACUCCGGUAUCUGCUGUUGGUCCGCCUCCAGCUGAGGUCCCACCAAACUGUGCCUAUUCCACCACAAAGUGAUUGGGGCUCGGGAGGUAUAAAGGAGGAGUGGUGACAUGGAAGAAGUAAGGAAUUUGGGAGGUUGGGCAAAGAAGGAGGGGACUGGCUUAGGUAAGGGUUAGGAUUGAAGAAGGUAGAAUCGUGAAAGCGAUUCCUCGAAAAGUAAUUAAGCGUAUCUUAGUGCAAUAGACAGGUUUGUGUAGCAGAGGCGUGGUAUAUGUCAAACUCGAUGGAUGCACCCAUCUCUUCUUUCUUUUUAAAUCUGUAGGAGACUUCUACUUGUAUAGGUAGCGAGGACCCUCCUUGGUUCAAGCCUAGCAUGGAGGGCAUGGAUGGACGUACAAUACAUUGCCUAGGUUGGACCAACUAUAGGAAGUGCACUGUCCCUCCCUGUGACUAUCUGGGUUCCCCCAUUGGCCUGGAGACUAUAGCUAUGGGCUAGGGGGGAGGCAAUGGGCUAGGGGGGAGGUGCUCUCCACACUGGUCUCACACGGUAGAGGUGUGAGACAUCAGUUACGUAAUAGUAAAACAAGAGCUAAGGCCUAAUAAACUGAACUUGGUCUAAUAAACUGAAAUCCCAGUAACAUAACUGUAGAAUAUUGCAUAUUCUGUAUGUUCCUAUUCAAAUACAUAUUAAGGUGUGGCUGUCUAAUGGGUUAAACAGAACAGAUGGUGUUGGCUAUUCUGUAACAUGAGGUCUCUGGAAUUUGCUGUAUAAGAGAUUUGAGGCGGUCUUUAUAUAGGGAACUUCCUUAUAUGGCAGGGUCUAAACUAAACAUUAUGACGUAAUUUGGGGUAUAUAGAGUCAAGGACAAAGGAUUACGGGUCUCUUCCUGCUACGAUCCGUUUGCUCUCCUCUCUGAUGUCAAGACGACUCUCUGUAACAUCGUUAAGAAUUACCAUCUGUUAAGUAUAUAUAACUGUUUCCUGUUGAAUGUAGAAUAAAUACUCAUUUUUUAUAAAGAACGUCAGAUUGCGUAUUACUAAUUUUCAAUAAUAUAGACAUAUAUUAUUGUGGCGAGCAUUUGGCCCAAGACUAUAUAUACAAAAGACGUAUAUAUAUCAAUCAACUGAAGAUAAGAAGAAAUAUCUAUAUAUAUAUAUAUAUAUACAUAAAAGACUUAUUCAACUAAAGAAAAACACAGCCAGUUAUUACAAUAACAAUAGCAUUGUACCAUGACAGUGGCUUAAAAACUUAACAUAUUGGAGCGGGUCUUCCCGCAUUCAUAUGACCUGUACAGUUGUCUCUCUGCUGCCAUCCUGGCAUACUAUAGUACUAAAAUGUUCAACUGGAGAAAAAUAUUUUCAUAGUCUUUUUAUUUCUUUGAUUAUUAUCAUUUUUUUUUUCACUUUUUUGGGGGGUUGUUUUUUUGUUUUCCUGUUUGUUACAGUCUUUCCUCUUUUUGUGGGUCGGUUCUGAAUAUAUAUGGUAGCAUUAGUCUCACAAAAGUGACGAUCCGAUGGGUAAGGACCCUGGCAAAGUACAUCCACAGUUCAAGGAUUACAAUCCAUAGGUGAGGCUUUAUUUUAGUUUGUAUUCCAAGUGUGUUUGUGCGGUGAUCAGUCCCUGGGUACCUCUGUUGCUGUUACGUGAUGCGGUCUUAGUCCUGACUGUCUGGAGGUGAGCAAGUCUGUGGCUCUGUUAUCCUUUUCUUUGAAGGGUUGUUCCAUCACUGUCUUUGAGUGAAUGUCCCGAUGUCAAUUGAGGGGAGUACCAAUCCUUUAUGUGUUUUUCAGGCAGGUUCAAGCCCUGAGGAAGGGCUGAACUUCAGCGAGGGUGGUGAUGAUAUGAUUCAAUCCUCCCUUGCAGAUGAUUAAGGCAAAUGGGAAUCCACACCGGUAUUUAAGGCAAUGUUAUCUAAGUAGAUCUGUAACAGGUUUUAAGGCCCUCCUGGCCUGCGUGAGCCAUGAGAGGACAGGAUAUAUCUGGAUCUGGUCCAGUGGAACAGUAGGGUUUGGGAGCUCUCAGUAUGCUUUCUUUGACCUUAAAUAGUGAAUACGUAAAAUGAUGUUGCAAGGUGCUUCAAAGGCCGAGCCCCUGGGUCAAAGCGAUCUGUGGGCUGGAUCAAUUUCAUUGUGAGUAUUACUGAGGUUGUCCAGUUUGCAUAUUAAAGAGCUUUGCAGAGUAAAGGUAAGUCUUCCUCAGAUUUCUCUGGCAGACUUUCCACCUGAAGAUUAUUUAGGUGAUUUAUGUUAUCGAGGUCAUCUAAGGAGUGCUAGGUAUGUCAUAUAUUGUGCAUGGGCGUCUAGCGUUUUGGUCACAUAUUGGCUCUGUACCUGAGUUGUUUCCCGUUCCUCCUCCAGCUCGUCCACCCUGCGGCAUAUUUGCGUGAGCUCGGACCUUAAGGCAUCCAUCUUCAAUUGGAAGGCUGACUCCAGUUUGCAGAGCAUUUUAGCCAGGUUGGCUUUUGAUGGAAGGUUCCCUUAUAGAGCACUCAGAGGGAGCUGGGCUCAGAGGAGUGCAGUCUGAUUGGGCACCAUCUUGGACUCGACAGUCUCAGUUUCGCGGUCUGAAUUAUCUUUGAAAAAUUUUGUUAAAGUGCCAAAUUUUCCAUCAGGGGUCUUCUCGAGCUCUUGUGUGGUUUGUUAUGCUUCUUGGGAUUCCCAAUUUUUGCAGGUUUUCUCCGCUUAGCAUGGAUGUGCCUCUCGAGUCUGUGGGAACUGAGCUAGUGCACUGCCAUUUAGCUCCACGUUCGGCCACACCCAAUUGUAUAACAGUUUUAUGUGACUUCUAUUAAAGUCUCAGCAGGCCACACUCUGCAAAUUUAUAUUUGAAUGCACUUAACGAAGAAGAGUUAAAUUAUUGUGGAACAAACACAUGCAGAAAUGGCAAAAAGGCAAAGACACAAACUCAUGGAAUUUUGGAAAAGAUAUCGUCAGGAAUGGGUUAAAUGUUCACAUUCCAGUUACUUUCAAACCAAAGCCUAGUAACCUGGCUUGAAGAAACUGUGAACAGAAGGCUUUUAAUUUUUACUCACUCAUGUGUGUUUAUUUUCAUUGGAGCUAUUUGAUUUGAAAAUGAUGGUGCUUCAAAAACAAUUUUCCUAUGAUCUCACUGCUUUGCAUGCAUGUAACAUUGACAAAACACUGUCCUGCAUGGGUCUUCCAGAUUUCUAGAAAUGUAUUUUCACUACAGGUGGCUAUACAUGUAGCUGUUUAUCUAAACAUGAGUCAUAUUACUAAUCAGCUUUAUUCUAAAUAAUGAUCGGAACACUUAUUAUGUGUUAUGCCUAGUUUUAAUCCAAAUAGUGAAUUUACAGCUUUGUGGGGAGGAGGUUUCUUUCUUUUUCAACUGAUUUUGCAGUAAACUUUGCACUAAAAAGUGUGUUUCACCGAUAAAACAAAACAAUAGCGUACGGACUAAAAUCUUGUUAGCAUUAGUCUGAGACAUUACACCAAAGAGUCUCAGUAGCUAAGGAAAUAAUGAAAUUAAACAAAUAUUUAGAUUAAUAUUGAGUUGUUGAUUUAUAGAAAAUAUUUAUCGGAAUUGUGAAUUUUCAGGUAACAUCAUCCAUCAGCUUUUGUUACAAUCAUGCACAUUAGUAAUGUCAACUAGCACUUCAAUUUCCAACAGCGUGGCAGGUUAAACGUAAGAGAGAGAUAUUUUAAGAAAGGUUUGAUGACAAGAUUAACAUUAACUUUAGGAUUGCAAGUAUUCACCAGUGAAAACAUUAACAUUUAUGUAAACUGACACAUAUGAAACAGAAACCUAAAAUCUGUGUGACUAUGCGUACAGAUAAAUAAAAUGGCACUUAGUGUUAGGCUCACUCUAAAAUUAUCAAUCAUAACAACAAGGCCCAAGUUGACAGUGAAGCUACACAGCUACUGCUCAUCACAUUGACUAUUUUGGGGUUUACUAUAAAGAUGAAAAUAGACAUAGUGACAGUCCAGUUGAGUAUAAUUGGUACUCAGCAUGCCAAUUACCACCACUGGCUGCCAGUAUACAACAUGCCUUAGGCUAACUGAGGCUCUGGCUUCUAUUUACCAACCAUUGUACAAUUGUGUCUUUGUUCUAUUUUAAUGCUUUACAUUUACAAUUUUCAGGAGCUGUGAUUUUUAUUUGACAAAAUUAAGUUUUGAAUGAAAUGCUACAUGCCAAGAAUACUGACAUUCUCAUAUAAACUCAUUUAUUUAAUGCAAUAUAUUAGUUGCUACAGGGACGGAAAAAAGACGAGAGAUGCCUCUCUGAAUAAAAGCAUAUGCUAUUCAUCCAAAGUUUGCACUUAUCUCACUGUUAAGCACCAAAAUGCAUGCAGAUGUAGUUUAUUAUGUUAGGUGAGUGGUAGCACAGAAGGAAUUCUUAGGACAAUAUAUUUUCUUUAGGAUAGUGUUACACCUUGCAUAAGAAUUGAGGGAAGAAUUGAAUACUUGCUUGUAUGUAUAGGAGAUGAUAAAGAUAAUUUAGUUACUUAAUGUUCAGAUUGCAAAUAUUGUAUAAACAUCAGACAGGUUCGAUUACAUCCAGGAUCUAGCAAGGUACACUGUAUGCACUGCAUGCACAUCUCAUGAAAGUGUAUGGAGUGCCCUGAUGCUGUUCUACCAUUUAGCAUUAAAUCAUUUUUUAAUGUUUUAAUGUUAAACAAGAGUCCCCAGUAGCCCAUACCCUCUGUGCUGCUUGUGCUAAUGAGGAAGCAUUGGUCUGAGAAGCAAUGGGUGGCUGUAAUUGGUUGAGAUUAUUAGCAGACCGUUUUCAGCCUAUCACAUCUCCUAUGGUUAGUAUAAAUUGGAAUGGGAAGUGUGUAAUCUCUGCCAUUGCCAUACCUCCAGUAAUGGUCAGACUGUGGGGGGCCAGGGAUCAUUAUUUAGUGUUAAACUGCUUGAAAAAUGUUUAACACUUUAUGCAGAGACUGUGCCAGAGGACUCCAAGUACUAUGGUCAAUUCAAUGAGAUGAAAUUGUUUUACUGCUUACCUUGUCCUUUCUGGGAUCCUUCUGGGAUAAAUAAAUUGAGCUGCAUUGGCAAAAUUAAUAUACCACCUAUCAUUGAGGUUAUGCCCGAAGGCAUGCUCUAAACAAUUUAUAAAUUGAUAUUAUAAUACCUAUGAUUAAAAUUAUUAGAAGCUGGGAUCAAGCUUUAAUUACUGAAGUAUCAAAUGCAUGUACCACCUUCAUUGCAAUGAAGGCAUAUUUCAGUGAGAGAACUUUUCUUUCACUUGUCAACAGCUUUGAAACUGAGCAGUUGAGAUAAGUCAAUUUAUUUCUCUAUAGUAUGACAUUCUAAGUGAAUUUAUGGUUAUUCUGCUAAAAAAAAUAAGAUGGAAGUGAAACAAAGAACAGUUGAAAAAAAAAUAAAAUUAAUUAUGAUCACUCUUGGUUUUUAUUUAAAUAGUAUUUAAACAAAUGAAUAUUACCUAAUAGCAUAGGCUUCCAGAUAAAUACUAACAAUGUUAGUCCAUCAAGAGUCCAUCAGAACCAACAAAUAGGAAAUUCACAUUUUAAAAAUAUUUAACACUUUCUUAUAUUAUAUAACUAUUAAAAAUAACAACAUUGUGAGGUUGUAGUUCAUAAAACAAAGAAGUUUUAUUAAUAUAUCUCCAUCAUUCUGACAUCCUUUAAUUAGCAGUCGAUGUUUAUUGCAAAAAAAAAUUAUGCAUGUGUUUGUUGACUAAUAAUCUUUAAAUGGUUAUUAUUUGCAUCUUCCAUGAGUUAAUUACUUGUGUCACACAUUCUUAUAUAUUUUGUUUAGCCCAUCAUGGUUUAUUCCCUGUAUUAUGACCAUCUUAAAAUAUUUAUAUAUAUAAAAUUAUAUAUAUAUAUAUAUACAUAUAUAUAUAUAUAUAUAUAUAUAUAUAUAUAUAGUGUGUUAUGUUAUUUAGAUUUAUGAUGAUGUUUACUUUAAGAUACUAUACAGAAUACAGUUUUUAUAUUGGAAUUUGACCAACCAUCAUUUGACCAGAUAUAAUAGAAUCAUGUCUUUUAUUCUAUUUUGCAUAUUCGCUCUAUUUUUGGCAUUUUUUUUCAUUAUUCUGAAAUGAAAUAAGAUAACAGAGAUUCUUCUUAGCAUCCAUAUAACCUGAGGGUUACUUGAGUGAUGACCUUAGUAUUGCUAAAAUAUUCUAUGCAUGGUUUCAAGCAGCAGGGCAUUAUGGUUCUGGUAAUAGAGUUAUAAUAUACAGACACAAUUUGCUUCUGUAAAACAGCAGGGAUGAACCGUUCAUGUUUACAUUAAAAAAUAAAAUAAAAAAUACUUGAUCAUCAAUUUAUUUCAGAGAUUCAUUAAAAUCCACAAAAUUGCACUGGGAUAUUUACAGAAAUGUUAAAAGGCUAUGUUACUAAAAUUUCUUCUGUUGAUGUGAAUUAAGGCUAUAUAUCUUCAGAAGGAUGGACAUGGUUCUACAUUGAAAGAGCUAGAUUUGUCAUUAUAGAGGUCUGACACUUUAUGCCAAGAAAUUAUUUAAUGUCGGUAGAAUAGAAUGCGAAAAGCCUAGGUUUUAGGAGCAUAGCAGAUUUUAAUGCAGCUUUCAAUAUGUACUGUAUCAAUUUUAAUUGGCUAUAACUAAUUUUAACCACUUGUAAAAGAACAUGUAUGUUUAAUUAUAGUCCAUCAACAGAUGCGUAUGUUAAUAAAGUCCAAUAAGAUAAGUAAGAGAUAAGCAUUAGGUACACAGGAAACUAUAUUUAGAAACCUGAUACAUUAUAGUUUAAAUUAUAUGUUAAAAAAAGAAGCUAUUUAAGCAACAUACAUUUUCAGUGUAGAGACAAUUUCAUCAUUUUAAAAAAAACAUGCAUUAAGGGAUAGACUAGAAGAUUUAUUUUUUUGCAAACUACAAUUCUUCUAAAUUCUAAAGCCAAAUUCCUGAAUUCUGUGCCUAAAUGUAGCCAAUGGUAAACCAAAUGAAAUGUGCAUGGCUGAGCAUGUUCAUUAUGAUUCAAGUUUUGGAAUUCUGCCUGUGGUGUCCCCCCAAAAAAGAGAUGAUUGCUAGAUGAUUGCUAGAUGAUUGAAGCCUAGGGACAGUCACUAAAUGUUGAUUUUAUUCACAGAAGUGAGAAUUGGGGGAGGGGAGCGGGAGUAUUUCAAGAGUUGUUUUUAUACAUGUGUUAAUGAAAUUAAAAUGCUGUUCACAUGUCUUUAUGGUUAUCCCAGUAUGGAGGGAUGGAUGUUGUUUUUUGUUUGUUUUUUUUCAUCAUGAAUAAUGUUUGAACCAUGGGAUCUGAAAAGGUUUAAUUAUUGCAAGAGUCAACUGGAUAUAAUGACCAGCGAGCUGUGCAUUAUAAUAUUCCCUUUUUUUUUCUUCCUCUUUUCUUUUCUUCUCUUCUUUCCCUCUCUCUCUCUUUUUCUUCAGGAUGGCAGGAUGAUAUUUGAUAUUUGAACUCUUUUCUCCUCUCUUUAUAAUAUUAACAUAUAAAAUUGUUCUAGCAAGAACUGGAGCGAGAUAAUUGGAGCUCUCGAUCUAUGGAUACUUAGUGAAGUAUUUUAUUGUUUUAUAUAUGUAUGUAUAUGUAAGUUCACUGUGGUUGCGGAACUGACCUACGGGUAUGUGGAUGCAUGGUUAAGGUGAUAUCGAUAAACGCUUAAGGCUUCAAUACACCAUGUAAAAGUGGACUCCUGUACGAUACACUGUUAAAAAACCACUAUAGGCACCCAGACCACUUCAGCUUAAUGAAGUGGUCUGGGUGCCAGUUCCGUUUAAGAUUAACCCUGUCUGCUGUAAACAUAGCAGUUUCAGUGGAUCUAGUGGCUGUUUCAUUGACAGCCACUAGAGGCGCUUCCGCGCUUCUCACUGUGAUUUUCUCAGUGAGAAGACACCAGCGUCCAUAGGAAAGCAUUAAGAAUGUUUUCCUAUGGACUGGCUGAAUGCGCGCGCGGCUUUUGCAGCGCAUGUGCAUUCAGUCAAUGACGACCGAAGGAGGAGAGUCCCCAGCGCCGAGGGAUCCCGGCACUGGAGAAAGGUGAUUGCUUCCUUCCCUUCCCUUCCUCCCCCUUCAGCCCGGCAGGAGUGGGACCCUGAGGGUGGGGGCACCCUCAGGGCACUAUAGUGCCAGGAAAAUUAGUUUGUUUUCCUGGCACUAUAGUGGUCCUUUAAGAGAGAAGGCGCAUAUAGGAGACCCACAGGAGACCCAUUGGAUUAAGAGGAAUAAUAGAAUUUGGAAGUAUAGUAAAUUCCCUACAACUUAUUAUGCUUCAUUAGAAAAAAAAAGAAAUGUGGAGUUGCUAUAAUUUUUUUGAAAAAUGUUACAUUUCUUUGCCAGUCUCAAAAACUUGUUAAAGAAGGAAGGUUUGUUAUUUUAGUAGGUCAAAUAAAUGGGCAGUACUAUAUGAUGGUAAAUAUCUACUUACCUAAUAAAACUCUGUCUAAAACUCUGACAAAAAUUCUGGAAAAGGUAGAGACAAUACGCAAAGGCAUAUUAUUGAUUGCCGGAGAUUUUAAUUGCGUAUUGGCCCCGUACAUGAAUAAAAACAUGAGCUCUAACCAAUCUAUUAAUAAAAAAAUUGUUAAACAAGCAGCCACAAUGAGUAGAUUUUGUAAAAAAAAAAAUUAGCUAUUUGACUGCUGGAGACUCUUUCAUCCAGCACCAUAAUGUGAUGAUAGUAGAUAUAAAGGAUAUGUAUCAGAAAUGCUCCCCCCCAUGGAGAUUAAGUGAUGCCUUAUAAAAAUCCAAAGAAAACAUGGAGCAUAUUAAUAAAAUGUCUGAAUACUUUUUUAAAGAAAAUUUAUCAAAGGAGAUUUCAUGUGAAUGUCUCUGGAGUACCUUUAAAACAGUAAUGAGAGGUUAUUGGAUUAAAAUAACAAGUCAGGAAAGAAAGAACAGUGGACCUAAUUUGUCAGAUUUAUAUAUUCAGUUUUAUAAUCUUGCUGCUCAAAAUAAAACCAGUUUUUCGAUGGAAAGAGAAAAACAAAACCUAUCCAGAAAUGAUAAAUUCAAAAAUAUCUGAAAGAAUAGAACCCAAUUUAAGAAGGUUAAAAAACUAAUUUUAUUAUAGGAAUAAUAGAGUAGAUAAGUUUUUUUUACAAACAAACUAAAUAAAACAAAAAUAGACAACAAAAUCUAUAAAAUAAUUAAAGAUGGUAAGAAGAAAUAGGUAAUGUGUUUAAAAAUUUCUAUGAAAAUAUUUACAAUUUGGCGAAUAACCCAACGUCUUCACAAAUAGACAAUUAUUUAAAUAAGUCUCAUGUUCCGAAUGUAUCACUGGAGCAGCAGAUUAACCAGACCGAGGUCCCGUACGCAAUUAGUAAAUUAGAACAUAGUACGGCUCUGGGGCCAGAUAGCUAUACGAAUAUGUUCUAUAAACUAUUUCAGAAAAGCAUUCUCUUACCUUUGACGGCAACUUUUAAUGAACUGGCAGUUAAGGGUACUGCAUCAAAAUACUUAUUAAGAGUGAACAUAAUCCCCAUUCUAAAACAAGACAAAAUUCAUACUGACUUAUCAAACUACCAUCCAAUAUAUUUAGUUAAUAUAGAUAUGAAAAUAUAUGCCUCUAUUUUAUCAGAAAGACUUAAAAAGAUCUUGCCCACAGUUAUUCACCCUGACCAGAUAGGUUUCCUACUUGUUAGACAGUAAUGCAAUAACACAAGAAGAGUGGUUGACAUAUUGGAUUGGGCACAGAAUGGAGGCGUUCCCCUUCUGACCCUGUCGGUGAAUGCAGACAAGGCCUUCGACAGGGUCGGAUGGGGAUAUUUGAGGAAGGUUUUGGUAUGUUUCGGCCUUACAAGCUGUAUUGCAGAUGCAAUUGGAACACUGUAUUUGUCUCCUUUGGCUCUGCUAAUGGGACAGGAUUUUUGUACUGAUUGGUUCAAUAUAUCUAAUGGAACUAGGCAGGGGUGCCCAUUGUUCCCUUUGUUAUACAUCCUGUCUAUAGAACCCCUAGCAAUGAAUAUAAGAAACAACCCUUUGAUUAAAGGGGUUACAUUAAAAGACAGUGAACUAAAGAUAUGCCUAUAUGCCGAUGACAUUCUUAGCUCAGUAACAGAACCAAAUAUGUCCCUACCCCACCUUAUACAGGAAUUUAAGAGAUACAGUAUAGUAUUGAAUUAUAAAUUGAACAUGAUUAAAACCUUGGUUCUUAUCAAAAACUUUGAAGCCAACAACCUAAAGAGGCUUAAAAAGAAUUAUGACUUAAUUUGGUCAUCAAAGGCAAUAUGAUAUUUGGGUAUUGAUAUCACUGCAGAUCCUAGAGUAACAAUGGAAGUUAAUUUUUUAAGACUUAUCAAACAUACUUACAUGUUACUAAGGGAGUGGAGAUAUUAUGAAAAUUCCUUGGUGGGGGAGAAUUAACACCAUUAACGCAUAUAUCCUCCCCAAGUGGGCAUAUAUAUUCCGAAUGCUUCCCCUGGCAAUUCCAAAACAAUGACUAGAUAUCAUCCAAUCAAGCUUCAAUGUUACAUCUGGAGAGGCAAAAUACCUCAAAUAAAUACCCAGAUUUUGUCUAAAAGAGACUACCAGGAGGAAUAGGCUAUCCAAUAAUUUGAAAUACCUAUCAGGCGAACAUGAUCAUUCACAUUCAUUAAUUACAAGUUAACGAUUUAAAAGAUCAAUCUUUGUAUAAGUUGGAAGCAAGCAGAAUAGGCAUUGAUAACCUGGCUUUCCUGUUGUGAUGAUGUAGGAAAUAAGAGAUCCACUAACCUCACAGAGAAUUCAUUAAUACUUUCAUAAACUCUGAAGGAGUGGCAAUGCUGAAAGAGUUAAAAAAUGCUAAUAAGGCCUAUGAUGAUUCAAAUCUCAGAAUUCUAGAUCUGUUAAUGCCUGAUAUUGACUUACGUAAUUGGACCAAACAAAAAGAAUAUACAAUAAGAGAAUUAUGUGAGAAUUUCCAUCUAUUGCUCUUUGAUAAAUUGUAACAGAAAUUGGAUUUCUCCCACCAAGAGAGAUUCAAAUAUCUCCGAGUUCAAGGUUUUCUUAAAGAACACCUGUUAAAGUUAAACAACAACAUAGUUAAGUUACUUAAGAAAACAAGUAAAAAAUUAUCUAAUUCUAAAGCAAUGGAAUUAUUAAGUAUUAAAAUGCUUAUAAUUAAAUAAUCAGCAGUGAAGCAAUAGGAAAAGGAUCUAGCUAUUUCUAUACAAUAUAAGGCCUGUAAUUCUUCACGUAUAAAACUUAAAAAACACAUGCAAUGCCUCAAUAUCCUUGAGACAUGUACAGAUGGUACAUGGUCCCAACAAGGCUCUCUAAGAUCUCUCCCUCAAACUCCUCAGUAUGUUGGAGAUGGUUUCAACAAGAUGGCACCAUGUACCACAUUUGGUGGAGCUGUUCUAGAAUAGCACAAUUCUGUGAUUUAGUAUUUAAAACCAUAAAAUAUAUUUUCAGUAUAUCACUGACUAAAAAAACAGAAAUCGCACUAUUAAAUUUAAACUGUACGUUAGGAGUUAAAACAUUCGGUAUUUUGAUCAUCCACAGUAUCUUGGCAGCUAAUAUAUUAAUUGCUAAGCACUGGAAGCAAGUAAUAGUCCCAAUGAAAGAACUUCUUAAAAAAAAAAAUAAUUGCUUUUUCAAUUGGAAAAGGAAAAAAGUAUAUAUCUAUAUAAUUACCACCCAGGUCAUAGAUAUGCAACCAUCUAUAGAGAGCUUAUAGAAAUUGUUAUCAUCUUAUAAUAUAGAGGCUUAAAAGAGCUGUUACUUAACUUAGCACCAUGAAUAGACUAAGUUAAUGUAGUAUAAGGUCCCUCAACCGCAGCGUUUUUUUGUUGGAAUGACAUGGCAGUAUGGUUUCAUGCUAUGCAUAGUGACCAUACCUACAUCUGUAUGUGAAUUAUGUAUAUAUUGUCUGUCAUUUUACUUUAUGAUGUGCAUUGUCCUAUGUGUUAUAAAAAAGCAUUAAACUAUAAACAAAUAUAUUUAAAAAAAAUUAGAAUGGACCAAUAAUGGAACAAAGAAGGAGCAGUAAAAAAUAAUCUAAUUUUAUAUUAUAUAUUUAAUACUUUAAUAAUAUAUACAUAUAUUUUUUUUUUACUGCUCUCAUUCUUUUUCCCUCUGUACGUUAUUUUUUCUUAUUUAAGCCAAAUGGUGUGAAAAAGCUCCUAUCAGUGUACUACCACUGUAAUAUACCAUGCAGUUAAUUUAAUUUGUUUUCUUGAAUCACAUUUACAUUACCAAUAUUCUACCAAGGCAAACCGACCAAACUUUAUUUUUUUUUCAGAACAAAUGGUUUGGCCAAAUCAAAUUUUCUCACAGUAUAUAUCAGUGUUAAUUUUGAUGUCAAAUUUCAAUUUAGUUUUAGUCAUAGUCUUUUGACUAAAAUGCCAUUUUAGUUUUAAUUGCAUUUUAGUCAUUUGAAUUGUUUAGUCUAGUUUUAGUUGACUGUAUAUCCAGUAGAUUUUAGUCGACUAAAUCUCCAGUAGAUUUUAGUCAACACAACUAAAAUCUAAUGGGUUUAGUUAAAGCCUCUGUCUCUUUUGCCUCAUCCCUUGCCCCAAUGUGUCUCAUUCCCCCAGCCCUUCCAUGUGUCUCAAUCCCCCAAAGACCCAUGUGUCUGAUUUCCUCUCCUCACUCCCCCAUGUGUCUUACCCACCAGUUUAAUUUUGGCGGCAAAUUGUAAUUUAGUUUUAGUCAUAGUCUUUUGACUAAAAAGUCAUUUUAGUUUUAGUCAUAUUUCAGUCAUUUCAGUUCCUAUGAACAAACCCUGAAGAAGUCAUUUUAAGCUGAAACGUGUAUAGACUUGCACUACUGAAUACACCAUUCCUGUUUUUCAUUUUGCAUGUAAACUUAUUGAGGUAAACUCUUCAUUCUACUUUAAGGAUUGCUUCCUACAUGUAUGCCUUCUGUGAAAGCCUGUGUAGUUGUUAGCAUUGUUAAAUAUUUUUGAGAAAAUGUUUUGGUUUCAUGUUUUGUUCUGGUUAUUUACUUUUUGGUCUCAUUUAUUGAUGUUACGUUUAUUGUUUGCAUAUGUUGUAAUUUUUUUCAACCAUUUGUUAAAUGGGGGUAGUUUCAGGAGGGGUGGGUUUUUUUUCUCCUUGUUCUCAAAGGUUCAAUUUUUUCUUUCUUAUUUUACAGGGAAAUGCGUUCUUUGCACAAAUCCCCACUACUCUUGAGCAGCAGCAAUGGCUACAGUUUUCAUCAGUUCAAAUAGAUAAAAAGAAAAACAAAGUUAACUAUAUUCUUAUUCAGAUUACCCAUGCACAUUUAAAUAACAGAGGAUUUUUCCAUUUAAAUCACUAUUGCAGUUUUUGUUAAUUAUCUUGAUAAUGAUUUUAUAUUCCAAGGAUUUUGUUACAAGCGUUACCCUCUAUCCAAUUAAUGAUAAGUAGCUGAUGUUUUCUCUCUUUUAAAUAUUUUGUUGUUGUACCUUUUGCAUUAUAAUUAUUUUAUGUAAGGCUAUUUCUCUUUGAAUUAAAUUAAAUGAGAAAGAAUUAACCUAAUGAGCAAUUAAUUUAGCAUGGACAGAACAUUAAUUAAUCAAGACCUAAACCAGAGAUGGAAACCUUCAGCACUCCAAAUAUGAAAUAUAUCUAAAAUAAUGCUCUUACAGCCAAAAUACUGGCCAAGCAUUGAUAGGUCACAACUUCUGGAGUGCUGAACGUUGCCCAUCCAUGACCAAAAUCAUUUUGAAAUCAUAUUCAAAAUUAAUAAAUAAAUAUAUACACUGCUUAUCUGCAACAGUAAAACCACCUUCCUAAAUCCUCCUGCUGCUCUCCUUCUCAUGGAAGGGCAAAAAGCCUAGAAUAAACCAAAAUAUAAUUAAAAGAGAUUACUGUCAAAUUGGAUUUGGUUUUCUGGACUUGAGGAUACUACAUGACGCUUCUAUGUUCACACAUAUCCUAGGCUGGGAUCUUAAAGAGGUUAAAAAUAGAAGCUAUUUUAAAUGUGAGGUUUCUCUGACUGGAGAUGUAAAUCCCAAUUAUUUUGGGUCAAACCUUCUUUAGUUAAUUCAGAAAAUACAGUAAAGAAUGGGGUAGUGAUUAUAUCAAGAUUUGGAAUUCAAAAUUACCUUUCGACUGCUACUCCAAUCAUGGUUCUAAAAUAUUAUUUACAGGAUACUGAUUUAUCUGGAUGGAUGGACCAAUGAAGACUUUAGCAGAUAUCAGAUUUAAUCGCAAUAUUCUUACAUUAAAUGAAAUUCAGUCAAAAUAUUUGCUUCCUAAUAGAUACAUUUUCUCUUAUCUUAGAAUUAAAUAUUUUAUUAGAUGAUUUUAUUGGUAAAGAAUAUGCAGCUAGAUGGAUUUUUUGUGUUAAAAAGCUAAUUGUUAUUCAUCAAUAUAUGUGACAGAAAAGCAAGAGUGUGUAAAGCUCACACCUCUAUAAACAACUGUACAAAAGCAAUGACGUAUUGUAAUAGUAAAAGCAGCUUCCUCUCAGGAUAUUCCAGACUUUAUCCUGUACAAAAUGGAAUAUAUAUAUAUAUAUAUUUUUUUUUUUUUUUUCCAGUCAUCAAUAUAUAGCAGCAACCUCUUCGAUUACAAAAUGGGGAUAUGAUUUAAAGAUCACUCCUUCGACUUAGAGUUGCUGUAAAUGGUGGAACAUGGUUAGAUAAAGUGUUCAUGUAUUUGACUUAGAAGAAACUUAUUAUAAAAUACUUCAUAGAUGAUAUCCAGUUCCCUCCUGUAUUGUUAAGUUUUAUAGAAAGACCUCUGACCAAUGCUGGAGAUUUAAUCAAGCUAGGGUCACAUUAUCACAUCUGGUGGGAUAGCAUAAAGUUGCAGGAAAAAUUUAUAUGAAACAACUCAAAUAUAUAUAUAUAUUUAAAAGAAAAAAAACUUCCAUAUGGAAAUCCAAAAAGGAACUAAAAAUGCUCUAAUUUUGGCUAUUAAGAUAUUGCUCGCUAUUCAAUCAAAUAUUGCAAGAGAAUGGUGAAGAUAUAAAGUUCCUUCAUGGGCAGAAAUCACCAUUUAAAUUUUAAAUUAAAUGGAAGGAUAUUUUUAUUUAAUGAAUGAGAAUAUAUCAUUAUAUAAUGAGAUAUGGGCCUCUUGGUUAAGCUACAUUACUAACAAAAGACUCCUGAUGUGUCAAAAUGUUUGAUAUUUGUUCUCCUGAUCCCAAACCUCCUUAAUGCUAGUUUUGUAUGCAGUAGGUAUGGUAUUAUGUGUGGAAAUGUUUAUGUUUAUAUUGAUAAAUGUUUAUUAAUCAAAUAAUUUAAUGUCUUUUAAUGUUGUAAUGUUGACUCGCUUGUUAUUAUUAUUGGUAUGUUCUUGUUUUUUGUAUUUUGUAAUAAAUUUAGCUGAUAAUAUGCUUCUGGUGGCUGUCAGGACAGACAUUUUUGAAAAUGUUCACAUUUGGCAUCAUGAUCAUGGAGGUUUUUUUUAAUGCCAAAUGUGAUAAUCUUUAAGAGAAGCUUUGGAUUCAUCGCUUCUGUGUGAGAUUGCUGCACAUAUUGCCGCACAUAUGCUGCAAAUAUUAUUAAAUAAACUUUCAACAGAUUACUUAAAAAAAGAAUAAACAAACAAGCUAAAAAAAAAGCCAAACACACACUUGCCUUGUAUUGUUUAGGUCCCCUACAGCUCUGUUUCAUUGAGGCAUGAAUUACACAAGACCCCUGAAAAUGUCCUGUGGUAUCUGACAUCUUUAAGCAAUGUAGAUUGUGAAGUGGGUCUCCAUGGAUCAGAUUUGUUUUUCCAGCACAUUUCACAGGUGCUCAAUUGGAUUGAGAUAUGCAGAAUUUGGUGGCCAAGACAACACCUUGAACUCUUUGUCAUGUUCCUCAAAGCAUUCCUGAACAAUUUUUGCAGAGUAGCAGGGUAUAUUAUCCUGCCGAAAAAUCCUGAUCGUACCAUUGCCAUUAUGGAACAUCAUUGUCAUGAAGCGUUGUUCAUGGUCUGCAACAAACUCUAGGUAGGUGGUAAGUAACAUUCACAAUAUAUCAAAUUUACCUGUAAUCCCAAGCCAAGACACUCUCUUCUCAAAAGUCUGAUCCUACCAGGAAAAUACAGUCAUGAUAGUCUCUAGAUGCUUUAGAUGCUUCUCACAGAGAAGUACUGAAGAACUAUGGUGCAUGUGUGGCAAUCUCACACAAAGCAAUGAAUCCAAAGCUUCUCUUGAAGAUUAUUACAUUUGGCAUCAAAAGACACAGAUAUUAUAAUGAUGCCAAAUGUAAAAAUUUUCAAAAAUGUCUGUCUGACAGCCACCAGAAGCAUACUAUCAGCUAAAUGUAAACCUUAGCCUUUAUCAAAAAUGUUUUAAACUGACAGAGGAAACAGACAACAUAUCUGCAUUCAAGCUACUAUAUUAAUUCAUUAGGUUUACAUUACACAUGAUAAAAAUGGUUUAGUUUGGAGAACAGAGACAUAAUAUGCAUUCUAGUGGCUACCAUGAUCAUUUUAAAGAAUUUAGAAUUCUAAACUCAAAGUUUAAAUAACAAUAAGACACAGUGUAGACUUUCAUAAAUUCAGUAACUAUAUUUUGCAUUCCUGAACCUAAAUGAAUAAGGGACUGCUGACCAAGCACAUGAUCCAGACAAAGCGAUGAAAAGGAGUCAAAAAAAUAAAAAAUAAAAAAAACUUGAAUUUGAAAUGAAUAAAUGCAGCUCAAGGAACAAAAGGAAUACCACUGUGAUAUCAUAUAGCUCGAAAAUAUGUGGAAUGCAUGAAAUGAAUGCUUGGGAGAAUAUUUCAAAAUAACCUACAUAAAAAGCCAGAAAAUUGGAAAGGAUAGCUGUAGAAAAAAUUAUAACUUUGCAAAAGGCUCAGAAGUAUCAGUCAAAGCUCUCAUGUCAAUGCAAGCAAAACACAUUUUCAAAGUUCAAUACCACUGACAAUCAGAGAACAAGCUUAAUAUCAUAUUACGAUAAACACGUACCAGAAGAAGUUCUGGAAGUAGAAAGAUAAUUUAUCAUAUGUUAUUAAAGUUUGGCAGACUAGACAGUAGGUGGAGCUGUAAUAAAUGUAAAUAUUUACAGAAAAAUAAGUUUCUGCUUGUUAACCAAUUAGAUUGUAACUCUGACAGUUUCCUGUUCUGUUUUAAUCUAUUUAUUUCCUGAAUUGCAAGUUAAAUUCAAUGCAAAAUGAACUUUCAAAAAAUGCAGUUAACAUGUUAAUCAUGUGUAAUGUGUAUGCUUAAAAUAAAAAUCUAAAAAUAAAAAAGAAUUGCUAGUAUUAAAAAUAAAUUGUCAAUUAUUUUAAAAAAUAUAAUGUUUCAAGGGCCACUCCAGACCCCUAAAGCACUUUAGCUUGCUAAAAAGCAUUAUGUGUGAAGAGUGUGUCCUCUCAUUCAAUUUUACAAAAGUGCAAAUUUCAGCAAUAAUUAGAACUUUCUUUUUUUUAUUCUUUUUUUUUUGUGUAUGAAAUAUAAUCUGGCUUGAUACACCACAAUAGCUGCAGGAAACCAUUAAAUAUCAGUAUAUAACAUGGCAUGGAAAAUACUGUGCAUAUUUUUUUAAAGUAAGAUGAAAAUAGACAAGAUAAUCGGGCAUUUUAGGUAUGAGAUAUUGUCAAAACAUAGGAUAAGAUACAAGCUUUUCUACGUAGUAUGGCUUAAAGUUCACGCUUAAGGUACAUGUUAGGCAAAUUAAAAGUUAACGUUGCUAUUUGAACAAGCUUAGGCAUAGUGUAACACAGGUAGGGUCAUUCCUUAAAAUGGUACUGCACUAUUGUUUAAAAAAGGGGAAACAAGAAAUAUAUCACGCUAUUUUGACUGACAUUUCUAUUAGUAAUAUUACCGCUGGUAACCUGGUGUCUACGUAUAGCCGUCUGGAAAAACAGGCAUGUGUGGUCAUGUGUGGCAUGUGCGAUCAUAUGGCAUAGUGGUACCCAGUCUAUGCUACCUGACGUCAGACUAUGAUAUUUUAGUAUGGUUAAAGCAGACUGGUCUAAAAUAACUAACUGGAUGCUUAUUUCUAGGGAUUAUGGUCCGCCAGGAGUUAAUGUAUUGCUUAAAGGAGCAUGUAUUGGGCACCUCUUCACCGGGGGAUCUACCUAUUUUUAAUGACUAGUUUAGACCACACCUAUUGUGUUGUGCGCUAUGCCAUGGUAGCUAUGGUCCUCUGAGCCUAAUCUAGCUGCAAUCCCCCUCCCCCCAUGCAACAUACAAUCCAUGAUGCUUGUAGCAGUCAGGCUCUUAGUGAUCUUGCAAAGUUCGCUGUGGAAGGCAGUAAGGCAGCCUUCAGGGGUGGCACUCCUCCUUUCCUGAGUUUUAGUAGGGGCUGACACCUCUAGGCCAUGGACACUGGUGCUCUGGGAGUCCCGGACCUGUCCGCGACGGGGAGUGCGUGAUGUCUUGAUGGUCUUCCUGUUCUGUUUGGCAGCCCUCUUCUUGUGUGGGUGGUGUUUCUUGUUGACCCUCAGUCCCGGAGGGCAUAUUGUGGAUGACGCUGGCGUGUGCUCUCCCCGCUGCAUCUUCUGAUCCUUCCUUGUGGUCUCCGCAGGUAGGUGGGGGUUUCCAUGUGUUCCUGUAGCUUGGCCCAGAAUUUUGGAAAGAUUGCCUCUAUCGAGGUUGUUGUACAGCCACCAAGGUCGGGAGGAUUAAUGUGUUGCUGUGGCAGGUGUUGAGUCUCAGGCCCAUGUGCGCUCGCCAUUUUAAUUAUGCAGAGUCGUCUCUCAGACUGGUAUGUCGCUCUGUUCGCAGAGGGACUAUGGGUUGCUGGCAAGCGGGGACUGGGAUGACCCCCACCAGUCCAAAGAGUGGGUCUGCUGGAUGUACUAGUCGGUGGGGAAGUCAGUUGCCCUUCUCUCUCCUAGCUAUCUGCAGGCCUUUAUGUGCUGCUUCGGUUUACGGUACCGUGGGCUCUUUGGAGAGGCAUCUGCCAUUUUGUCACUGCUUUCCCAGUGUAUCUAGCCUGGUGUGGCAUCUGUCGCUUUAGAAUUACCGGGGGUUUUCCCCAAAAAGUCAGUCUGCUGAGCGGGAGCUCACACAGCAUAUGUCCGAUCAGCUUAGAGUUCAGGCUCCACUCCCCCAAAAAUUUGCACUUUUAUACACCCCCUGGUUGUCAAUCAGACAACUGGUCCUGUUCCCAGUAAAUUAGCUAAACUCAAGAGACAGGAAAUGAUCAAGGCAACUGCCUUGCAAAUAUUUCUCAUUGAGCAUCAACUUAGCCACAAAAAGUCUAGGGAAGAGGGGGGGUGCUUGCAAAGGCAGCAUACCUGACAGCUGGAGCUUUUGCAAGCUGUUUUUAGAUAUACAUCCAAUUAUAAAACACAUUAUUAAAUCCAUGCAUGUUUUAAUUGUAGGUAAUAUCCUUACAGUGCUUUAUAUUAUAAUUAUAUAUUUUUGGGCAGUGGAGUGUCCCUUUAAGAGAAGUAAUCAUGGUGUAUGCAUUGCUCUUCAAUAUUUUGGUCAAUGUAUUCCACAGAGAAUAGAGAUACAUUUUCUCCCUACUCACCUUGUCACCUGGCACUAAUCUAGACCCUAUAUCCACAUAUGGAUAACUCUCAUCCUAUAUUCUAUACUCCAGCUGCCAUCCCUACUUUUAUUUUCUAUUCUGUAAAUAUGCUCUACAACUAAUCUCUUUUUUAAUCUCCUCAUUUUCCUCUUCUAGUAUAAUAAAUAGAAGAAGUUAAAAUUUAAAUAUGGAUUAAAAUUAAUAGCAUAAACUAAAAAUAAUGUAAUGAUAAUAAAAAAAAAAUGCAAUAUAUUUAUUUGCAAUAAAAGAGGGAAGGGUUACAGAGUAGAGUUGAGCAAACCCGGACUGUAAAGUUCGGGUUCGUACCGAACAUUAGCUUUUUUGGACCCUGGACCCAAACACGGACAUAUCACUGUAUGUUCGGGUUAGAGUUUGGUGUUUGGCGAUUUAAUGGCGCGUUUUCAAAGGCUUCAGGGCUGCCAAUCAACAAGCGUUUGACUCAUGUGCACUUAGAAGCCAUCACAGCCAUGCCUACUAGUGGCAUGGCUGUGAUUGGCCAGUGUGACCCAGCCUCUAUAUAUAAGCUGGAGUCGCGUAGCGCCGCACGCACAUGUGGUCUUAUUAGUGUAGGGAGAGUAUGCUGCCGCUGAUAGGGACAGAAUUCUGCAAACUUGUGGGGUGGGGUGCACUUCAUAUCUGAGAGUCAAAUAGAAGCUUCAAAUACUGCGGUUACAUCAGAGUUUUAAAAAGUAAAUUUGUUUUGCUGCUAAAUAGUACGUUAGUGGGGUAGUACAUUAGUGGGGUGCACUUCAUAUCUGAGAGUCAAAUAAAAUCAUCAAAUACUGCUGUCACAUUGCAGUUUUAAAACUUAAAAUUUUUGGGUGCUAAAAAAUACAUUAGUGGGGUGCACUUCAUUUCUGAGAGUCAAAUAGAAGCGUCAAAUACUGUUGUCACAUUGCAGUUUUAAAACUUAAAAUUAUUUGGGUACUAAAAAGUACAUUAGUGGGGUGCACUUCAUAUCUGAGAGUCAAAUCGAAGGGUCUAAUAGUGUGCUUACAGCGCAGUGGUAAACAUUCUUAUUUUCUGGGUGUUAAUCUGCUAAAUAGUACAUUUUGGGGCCUGCUCUUCAUAUCUGAGAGUCAAAUUGAGGCGUCUAAUAGUGUGCUUACAGCGCACUUGUAAAAAUUCUAAAUUUCUGGGUGCUAAUCUGCUAAAUAGUACAUUUUGGGGCCUGCUCUUCAUAUCUACAAGUCAUGCUACAACAAAAUUAAACAAGUUUUAAAAUAUGUAUGGGCCAACCAGUGGCUGUAAACAACAAAGUUUUACUGGUUACAUUCAUGACUACACACUCUAGUGAACAGGACCUUCAUGUAGUGUGUUCUUUUUUUUUUAAAUUAAACAGCAUCCUUUCAUGUGCGUUUCAGAUGUCAUAUUGUGAAUGACCAAUUUUUGUGUAGCCUGAUUUUUUUUUUUAAAGUGAAAAAUAAGUGUUAUUGUGAUCGCUUCAUAUAGAGAAGCAUUAAUAUAUAUUUCUAUAUUGUGUAAAGACACAACUACAAAGUUAAAACCCAAACACCAAAACAACGUGCCAGACAACCUACCUGUGCAUGGCUAGUGUGAUACAAUAAGUCUACAUCUUAAAAAUGCAAUAACCCACAGAAUAUGUGUGCUUGCCAUCGUCUUUGUUUACACUCCCCCCAUGACGACGGACGCAAUCAUGUGCGUGCCACCGUCAUCCCUUACUCCACCCCUUCCACUGACGUCAGCCGCAAUUAGCAUGCGAGCUGACAUCCCUCUCCACACCCUCUACAUAGAUGCCGGCGGCUGCGCAGUGCGCGCCGGCGUCUAUACCACAAUUCCCAUAUUUCCAUGCGGUUGUUUGCCGGUCACAUGACCGCGCAUAAAAAGUUUCAUAAAUCAAGCUAGAACCCUCGUUUUUAGCAUUUAUUUAUGUAAUAAUGUUUAUACUGUGCAAGUUAUUGUAUGCAUUAUCAAUUUUUCUGAUUUUAUAUUGUUUUAAUACUUUUAUGUCUUUGCUCACUGUUGAUUGGCUGCUCACAUUUUGGCGCCAAUUUUAAAGGGUUAAAGUUGUUAUAUAAACCAUUUCAUGCCAGGUAUCAGGUUCUUACCCCAGAUUGAUUAUGCCGUGUUGACGAAACGCGUUUAUGGUUAUUAUAAUGUGUAAUUUUAAUAUUAAAGUAUAUUUGGUAACUUUUAUUGUACCACUUAUCUUUUAACACACAUUCAUUAUUUACCUGGCAUCUUUUUAUUGUACCUGGACUCCAAGUAAUCCUAGGUGGGGAUUAUACCACGAAUGCUAACUACAAGGAGCAGUUGAUCUGCUCCCACCUUGUGAGUACCCAUUUUUAUUACCUUAUUUUAUCCUAAAGUCUCUUAUCCAGAGAACACCAUUGGCUGUUUCUUUUUUAACGAGUGUUUACCAUACCAAGGACGGAGGAAAUAGGCAAAGGAAACUCUACUUAUAUCCCAUAAGCGGGGAUUAAACCGCUGUACGCCUUCUACACCAGAGCGGGUUACAGCUCUUUUAAAUGUGAGUUUGCAUUCUAGAUUUUUAAAUUUUUAUCUUCUCCAUUGUUGAACAUACUACACUAUUUGGCUCUUUAUUUAUCCUUUAUCUUUUGCAUACGAGCUGAUCCAUAAGGAAGAUACCAAUAAGGACAAUUGUUUUGGACCAAGUAUUAUUAUAAAAUACUACCUCAACAGACGCCUCGAGAUAAGACUUUCUUUUUUAUCCAUUUAUUUUAUUUGGACUAUUUGUUUUACACAGAGUUUUAUUCAGCGCAGCCCUUACUUUUUUUUUUUCUUGGUGUUAAGUCUAAGGGUUUUUGAGGGAAUCCCUUAUAGGGUUGCUGCUCUAUUGUGUUAUUUAGCGCUUACUCACUGCCUUGGUUUUAAUGAUCCAUUCGUAGUUUCACAGUCAGGUGGGCAGUCCGGUGACCAGGCCCAGACACUGUCUGGGUGGCGGUCGGACGACCGGGACCUAGUAUGCUUGAUGUUGAAGUUAGGAGUCACAGUGUGGAAUGGAUUAGCUGGGUCUGUUGUAGGGUAACCGCACGCCCCCUGGUGCAGCUUCAGUAAAAAGAGUACUGGAUACCAGAAGCCAUCACCAGACUGAUCCGCAACUUGGAACAGGAUGUGACAUUCACUGUAACGGCUGUGUGCGCUUUUGGCAUUCUCACCCUGCUGCUGUUCGCCUGCCUGCGCUGCAGCGUAACUUCUGCCUUCCCGCUCACCGCCUCAUGAGACUGUGCGAGCAGCAGCAGGCGAUAGUGGAGAUUCAGCUGCAGCACGCACGGGUCAGUGGCUCUGCACCAGACUUCCCUCCAAUUGAUCAGAGUUAAAGGAUUUCAAGUGAACUCAUUACAAUUGAAGGGCCUCUAAAGAGUCCUGUAUUGUUAUUUGUCGUCACUACCUUCUCGCGUCGGGAGUGGGUCAUUUGCGCACUUGCUGCCUUCCUUGCAUGUGGUAGCCAUUUCUCAGGGUCCCUGUACGGAAUGGAACCCUGAUUCCCCGUUACCCAUGGUCACCAUGGUAGGCACAGAAUCUGUCAUCGAAGGUUGAUAUGGAUGACAUCCGCAUGCAAAUUCGCCACCAUGGGGAUGUGUGAUUGGCCCAAGGUUCUCUAGAGUCAACAAAGUGCCUGCACAACUAUAAUGUCAACAGCUACUCUGCAGAACAGAGUUGUCUUUUUUAUAUGUCCAAAUAUUUCGGGGGCUACCCCAAUUAAAAUAUAUUCAUAUAUUUAUAUAUAAAAACAGUGUUGGCUACCUCAUCCUCCUCCUCCACCGCCAUGUUCACCGCCUUCUCAACCUAUGGGUCACUUAGUAUAAACUAGGUGCACAUUAGCAGAGGCUUGUGAAGGCCUUUUCUCCAUGCAUCAGGAGUUGAGAAUUUCUCCAGGCAUCAGGACUACAAGAAAUGCACCGCAGGCCGCAAAUGUUUAUUUUUUUGUAUGUCACAAUAUUUUGUGGGCUACCACAAUUAAAAAAUAUAUAUAUAUAUAUAUAUAUAUAUAUAUAUAUAAAAAAAAACAGUGUUGGCUACCUCAUCCUCCUCCUCCACUGCUGCUUCCACCUACACCGCCACAGUCACCACCUCCUCAACCUAUGGGUCACUUAAUAUAAACUAGGUACACAUUAGCAGAGGCUUGUAAAGGCCUUUUCUCCAUGCAUCAGGAGUUGAGCAUUUCUCCAUGCAUCAGGACUGCUAGAAAUGCACCGCAGGCCGCAAAUGUUUCUUUUUUUAAUUUGUGCAAAUAUUUUGGGGGCUACCCCAAUUAAAAAAAACAAAACAAUUACCCCCAUUUUACUUGCUUUUGCAGCUCUCUAGCUCUUUCCAGGAGUUUUUUAGAGGCAUUUUUGUGGCCCAAAGCUCAGGUCCCCAUUGACUUCAAUGGGGUUCAGGGUCAAGUUCGGGGUCAAAGUUCGGCCAAACCCACCGGACCCGAACUUCCAGGUGUCUGCUCAAUUCUAUUAAAGAGUUAUGGAAUGUAAAAGAGACUGUAUCUUGAUGUGGGUAAGGGCGGGAAAAUGGAAAAAAAUAAAUGUGAUGGAAGGACAAAUUAAGAUGGAGGGAUAAAACAAGAAAAAUCCAUUUAAAUAUAUUUAAGUGUAUGUCUACAUGUUUUUAUGGAGUGAGAACAUUAGGAAGAGUAAAAUGUGUUGGUGUGUGAGAUUUUUGUAUAAUUAUAAUGAUAUAACUAUAAUAAUUACUGUAAGUUUAAUAGUUUAAGGGACACUAUAGUCACUGAAACAACCUUUGCUUUUUAAGGCAGUUUUGCUGUAUAGAUCAUGUCCAUGCAUGACUCACUGCUCAAUCAUUUUGCUUAUGCUGCCUAGUAACACCUCCCAGCCUUCCUAAAUUCUUUCUGUAAAGUGAUAUCUGAUGUUUAACCCCUUAAGGCCACAUGACGGAAAUAUUCCGUCAUGAUUCCCUUUUAUUCCAGAAGUUGUGUCCUUAAGGGGUUAAACUUUAUUUUAAAAUAUGUUUUAUUAUUUUAAAAAUAAUAAUAACAAAAAGUUGUAUUUAUUUGUCAACAUGUCAACAAUCAAUAAUGUGUAACAUAUGUAUACUGACAUAGUGAGAGAAUCUUUAUUAUAGAAAAAACAGGAAGAGAAAAAAAUAAAUAGAAAAAAAUAAACAAAAGUAUAAAACAGGAGAAAAAAUUAAUUAAUAAAUUUUGCAUCCACAUCCAACAUUACAUAAUUAAGUUUGAUACAAAAAUUUGCGUAUGAAUACAAUUUUUAAUUAUUUAUGUAUUAUGCAUUUGUGUAAGUGUCAUAUAUUAAGUAAUAAAUCAAAUAUAAGUGUUAAAUAAUUUUCCGUCAAGUGGAGAACAUUGUCACGCUUUUACUCAGGGAUAUAUAUACCACUAGGCAAACAAGGCAUUUGCCUAGGGUGGCACUUUCAGUGGGGGUGCCAAAAAAUGCCACCCCAAAUUCCCAGACAAAUGCCUUGUUUGCCUUGUGUUCUGGGGCUGUCCACCAUACUGUGAGUGAGUGAGUGAGUGAGUGAGUGUAGCUGUCAGUAUGUGUCUGUGAGUGUGUCAGUGUGUGUAUGUCAUUUAUGUGUAUCUAAGAGUGUGUGCCUGUCAGUGAGUGAGUGUGUCAGUGUGUGUCUGUCAGUGAAAGUGUGUGUUGGUUAAACAGUGUGUGCCAAUGACUGUAUGUGUGUGCCAAUGACUGUGUAACUGUCAGUGAGUGUAUAUCAGUGUAGUAUCAAUGAGGACAUGUGUCUGUCAGUCAAAAAAAAUGGCCUUAACACAAAUUAGGGGGGCAAAUUUAGAUUUUGGGGGUGCCCGAAUUUAGUCAUGCCUAGGGCAGCACAAAUCCAAAAUACACCACUGCUUGCACUUACUCCUCAAAGCUUUUUCCCAUUCACACUAGUCGUGUCUGAGGAGUACAUUAGUAGCUGAUGGAAUACGGAAAGCGAGUUCACAACGCUUAUGCUCAAAUAAUAAACUCAUGUGACAGAGGGAAUAGUAUUAGAUUUUUGUUGUAGCUGAGAUAAGGAGAUGGUCUAACAUUAUUUUUGUGUGUACUGCUAAGUUAUCUGGGAAACGUUUAAGUAGGCACAAACCAGGAGUUAAGUCAACAGGAAACUCUGUGAUGGAUAGCAUCAAUUAAAAAAUUACUUGCCAAUAAUUUGAUAAUUUCAGGCAUGACUAAAAAAUGUGAUACAAUGUACCUGUCUGUCUGCACUCUAACAUAAAUUAGUUGUGGAAAGAUGUAAUCUGAACAAUUUAAAUGGAGAAAAGUACCAUUGAUAAAUACAUUUUAGUUGAGUUUCUAUAUGACGUAUACAGUGUGUGAUAUCUUCAAUGCAAGUAGUGAAGCAUGCUAGUCUUCCACUGUGAGUACCUCACCCAGAUCACUCUCCCACUUUGUCAUAUAUGGCAAUGUUAUGCUUACUUUGCUGCAAAAAAUACAUGGCACAUGGAGAUGGUUUGUUUCCAGCCAGGAUCUGAGAUGUAAACCCUUUCUAAAUUUGACAAUUCCAGUUUUCUAGAAUUCAGAUCCUGGUCAGAAAUCCCAAAAUGUUCGCUAAUUUUUUAAACCAAACUUGCAUGUGCGAUCAAAAUAAAUCAUUAAUACAUUGAAUACAAUGAGAGGACCAGUAUUUUACGUCUAGUUCACGUAUAACUAAUUUUAGUACAGCUAGAGGAGUGGCUCUGCAUUAAGGAUGGAUUUUCCUUAAUGCAGUAUUAAUUUACAUUAUGCAUUGUUUCACCAUAUACAAUAUCAGUCACUGACAGAGUUAUUUACAAAAAAUUAGAUUGCAAAGUGAAUUUCAUAUUUAAGCCAGGAUACUUUAGUGAAUAACUCUGUAAAAGCAUUGUCAUCCUGAACAUUAUAGGUUUUGCCUUAUACCUUCUGUAUGCUUUGCCUUUCUGUAUUCCUUAGGUCAGUGCAUGCAUUGUUUCACUGUACAGAGAGAAAUCAAGUGGCUCCACAGAUCUUCUAUCAGCAUGUUAGUAGUAGGAGAAGUUUAGUGAGCAUUGAAUUCUGCAAUAUUUUUGUCAAAUUGAAACUGCCCUUAUAUAUCCAUUGUUAGUGACCUUACAAUAGUUUAACUAAUUCAAGUCAGUGUCAGGCUUGAACAAGAAAGAUUACGGACUUGCCAAGAAAGCUUGCCAAGAAAGAUUACAAACUUAAUUUCUUAUUAUUUUGGUGCCAGUUGUGCAUCUCUGUAGAAAUAUUUAGGUACUAAGUGAGGAACAAAUGUCCUGGCCCCAGGUUAGCAUUGAUGGAACCAUAAACUUAGCUUAACCCCUGAAAAAAUGAAGUAAUGUGGAGGAAUAUUAAUAAAAUGCAUACAUAAUUAACAUAUGUUUCAUAUUUAUGUUUGCCUGCUCUCUAUAAAUAUAUUUACAAAAAAUAAUAUACUGUGAUAAUUAAUUUAAGAGGAAUAUUAUUUUCACAGUUUUAUUGUUAAAAAAGUACGUCUUAGAGAAAUACAGAUGUUCAAGAAAAAAAGAUGUCAAAAUAAUAAAAAAGAAAAUGUACAGGAUCUUACGAGUUUUUGAAUGUAACUUAUUAUAAUUAUAUCCAUGUUCAUUUCACAAGGUCAUUAUAACAUUAGAAUUUUCUCCAACUGAUAAAUAUUUCAUUCAAACAUACACUUUAUGAUAAAAAAUGUAUUUAAAAUAGACAGCUGUCAUUUCUCUAAUCAAAAAAUCACAAAGGUAAAAAAGGUAUUAUCAUAAGUCCAAUGUUAGAAUUCAUAAAUCAAUCUAAAAUAGUAAUAUGCAUUUCUUAAAGGAGAGAAUAGUUUAAAAAAAAAUGUGAUGGGUGCCGCUGAUGAAAUCUAUAACUAAAUAAGAAUAUUUAAAAUGAUAAAAAAAAACUCAAGUGAUGGGUUCAUUGUUUUUUUUUUUUAUUAUUGUUUUAUGAACAGAAUUUAAUUAAUUCAUCUGAGUGCAUGAGAAAUAGUGAUGUACCGAACGGUUCGCUGGCGAAUGGCUCCUGGCGAACAUAGCAUGUUCGCGUUCGCCACGGCGGGCGAACAUAUGCGCGGUUCGACCCGCCCCCUAUUCAUCAUCAUUGAGUAAACUUUGACCCUGUACCUCACAGUCAGCAGACACAUUCCAGCCAAUUAGCAGCACACCCUCCCUAGCAGACCCUCCCACCUCCUGGAAGGCAUCCAUUUUAGAUUCAUUCUCAAGCUGCAUGCUUAGUAAGAGGAGGGAAAGUGUAGCUGCUGUUCAUAAGAUAGGGAAAAGCAUAGCUAGGUUAGGGAUAAGGGUAUGCUUUUUUUUAAUUUAUUUUUUCUAUGUAAUGUAAUUGCACUUAGUUGUCUGCCACUGCUGCCAGCUUCUGUGUCAGGCUCACAGUGCAUACUGUGCCCAUUUCCCCAGUCAGUGCCACCACUUACAUCUGGUGUCACAAUAGCUUGGAUUUAAAAACAAAAAACUUUUUUCACUGUUAUAGAUUGAAUAGCAGUCAGUUGUCUGCCACUGCUGCCAGCUUCUGUGUCAGGCUCACAGUGCAUACUGUGCCCAUUUCCCCAGUCAGUGCCACCAAUUACAUCUGGUGUCACAAUAGCUUGGAUUUAAAAACAAAAAACUUUUUUUACUGUUAUAGAUUGAAUAGCAGUCAGUGUCCUUAAAGCGGGUGUGUUACGCUAACAGUGGAUACGCUGACAAGUGCCACCAAUUAGAUCUGGUGACACAAAGCUUGGAUUUAAAAAAACAAAACACUUUUUUCACUGUUAUAGAUUGAAUAGCAGUCAGUGUCCUUAAAGCGGGUGUGUUACGCUAACAGUGGAUACGGUGACCAGUGCCACCACUUAGAUCUGGUGACACAAAGCUUGGAUUUAAAAAAACAAAACACUUUUUCACUGUUAUAGAUUGAAUAGCAGUCAGUGUCCUUAAAGCGGGUGUGUUACGCUAACAGUGGAUACGGUGACAAUUGCCACCACUUAGAUCUGGUGACACAAAGCUUGUAUUUAAAAAAAAACAAACACUUUUUUUCACUGUUAUAGAUUGAAUAGCAGUCAGUGUCCUUAAAGCGGGUGUGUUACGCUAACAGUGGAUACGGUGACCAGUGCCACCACUUAUAUCUGGUGUCACAAUAGCUUGGAUUUAAAAACAAAAAACUUUUUUCGCUGUUAUAGAUUGAAUAGCAGUCAGUGUCCUUAAAGCGGGUGUGUUACGCUAACAGUGGAUACGGUGACCAGUGCCACCACUUAGAUCUGUGACACAAAGCUUGUAUUUAAAAACAAAAAACACUUUUUUCACUGUUAUAGAUUGAAUAGCAGUCAGUGUCCUUAAAGCGGGUGUGUUACGCUAAAAGUGGAUACGGUGACCAUUGCCACCACUUAGAUCUGGUGACACAAAGCUUGGAUUUAAAAAAACAAAACACUUUUUUCACUGUUAUAUAUUGAAUAGAAGUCAGUGUCCUUAAAGCGGGUGUGUUACGCUAACAGUGGAUACGGUGACCNNNNNNNNNNNNNNNNNNNNNNNNNNNNNNNNNNNNNNNNNNNNNNNNNNNNNNNNNNNNNNNNNNNNNNNNNNNNNNNNNNNNNNNNNNNNNNNNNNNNUCCACAGGAAAGCAUUCUCAAUGCUUUCCUAUCAACGCUGGUGUCUUCUCACUGUGAAAAUCAAUGAAACAGCCACUAGAGGCUGGAUUAACCCAUUUGUAAACAUAGCAGUUUCUCUGAAACUGCUAUGUUUACAGCAGACAGGGUUAAUCCUAGAUGGAACUGGCACCCUCACCACGUCAUUAAGCAGAAGGGUCUGGGUGCCUAUAGUGGUCUUUUAACAGUGUAUCGUACAGGAGUCCCCUUUUACAUGGUGUAUUGAGGCCUUAAGCGUUUAUCGAUAUCACCUUAUACACAUAUACCCGUAGGUCAGUUCCGCAACCGCAGCAAACUUACAUAUGCAUACAUAUAUACAACGAUAAAAUACUUCACUAAGUAUACAUAGUUCAAGAGCUCCAAUUAUCUCGCUCCAGUUCUUGCUAGAACAAAUUUAUAUGUUAAUAUUAUAAAGAGAGGAGAAAAGAGUUCAAAUAUCAAAUAUCAUCCUGCCAUCCUGAAGAAAGAGAGAGAGAGAGGGAAAGAAGAGAAGAAAAGAAAAGAGGAAGAAAAAAAAGGGAAUAUUAUAAUGCACAGCUCGCUGGUCAUUGUAUCCAGUUGUCUCUUGCAAUAAUUAAACCUUUCCAGAUCCCAUGGUUCAAACAUUACUCAUGAUGAAAAAAAACUAAAAAAAACAACAUUCAUCCCUCCAUACUGGGAUAACUACAAAGACAUGUGAACAGCAUUUUAAUUUCAUUAACACAUGUAUAAAAACAACUCUUGAAAUACUCCCGCUCCCCUCCCCCAAUUCUCACUUCUGUGAAUAAAAAUCAACAUUUAGUGACUGUCCCUAGGCUUCAAUCAUCUAGCAAUCAUCUCUUUUUUGGGGGGACACCACAGGCAGAAUUCCAAAACUCGAAUCAUAAUGAACAUGCUCAGCCAUGCACAUUUCAUUUGGUUUACCAUUGGCUACAUUUAGGCACAGAAUUCAGGAAUUUGACCUUUAGAAUUUAGAAGAAUUGUAGUUUGCAAAAAAACAAAUCUUCUAGUCUAUCAUUUUAAAUGGUGAAAUUGUUUCUACACUGAAAAUGUAUGUUGCUUGAAUAGCUUCUUUUUUUUAAUAUAUAAUUUAAACUAUAAUGUAUCAGGUUUCUAAAUAUAGUUUCCUGUGUACCUAAUGCUUAUCUCUUACUUAAUCUGGACUUUAUUAACAUACGCAUCUGCUGAUAAACUAUAAUUAAACAUAUAUGUUCUUUUACAAGUGGUUAAAAUUAGUUAUAGCCAAUUAAAAUUGAUACAGUACAUAUUGAAGCUGUAUUAAAAUCUGCUAUGCUCCUAAAACCUAGGCUUUUCGCAUUCUAUUCUACAGACAUUAAAUAAUUUCUUGGCAUAAAGUGUCAGACCUCUAUAAUGACAAAUCUAGCUCUUUCAAUGUAGAACCAUGUCCAUCCUUCUGAAGAUAUAUAGCCUUAAUUUACAUCAACAGAAGAAAUUUUAGUAACAUAGCCUUUUAACAUUUCUGUAAACAUCCCAGUGCAAUUUUGUGGAUUUUAAUGAAUCUCUGAAAUAAAUUGAUGAUCAAGUAUUUUUUAUUUUAUUUUUUAAUGUAAACAUGAACGGUUCAUCCCUGCUGUUUUACAGAAGCAAAUUCUGUCUGUAUAUUAUAACUCUAUUACCAGAACCAUAAUGCCCUGCUGCUUGAAACCAUGCAUAGAAUAUUUUAACAAUACUAAGGUCAUCACUCAAGUAACCCCCAGGUUAUAUGGAUGCUAACAAGAAUCUAUGUUAUCUUAUUUCAUUUCAGAAUAAUGAAAAAAAAUGCCAAAAAUAGAGUGAAUAUGCAAAAUAGCAUAAAAGACAUCCUGAUUCUAUUAUAUCUGGUCAAAUGAUGGUUGGUCAAAUUCCAAUAUAAAAACUGUAUUCUGUAUAGUAUCUUAAAGUAAACAUCAUCAUAAAUCUAAAUAACAUAACACACUAUAUAUAUUUUUUUUAUAUAUAUAUAAAUAUUUUAAGAUGGUCAUAAUGCAGGGAAUAAACCAUGAUGGGCUAAACAAAAUAUAUAAGAAUGUGUGACACAAGUAAUUAACUCAUGGAAGAUGCAAAUAAUAACCAUUUAAAGAUUAUUAGUCAACAAACACAUGCAUACUUUUUUUUUGCAAUAAACAUCGACUGCUAAUUAAAGGAUGUCAGAAUGAUGGAGAUAUAUAAAUAAAACAUCUGUGUUUUAUGAACUACAACCUCACAAUGUUGUUAUUUUUAAUAGUUAUAUAAUAUAAGAAAGUGAUAUAUUUUUAUAUUUGUUGGUUCUGAUGGACUCUUGAUGGACUAACAUUGUUAGUAUUUAUCUGGAAGCCUAUGCUAUUAGGUAAUAUUAAUUUGUUCAAAUACUAUUUAAAUAAAAACCAAGCGUGAUCAUAAUUAAAAAAAAUUUCAACUGUUCUUUGUUUCAAUUACAUCUUAUUUUUUUAGCAGAAUAACCAUAAAUUCACUUAGAAUGUCACACCAUAGAGAAAUCAAUUGACUUAUCUCAACUGCUCAGUUUCAAAGCUGUUGACAAGUGAAAGAAAAGUUCUCUCAUUGAAAUAUACCUUCAUUGUAAUGAAGGUGGUACAUGCAUUUGAUACUUCAGUAAUUAAAGCUUGAUCCCAGCUUCUAAUAAUUUUAAUCAUAGGUAUUAUAGUAUCAAUUUAUAAAUUGUUUAGAGCAUGCCUUCAGGCAUAACUUCAAUGAUAGGUGGUAUAUUAAUUUUGCCAAUGCAGCUCAAUUUAUUUAUCCCAGAAGGAUCCCAGAAAGGACAAGGUAAGCACUAAAACAAUUUCAUCUCAUUGAAUUGACCAUAGUACUUGGAGUCCUCUGGCACAGUCUCUGCAUAACGUUUUAAACAUUUUUCAAGCAGUUUAACACUAAAUAAUGAUCCUUGGCCCCCCACAGUCUGACCAUUGCUGGAGGUAUGGCAAUGGCAGAGAUUACACACUUCCCAUUCCAAUUUAUACUAGCCAUAGGAGAUGUGAUAGGCUGAAAAUGGUCUGCUAAUAAUCUCAACCAAUUACAGCCACCCAUUGCUUCUCAGACCAAUACUUCCUCAUUAGCACAAGCAGCACAGAGGGUAUGGGCUACUGGGGACUCUUGUUUAACAUUAAAACAUUAAAAAAUGAUUUAAUGCUAAAUGGUAGAACAGCAUCAGGGCACUCCAUACACUAUAACCACUUUCAUGAGAUGUGCAUGCAGUGCAUCCAGUGUACCUUACUAGAUCCUGGAUGUAAUCAAAUCUGUCUGAUGUUUAUACAAUAUUUGCAAUCCGAACAUUAAGUAACUAAAUUCUCUUUAUCAUCUCCUAUACAUACAAGCAAGUAUUCAAUUAUUCCCUCAAUUCUUAUGCAAAGUGUAUCACUAUCCUAAAGAAAAUAUAUUGUCCUAAGAAUUCCUUCUGUGCUACCACUCACCUAACAUAAUAAACUACAUCUGCAUGCAUUUUGGUGCUUAACAGUGAGAUAAGUGCAAACUUUGGAUGAAUAGCAUAUGCUUUUAUUCAGAGAGGCAUCUCUUGUCUUUUUUCCAUCCCUGUAGCAACUAAUAUAUUGCAUUAAAUAAAUGAGUUUAUAUGAGAAUGUCAGUAUUCUUGGCAUAUAGCAUUUAAUUCAAAACUUAAUUUUGUCAAAUAAAAAUCACAGCUCUUGAAAAUUGUAAAUGUAAAGCAUUAAAAUAGAACAAAGAUACAAUUGUACAAUGGUUGGUAAAUAGAAGCCAGAGCCUCAGUUAGCCUAAGGCAUGUUGUAUACUGGCAGCCAGUGGUGGUAAUUGGCAUGCUGAGUACCAAUUAUACUCAACUGGACUGUCAAUAUGUCUAUUUUCAUCUUUAUAGUAAACCCCAAAACAGUCAAUGUGAUGAGCAGUAGCUGUGUAGCUUCACUGUCAACUUGGGCCUUGUUGUUAUGAUUGAUAAUUUUAGAGUGAGUCUAACACUAAGUGCCAUUUUAUUUAUCUGUACGCAUAGUCACACAGAUUUUAGGUUUCUGUUUCAUAUGUGUCAGUUUACAUAAAUGUUAAUGUUUUCACUGGUGAAUACUUGCAAUCCUAAGGUUAAUGUUAAUCUUGUCAUCCAACCUUUCUUAAAAUAUCUCUCUCUUACGUUUAACCUGCCACGCUGUUGGAAAUUGAAGUGCUAGUUGACAUUACUAAUGAUUGUAACAAAAGCUGAUGGAUGAUGUUACCUGAAAACUCACAAUUCUGAUAAAUAUUUUCUAUAAAUCAACAACGCAAUAUUAAUCUAAAUAUUUGUUUAACUUCAUUCUUUCCCUAGCUACUGAGACUCUUGGGUGUAAUGUCUCAGACUAAUGCUAACAAGAUUUUAGUCCGUAUGCUAUUGUUUUGUUUUAUCAGUGAAACACACUUUUUAGUGCAAAGAUUACUGCAAAAUCUGUUGAAAAAGAAAGAAACCUCCUCCCCACAAAGCUGUAAAUUCACUAUUUGGAUUAAAACUAGGCAUAACAUAAUAAGUGUUCCGAUCAUUAUUUAGAAUAAAGCUGAUUAGUAAUAUGACUCAUGUUUAGAUAAACAGCUACAUGUAUAGCCACCUGUAGUGAAAAUACAUUUCUAGAAAUCUGGAAAACCCAUGCAGAACAGUGUUUUGUCAAUGUUACAUUCAUGCAAAGCAGUGAGAUCAUAGGAAAAUAGGUUUUGAAGCACCUUCAUUUUCAAAUCAAAUAGCUUCAAUGAAAAUAAACACACGAGUGAGUAAAAAUUAAAAGACAAUAUAAAAACCUAGGUAUAGCUGGUACACUCCUUCUGUUCACAGUUUCUUUAAGCCAGGUUACUAGGCUUUGGUUUGAAAGUAACUGGAAUGUGAACAUUUAACCCAUUCCUGACGAUAUCUUUUCUAAAAUUCCAUGAGUUUGUGACUUUGCCUUUUUGCCAUUUCUGCAUGUGUUUGUUCCACAAUAAUUUAACUCUUCUUCGUUAAGUGCAUUCAAAUAUAAAUUUGCAGAGUGUGGCCUGCUGAGACUUUAAUAGAAGUCACAUAAAACUGUUAUACAAUUGGUGUGGCUGACCGUGGAGCUGAAUGGCUGUGCACUAGCUCAGUUCCCACAGACUCGAGAGGCACAUUCAUGCUAAGCAGAGAAAACCCGCAAAAAUUGGGAAUCCCAAGAAGCAUAACAACCCACACAACAGCUUGGGAAGACCCCGGCUGGAAAAUUUGGAAAAUUUGGCACUUUAACAACAUUUUUCAAAGAUAAUUUAGACCGCGAGACUGAGACCGUCGAGUCCAAGAUGGUGCCCAAUCAGACUGCACUCCUCUGAGCCCAGCACCCUCUGAGUGCUCUAUAAGGGAACCUUGCUAAAAUGCUCUGCAAACUGGAGUCGUCCUUCCAAUUGAAGAUGGGUGCCCUGGGGUCCGAGCUCACACAAAUAGGCCGCAGGGCAGAGGAGCUGGAGGAGGAAUGGGAAACAACUCAGGUACAGAGCCAAUAUGUGAUCAAAACGCUAGACGCCCAUGCACAAUAUAUGACAUACCUGCAGCACUCCUUAGAUGACCUUGAUAACAUAAGUCACCUAAAUAAUCUUCAGGUGGUAAGUCUGCCAGAGAAAUCUGAGGAAGACUUACCUUUACUCCUAACAGAGCUCUUUAAUCUGCAAACUGGACAACCUCAGUAAUAAUCACAAUGAAAUUGGUCGAGCCCACAGAUUGCUUUGCCCCAGGGGCUCGGCCUUUGAAGCACCUUGCGACAUCAUUUUACGUAUUCACUAUUUAAGAUCAAAGAAAGCAUACUGAGAGCUCCCAACCCCUACUGUUCCACUGGACCAGAUCCAGAUAUAUCCUGUCCUCUCAUGGCUCACGCAGGCCAGGAUGGCCUUAAAACCUGUUACAGAUCUACUUAGACAACAUUGCCUUAAAUACCGGUGUGGAUUCCCAUUUGCCUUAAUCAUCUUGCAGGGAGGAUUGAAUCAUACCAUCACCACCCACGCUGAAGUUCAGCCCUUCCUCAGGGCUUGAACCUGCCUGAAAAACACAUAAAGGAUUGGUACUCCCCUCAAUUGACAUCGGGACUUUCACAGCUCCCUCAAAGACAGCGAUGGAACAACCCUUCAAAGAAAAGGAUAACAGAGCCACAGACUAGCUCACCUCCAGACAGUCAGGACUAAGACCGCAUCACGUAACAGAGGUACCCAGGGACCGAUCACCGCACAAACACACUUGGAAUACAAACUAAAAUAAAGCCUCACCUAUGGAUUAUAACUUGAAUUGUGGAUGUACUUUGCCAGGGUCCUUACCCAUCGGAUCGGCACUUUUGUGAGACUAAUGCUACCAUAUAUAUUCAGGACUGACCCACGUAAAGAGGAAAGACUGUAACAAACAGGAAAAUACAAAAAACAACCCCCCCCCCCAAAAAAAGCAAAAAAAUUAAAUAAAAAUAAUAAUAAUCAAAGAAAUAAAAAGACUAUGAAAAUAGUUUUCUCCAGUUGGACAUUUUAGUACUAUAGUAUGCCAGGAUGGCGGCAGAGAGACAACUGUAUAGGUCAUAUGUUACUGGGAUUUCAGUUUAUUAGACCAAGUUCAGUUUAUUAGGCUUUAGCUCUUGUUUUACUGUUACGUAACUGAUGUCUCACACCUCUACCAUGUGAGACCGGUGCGGAGAGCACCUCCUCCCCCCUAGCCCAUUGCCACCCUAGACGGGCCCCUCCUAUAGUUGGUGCGACCUAGGCAAUGUAUUGUACGUCCAUCCAUGCCCUCCAUGCUUGGCUUGAACCAAGGAGGGUCCUCGCUACCUAUACAAUUAGAAGUCUCCUACAGAUUUAAAAAGAAAGUAGAGAUGGGUGCAUCCAUCGAGUUUGACAUGUACCACGCCUCUGCUACACAAACCUGUCUAUUGCAGACAGGCUUAAUUACUUUUCGAGGAAUCGCUUUCACGAUUCUACCUUCUUCAAUCCUAACCCUUACCUAAGCCAGUCCCCUCGUUCUUUGCCCAACCUCCCACAUUCCUUACUUCUUCCAUGUCACCACCCCUCCUUUAUACCUCCCCAAUCCCCAAUCACUUUGUGGUGGAAUAGGCGCCGUAUGGUGGGACCUCAUCUGGAGGCGGAUCAACAGCAGAUACCGGAGGUGGUAAGCCACUAUCGGGCCCCCGCAUACCCUCGAAUAGAAUCCGUAGGUGCCAGAAUUGAGGUGACAAUCACACAUACCUUCAUAAUUAUUGAGCGUGAAGGUCACGCAUUCUGUUCUCUGAAUUGUAGACUACUAACUGUACCAAUACUGAUACACGCUUGAGGUUAGACAAUUUAUAGGUGUUGGGACUGCAGACCACUAUGUCUAAGAUAAAGAUUAUAUCAUUCAAUGCAUGAGGCCUAAACACUCCAGAGAAAAGAUCCUUGGCCUUGGCAGAUUUCCGCAGACUGGGGGCAGACAUUUUUUUGUUUUGUUUAAGAAACACACGUCUGUAAGGACUCUGCACCCAGGCUGCGAGACUGUAAAUUUCCUACAGGUUACUUCAGUAACUACACCAAAUUGAAACAAGUGGAGUGGCUACUCUGUACAGUGCACAAGUCCCUUUCACCCCACAGGACACACUCACAGAUGAUACGGGUAGUUUCCUAUUCAUGAGGGGGAAGAUAGGCAAUAUGACCAUCACGUUGGACAACAUUUAUCUCCCAAAUAAGAAUGCCCAGCUCUGCGUCAAAUACUUACUAAGAUGGAACAGUUCCAAGACGAUAUACUUAUUAUGGGAGGGGACCUAAAUGUCAUCAUUGACACAUUUUCCUCCUCUAGCGCAUUCCUUGAACGCACUCUUACAACUGCAUGGUAGCUGGUGGGCACUACACCCCAUGGGAAAAGAUUAUUCCUUUUACUCUCAGGGUACAUACACUUGCAUUGACAUGCUCUUCCUGCCUCAUUGCUUUCUACAUUUAAAUCAAGCCUGCUCAAUUCAAGCCUGCUCAUGCACCCCUGUCUCUUCCCUUUGCUCUCCCCUCCCUCCCGCCCUCAUCUCCGCAGUUAAAGUUAAAUGACCUCCUCCUUAAUGAUAGCACAAAUAUUGCGCCAUAGCACACUACUUUGCAGAAAACUCCCAACCAGACAUUGCGCAGACCAUCACUUGGGAAGCACAUAAAUUGGUGUUGCGAGGGCUACUCAUAAAAAUUGCUUCAGUACACAAACACAAGAGGGAGGAAUGCACUGCACACAUACUACAAGAAAUUAAACACACAGAUCUGAUAAAUCACUGAACAUGUACAAGUCACUGACCACCCUAAGGUCGGACCUGACCGCUAUUCUAACCUUACACAUGAAGCGUAGGCUGUUGCUGACUAUACACACAUAUUACACCCAGGGAGGGAAAAGCGGCCACAUUUUGGCGCAAUAACUACAGCAACGUAAACGACACACAUUCAUACCCACCAUUAAGUUAGCAAACGACAAGCAAUCACAACUAAUUCUGGAUAUCAUGGCUGCAUUUCAUGAGUUUUACACAAAGCUGUACAACAUCAGAGAUUCCCCACCUUCCCCAGCAGAGAUACACGAUUUUCUCUUGACCCGAAUCAUAACGAACGUUCCGAGAAACAUGGUGGAAUCCUUAGAACGGCACAUUACAAUAGACAAAUUUAAAUUGGCAACCAAACUUCCCCUAGGCAAGAGCCCUAGCCCGGACGUCUACACAGCCAAAUAAUAUAAAAUAUUCACUCCUGAAUUGUCUCUACCCUUCGUAGGGUCCUUCAACUCUCUGCUUCAAUCUCCAAAACUAUAGCAGCUGCUGUUGAGGCCACAAUAUGGCCACUGACUAUGGACUUGAUUUAAUAUUUUUGAAUAAGUUUUCAAAUAAGCACAAUAUGUUAGAAAAUUAUUUUCAGAUGACUUAUCUACCAAAGUGUGACUAUUUAAAAAGCUACCCAAAACACGUAAAGACGUAACAAACUGUGGUAGUUAUAGAUCAAUUUCACUUAUCAACAUAGAUAUCAAGCUCUUCACUAAGAUUCUGGCCAAUAGACUUAAGCUUCUGCUCCCGGUGCUAGUCCACCCUGACUAAUCGGGUUUCAUGCCAGGCAGGGAAGCAAAAAAAUAACACCACAAAAAUCAUCAAUUUGAUGUACCUGGCGAAACGAUCCAAAUACCGUAGCGCACUGCUCUCCAUAGACGCUGAAAAGGCAUACGACAGGGGGGACUGGUCCCUGAUGCUGGCCACAAUGCAACAUUUAGGCUUUGGGCCUUAUUGGAUGGCUGAAAGCAAUAUACUCCGCUCCUAUUGCCCGCCUGCGCAUUAAAGGACAGCUCUUCCACCCAGACAGGAUCUCAAAUGGCACAAGACAGUGGUGCCCUCUGUCACCUCUUAUUUUCAUUCUAGUGCUUGCACCUUUCUUCCAGGGUUUCAGGGAUAACCCACACAUUCGGGGCUUGAGGGUGGGAGGUGAAGAGUACAAAAUCUCUGUGUUUGCAGAUGUUCUCCUCUUUACAGUAUCAGACCCGUAACUUUCCCUCCCAUUUAUCAUGGAGGAGAUGUCACUGUACAAUAGCAUUUCCAGUUUUAUCUAAAUGUGAACUCCUCCCUCUCUUCAUAUCUGCAGCACUAGACAUGGCACUUCGACAGAACUUCCCAUUUACAUGGAACGCCACAGCCAUUAAAUACCUGGGGUCAAACUGCCCACCCAACUCAAUCGCCUCUAUGAAGUUAAUUUCCCUCCACUUUUAGACAUGAUUUCAAGGGAUCUGAAAUCCUGCCAUAGGCCUCAAUAUGGUUGGUUCUGCAGACUUAACAUUCUCAAAAAGAAUGUACUGCCAAGAUUAUUAUAUUUGUUACAGGCCCUGCCGAUUUCGCUACCCUCACAUUUUGUCACUGACACUAGGAAGAUGAUAACCUUUCUAUGGUCCUAUUGACAACCACGCCUAGCAUACUCCUUCCUGUGCAGAAGUCGCUCGGAGCGUGGUCUAGGACUCUCCAAUGUGGAUUUCUACCACAAAGCAGUACAUCUAACCAGAAUUUAUGAGUGGGCACACAUCAAUGGGUCAAAAUUGAGGCCUCAUUCUUCUCGCUUCCCCUACACACAAUCCUGUAGCAUGACAUUACACUAUAAAGACCACCAUUGAUAUUACACUAUAAAGACCACCUAACCAUUGCCACCGCUUUACACAUAUGGUCGCGCAUGAGACAGACUGGGAAUAUCUCUCCCAAGCCCUCCCCCCUUAAUCCUUUUUCGCAUAAAACUCUAUUUAGGGAGGGGGAUUCAGGUAGAUCUUACAGGGACUAUGACUCCGCUACAGAACCUCACACUACAGUCGAUCUCUGAUGACAAGGGGAUUAAAGCACUUAUAACAAUUCUUAAAACCCUGGAGCCCACAGGCACACAAUACCUUCAAGAUAACCAAUUGACCCAAUUUGUCCACUGUAAUAACCUAUUACAGCAGGAAACCAGGGCCUGACCCAGUGUGAACAGCUUUGUUCGACCCAUCCCUUGAAGAGGAAGCUACUUUCCAAAAUGCACAACCUCAUUCAAGUACCACAAGAGCAGACUAUCCCAUCAUGCAUUUUCAAAUGGGUGACAGAGAUGCCAAUCUCCCUCUCAGUGUAGCAAAGCAAAUCCACUAUGAACCUAAAUACACGAAAAAUCAACUACAAACGCAUAACGUGAUGGCACUAAACACCAGUGAAAAUUCAUAAACACUACCCUCAAUCUGACGGCCAUUGCUGGCGCUGCCACCUUUCUGAUGCUCACACCUCACAUAUAUGGUGGCAAUGCUUAUUAACUUCUGGAAAUGCAUAUACACGUUAAUCUAAUCCGUUACCAACACGCAGUUCCUGCAUGAUCCGGAAUGCAUGAUGUUCCUCCUACUGCCCCUAUGUGUGCCAAAGAGUAAAUUGUUCCUUCUCACAGCAGCGCACCUGCUCAUCCAGCUCAAUGGAAACGAGCUGAACCCCCCAUCUGUACUAGGUAUACAGACAUUUGGGGAACCUGGCAGUCCUUUAUUCGCUCCAAUAAUACUGCAGGCACCCCGGAUGCAUAACCUGGUUACCCUUCUCCCCUUUACUUAUGGCUAACAACACAUAUGGUAUAUAUGCCACCGACAAUAGUAGCAUCACCGCCACGAAAUUGUACACACUAAGCUGAUACCAUAAGACGAUACUUAUUAUGAUUAGAUUUUCAGACCUCUUGUUGAUAUUCUUGAUAGUGUUACUCUACAUGUUACUUUAGACAACGGACAUCCUUCCAGAAGACUACAACCUGUCUAUAAUUAUUGCACUCAUGUUACCAUUCAAUACUGUACUAUACAACUACUGUUCAUAUGUCUUGUAUUACAAUUGACAAUGUAUUAUUGAAUGCUAUUGCAAAUCAACAUUUAAUAAAAAAUAAAUAAAAAAACAAGCCAAAAAAACCUGUUACACAAUUAUGAUACUUUUCAUUUAAAGGGUUAUACCAGCACUUUACACAAAAUGUGUUUUUUUUUAUUGUUUUUUUUUUUUUAAUAUAGCAUAUCUUAUUGAGCAUUAGUAAUUAAGCCCCCCUUCUAAACCUAUAAAGGAAAGAAACAACUUAUCUGGAAUCCAGUGACGAGUGCUGGUUUCCACGACUCCAUCUGAUGUCACUGCCUCUCUCAGGAGGUCUGAUGAAAUACUUCUCAAAAAGAAGCAUUUGAUUGGACUGUUGUCACCACCUCAGAGUGCGUACAUGCACUCUGAGCUGAAAGGUUGUCACGGUGCCACAGGUUUAUGUCAGCGUGGCCGCACUGAAAUAAUAACAACCACUUAACUUACCCAUGGCAGAUCAAAAGCCGACCUCCUUCCAUCGUGGUUCCCAGCAUAUGCGGCGUUACUGGAGACACACGCCGCUGCGAUUCCUGAUUUAAAUAAGGAAAUAGCCUUUGCCCAGAUCAUAGACGUUCAUGCACGUUUUGGGGGUCAGAGGUCUCACACACCCAAUUACAGCUUUAGGAGGGUUAUGUAAACCCAUCUUACCUUUUGAUCAGCGCCUUUUCGUGGGCUCCCUUAGCUGGUUAUCCAAGAGAGAAUUUCUGAUCGUUGUAUUCCUGGUAUUUGACUUUGGCUUCAUUUGACUUCCCUGGUUUCUGGCAUCCUUGACUUUUGGCUUUCCCUCAUCGUUGUGUCACGUUCUGUUUUCCUGACCUCGGCAAGUAUUCUGACUACUCUUGGAUAUGUUAAGUCCGGCCAUUCUAAGGUCCGGUUAUACGUUAUGCGUAGUCUUGAUCACUUAUUAAUCCUGACAGAGGGGAGGGAAUGAAGGAGUGGUGGUUAGAUAUGGGAGGGGAUUUAAAUAUGUAUAUAUUAACUGUAAAAGAAUGGAAGAAAGGAAGAAGCUAACAGAGACAGGGAAGAAGUGAGGGGAGAUGUAGGUUUCCACUUCCUCCCAGCACUGCCUGCAAGAAAAACAAGUAUAUUAUGCCAGACAAUAACAGAUUUAUGAGAACAGAAUCAAACAUUGAUGAUAUAUCUAACUCAACUUCUAUCUAAAUUUAACCGUAUAUAAUCUUAAGCAGCCUUUACACCUGGUGUCCUGUAAUAGUCAAAUGACAGCUGAUCCAGCAUUGUAGCCAGCACUUUGUAAAAGAUUGUCCCUGAGGAAGUCCCUGAUAGGGACGAAACGCGUUGGACUACUAUUGAACAUAUUUCUCAUCAUCUGCUAUUAUUUACUUUGAUGUAAGUAAUAAAUGCUGCUUUUUGCACUUUAUUUACAUAGUUAUUUCAUUUUUUUGCAUUUUUCUAUCUUUUGUAUGAGAUUAACAUCUACUCAGCAUUGAAGUAAGAAGACACACACCAAUAUAUUUCUGAAGGCACUUCAUUUGAUGUCAAAGUGUGAGUGAUCACUUGGCACUUAAUUUUAUAUGCAAUAUUAUUACACACAGUGUUGCACUAUGUUAUAUUUUUACUCCCCUAGUUGGAAUAGCCCUAUACUAUAUAUGAAUCAUAUCAUAUGACUGCUGGGAUUGCCAUAUCAGUGCUAUGAUGUGUGGAAGCAUCAGUAAGACUCUACAGUAAUGGCAAGUACACCCCAUAAACGCCAUGACUGCAAGGUGUACUGUAAUUAAUUGAGGGCACUAAGCUGUUUCACAGUGAUAGGCAUAACGAUCUGUCCCCAUACAUACUUGCCUUCAGGGAACCUCCAUACUAAUAUUUCUAUUAUAUGUCGCACUGAAGCAUCAAGAAAUAGCUUGGGCUAGCUAAUCCCAGUAGGGCUGACUUUCUGAACUUACUUGUAACAGCUGAUUUCCAGGGUAUGUUAUCACAACAUGCAUCACAAAAUAUGUCAUGUGGCAAUUUAGAUGGAACACAAAUAUGUAUACCUAAUGCUAUAGAACCCUAAAUACCAUCAAGGUGACUGGGCCAGUUCUGCCAGGGUUUAAAAAAACUAUUUUAGAUACAUUUUCUCACUCACCAUGCUGGUCUCUGCAAGAAAACUCUUUUGCUGAGAUAAUAGAGAUUGAUAAUCUCAGCCAAUCCAAUGAUUUCCCAUAAGAAAACAUUGGGAGGCUAGUACAAAUGCAUGGCAAAAUACAGAGCUGUGAAAAUCAUAUUGUCUCUUUGAGACUAUGUCAUUGAACUAGUGGAGAUUUACUCUGCUAAUUUACAGAAGUGCCUCUGGUGACUGUCAUAUUGACAACAACUUGAGGCAGGUUAACCAUGCAAAGAAAACAUUGCAGUCCCUGCAGAACAUUGUUGAGAUGAAGUGUUCAGGGUGCCUAUAGUGUUCCCUCCCAGACCCUCCCACCUCCUGGACAGCUCACUAAGAAUGCAGCUUCAUAAUGGAUGCUGUCCAGGAGGUGGGAGGGAGGGUCUGCUGCUGAUUGGCUGGAAUGUGUCUGCUGACUGUGAGGUACAGAGUCAAAGUUUACUCAAUGAUGAGUCCUUGGCGAACCAUUUGUGGCGAACCGUUCACGAACCGUUCGGCGAACAAUUUGGGACAUCACUAACUACAAGAUAACACGUAUAACAUGCCACUGACUAUGGCCCUGAUUUAAUAUUUUUGGAUACGCUUUUCAAAUGAGCACAAUAUGUUAGUACAUAAUUUCCAAAUGACUUAUCUACCAAAUUGUGACCAUUUGAAAAGCUUAUCCAAAAACAUUAAAUUGAGGCCUAUAACAGUUGUAGUUUUGCAACAGCUACUGCAUCCAUGGUAAUAACUAUUAAUUCCCGCAUUAAAAUUUAACAAUCCAUUAAAAAAAAACCAAUCUAAUAUAUAUACUCCCACAGGAAAUAUGCAUGUAAUUUGUAUUGUUUGGUGUAUUCUUUUGGGUAUAUGAAACCUUGGCUUGCAAUUAUUUCAGAUCUUGUAACUAUGAAGAAGUAGUAGGACCAACUGUCUGAUUGACAGCUGGGGAGAUGUAACAAGAUUAAUUUAUAAAAGUGCCGAUUACUUUAGGAAUUGACUCUUUUUUAAAAUAGCAGGCCAAAGUGCUUUAUGUGUUUGGAAUGUUCAUGUAACUGCACAUAAUGCUUGCCUUGCAUGUUUGUAAUAUGUUCUGCAAUGUAUUUGAAAAUCUGCAUUCAGAUGAUUUGUAAAGCAUUGCCUAGGGAAUAAAGCACAAACAUAUUAAUUUACUGAUAGAUAUAUAUAUAUAUAUAUAUACAAUAUGCAAAUACAGCCAAUAUUCUUAGAUUAAGAGGGAUAUCACUAAAGUGUGCUAAAGCAGUAAAAAAAAAAAACCCUCAUCUUCUAACCCAUUAUAUCAUAUACAUGUUUCUGAACUUCUUUUUACCAUUAAUGAAACACCAAAUGUAGUAUGUUUAAUAGGUAGAAAUCUUUGCCCAGGUGAAAGCAAUUAACACAUGAACAAUUGCCUGUCACAUCCAUGUAUUUAUUGGGUAUUUAUGUCCAUACAGCACCACUUACCUAUUUACAUUUUGCCCCUGAACUAGUUUUUUUCACCAUGAGGUAUACAAAGUAAUUACAGAUUGUGUCCCUCUCCAUUGUCUUCUCUACAUCUUUGCAGAUGUGUAUGCAGAUGCAUAGUGCAGUUAUAUGCAAAAGUGUAAUCAGUACCUCGCUUCUGCAUCCACUGCUUUAAAUGUACAAAUAAAGUUUGUCUUACAAAGGUGUCUGCACAGUGUGUAAAAGGGAAUCUCAAACUAGCAUUUGCAGUCUCUCUGCAGAAUGGCAACCUGGUAGAUACUUGUUUUUGUCUGUAUGGUAAAACCAAUGCUAUAGGAAAAAAAAGGUAAAUGCAGAAUUUAUGAUCCAAAUUUCACUUAGCAUUGCUCUACAGUUGUAAAUGAAUGUUAGCCAAUAUAUUAUUUGAGUUGCAAAGGAAGGAGUUAACUAGCUUUUGCAGAGAAUACUUGCAAAAUACUGUCUGAAGUUAAUGUCAAAGUGUUUUUAAUGAACUGUUCUUGGAUGGCUCUCUAGGGCAAAGAUUAACAUUUCAUGACUUCUGCAUAAAUGUCCAAACGUCCAUAUUCAACCAACCAAAACAAUACCUAUUCUGGGAUUUGUAUGGUCCAUUGUUUUAAACAAAGAAUAAAUGCUAGAGAACAUUAAAUUCCAGAUAGCGUGAUUGUAAUCCUUUGACUGCCAGAAUGGUAUACUUAGCCCUUUUUUCAGCACCUAAAGAGUUAUCUAACAGCAAUAAACAUAAACAAAUACGUUGUAGAAAAAGGGACAAUGUGCUAACCAUAAUAAAAUCAUCCCUUAUCCUAUAUACACUGAAAAUAAAUUGUUUUAUAACUUGUUUUACCUUGACUGGUAUUUUUUUUGUUUCAUCGUGAUCACAAUUCAAGCAUUUUAAAUCCAUUCCCUACCGGUUAUGCUGCUGAAGUUAAAGUUCAUUAUCAAUUUAAAAUCAGGCGUAAUUGUGGUCUUUGUAGUCAAUUAUAUGAUCUCAGGAUUGAUAUGCUGAUAUUGUGAGGUUGACAAUACAUACAAAAUUAAUUACUAUUACUUCUUUGUAGUGAUGAUAACAGGUGACAUGCAGCAUCAACUUGUGUUCUAAAUCAACAUUCUAAUCUCUGUAGUGAGCAUGUUUAAAGUGGGCAUUUUGGAUAUAGUUGACAUGGGUAUUUGUUGUGCAAUUAGCAGUUUUGCUAAGUUAUAUUGCUAUUAUCACAGGGCUUGUUUGAGCAUCAUUUCCAUAAAUUUUUCAAACAAGAAAUAUUAAUUGAAAUAAGAAUUAUUUCAAAAGAAAUAUGGUGCAGAGAUGUUUGACAUUUUUGUUUGCUCAAGUGCCUUGUUAAGUUUGUUAACGUUUGGGGUAUUUAUUAAAUUGUUUAAAAAUAAGCUAUUUGUCUAGUUCUUUUGGUUGAUGAAUUUGAUAAUAUAAAAAUAGCUCCAUGCAUGUGUCAAUAUAUCUGAUGUGAUUGUGAUCGUUUAAGCUUGCUUGCUUGAUAUAAGGCAGAUGUUAGAACGUCAAAAGUAUUGUAAAACAUUGGAUAGGUGAGAAUGUGAUUGCAAAGACAUCAUUAUGGUCUCAUCAACAUAUAGAUAACUGUCAAACAAUAGACUAUAAGUAUGGCCUCUGUUUUUAAAUUGUGCUUUUAAUUCAGAUUUUAUUUAGAAUGUAAGCUCAGCUGUCCAUGUCAAUUUAGACGUAUACAUGUUUAGGACUAAUAGAUGAAUAAUCUUACUCUUUGGUCUAGCGGUUUGUAUCUUAAAUGUGGAAUAACUAGAGAACUAGAUUAAAAUUUUGAUGUUAGAAAACUCUCUCAUGGUUAUUUAGUAAGAAUUACAAUAAAUUCAAAAUGAAUUUAAAGUGAAUUUAAAAAUGUAGACCAAAAUAGCCAAAUUAGAAAGAAAUCUAUUUUAGUGUAAAAUAUUUAAAAAUAAACCUUAUGUGACAGACUGCCUGGCACCCCGACCAGGUACCUCCAUCAAUCGCUGCUUCCUAGUAAUCCUUAAAUGCCAUAAACACUGCGCUUGACACCAUAACCACCAUACACCCCACAAACCGCCACAGCUUGGUUGGGGUCUCGCUGUCCUCUACCCACCCUGGACCCAAGACCAGGAUUCAGUAGAUGGGUAGGUAGAACUCUCCUAGUCCAGAGAGCAAAGCAAGAUAGCUCUUACAAGAACUAAUGAUUAUAAUUCCAGGGAGUAUAAGGAGUAUAGCAAUCCCCAGAGUGUGAAUAUAGCUCUCAAUCCCCCAAACAUGAGCCUAGGCUUCAUGAAGGGUAAAAUAAAUCUGUUUGAUGGCAGCCACAACUGGCCUUAUAUGCAGGUCCCCAUGCAAGGGGUUUCCGGCUACACCUGAGAGUAGACGACAGUGAAAACAUACACAUGAUUACAUUGGCUCUCAGGUCCAGGACACUCCCACAUAAAACAAGAUAAUCCUUCCCCUGUGUCUGGAAAAUAAUUGAGUCAUGAACUGUACUAAACUCUAUUAUCUCCAGGCACAGAACACAUACAUUUUAUAAUACCCCAAAAGUAAUUUAAACUUGGAAUUGUAUCUUUGAUUCUAGGAAGAAUUUAUCUAAUAUAAUUUACGAGAAUGACCAUACUGAUUUUGAAAUGUUCUUGUUAAUUGUCCAAGAUUUGGCAUUUGUAAAUAUCUGUUUUUAAUCAAAUAUACGUGCGUUCUAUAACGUAAUAUAUAAAAAGAAACAGCUGCUUAUAACUUGUGCAAAACAAUAUACGUCAUUGUCACGCCUUUAUGCUCAUACCCAUGAAAACGGGGUAUAAAUAUAACUGACGUAUGAAUAAAAUUUGAAUUGGUUAUUGAACACGUCUCUGCUUUUCAUUUCCAAUUUCCAGAGCUCUGAUAAAUAGAUUUGGCAAACAUCCAUCAAAGGGCCCGGGCUGAUUUUAUCCCCAACACCCCUAAAACACAUGGAAACCCCACAAAGUCAUAUCCCCUGAGGGACCAACAUAUCCAAAAAUCACCCAGAUUGGUUCAGGGGUUCGGGAUUUCCAUGGAAGUCAUGAUUUACUGACCACACAUGAGGCUCCUGCCCAAAACAGUUCCAGAGAAUCAGGGUCUAGUUCGGUAGUUUAAAAACCCAACAAACUGCUGAACAUAUUCAAGAGUCUUACCCUGGAGCUUGUUCUCCUUGUUCCACCGAACAUUGUCUUCCUAAGUGUUAUAAAACCGAACACAGGCGAUCAUGGAAGUCCAGUGUUGUUCGGGAGUUUCAAUGUUCCAAAAUAGUUCCAUGAACUUGACAAUCAAACACCGCUGCCUCUGUUCAUGCGAACAAGCUGGCCACCACCUUGUGGUCCUCCAUAGCAAAUGCAGCUAGUCAGAUGUACACUUAGAACACUGUGGUGGAAAUUGCUACAAAGUAGCAAUUAGGCUUAACAAGCUCCAGGGUGGUCUCGGUUCAUGCAGCUGUUCGGUUCCUGAACCAUAUGGUCCAAAUACACAAACAGAGACUUUUUCAGUGUAUAUUACAGGGCCCAUAGUCUGUGGGCAGGAGGCUGGUAAGCAGACUCCUCCAGGAACUUGUGGCAAACUCGCUUGGAAAGGGGAAUUUGUCACACCUUAAUUGUUUAAUUCACUUAUAAUUCUCAACAUAUCACACCCUGUUAUAGACCUGUGUGCUUAACUUCUGUGGCUGGGGAAGUAUUAGAAGAGUCAUUAAGGAAUUAGUUUUAGGAAUUCAUUGGGAAGAACAUUGUUAAUAGCAAUAAUCAGCAUGAUUUUAUGAAACCUAAGUGUCACAUAAACCUAAUUGCAUUCUACAAAUUAAGUAGAAGUAUAAAUCAGGGUGCUGCAGUGGAUGUGAUCUACUUCGAUUUUGCCAAAGUGUUGAUACUAUUCCUCACAAUAGUUUAAUGUUCAGACUAAAGCAAAUUGUUAUAGAUUAAAAUUAUUGUUAUUGGGUAGAACAUUGGCUUAAAGACAGAGUACAAAAAGGUGCCAUUUAUGAUAAAUGUUGAAGCUGGGCAAAAGUGGUAAGUAGUGUUCAUCAGGGAUUUGUUCUGGGACCACUCCUAUAUUUAUAAAUAUAAAGGUUUCAGUAUUUGCAGUUGACACAAAUCUCUGUAAAGCAAUACAAUGUGAGCAGGCUAUUGCUUUGUUGCAGAGGGAUUUAAAUAGAUUGGGGGACAGGGCUCUCAAAUGGCAGAUUAAUUAUAAUGUCGAAAAUGCAAAGUUAUGCACUUUUGUGUAAAGAAUGCAGAAACAACUUACACCUUAAAUGGUAGUAAAUCAGAUAUAACAAUACUCAAGAUGGAUUUGGGAAUUGUUAUAGACAAAAAGCUAGUCAACAAUGUGCAAUGACAAUCGCCAGUUGCUAAGGUCAAUAAGAUGUUGUCAUAAAUAAGGGCAUUAGUUCUUGGAAUUCUUGGGAUGAAAAUAUAAUUUGUUGAUUUUUAAAAAUCUCAGGGAAGACAACACCUUGAAUAUGUUGUGCAAUUUUGGGCAUAUGUUCUAAAGAUGGUUAUUAUAACACUAGACAAAACGCAGAGGGGGGCAUUUUAUCUAUGAAGAAAGGUUACCAAAUUUAUAUCUCUUUAGUUUGGAAAAACUGUGCCUUGAAUAUAUAAUGGCAUUAUAGAAAUAUAUUAGGGGCAAAUACAAACUUUUGUCUGGAAAUCUAUUCAUAAACAAUAUUAUAGAUAGGACAUAAAAUCAUGCAUUUAGCUUGGAAGAAAUUGGAUUUUGUGUAAGGCAAAAGAAAAGGUAAAAUAAGAACAAUAAGGAUGCAGAAUUAUUUGCCUGAUGAGGUGGCUUUGGCAGGGUCUAUACAGAUGUUUAAACAAAAAUUGGAUAAACACUUGCAAAAACAUAAUAUUCAGGGAUGUAAUUUGUAAUUAGUGGAGUAAUAGCUUCCUGAUCCAGUUAAAUUUCUGAUUUCAAUUCUAGGGUCAAGAAGGUUUUUUCCUAAUUUGUUGCAAAAUAAAAAGCUGUUUAAACCAGAUGUUAGAAAAGCUUAACUCGAUGGACACAUCUCUAUUCUGCUAUAUAACUAGAAUAUAACCCUGUCUGUAUUAUUCACAAAAUGCAUUAUUGUUUUGGUUACUAUACCAGUUGUAAUGUAACAUACUUCACUGAAAUAAAAUAUCUGCUUUCAAUACUCUUUUUAAAUGUCUUUUUAUAUACAACUAGCAAUCUCUACCUUACAUUGAUUUGGAUUUAAAUAUUUAAUCAGAAUAGGAACAGAUACAAUAAAAGAGUUUAAUGCACUGCACUUUGUUGACUUCUAUUAUGCUUAUAUUGCAAUUGAAAAUAAUUUAAUGUAACCAUUUUUAUUUCAGCUCUUUCAUAGCAUCAUUUCUAGUUACAGUUAUCUUUGGUCUUUAUUUUGUUUAGCAUAGGAUUUGCCUACAAAGAUAAAUACUGAAUCACCAAAGCUCCUGCACUACAUAAUACCCACUCUGCUCUCAUAUACCAGCCACAAUUAUUUGUAUCAGAUAAUUGUCAAGGAUGUCUAUUUUCCAAUCUAGGCUACAUAUGUUGUGUGUUUAUGUCAAGUGCAUUCAUUGUCUUAGAAACAAAACAAACUAAAACUAAAUGUGAUUUUGCAAUAAAUUACAGUUGAGUUUUGUUUAAAAUAGAAGUGAAAUGUAUUUGAAAUUGCUAAAGAAUGUAAAUAUAUGAAAUAUGCACAUUUACAGUUAUAGGUUUUAUGAGAUAUAUGAUAUAUACUAACAAUCAGGAUAACAAUAAAAUAAAAUGAUUGGAUUCCAUCACACAUUUAUAUCCUAGUCCAUAAUCAGAAUUGCAAUUACAGUAACUAUAACUACAGUAACUAUUAUACUAUUAUAAAAUAAUAGUAUGCAGAAUAGUAUCAGCAUAUUCAUUUAAGACAUCAGCUGGAAUCUCAGUCUUACUUUAUACUAGCAUGCACAAAACUAAAAAAAGCUAAUAAAUAUAUUUAAAUAUAAUAAUCAUAUUACCUCAAAUGUUAUAUGACUAUGUCCUGAUAAAGUCCUGAUGCCCCUUGUUAUUUAGCCCCUCCAUGUGUCACAAAAUAAAUUAAAAUAAAAAUUAAAAAUAUUGAUCACCUUUUCUCCAGUGAUGAGUCUUCCUCAGCACUGCCACAAUCUCUUCCUCAGGUUACAUCAUCCUGGAUAAUAAGGAGAGGAGAAUUGGGGAACAUAGGUGCAUGCGCAGUGCUCAUGCUACGAUUCCUCCAUAGAGCAUCAUUGUCCUCAAUGAUUAUCUACAGGCUGUUGUGACAGGCUGUCAAGAGAAGAUCACCAAUUGCACUUUCCUGCUCUCUCAAAUUGUCUUUGUUGUUGGCUCUUGUAGAGAGAAGUACCCAAGAGACAUCCUUUCACACCACACCUCACUGUCAGUCUUACAUUGGAUUUCUGUAUCUGAGUCAAUUCAAAGUACUCAUCCAUACCUAUAAAGCAUUGAACAAUUCUAGCACCUCUUAUAUAUCUUCUCUGAUCUAUAGGUAUGCCGCUUCUCGUUCUCUCCGCUCUGUCCAUCACCUUCUCCUGUCCACUGCUCACACCCGUACGGUCAACUCACGCUUGCAGGACUUUUGGAGCUCCCUUUAUUUGGAGUAGCCUGCCUAACACCAUCAGACUCUCCCCUAGUCUUUAGUCAUUUAAGAAGUGCCUUAAAACCCAUCUCUUAAAGAAAGCUUAUGGCCUCCCAGAGCAAGCUUUACUCCCCAACUUAUUCCUUGCUCUCUCCUAAAGGGCAGCAAUGUACUCUCUCCUCCAGCUCUGCUUCACUCCCAAAUUGUUUGACUGCUAUUCUUCUGUCCUAUUGUGUUUUAUACCCCAACUCCUCUAGACUGUAGACUUCAACCUAUUGUUCCUGUAAGUUUUUUGUAAUUGUCUCAUUUAUUGUUUAAAUUUCCCCCACAUAAUAUUGUAAAGCACUACAGAAUAAUAAAUAAAAAAAAGUAGAUCUCAAAAUCAAGAGUUGCUUUAAUUAGGAUACUAUGCACCAUGAAAAUUCAAUUUGUGCUUAACACAUUGAGCUGUUGAAUUCCCCUUUUCACACUAACAUCAGCCAGACAGUUGAGAUCAAAGUGAGAAAUAAGAUAGUUAGAUGAGAUGAGAAGAAAUAGCCUCAUUUUUUGGGGGUGGGGGGGCAAGAUUCACAGAGAGUCUUUUUUUAAGGGCAAUAUAAACCAUCAGUACUUAAAAGCGUGAACUUAUUAAACCCAUAAUAAUAGCACACUCAGUCAUUCACUAAACAGCAAUUUCAAAGCUUGCAGAAGGGAGUAAUAGUUUUGUUUUGUUUUUUUUCUUAACCCCUUAAGGACACAUGACAUGUGUGACAUGUCAUGAUUCCCUUUUAUUCCAGAAGCUUGGUCCUUAAGGGAUUAAACACCUAACAUAGGCAAACAUAAUGAUAUUUUAUUUACUGUAUGUGAUCAUACUUUUCAUUUUUUUUUAUGUUUACACCAAAGCAUUUGGAUCUUAAGAAAUUAACAAUAAUAGUAAAUUAGAGUUAACGAUGCGGCUGUUGUGACAGUAUAUCUAAAGAUAACAGCAAUAUUGCUACUCCUUAAUUCAUAUAGUUUUAAUAAGUUCUAUUAACAUGUUUAUAGAUAUAUUAUUAUCAAAAUAGGGUUCGAUGUCAAGGGGCCUCUCUGGAGAUCAAUGUGUUAAUGUAUAUUGCCAGUUGCAUUUGAAACAUAAAUUUAAAAAUCACUCUAUGGUAUAUUAGCGAACAUUUGAGAGAUCAUAAACAUUGUUACAACCUGCAAAUGCCAGUUCUGGACAGUCUUGUGAACCACACUGACGUCAGUUUUGGGAAUACUAGAGGGCAUAACAGUUGAUCUGUUUGAUGUGAUUAUUGGACUAUUUCAUUAUGAUUAGCCUAGAGCACUGUGUGGAAUCAAGAUAUAUCUAUCUAUCUAUCUAUACACACAGACACAGACACACACACACGCACUUUGACUACAUCCUACAGCUUAGUACAUAUGAUACAUAUCAAAAUCUGAAUGCCAGAUUUGUAAAUGUACACGUAUGGCCCAUAUUUUUAACAGCAUACAUUAACAUCAUUAGAUUUAAAUCUCACAUGUAAAACCAUGCUUGCCAGUCAUGUAAAUUCAUUAGAAAGUCACAGUUGGUUUUGUUGCAAUAGGGCAAUGUAUACUGAUUUAAUUUUGUCUGGAAGUACAGCCAAUAUUGUGUCAAUUGUAUACUUGAUAAGCCAUCAGCAGGGGAUUUUUAGAGCUAUAUAUUGAUAAUAAGCUUGACAAAAUAUCCCUUGUUCAUUUUUAACACCACAACAUAUAAAGAAAACCUUUCUUAAGAAUUUAAAUCUUUUGUUUUAUUAUGCCUUCACAAGACAACUUAAGUAAUGUUUUUAGCACGUUGUAAAACCAUGCUGAGACAUCCUCUGGCAUUGCACGUUUAUUACAUGCUAAAUAAUCUAAUUGUUAUAGUAAAUGGUGGAAAUAAGCCUUUUAAUCAGUGACUUGAAACUCAUAACAUAAUCUACAAUAUAAAAUGAUACCAAACUGACUAGAGGUACCUUGACUUAUUUCAUUUAAUAAAGAAAACAUUUCUAUGUUUUGAUUUGGUACUUUAUAAGUAUGAACACAUGUGCAUGAGGGAUUUUUCCUAUAAAAGGUUUUUAUCUUAAAGAUUUUUUUAUGAAAAAUGGGCCGAGGCAGUCACCAUCAUUCCCUCCCUUGCAUUUUCCGGAGUGAUACAAAUGAAUGGGUGAAAAUAGCAUUAUUAAUGCUGUAUCUGUGAUCCAAGCUUCCCUGCCAGGAAUUAGAUUAGGAAGCAUAAGGAAAAAUAAUCUGCCUAAUCCACACCCAUCAAUAUCAACUUUAGAAAACAUGUUAUCCUUUUUAUUACCUAUAGAGCUUUGCCCUCACUCUCCAUAACAGUGAGUGAGAGGAAUUUAAAAACAGUAUCAUUUAUAACUUCUAUUUCUGUCACUCACUAUGAGUCACGGAGACACUUGAGGGAGAGUAUGGGCAUACUAGUUCCAGUGUCACAUUUUUCUCCAUAAAAAGUCAACCCUUAAUCAUUAUAUUUUAAAGUGAUUAAGGGAUACCUACAUAUAAUUUUGUAAAGGCUAUGAUUUUGGUAAAGAUAGUUAGUACCAGAUGAACUGGGCAUCCUAAUUCCAGGAACCUAGAGAUUUUGACUAGCUUUUAAAAAGUUUUCUAUCAUUAUAUCUAUUAAAUCUUGUUCCAAAAGAUCCAUAUUAUUUAGAUGUGAGAAAAUAGAAACACUACUCAGUGGCUUAACCAAUGUAAAAUAGGGCCUGGUGAAAAAAUUGCUUUGGGUACCCUUCUAGCUCAAGGGUGGCCAAAAUAUAGAUGUCCAUAUGUCUUACAACUUCCAUGAUGCUAUGCCAGAUGUGAAUUUACCAUUUGCCUAUCCUUGCAGGGUUGUAUUUGUGAGCAGCAUUUGUGCUUUUAAAUAUAAGCAUGUUUUUGUAUGGAGUAUGUGUGUGUAUUUGUUUAUAACAUUGCCAUUGGAAUGCAGAGGGUUACUUCAAUGUAAUCGUUGCCUUUGAAUGCAGGGUUUUUUUUGUAUCUAGUGUUUACUUUUAAAUGCAGGAGUACUUUUGUGUGUAGUAUUAGUGUUUGCAUUAAGGUUGUGAUGGACUGCCUGGCAAGCUUCCAAGUACUUGCGAGCACCAUAAGCACUGCACUGGAACACCAUAACCACCAUAAACCCCACAAACCACUGCAGCCUUGUUGGGGUGUCGCUGUCCUCCACCCACCCUGGACCCAACACCAGGAUCCAGCUUUAAGUGGGUAGACCUCUCCUAGUCCAGAGAGCGAAGCAGGCUGCUCUUUUAAGAGCAACUGUUGUAUAUAUAGUGAUAAUACAAUCCCUAGAGUGUGAAUAUAGCUCUCCAAUCCCCCAAACAUGAGCCUAGACUUCAUGAAAGGUAAAACAAAUCUCAGUUUAAUGGUAUCCACAACUGGCCUUUUAUGACAGUCCCCAUGCAAGUGGCACUCCCCCCUGGGCCUGAGAAUAAACCACAGUAGAAAUAAAUACACAAUCACAUUGUCUCUCAGGUCCACGACACUCCCAUACAAAAUCAGAUAACCCCUCCUCUAUGCCUGGGAGAUAAUUGCAUCAGGAACUGUACUAAUCUAAUCCAAUUAUCUUCAAUUAAAAAAAAAAAUUACAUUUUUACAAACCCCCCAAAACACCUUAAAACACACAAACCCCUCACAAAGUUACAUCCCCUGAUAGCCCUGAUCUGGGUGACCAACAUAUCCACAAAUCACCCAAAUCAGUUCAGGAAUUUCCUGGAAGUCUUAUUUUUGACCGACAGUGCACAUGGUCCUAUGCCCAAAACAGUUCCAGGGAAUCAGGGGUAAUGGUCGGCCUCUCUGUCUGGAGUACAAAAGUACAUAACUCACAUGAACAGAGCCUUUUAAAGUGCAUUGGGCAAGGUAAAUUGCAGGGCCCAUAGUCCUUAGGCAAGAGACUAGCCAGCAGGCCCCUCCAAGAACCUGUGACAAGGUUUAGUUCAUCACAAGAUGUGUGUAUAUAACUUUGAAAUUUUAACACAGGGGAGUGUUUGUAAUACUUGCAUUGAUUGGAAGGGUGUGUUUGUAUGUAAUUUUUAAAGGAGGGUGUACAUAUGUGUGUAGUAUUGGAGUUUGAAUGAAAGGGUAUAUGUAUAUAUAACUUUGGCAUUUAACUGCAGUAGUGUUUUUGCAUGUGUUUGCAUUUGAUUGCAAGGGUGUGUUUGCAUGUAGUGUUCGCAUUUGAAUGUCUGCACAUAUGCAUCUAUACUUACACUGAUAUACAUACACAUUGACACACACAAACAGAUACACAUUGACACACACAUAGAUACACACACUGACAGGCCCGCUGGGCCUGACCUUGUUCAGAAGUGCUGCACCAGCAAUUGUUCUCCUUCUGAAACUACUCUAGACUGGUAGUACAAGAAAAGCAACCUCUCCCCACCUGUUUAGUGUUUAGACUGUAGUGAGGCUAUUCAUUAAGUCCCCUGUAAAGUAAAACUCUGCCAUAUGACACGGAAGGCCAUCAUUGAAUUGAAUGCUUUCCUGUAAGGAAACGUGGAUUCAUCUAUGAUGAGCAUUGAUGAGCAUUGGAUUGGUCAUGGGUUUAAGAAUCUAAUGAUGUAGCAGGAGACACAGUGGCGGGCAGUGUCAAGGGAGCUUUACAAGAGAAGUAACGGUAAAAAAACCCAACCUUUUUUCAGGUUUUUUUUAAUAAACCAAGGAAGAGAACCGUAACAAACUGCAAAUAGGGCACUAUAGCAUUAGGAAUGUAGGUUUGUAUUCUAUCCCUUUAACCGGUUCUUAAGUGAUUCUGGGUAAACCUGCUUGGUUUAUUUUAAAUGCACUAAAUACAUAUGGGUUGACUUUAUGACAGGAUGGUUGUAUAAUUUCUAUUUAAAAUUGGUUCCCGUUGGUUAUUUAUUUACACUAGCAUCAAUGCUGUUGGUUAAGAAUACACUUUGCAUUUGUAAAAGUGACAGUGUUAAACAGCAAGGUAUUUCAACCUAAGUGGAUGUAAAAUAGAUAUUUAGAUUUUCUUUGGUGCGCUAAUUAGACAGUAUUCCAUUAAUUUUUCAGGAAAUUAUUAAAGGAUAGUUAGAGUAUUGCACAAGCACAAAGUCAGCAAUAUUAUUUGGUGAUUAAUAGUGAUGUCCCGAACGCUUCGCCAAACGGUUCGCGAACGGUUUGCCGCGGACUCAUCAUUGAGUAAACUUUGACCCUGUACCUCACAGUCAGCAGACACAUUCCAGCCAAUCAGCAACAGACCCUCCCUCCCACACCCUCCCACCUCCUGGACAGCUCACUAAGAAUGCAGCUUCAAAAUGGAUGCUGUCCAGGAGGUGGGAGGGUCUGGGAGGGAGGGUCUGCUGCUGAUUGGCUGGAAUGUGUCUGCUGACUGUGAGGUACAGGGUCAAAGUUUACUCAAUGAUGAGUCCGCAGCGAACCCGUUCGGUGAACCGUUCGGGACAUCACUAGUGAUUAAUGUAACAUUUUCUGGAUUUAGUUUUUUCAAGUUACCUUUAUUAUGCACCAAUGCAUUUCUGUGUGAAGAAUACAAAAAAUUAACCUUUAAUUAAUCAUCCAUUGUUUUAUGCUGCAUUGCAGUCAAUUGCCCCUUGCAUGCAUUUAAAAUAUUGUUAGAACAGAUAGUUUUGAUGUUAAGCCUCAUUUGAGUAAUGCUGAUAUGACAUUGUGUUAAAAAGAGUUACGUGUGAAUCACAAUGCGGAUUCAAAUGACACUACUAGAAGAUUAAGAAUAUUUAGGUAUAUGGUUGGAAUGUAUUUAAAGAUUGCUAGAACUGUGAGUGGCAGGUUAAGGGGUGCAAAAAUAUAGGGUUACUCCAUGGGGUACACUGCUGAUCCCCACAUCAUUAGAGCACUUGGUCUAAUAAUAGCUUUUUUGUCAUCAAGAAAGGAAUUAUAGUGGUACCAUUUUAUGGUGGUCACAUUAUAGACAUACGUUAAAUAUGUUAUUAAACCUUUGGUUUUCCAAUAGACAAUAUUUAAGUAGAUUAAAAAAUGAAAUGUAAAGAAGAGUCUACAAAAAGCCAAUGACAACAAAACAUUUUUACAAGACAAAUAAAGCUCUUCUAUAUUUUAAAUUAUUAUUUUUUAGCAGCAAAUAACAUUGUAUUACUAUUAUUAUUACUUGUUUGUCAGUGGACUCUCAACGUUACCAAUGCUUGGAACACAAGUCAAUGAAAGGGUUGAGAUUCUCAAAUCUUAGUCCAGACUCAAUGGUCACUCAUCUUUAACUUUUGGAUUAUAAUCAAAAUACAUAUUUUAUAAAGAUGGGAAAGAAUUAUUUUUUUAUAUGCAGAUGUAAGUGAAUUUCUAUAUAUUCACUAUAUAAAAUGUAUUUACAAGCAGACACCAGCAAAGCAGGAUGUAUUAAAUGUAUGAGUAUUUACCAUAACUUGAUAGUCUGAAUCAACAUAGCAAAUGUAUCUAAUUAAAUAACUUUGGGAAACUUUUGCAUAUAUCAUAUUUUUAUUCUAUUUAGCAAAUGUAAUUAUUUAGCAAUAAAAAUAAAUGCAAUUGAUAACUAUUUUUUUCUAAAAUAAAAUAGGGAUUAAUUGUGUGAAACAGAUCUUGAUGAGUCAAUGGCGUACAGCCCCCUCCAUGGCUGGAUUAUGAGACCAUUGGGCCUGGUGCUGACAAAUAUAAUGGGUCAUAUUACAGAAUCUUUUUAAUAGAAAGCACAAUAACAGCCUUACCUGUCCGGUGGAGGUGGUACUGGGGGGGACAAUUGCAGGAUUCUUUAAGAAUUCACAUAACAUAUGUCAAUCUCUCUCUUCCAUCUUCCCACCAAGACUAUUGUCUAUUUUACAAGCCCUGUGGCUCAAGACUUCUCUUUCUCACUAUUUAUAAACUUUGAAUUCUCCCUGUUCAGGGCUUUUGCCUUUCCUCUUCCUUCCUUCUUGCAAACUUGAAGCUUAAUACUAGGUGUACAGAAAAGGACAGAGUGCAGUGACUGUAUCAGAAAAGAGAAUGUUUCACACUGCCACAUGAUGGCAGAAGGAUGUCGGGUUGUUAGAGAGAUAGAGGCAGCAGGAGCAGUUAUUUAAAUCAACUUUAUGUUAACUACUUUAUAGCCAGCCAGUCCACACAAGUUCUACGUCCCUUCUCCAUACAUGCUUACAUACAUACAUACAUACAUCAUAGAUAAAGAGCAUACGAGGAGUAGUGAAACAAAUAAAUAUAAUAAAUAUAAAUAUUUGUAUAAUGUAUAUAUAUAUAUAUAUAUAUAUAUAUAUAUAUAUAUAGAGAGAGAGAGAGAGAGAGAGAGAGAGAGAGAGAGAGAGAGAGAGAGAGAGAUAGAUAGAUAGAUAGUGUUGACUGGAUUAGCCAUAUUAGUCCAGUAGACAAGAUGCCAAAAUACCAGAGUAUUGCAGUAUGCAAUGAUACCUGUUUUAUUGGACUAACAUAAUAACAGUAUACCUCAGUAUUGCUUCAGACCUGAGGAAGAGAGGAAAAAUCUUGAAAGCUUGUCUUUGAAAUAUAUGUUAGUCCAAUAAAAAAGGUAUCAUUGCAUACUGCAAAACUCUGGUAUUUUGGUAUAUAUAUAUAUAUAUAUAUAUAUAUAUAUAUACUGGCCAUAUCAUUAAAACCACUUGUGGCGAAAGUACCAUCAGUACCAUUCCUGAGCCCGUGAACUGAUCUGGGUGAUUUUUGGAUAUGUUGGUAACCCAGAUCAGGGCUAUCAGGGGAUGUGACAUUUGUGGAGAUAUUAUGUGUUUUGGGGAACUUUUGGGACUUUAUAGAAAUGUGUGUUUUUUUCUGCCUGGAGAUAGUUGGGUUAAUUCAGUAUCUAACUCAAUUAUCUCCCAGGCAGGCAGAUUGUAUGCUAUGUGUGGGAGUGUCGUGCAUUGGAAUACUGUUCUUAUUGGUCUGUGAAUAUUAUCACUCAGUUCCGCACAAGGUCCAUGUGAGUGUACCCUUUGCAUGUGGAUUGUCAUAUAAGGUCAAGUGUGGUACCAUUAAAAUCAGUUCCUCUUCACCCUCAACACACAGCCUUGUCUCGUGAUUGUAGGGAACAGCUAUACUACUAUAACCACUAGCUCUUAUAAGAGCUUCACAGCUGUACUCUCUUGGAGGAGAGGCCUUCCCACUGAGAGCUGGAUCCAGGAGCUGGUCCAGGGUGGGAAGGGACGACGAGACCCCAGCCAAGCUGUGGCGGAAAUGGGGGCUACAGUGCUGAUGGUGUCCAGUGCGGUGCUUAUGGUCCUCAGCAUCAGCUAGGAAGCAUUGAUUGGCGGAGGCACCCAGUCGGGGUGCCAGGCGGUUCAUCACACCUCUGACAGGCGAAGUGAACAUUGAUGAUAUUAUUACAAUGGCAUCUGUCAAGAAGCAAGCGAAUAGUCAGUUCUUGAAUUUCAUAUGUUGGAUGUAGGAGAAAAUUGGAAAGUAAAAAGAUCUGAGUCACUUUAACAAGGGCCAAAUAGUGAUGGUUAGACAACAGGGUCAGAGCAUCUACAAACUGGCAAGUGGGGUAUUCCCAGUAUACAGUGGUUAGUACCUAACAAAAGUGGAGCAACAAAAAAAAACCAUCAGGGUCAUGGGUACCCAAGGCUCAUUGAGGCAAAUGAGGAGCAAAGGCUAGCCCAUAUGGUUUAAUCACACACAGGGCUACUGUAGGCCAAAUUGAAAUCUUAAUGGUGGCCAUGACUGAAAGGUGUCAGAAUGCACAGUGCAUCAAUGUUUGCUGCGUAUGGGGCUGUGUAGCCUCAGACUACUUACAGUGCCCACGAUGACCCCUGUUUACCACCAAAUGUAAUUUAAAUAGGGUAUGAGCAUCAGAACUGGAUGACAGAGCAAUGGAAGAAGGUUGCUUGGACUGAUAAUCACGUUUCCUUUUAGAUCAGGUAAAUGGCCAGGUAUAUGUGCAUCAUUUAACUGUGGAAGAGAUAACAGCAGGAUGCACUAUUGGAAGAAGGCAGGGCAACAGAGGAUGUGUUAUGCUCUGGGCAAUGUUCUGUUGGGAAAUAUUUGGUCCUGGCAUUCAUGUGUAUGAUGCUUUGAUAUGUACCACAUACCUAGAGAAUGCUCAACACCACACGCACACCUUCAUGGCAAUGGUGUUCCCUGAUGGAAGUAGCCUCCUUAAGCAGAAUAAUGCACCCUGCUACACUCAAAUAUUGUUCAGGGAUGUCUUGAGGAACAUGACAAAGAGUUCAAGGUGUUGCUUUGGCCUCCAAAUCCCCCAGAUAUCAAUUUGAUUGACGAUCUGUGGGAUGUGCUGGAACAACAAACCAAAUCCAUUGAGGCCCCACCUCGCAAUUUUUAGAACCUGCUGCCAAUGUCUUGGUGCCAGAUACUACAGGACAUGUUCAGAGGUCUUGUGGAGUCUAUGCUUCAAUGCAAGAACAGUUUUAGCAACAUGAGGGGGAACUAUAUGAUAUUAGGCAGGUGGUUUUGAUGUUGUUUCUAAUGAUUAUAUAUAUUUAUGUGUAUAUUUAGAUAUACAGUGAGGAAAAAAAAGUAUGUUUUCCCCUGCUGAUUUUGAAUGUUUACCCACUGACAAAGAAAUCGGUCUAUUAUUUUAAUGGUAAGUGUAGGUGUAGUUUAAUAGUGAAAGAUAGAAUAACAAAAGAAAAUCCAGAAAUAUGUCAAAAAAGUUAUAAUAUGAUUUGCAUGUCAAUGAGUGAAAUAAGUAUUUGACCCCUUCAACUUAGUACUUGGUGGCAAAACCCUUGCUGGCAAUCACAGAGGUAAAAAAUUUCUUGUAGUUGGCCACCAGGUUUGCACAGAUCUCAGGAGGGAUUUGUCCCACUCCUCUUUUCAGAUCCUCUCCAAGUCAUUCAUUUUCGAGGCUGACAUUUGGCAACUCAAACCUUCAGCUCCCUCCACAGAUUUUCUAUGACAUUAAGGUCUGGAGACUGGCUAGGCCACUCCAGGACAUUAAUCUGUUUCUUCUUGAACCACUCCUUUGUUGCCUUGGCUAUGUGUUUUGAGUCAUUGUCAUGCUGGAAUUCCCAUCCAUGACCAAUUUUCAAUGCCCUGGCUGAGGGAAGGAGGAUUUAACCCAAGAUUUGAUGGUAAAUGGCCUCCGUCCAUCAUCCCAUUGAUGCGGGGCAGUUGUCCUGUCCCCUUAGCAGAAAAACACCCCCAAAGCAUAAUGUUUCCACCUCCAUGUUUCACGGUGGGGAUGGUGUUCUUAGGGUCAUAUGCAGCAUUCCUCCUCCUCCAAACAUGGCGAGUUGAGUUGAUGCCAAAGAACUCGAUUUUGGUCAACACUUUCACCCAGUUCUCCUCUGAUGUUCAUUGGCAAACUUCAGACAGGCCUGUACAUGUGAUUUCUUGAGCAGAGGGACCUUGUGGGCGCUGCAGGAAUGAAAUCUUUCACGGCGUAUUGUGUUACCAAUUGUUUUCUUGGUGACUACAGUACCAGCUGCCUUGAGAUCAUUAACAAUAUCCUCCUGUGUAGUUCUGGGCUGAAUCCUCACUGUCCUCAUGAUCAUUGAAACUCCAUGAGGUGAGAUCUUGCAUGGAGAAUCAGACCGAGGGAGACUGACAGUUAUUUUGUGUUUCUUCCAUUUGCGAAUAAUUGCACCAACUGUUGUCACCUUCUUAUCAAGCUGCUUGAUGAUGGUCUUGAAGCCCAUUGCAGCCUUGUGUAGAUCUACAAUCUUGUCCCUGACAUCAUUGGACAGCUGUUUGGUCUUGGCCAUGGUGGAGAGUUUGGAAUCAAAUUGAUUGAUUGCUUCUGUGGACAGGUGUCUUUUAUACAGGUAACGAUCUGAGAUUAGGAGCACUCCCUUUAAGAGAGUGAUUGAUAGGGGAUCAAAUACUUAUUUCACUUAUUGACAUGCAAAUCAAUUUCUAACUUUUUUGACAUGCAUUUUUCUGGAUUUUCUUUUGUUAUUUUGUCUCUCACUGUUAAAAUACACCUACCAUUAAAAUUAUAGACUGAUCAUUUCUUUGUCAGUGGGCAAAUGUUCAAAACAGCAGGUGAUCAACUACUUUUUUCCCUCACUAUAUAUAUAUAUAUAUAUAUAUAGUGACAAAAGUACAAAUUUCCUUUGGUACCUUGUCUUAGAAUUAGGGUGUUACACAGUCUUUUCAGGCUUCAGAGACACUUCACAAGCUGGAUAAGGUAAAAUUACUUGCUCUUUUGGCUCCAAAAUUCAACAAUGUAUAUAUUUUUAUAUAUAUUGAUAAAAGUUCAUUAAAGGAAUGAAACAAUCUUUUUUGCACAUUGUCUGCUUCAAUAAAAGAAAGAGCAUAUAUAUUAAGAAGUCUUGUGAGUGCUCUCUCUCUUUAUAUAUAUAUAUAUAUACACACAUAAAUAUAUGAUGACAAUUUUGUGAACCGUGAUUAUGAUUAUGAGAUAGUAUAAUUUGUAAUAAAAACAAUCAGACUAUCUAUUAAACUAUGUGACUUCUGCCAUAUGUUGUAUAAUAUGUGUCUGAAAUAAUGACACAUUGAAUUUAAUUAGAAACAUUCAUAUGUGUGAAAAAAUAAAAUAUGACUAUUACAUUAUAUCAUAUUCACUUUGCCAACAUGUGACAUAUUUCAAUGCUUCUAGGAAAAUAGCAGUUUUUCUAUUACAAAUAAAAAUUGCGAAAGUAUGUUGGCAAACCAUUUUAUGGUCUCUUACUUGUUUUUUUCCAAAAAAGUUACAUUUUCAAGUAUUUGAAUAGUGUAGUAUAAAUCUGUUCUGUAAUCCUAUUGUUUUUACUUAAAAAUGUAAUAAUUUGCUUGCCAUCUUAACUGGUAUGCAACUGAAUCAUUGAGUAGUUUAAUGUAUAUAGUUUAAUGUAUAUCUUUUGUGUUAAAAAACAAUGCUUAUGGAGUAUAUGUUGUCUCUGUUGAUCUCACUAGAAAGAUAUUGGAUGAUUUCUUGAUACUUGCUAGUUAAUUAACAGUUGGAAAGGUUUAUUUUCUGAUGAGCAAUUUUUUUUUUUUUUGCUGUUUCAAUGAUUUUAGUAUAUCUUUGAUUGAUUACACAUUUUUUUUAUCAUUGCUUGUUACCUAACGGAAAAAAAACCGAGUAAAAUUGACCUUUUGGAAAAUAUAGUUUUGUGUUGUGCGAACGUGACUUCUAUGAAAAUUAAUAUGUUGUAUAUUAAAAUAAUUUUUUAUCUUUAUUUUUCUUUUGUAUGAGAGUGUGUGCUGGACACAUCAGCAGGCAAUACAUAGACCAUUUUCCUACAACUUACUGCAUCUAUUUUUUAUAUUGGAUGGUUGUAACUAGUGUGGUGUCAUUGUCGGUACAUGCACAUGCAAUCCACCUAAUGUGUAUUGUGUAUCCAUUUUUAUGUGCAGGACAUUUCUUAGUUGACACUAGACUUGCACGGGAGAUACAUUUGGUUAUGCCACCAUCUUUUCUGAAAAUGAAACCUCCACUACUUGUUCAGUUGACUGUUCGGCUUGUCUGAAUAUUGUUCAUGAAAAAUAUUCAUUAAAAUGAUUUAGACAAACAAAAGAGGGUGCAAAAAUGGGCAAAAUAGUGCACUGCAAAAUAUAAAAUAAAUGUUAUGUAUAUAUAUUUUGUGAAUUGCUCUGCUAUUUGGUUCACAGAUCAAGCCAGAAACAGGAACCAAUAGAGGGAAAAUGAAGAGGAGCAGUGAAUAAAUCUAUAUUUGGAUUUGUAUACAGUUCCUUAUUUCUUUCCCCCUUGAUCUGUGAAUAAAUUCAACAUUAAUCAGUCAUCUCUUUUUUUUAGUGCUAGAGACAGAACUCCGUACACCAAAUCAAAUGAACAUUUUUGGCCAUUGCACUAAUCAUUUUUUUAUACCUCUAUAUGGAGCUUUGGUGAUGCUGAAUUUGGACCAACAGUCAGUCAACCUAAAGUCAAACACAUUUCUAACUGACACUUUUUCAUACAUAUGUUGUAAUAAUGAAUUAUUUUGUAAUGUUAUUUGUUAAUGUUUGUGUACUGGAUCCCAAAUAUCCUUUGAAUUAUUAAUCUGAUUACUUAUAACUAGCUUUGCAAAUCCGCUGUUAUUUGUACAAUAGAACAGAAAUAUGAAACCACUGUAUAUCUCCGUUCUCACUUUUCAUGUUUGAAUCUUCUUAGCAAUUUUACUAAGCACAGAUCUGUAAGCUCAUCAAAACAAUGAACCUCUGAGUACUAAAGGGUUUUAAUAUCCAGACUGCAAACAAAUGCAUUUUGCUUUGUUUUCCAUCAACAGUUCCAGGAGUGUUUUUAUGUACUGCAUCACAGAAAGUACUGACAUUGGUUUUUCAAAAGAGAUUAAGAAUAAUCUUCCUAUCACAGCUUCUUUGCAGUGACCACCUGCUAUAUGCCUUUGAAAUGGGCAUUCUGUCAUCACAAUUUACUCUGUUUAUAUAGAGUUCAUGAACACUUUAAUCCUUUCCCUUAUCACUUGAUACAACCAGAGCAAUGCUGGAUAUGUGGUCUAACAAACAGUUCAUUUUACAUUUACAAACAAAUGUUAUUGUGACAAAUGCAGAAAAAAACCCAUCAAAUAUCUAGAUAUGAAAUUCACAGCGAAUGAUUUUGCAUUUAAAGGAUACCUGUUACCUCAAAACUGAUUUUUAAUAUAAUAAUCCUUUCAUCAAACUUUGAAAGGAAAUAUAUUUUUUUCUAAUAUAAUAAUCCUCUCUUCAAGUUUUGAAAGAAAAUCGUUUUUUUUUUUUUUAAAUGAAGUACAUGUGAAACAAAUGAGAAAAGCUCAUCCCUACCUUUAGUAUAUGACAGGAUCUUGGGUCAGACAGUGUUUAAAAACUUUUAGGUAGUCUCUAUGGUCUUCCCUAGUUCACCCUCUGCACAGAAGCAUUAAAGACUAUAUAGACUAAUUGUUGGUUUUGAAAAGCUGGCUGACCAAAGGUGCAUGUAUUUGGUUAAAGGAUCCCGUCGUUUACUAAAGGUAGGAAUUAGUUUUUCUAUUUUUUAUUUAGAUAGACAUCAUUUAAAAAUAAAUCAAUUUCCUUUUUAAAACUUUAUGAGAGGAUUAUUACAUUAGAAAAACGAAAUAUUUGAAAUGAUUGUUGUCCUUUAUGCAUAACUGUUGAUUCACAAGGCCCUUUUAAACAGUUUGUGUAUUAUUUAAAAAUUUAGGAAAAGUUGCAAAAUGUAUAAAAAAAAAAGUGUCCAAAGUGUCUUGUCUUAAAGGAACACUCCAACGUUAAAACCAAUAUUCAUUGUUAACAUUUGGAGUGUUCCUUUAAUGCUCUAAAUGGUAAGUCCCACCCCAUACUUAAAAUAAAAAUAAAGAUGUCUUCACCUUUUCUCCAUUAUCAAGUCAUCUCCACCCCAGGGAAACUAUCAUAAGUGCUUUUCUGUUUGGAGAAAAUUAGUGCACGCACAGUGAUUGCCACAAAUGCAUCAACCAAAUGCUUCAAUCACCAAAUAGAUUUUUAUCUAUGAAAGCUAUUUCCACCCAAUCAUUCAAAGCUUUCCUAACUUUUAACUUUGGCAUUCCCAAAUUUGUCCAAAUCAAUUCAACACUAGGAAUGUAUGUACUGGUUUUGCCAGAGAUUAUGUGCCUUAUUGACAAUGAAUAAAAGUAACUCUUCUCUAAGUACCACAACCACAAGAAAUGUCAAAAAUCAAAAGGCUUUAUGAUCAGCAUUAUCAUGCACAGCAGAGAGAUCAGGCUGCUGGGAGUGAAAAAACUUGACUCUGGAUUGCGGGUUUUGUGUUGUUUUGUUUAAAUUUAAUAAAAAUAGGCCCUGAAUCUAACUUAAAAAAACCACACUCUAAGGGUAAAAACAGGUAUAUCUAUAUUUUUACUUUAGAGUGUUGCUUUCAGAGCCACAUUGAGAUUGUUCAGUGCCCUAAGCAGGAAUCAGAUUGGGGCUCCUUCUAGAGUUCUGGGCUUUGUUUUUGGAUGUGUGUGGUGGCUUGGUGUUGUAAGUGUGGGGGGGAUUAAGAGCGGAAUGUGUGGUGAGACUGAGUGUGGUGUACAUUGGCUAAAUUUUGUGUGUGGAGCAGUCUGACUGUUUUGUGUGUAGGGGAGUCUGAAUGUACCUGAGUAUUUUGUGUGGAAUGUCUCAGAGUGUGUGGAGAGGUUUUUAGUUCUCCACUUCUGGUUUAUCUUCGGCAGGAGGGGGGUGUUAUACAUGUGUUCAGUAGUGGCAUGUAGGUGAGCAGAGUGCCUCUGGUGGGGAAGCAUGUAGUAUGCACUAAUAAUAUCACUUCCUCUUGGUCUGGCUUUAAAUCACUGAUUCUCAAUACUGGUUGCUGAGUCCUUGAUAAGUACCAAGGGACCAGAAUAACCUCUGUCAGACCAUUAUUUUUGCACAAUGUCACUAACCAUGCAAUACAUAUGUUUGCUUCGAAUCUCCAUUUUAUUAUGUUACGUCUUUUUACAUGCAUCCACAUGCAAGUUACAUCUUGAAAAAAUGUUUGAUUGAUAUGCCACGCCAUUAGUCGCUGCAUAUAUUAUCAUGCUUUAAUAAGGUAUUCUUAAAAUCAUUAACUUUGGCUUGAAAAGGCAUAUGUGUGUGUGUGCUUGUGUAUAUUUGUGUGUGUGAUUAUAUUUUAUUUUAUCAUAAUUCAUUUUUGAUAAGGACAACGUAUGAGAUUUUGUAUAAGCGUAGACUAUAGCACUUAAGGACAAAGUUUGAUAAAAAAAAUUUUUUAAAUGUCUACCAUGACAUCACUUUUUCAGGUGAGCCUUAAGGUUAGUUAAUGAUGCCAAACAAUUCAUACCCUAAUGCAUUUUAAUCAGCAUUAGCUAAUUAUUAAAAGCAUCAAUUGUCUCGCUACAUGGCAAACUAAUCUGCCAGAUAGAUGGAGGCAAUAACAACUGCACACUAAGCCAUGGAAAUCCUUAUUCCAAGAGAGCAACAGCCAAAAAAUAGGAUUUAAUGCAAAUUGGCUUCCACAUUUAACAGAAAUUUGUACUACACGAGUUAAGACUAUUUAAACACAAUUAUGUAAAUUGCAUGUGCUUUCUUUUAUGUUUGGCAUGAAUAGCAGGUGUAAUAUACUCCUUGCUCAUAUUACAUUCUAUCUAAUCUGGUCAAUGGAUUUUCUUUUCAACUUAAAUGUGUAAUAACACAAUUUAUAUCAACAUACUGCAUAUUAACACACCCAACAAACAACAUGUGUCUAUGGAGGCUACUUAAGGUCGUUCUCCUAGAUGAACUCUUUAUUGUAAAGAAUUAACAUCUUUAAUGACAAAUACAGUCAUUAAAACACACACACACAUACACACAUAUAUAUAUAUAUAAUGAAACAUGUAAUUAAAUAGAAUUAAACAAAUCUUGAAAAAUACUUUAAAUGUCAAAACGUCAGUCCAUUUGAUGUAACACUGAUUUUUGUAGCGGCAAUGGCAAAACCUGUGAGUGCUUUAAUAUAUAUAUAUAUAUAUAUAUAUAUAUAUAUAUAUAUAUAUAUAUAUAUAUAUAUAUGUAUAAAAGAGAAGUAUUUGUAUACUUAUACUAACAAAACAUAAAUACUUCUCUUUUAAUUGUCAAUGUUUGUUUUUUUUAUGUACAGGAUUAAUUAGCUUUUCAGGGAGUACAGGAAAUAAUUACAAUAUAUGUAUUGUAACAUAUGAAUAUGUUAACCUGCAAUGAAAUGUAAAUCUUUAAUUAGUGUGUAAUGUGCUACUAUGCAAAUGAUGAAAUGACCUAACUCUCUAUUGAAGCCUGUGAAGGAGAAAGGGAUUAUCUUCACAUUUGAUAAUAUUACAAGUAUUGAUGAACCAACAGAGCAAGCUCCACUCUUUGAAAGCACACCGUAGUCACUAAAGAAACCUGCUUCAGAGAUUUCAAGAUUAAACUGAAUGGAAGCAAGUAAUCCUGCUUUAGAGGAUUUAUACUCGUAUGAUUUGUAGGGCAUUAACAAACCAAAAAUAUAAGAAAGCCUCAUGCCCUAGAAUAAUCUGAAGGUUAACUGUCGUCUUUUAAAAUGUAUCAGCAUCCAGCAAUGAUGUCAAUGAAACAAAAAAUAUUAAGAUUUCCUAUGGAUCUCGGGGCUUGACAUAUUGAUUGGUGAUUUUCUACUAUACAGUGUUUUUUUAACUGCUAAUAGAUACAGUGAAUUGAUUUUAAAAGUACAGUGAUUUACUGAAAAAAAUUAGAUAAAUCAUAAUUUUCUUUGUGUACUGACAUGUUUAAGUUUAAAAUUUUCAUAAGUAAAGCUACUAAAUCCCAUCAUCUUGCUCCAUUUGAUAGCACGAGUCUAUUAAAUGCUCCAGGCUGGCCCGAAAAAUGGGUUAAAUAUAUAAUGAUUGAUAUAAUUAAAUAUAACUUUAAUUUAUCUUAUACCAUUUACUUCUCCAUACAGUUACAAAUUUUUUUUUUCCUCAAGGUAUGGCUAAAUACCUUUCAUUUACAUGUGCCCACUCCCUUUUCCACCAGCAAUCACAUAAUAAUUCUGAUAAAAUAUAAAUAACAAUAGGGGUGUUUUGAUUUUGUUCCAAAAUAUCUUGGUUAAUUUUAUACAAAAAUUGAGAAUAUGAUUAAAAUAAAUGUUUCAAAUCUGCAUAAUCAUUGUUACUGAAGUGUUGGAAUGUAAGAAAAACAGCUUAGUAUGUGAAAUUAUUUAAAUGUAGUAUUGUUGUUUAUUUAAUAACUAGGACAAGAGAAAAUGUUCCUUUCUUUGUGUACUUAAUAGUAAAAUAAUACACAUACAUUCAUAUACACACUAAUAACCAAGCACUCAUACAUACCUAUGUAUGUGUUUUAAUAGUGUGUGUGCUGUUUUUGUGUUGUGAUUGUCUGCUACCAGUCUAAAACAGAUGUCUUAUGGGUGUUGUCACAGUGGGAUUUUUUUUGUGGGCUUUGGUAUAUUGAACAUGUCUAAACAAUUUGAAUACCUUCUGUAAUUAGCAAUAAAAACACAAGUGAAGACAUUUUUUUAUUUUUUAUUUCCCCUUGUAUGUUUAGAAAGAUUCCUCCCAAAUCGUCACGUGACUCUCUUAAAAUAAUAAUAAAAAAAUAUUCCUGGCUAAUCAUGGUAGCAUCACCUAUGGGUAGCUCCGCCCCUAACCAGAUCAGGACAGGAUUAACUAAUAAAAAAAGAGAGAAAGAGACUGAAGGCAUAAAAGGUCCCUCCUCCUUCCAUACCUCAGUCUUUUUUCCUGUCUUUAACCGGACAGACAGGUUAAAAUGUUAUUUAGCAAUUUUCUUUUUUUUAGGCCACCUUCCCAUGUGUGCCAUGGGUCUCCAAUGCACAGUUCAGGCUCUCUGUGCCUGAAAGACCCAGUAAACAGCAUGCAUGAGCAUGACUAACUGGGUCAGAUUCAAAAUAAGUAAUUUGAAUCUGCUUGUAAUCCAUAUAUCAUGCUGAGGAUUAUGGCUCCAUUGAUAAAAUCAGAAGCCUUGUUUAUUCCUGUUACAGAGCAUAGAGUUAAUGGGAGAUAGACCUUCAUUUCUUCAUUUGGGAGUUUUUCUUCUCCUCAAUUCAUGUACUCAUGUGUUCGGUAGACUCCUUUGUUCGGGAGUUUGUUCAUGUUUCCCUGUGGUAAGCGAUUCUCUGUUCAUUCGUUUUGUUUCAUUCAUUUCUUUCUUCCAUUCGAAUGCUAUGUUGUUCGUUUCCUUUCUAAGGGAUUCUCCAGGCUAGCUUUAGUUUGUUUAUACCACGGUUCUCAUAAUUGUCGUGAACUGAUCUAGAAAAAAGGCGUGAAUGGCUCAGCGUUCUUUCGAACGAUCUGCGUAUGUGCAAACUUCCUCACUUAAAGAGACAUUUUUAAAAAAAAUUUGAUUCUUAAAGUGUCUAGUUCAUUAACUUCCUAAACUUUUCUGGAAAGUUAUUCGGUACUGCCAGUGUCUUUUUUUCUCACCUGAAGGUAAGAAUUAUUUAUUUAUCCCCAUUUUCAAAAUGUAUUCUUAAUCAUAUUAAGGUAAUACAAUUCUUCACUCCUUUUUUCCUUUAGAUGUCUUCUCCCUCUGCCUCCCACCACUCAGGUUCAAAGAAACAUAGGUGAGGCAAGUUUUUUUCUACAUAAGGGGAAUAAAAGAGUGCCAUACAGGCCCCAUAGUUAAUUACAUGGCCUUUCUUAUCUUGCAGCCCAAGCAUGAGCCGGGAUAGAUCUCCCAGGAAACACAAGGAAAAAUCUAAUCGCUGCUUGGCCUGCAAUAAAAUUGCUCUAGAGGGUAAAAACCUAUGCCUCCCCUGUAUGACAGAAGUGGCAGACAACCAACCCAGGAAUAGUUCUCUUCAAGAAGAACUUAAGACCUGGAUAUCCCAAGCCAUGGCUGAAGGCUUCAAGGCUUCUUCUAAACACACCAACUCCAAGAAAGAUCAAAAAGCUGAGUCCUCUUCUCCCUCAUCUGAAUCUGAGCUUGAAUCCAUUAAAGAAUUUACUGACGAGGAGGAGGAAGAUAUGGAAUAUGGCCCUAAAUCCUUAGACUCAAAAUCUGUCAAAAAACUCAUCUUCCUAAAAAGAAAUACCCUGAAAUUACAGGAAGAAAAAACUGAAUCCUUGGAAUCUGACAAAUAUUUUGAAGACCUCAGAUCUUUGAAAAAAUUGUUUCCUGUUCUAUCAAUGAAAUGAUCCUCAAUGAAUGGGCAAGACCAGAGAAAAAAGUUACCCUAAAAACUAGAAUCCUAGGAUCUACCUGUUUGCCUCCAAUGAUUGCAAAACAUGGACUACUAUCCCAAAAAUUGAUGCAGCGGUAAUAAAAAUUUCAAAACGUACUACGCUUCCCAUUGACUCCAUGGCAUAUCUACGGGAACCUAUGGAGAAAAGACUGGAUGCCAACCUAAUAAAAGCUUAUCUCUCUCUUGGCUCAGCUUCACAUGCAGCCAUAGCUCUUACCACCUUGUCCAGAGUUUUGUGAUAAGUCCUUUCGAGACAAUAGGUCAUACUGACCAGGUAAAGAGUACAAUAGAUAUGCAUUGUGGAGAACCUACCAGCCUUCAUCUUCCUCCAAAUCCUCCAGAGGAAGGGGAUCUAGAGUCCCUUCCAAAAACGUCUGAAGGUUUACAGGCCCAUACAGACUACCUAGGAGGAAGACUUCAUCAUUUCCUAUCUGUCUGGGCCACAAAUAUAUCUGACUCUUGGGUCAUGUCUAUCCUCGAUCAAGGUUACAGAAUCAAAUUCGACUCCUUUCCUCCCGGCAACUCUUUCAUAAGCUCAAGAAUACCCUUGGGGAAAAAAGGGCAAGCCAUGAUUUCAGGUGUCAAAAAACUACUUCUUCAAGGUGUCAUAGAAGAGGUUUCUCCUACAGAAAGAUACUCAAUAGUAUUUUUGGUCCCCAAACCCAAAGGGAAAUGGAGACUUAUAAUAGAUCUGAAAAAAGUAAACCUAUUCCUGAAGCGUAUUCCGUUCAAGAUGGAAUCCAUAUCCACUAUUAUUCCCAAUAUCAACAAAGGGGAUUAGCUAACGUCCAUAGGAGGAGGAAGAUAUGGAAUAUGGCCCUAAAUAUAGAGCUGAGGGAUGCAUAUGACUACGUUCCCAUCUACCCUCUUCAUCGCAAGUUCCUCCGAUUUCAUAUUAUGGGACAGUCCUUCCAACUCAGUGGCCUUCCUUUCGGCUUAGGCCUUGCACCAAGGACCUUCUCAAAACUCCUAGUGGUCCUUAUAGCACACCUGAGGAAACACCUGAGUCAUAUUUCACUACCUAGAGGACUGUGACAAAAGUAACCUCAUCACGUGUUCUUGGAGGGGCCUUCUGGUUCUUGCCUCAGGACUAUGGGCCCUGCAAUAUACCUUGCCCAAUGCACUUUAAAAGGCUCUGUUCAUGUGAAGUAUGUCCUUUUGUACUCCAGACAGAGAGACCAACCAUUAGCCUUAAUUCUCUGGAACUGUUUUGGGCAUGGGACCAUGUGCACGGUGGGUCAAAAAAUAAGACUUCCAGGAAAUACCUGAACCCCUGAACUGAUCUGGGUGAUUUUUGGAUAUGAUGUUUACCCAGAUCAGGGCUAUCAGGGAAUGUGGGGAUAUGUUGUGUUUUGCGGUACUUUUGGGGUUUUGCAAAAUAUCUGUUUUUUCUGCCUGGAGAUAAUUGGGUUAAUACAGUAGCUGACUCAAUUAUCUCACAGGCAGAGUGGAGGGAUUGUAUGCUUGUAAUCGGAGUGUCAUACAUUUAAUUACUGUUCUGAUAGGUUUGUAAGAUUUGUGUCCCUGUCCCAUCAAGGUCCAUGUGGGCGUACACCUUGCUUGGGGACUUGCAUAAAGGCCAGCUGUGGCUUCCAUUAAACAGAAUGAUUUACCCCUUCAUGAAGUCUUGGCUCAUGUUUGGGGGAUUGGAGAACUACAUACACUCUGGAGAUUGCUAUAUCACAAUACUCCCCUGAGUAUAAUCACUAGAUCUUCUAAGAGCCGUUCCUGCUAUGCUCUCUGGACUAGGAGAGGUCUACCCACUGGAAGCUGGAUUCUGAUCUUGGGUCCAGGGUGGGUUGAGGACGGCGAGACCCCAAACAAGCUGCGGCGGCUCAUGGGGCUUACAGUGAUUAUGGUGUUCCAGUACAGUGCUCGCAAGUGCUUGGAAGCAGCGAGUGACGGAGGUACACAGUCAGGGUGCCAGGCGGUCCGUCACAAUGACAUUUUAAUUGUAGCUCCAUCUCAUCAAGAAGCAUCUUGUCAGACCAUACAGGCCCUGAACUGUCUACAGGAACAUGGUUGGAUUAUCAACAAACAGAAGAGUGCUCUGACUCCAUCUCAAGAAGUAAUCUCAACAAGCAAUAUUCCUGGGGGCUUAUAUCAACACUGUAGAAGCAAAGGUCUUCCUAUCACAAGAAAGGAUAAGCAGACUAAAAAGCUAAAUUCUCCCAGUUGACCACAAAACUUCCAUCACAGCCAAGGAGUACAUGAGCAUACUGGGCUUGAUAUCCUCAACUAUAGGUUUAGUCCGCUGGGCUCAAUAGAACUCAAGAACUAUCCAGUGGAAUUUCCUGAGUCAGUUCAACAACUAUCGCAACAACUGGAAACAAAUUAUUAAAAUUCCCCAAAUUGUAAAAGAUCAGUUGGGAUGGUGGCUUCAGCAAGACAAUCUAUGGAAAGGGUUUCCAAUAGAAGAUCCUCCUUGGCAAGUUAUAACUACAGAUGCGAGCAUGACGGAAUGGGGUGCUCACACAGAAUCAAUAUGGAUUCAAGGCACUUGGAACCCAUCAGAGAAAUGCCUUCACUCAAAUUUGCGGGAACUGAGGGCAAUUUACAUUGCUAUAUGGAAACUCCACAGUGCUCUCACAAGUCCUUGGCUCUCUAUACGUACAGGCAACAGGGCAGGGGCUGCCUACAUAAAUCACCAUGGAGGUACAAGAAGCAAACUUCUUUUACAAGAAAUAACUCCUCUGAUGUCCUGGGCACAGGUUCAUAUCAAAGGAUAAAAGUGAUCUAUCUCCCAGGGACGGAAAACAUUCUGGCAGAUUUCCUCAGCAGAACUUGCAUACUACCAGGCGAGUGGAGCUUGAAUCCCAGAGUUUUCAAGUUCAGACGAAGAGGUGAGGCAUACCCCAGGUAGACCUGAUGGCCAGCAGAUGAAAUGCUCAGGUGGCAAGAUUUUUUUCCCUCUCCAAGGAACCUCUAGCUUUGGGGCAAGAUGCCUUUUCCCAUCCUUGGAACUUCAGCCUGGGGUAUGUGUUCCCUCCCUUACCUCUGAUUCCCAGGAUACUGAAUCAAAUCUGGAAAGAAGGAAAGAAGGUGAUUCCAAUCUGGCCCAGGAGACCUUGGUAUCCGCUUCUACUGAAAAUCUCUCUGACCCAUCCUUGGCUUCUUCCAAUCUCCCUGGACCUUCUAAUCCAGGGUCCAGCAACUCCCCUCAAUCCAUCCAGCUGGAACCUGGGGUCUGGCUGUUGAAAGGAGAUCCCUUCUCAUCCAGGACCUAUCCAAAGCAGUGAUUGAUAUUCUCCUAACGGCAAGGAAACAGUCCACAUCUUUCUGUUAUUACAGGAUUUGGGAAACCUUCCAUAAAUGGGCAGUGACUAAAUCUUUUGAUUUUCAACAUCAGUGACCUCGCCACUGGUUUUUGGAGAGGCCUGCUUGCCAGCCUCUUAUCCUGGGACUAUGGGCCCUGUGAUAACCCAUGUUCAAAAGUAUUGUUUCUGCCCCCUUGGACUUUUAACUGGAACAGAUUCAAACAUGUGGCGGCGGCCAUCUUAAAUUGUCCAGCAGUGUUUUGUCGUCGAGUGUAUGGAACUGUUUUGGGCAUGGUACCAUGUGCAUGGUGGGGCAAAAAUAAGAUUUCCAGGAAAUUCCUGAACCCCUGAACCGAUCUGGGUGAUUUUUGGAUAUGUUGUUCCUUUUGUCCCUGUUUUCCAUCAGGCCCAGGGGGUGUGCCUCAGGCCUGAAAAACUGUAUUCCAGACUGUGGCAAUAAAAAUUCUGUUCUACUUCACCCUCAAUCUAGAGUCCUGUCUCUUAUUGGGGGGAACCUGCUACAAGGGAUUGCUAUGCUCUUCAUACUCCCUUGAAUAAUCACUAAGCUCUUGUAAGACUUUGUUCCUGUUCCUGCUUCACUCUCUGGGGAAAGAGAGGUUUACCCACUGGAACCUGGAGCCUUGUCGUAGGUCCAGGGUGGGUAGGUCCAAGCUGCGGCGAUUUGUGGGGUCUGCAGUGCUUAUGGUGUCAAGUGGAGUACUUGGAGCCCUGAAGAAGCACUAGGAGCAUCCGUCAAUGGAGGUACCCAGUCGGGGUACCAGGCGAUCCAUUACAACAUCCUACUCACCUCCAUGUUUUGGAAUUUCUACAAGCAGGCCUGGACAAAGGUCUCAGCCUGAGCACCUUGAAGGUGCAGUCCUCAGCUCUAUCUGCCCUUUGUAAUACCUCAUUGGCAUCUCACCCUCUCAUCUCAAGGUUCUUUAAGGCAGCCUUACACUUAUGCCCUCCAGCCAGGAACUCAGCUCCUCCAUGGGAUUUGCCAUUAGUCCUGAAUGCUUUAACGGAAGUUCCCUAUGCACCUCUGAAUGAUACCUCUAUUCAACACCUCACUUAUUAAAACUGUAUUACUGGUGGUGGUCACCACGGCCAAGAGGAUUUUGGAACUCCAGGCAUUCUCUACUGAUGCAAAAUACAAAACAGAAGGUCAGCGCUAAUUAACACAGUAGUCAGCGGCACCAGCAAAGGGAAUCCCUCAAAACCCUUUGGAGAGAACAAGAAGAACAAAAGAAAAGGGAAGGGCUGCGCCAUAGGUAAACUCUAAUAGUACAACUUACUUGGCACAAAAACAGAAAUAGAUCUGGUGCAAAAAAAGUUUUUAUAAUUCAAAGAUGAAAAAGUCAGUGCUUGAUAUGAUGUACUGUCCUCAAUUCAGCUUGACCAUAGAUUAUAUGGAAGACAAAAGACAGGGAUAGUGUAGCUUGUUGAGUACAGUCUUUUAUAUAAGGAAAAGGUAACGAUGAGACACUCAGAUUUGGAAGAGCUAUAGCCAGCUCUAGCAGUAUAGGCGUACAGCGGUAUAAUCCCUGCUUUAAAAGAUAAAUUUGCAAGCUUUUUUAAUUGUGUUUGUUAGUUUUUUUACCUCCUGCUUUGUUAGUAGGUGUGAUUAAAGUUCAAUUAACACAGCAGAAUAUAAAAAUUUCUAAAAAAAACAACCACACACUGUGCAAUUACAUCUGAUUAAAAUGAAACUUUUUUUUAACAUGCAGGCUAUGUGAGUCAUAACAAGGAGAGGACUUCGUAAAUGAGACUGAAGGUGCAUGAUCCAUAAACCAAAACUGCUCCAUUAAACUAAUGUUGCUUUGUUCUUAGAGUAUCCCUUUAGGUAAUAUAUUUACCUGGAAAUGCUUACUUUUACUGUGUCACCAAACAAAAGUAUCCAAAACGCUCUUUAAGGGAAAAUCGCACUUUGGAUAAAUACGAACAUUUCAGCCAAGUGUGUUCAAAGACCGCUUAUCAAAUGAAACAUAAAUUGAAGUCAUAAUGAACUGUCCAUUAGUGGUUUUAACUGAUAUUAUAGUAUCAUGUACCAUAAUUUCCAUCGUAUUUUUAGUUGCCUAGUAGUGAUGUCCCGGACGGUUCGCUGGCGAAUAGUUCCUGGUGAACAUCGCUUGUUCGCGAUCGCCACGGAUGACGAACAUAUGCGCUGUUCGGUCCGCCCCUUAUUCGUCAUCAUUGAGUAAACUUUGACCCUGUACCUCACAGUUAGCAGACAUAUUCCAGCCAAUCAGCAGCAGACCAUCCCUCCCAGACCCUCCCACCUCCUGGACAGCAUCCAUUUUACAUUCAUUGUGAAGCUGCAUUCUUAGUGAGAGGAGGGACAGUGUAGCUGCUGCUGAUUUGAUAGUGAAAUUGAUAGCUAGGCUAGUGUAUUCAGUGUCCACUACAGUCCUGAAGGACUCAUCUGAUCUCUCUGACCUCACUACCCCCCACACCCUCAGCCUCACUACCCCCACACCACCCUCAGCCUCACUCACUACCCCCACACCACCCUCAGCCUCACUAGCCUCACUAGCCUAACACCCUCAGCCUCACUACCCCACACCCUCACCCUCAGCCUCACCACCCCAGCCUCACUACCCCCACACCACCUCAGCCUCACUUCCCCUACACCCUCCCAGCCUCCCACUAGCCCCACACAGUCAGCCUCCACUACCCCCACACCCUCAGCCUCCACUACCCCCCACACCACCCCUCAGCAUCACCACCCUCAGCCUCACUACCCCCCACACCACCCCCAGCCUCACCACCCUCAGCCUCACUACCCCAACCACCACCCUCAGCCUCACUACCCCCCACACCUUCAGCCUCACUACCCCACCACCCUCAGCAUCCACUACCCCCCACACCACCAUCAGCCUCACCACCUAGCCCCAACACCCUCAGCAUCCCACCAGCCCUCACCCUCAGCCUCCCCCACCCUCAGCCUCAUCCCCCCACCACCCUCAGCAUCACCACCCCAACCCUCAGUCUCACUAACACCCACCACCUCAGCCUCCUGCCCCCACACCACCCCCCAGCCUCACCACCCUCAGCCUCACUACCCCCACACCACCCUCAGCCUCACCACCCCAGCCUCACUACCCCCCACACCACCCUCAGCCUCACUAACCCCCACACCCUCAGCCUCACUACCCCCAACACCCUCAGCCUCACUACCCCCACCACCCUCAGCAUCACCCCCCAACCACACUCAGCAUCACCACCCCCAACCACCCUCAGCCUCACUACCCCCCCCACAACCACCCUCAGCCUCACUACCCCCACCACCCAGCCUCACACACCCCACCCCCUCAGUCUCACUACCCCCCACCACCCUCAGCAUCCACUACCCCCAACCACCUCAGCCUCACCACCCCCACACCACCCUCAGCCUCACUACCCCCACCACCCUCAGCAUCACCCCCUCACCACGCCCACCACCCUCAGCAUCAAUCCCCCCUCACCAUCACCUCCUCCAUCUCACAUCACCCCUCCUCACAUUGCCCCCUCAUCCUUCUCACAUUACCCCCUCCUCCUUCUCACAUUACCCUCUCCUCCUUCUCACAUUACCCCUCCUCCUUUCACAUUACCCCCCUCCUCCUUCUCACAUUACCCCCCCUCACUCUCACAUUACCAUCACCCCCCACACCAUUACCUCCCUGUCACCAUCACCUCCCUGUCACCAUCACCCGCCUCUCACCAUCACCUGCCUCUCCUUCUUACCAUCACCCCCCAAUACACACAACACACUUCAAGCAGCUACCCCAUACACAUAGGGUCUCAGACAAAAAUGCAAACAUGCUCACAGAGACAUACAUUCACACACAAGGAUACUCUCUGUCAGACACACUCUCAGGCAGAUACACAGGUAAACUGUGCAUCAAUGUGUAUAUAUGGCACUUUUUUGUUAGUGGGGCCUCAUGUUUGAGUUUCGCCUAAGGCCUCAUAAAGUCUAGAGCCGCCUCUGGGUGCCACAAUAGCUUGCAUUUAAAAAAAAAAAAAAAAACUUUUUUGACUGUAAUAUAAUAGUAGUCAGUUUCCUUCAUGAGUGUGCAUUUCAGGGCCUGCCCAGUGCCACCACGCACUCACUGGUGUCCCAAUAGCUUGCAUUUAAAAAAAACAAAACUUUUUGGACUGUACUAUAAUAGCAGUCAGUUUCAUUCACGAGUGUGCCUUUCAGGGCCUGCCCAGUGCCACCACUCACUCACUGGUGUCCCAAUAGCUUGCAUUUUUUUAAAAAACUAAACUUUUUUGACUGUAAUAUAAUAGAAGUCAGUUUCCUUCACAAGUGUGCGUUUCAGGGCCUGCCCAGUGCCACCACUCACUCACUGGUGUCCCAAUAGCUUGCAUUUAAAAAAAACAAAACUUUUUGGACUGUAAUAUAAUAGCAGUCAGUUUCCUUCAUGCGUGUGCAUUUCAGGGCCUGCCAGGGCACAGUGUCACACCAGUGCAAUUCAUAUCUGGUGUAACAGUAGUGUACAUUUAAAAAAAAAAAAUACAAUUUUGACUGUAAUAGAUUGAAUAGCAGUUAGUUGUCUGCCAGCGUGUGUGUCAGGCUCACAGCGUAUACUGUGCCCACUUGCCCAGUGCCACCACUCAUAUCCGGUGUCACAAUAGCUUGCAUUUAACAAAAAAAAAACUUUUUGGACUGUAAUAUAAUAGCAGUCAGUUUCCUUCACACGUGUGCGUUUCAGGGCCUGCCAGGGCACAGUGUCACACCAGUGCAAGUCAUAUCUGGUGUAACAGUAGUGUACAUUUAAAAAAAAAAUAAUACAAUUUUGACUGUAAUAGAUUGAAUAGCAGUUAUUUGUCUGCAAGCGUGUGUCAGGCCUACAGCGUCUACUCUGCCAACUUCUGCCACUGCACAGUGCCACUCAUAUCUGUUGUCACAGUAGCACCUUGGCUUUUCCCUGGAUAUUCUGAAUUCUGGUUUCCCUGACUUGGCAUGUAAACGGUAUUGUGUAUUUUCUGGCUUCCUUGACCUCGGCUUUCCCUUUGACCAUUCUCUGUCUCUAGCGUAUUAGUCCGGCCAUUCUAAGGUCCGGUUUACGCUCUGUCCUUUUAUUUUCCUUUUCUUGCCUAUGUAUAUGUUUACAUAGUUUCUGCGUGCUGGACAACACUAGUAGUCGUGACAUUGGGAUUAAACUGAUAAGAAUAGUACUACUUAACACACCACUCCUAUCUGGUGGCACAUGAAAUAGCACGCGCAGUGCCCCAAAUUUGAAGUAGGAGGACCGACCAAGCAUCUUUUUCCAUCUCCCGGUUCCUAAAAUCGAUGCCAUAUACAGGUCCCUAGAUAGGGGACGUAACAGGGAUUAAACUGAUAGGAAUAGUACUACUUAACACACCUUAUAAUAAUGCAGAGAGAGGCAAUGCAGAGAGAGGAGUCUGAAGAAGAGGAGUCAGAGGAGGAAGGUGGCUUUGAGGAGGUGGAAGACCAAACACAGCAGGCGUCCCAGGGGGCUUGUUGUCACCUUUUGGGGACCCUUGGUGUUGUACGUGGCUGGGUGGAGGAAGAGACCUUCAAUGACAUCAGUGAGGACAAGGAACGGGACAUGGCUAGCUUGGUAUCCAACCUUGUGCAAAUGGGGAGUUUGCGGUUGUGCAAAUGGACUGUUUGCGGUUGUUUGCGGUGCGUUAAACGGGGAGUUUGGUCUGUCACUGUGAAGCGGGUGUAACCCUUACACUACCUGAUCGAUACAACAUCAUACCUGAUGUUUUAAAGCACGUUAUUCCAAACAAUUUAGGAAUGUUAGGUGAUUUAUGCCCUUUAUGGAUUAAAACCAGACUCUGCAUCAACUAUGUAAUUUUCCAUGGGAGUUUUGCCAUGGAUCCCCCUCCGGCAUGCCACAGUCCAGGUGUUAGUCCCCUUGAAACAAUUUUUCCAUCACUAUUGUGGCCAGAAAGAGUCCCUGUGGGUUUUAAAAUCCGCCUGCCUAUUGAAGUCUAUGGCGGUUCGCCCUGUUCGCCCGUUCGCGAACAUUUGCGGAAGUUCGCGUUCGCCAUUCGCGAACCGAAAAUUUUAUGUUCGCGACAUCACUAUUGACUAGCCAUUUCCAGAUUUGCAACAAAGAUCAGUAACAAACAACCUAUUGAAAAGACAUAGUGAGCUAAACUUGACAAGUAAACACACAAAUAUCUUUGUGCUAGUUGGGAUGAUAAAGUCACACAGACAGACAGACAUUCCACAUCCCAUCAGCACAUGCAAAGGUUUAAUCCUAAGAAAGUAUACCCUCUAUUACACAGCACAAUUCUUCAAGCACCUAGGCACUAGUUAGGAUGUAAUGUGAUGCACUUUUACAACUGUAAAUAUUUACAUGACUACUUACUAAAGUGAGAAUUCAAAUUAAUUUUUGAUUUAUGAUCAAAUUAGCCAAAUUGUAAAAAUGAUCUAAGCUAUGCUUUUUUUUCCCUUUGGUUCUCUUGCGCACUGGUGCCCAUGCUUCUGGGUUGUAUAAUCCUUACUUUAGUAAGAAAGUGGUCAUCUCAUCAUUCUGUAUAACUGGUAUUUCAGAGCCCAAACCUUUCUAUUAAAUCUUUGUCUCAGUUUUUUUUUAUAAUUCUUUAAUUUUGUUGUGCAGACACACACAGUAGAAACCAUAUUUGUAUCAUAGCCAAAUAAAAACACAAGAGCCAGUAGCAAAAAACAUGACACACAAUACUAGGGUAUGCUUGCGUCGCUGAAACAUGUGCACUAUUGAGUAGCUCACAUAGACUGUGCUGUAAAAUAGUGUAAUCGCUGAUAGUAUUAAUGUAACUGCACAUUUUAUAGUAAGGGAAGGUAGCAAAAAAACCUAAGCCCCACAUAAGCCUGCAAGUUGGUUGGCAUUCACAGCAAAGAACUGUAGGCAUACUAGGAGCCAGGAAACUAGAUACAUAACUGUAAUAAAGUCACUGGAGCGCACAGUUAAAACUUAAGAUGUCACUCUAAUACUGCAGUAAAAAAAAAAUGUGAGUGAGGACACACUUGUUAAUCAUCCCCCCUUUAUGGUCUCCUAUCCCACUCCAACCUCCAGCCUGUUCUGAUAUAAGAAACACAAAAUCUCAGUUAAGUCCAGCACCCUCUGCUCCACCAGCCCCAGGUCUUCAAAUGAGCCUGCAUCUUGGAUCCAGCUCUCCAGUAAACCAGCAUCGGGGACCCAGGUUUGAUGCGACAUAGAUAUCCUCUGUCACCUCUGUCAGGCUCCAAGCCUAGAAAAUCUGCUGUUAGGGUGAGACCAGAAUGCAAGAGACUGCUUUGCAGGUUGCUGAAAGCCUUCCACCCACAGCUGUGGGUUCUCGGCUGAGGUAAGCUGGCAGUAUAUCUGUGCAGCCCAUAGCUGAGUUAACAAGGCUGUCUGAAAGGCUGUCUGGUCAGUGGAGAAGGUGCAUGCUCAGUGGCCAUUUUGGGGUCAGGGUGCGAUGUACUACAGGCUAGGAUCAGCUCCCUUCCACCCCCACCAGUUCAAAGGGAGAGGAACAGGACCAGCCACACAUACCAUCGAUGAGCCAGUGUGCUGGUAUCUGCAAGAAGAUAAGGUGGGGGCUGUCCACCUCACCCCUUGCGCAAGUACACCAAAAACUUGAGUCACCCCCCAGGAUCUCAGAUAUCCCAUAUUUGUCUGUAGCGUUGGCAUCAACAGUUGCAGUAUGAGGAGAUGUCAGCUUUUAUGUUUAGGGUUAUAUGCAAGAAAUCAGUUUGUGUAGCCAAUACCAGAAGGAGCUACUCCAUGCAUCUAGUCGGCAUGGCGGUCUUCCCCCCACUCCCGCUUUGUCUCAGUUUUGUGUCACAAUUACUCUGGGAACCUUUUUCAGUAGUUUAACAAUUCAAUAUGUCUGCUGGAAUUUACAAAUUAAUUCUUAUUGGUUCUCAGAAAAACAUAACCAUAACUCACGCAGGGCUUAAAAUUUCAAGUACUACAUUACAAGUCAGGCUUUAAAAAUAACUUGCCACAGCAAGUCUGGAGGUCCAUGCUAUACUCACCAGGGGUUAAUUUCUACUGACCUGGUCUAAAUUUCCAAUCACCAAUGGUUAGUGGGAAAUGGAGAUUUUUACCUCUGCCUCAUGGGUUCAAAAUCUGAACACAUCUACAAUACAGGUGUUGAUAUUGGCUGUACUUACAAUAGUUACUUCAAUACAGUACUUACGUUUGUAUGUAGUUUAUUUACAUUUUGAGAUUGUAUUACUGUAGUUAUGUACCUUCAAUAUGAAUGCAGACUAUUUCAAUGUUACUUCCAUUCUCUGAAAUUGAUAGAAUAUGCAAUUAUGUAAUACCCUCUACUGAACAAGGAUAUACACAUUACAUGUACUGAUUUUAUAAUUAUUAGUUCCUUACUGUACAAAAUGCAAAAAUGAAGUAAGAAUAUUAUCAAAAGUUCAUUUUUUUUUUCAGUUUUAAAUUCAAAAUGCAUAACAAUUUUCACACCCCUGCUUUGCACUGAAUAGUUUGCUGACAUGUCCCUUUAUGAUUAAUAGCCAAAGCAAUUAAAGGGUUCUAUCCCCAGGGUAUACAGCAUAGGCUGCUGUUGUCAUAAUAUUGAAUUAAAAAAUAUCAACUACUUUGUCAUUUCACAUUAAUAAGGUGAACAUCUGUCUGUUAGCUAACAAACUUGCUGACAUGCAAUUUGCUACUGGAUUCUCCAUGAAUAUAAUGAAAACAUUGCAGUUAAACUUAGAAAGACAUUGUAGGUAUGCUAAGCAUUAAACUUGAACUUGAAUGUAUAUAUAAUAGUGUGCUACUUUGAAGAACAAGUUUACUUAUUUAUUUUAUUUUAUUAUUUAUUUCAUGUUAUACCUUUCAGUUUCAUUGAUGUGUUUCAAAUUACUUUGAUUUAUGUUUCUUUUAUGUUCGAUUUAUGUUAGUUUCUAUUCACCAUCCCCAGAGAGUGUUUCAUGCACAUCAAAAUGCAUAUAAUGUUUCCUCUAUUGAAACAUUUUUUUCACAGUUUUGUUUAUAAUUAACACUCUACACCAUGUCAUCGUAGAUCAAAUAUAAAACAUUGCAUGCCCAUUGUACAAAUUAGAAGUAUGACUUUAUCUGUGAUUCCCAUUUCUACAUGUCUCUUGGAUAUAGACAACCUUAGUGAAUCAACAAUUCUAGAGUACAUCUGAAAAAUAUAAAAUAUCAAUUUGGCUCCAUAUGUAGCAAUACCAAUCAACGAUGCACUUUUUCAGUGCUCCAGAAUUUCCUUUAUUUCAUCAAUGAUCCAUGACAACACACUCACAUUAAGUUACAGUUGCUGAGUAUGAUCAUGUGAUGUGUUGCUUGAUCAAAGGUUCUUUUUUUAACCCCUUAAGGACCAAACUUCUGGAAUAAAAGGGAAUCAUGACAUGUCACACAUGUCAUGUGUCCUUAAGGGGUUAAACAUCAAGUUUUAGCCACUUGAGAAAUAUAGUCAUAAUUGAACAAAUUUCUAAAUAUCGCAACAUUAGUAUACAUAUUUAAGCCUUCACACAAUAGCUAUAGCAAUGCACACGAUUUAUGUUGGACAAAAAAAGGACUGCAUGGUCUUCUGAUGGGACAGAAACAUUAUGCAAAACAUGCUCUUUUUACAUAACAGCCAUUCGGCAUAUCAUGGACUGUUUAAGUAGUAUAGCAAUUCUGUAUCAAGGACAAACCGCUAGAAAGUUGCCUUUUUGAGGUUUAAAGUGCAAAAAAUAUGGAAUCCAAGCUACUUGAAGAAAAUGUUGGUUUUCUGUAUUUCCACUCACUCCAUUUUAUUAAUCAAGUUAAUUACAACUGUUUAAAACAAGAACCCAUUUAGAAAUAGGGAAAGUUUUUAACCAGGACACUCAAACUUAUAUCACCUUAACGGUCAUUUUGUCUUCUCCAGUGGAAAUAUCUAUGAAAACUCUAGACUGAUCAGAAAUUUUCUUAAAGGGUUACUCCAACAUCCAUGACCACUUCUGCUUUUUGAAAGGAUCAUGCAAUAAGGAGUCUGGCCAUGCAGCAUUGUAGCUUGACACAGUGCACAUCCAGAGCCAUUUGCACUUGUGUGCCAGGUACUAGUUACAUCCCCAACACGUGAUCCGGGCUGCUUAAUUUUUCGUGCUGUAGCCUUCCUCCCUGCAGCCCUUCUGUCUCCCUCUAUCCUCUGUUACAUUUUUUUAUCUCCCUUCUUAUCUCCCUGACCCAACCAACCAAACCCUCGCUGGCUCAGAGCAUGUGCAUGCACUCAAGCCAGCUAAAUGGACCUCAAGACUUCAGGUGUGAAGUCAGAAUAAUUAUGCAAUCUUUAAAAAAUGUUUAGAAGGGUUGAAGUAACAUUUUUUCUGUCACAUCAAAUCAUGUAGCUUGUGUCCUAUGUAGGGGAAAUGCUACAUAAUUUCUCGUUGUUAUAAUUGCAAUAAGAAAUAAUUCAGCAGAAAGUAUAGUUGUGAAGUUUACAAGUCUCAAAAUUAAUAUUUUAUGGUAAUAUGCACAGUGAAAUCUACCAUAGUCAGAACAUCCAUGCUUUAACAUGUCAUGGGUACCAUGAUUCCCAGCAGGAUGUGGAAUCAAUUAUGUGCUGGUUGUAAGUCAAUUAAUUAUCUGCAGAGGGCAUCCUACACAACCGUGUUUAAUUAAUUGAUUUCCCUAAAGCAACUUGUGGAUAUUAUGCUUUGAUGUGCAGUGUUUUUGAUACAUCAUCUAUCAAGACAUAAAUGAAAAAUUUGACAACAUUUAUGUCUGUGAAUUGAAACGACACAAUCACAUGGACUACAUGGAUUACAAAUAAGAAAUGAUCAUAAAAACAUUUGUGAUAAAUGAAAGCGGUGGCAAAAGCAUUGCAGGAAACAUAUAACUUUGUGGUUAUUACCUACUCAAUCUUCCCACAGAUGUCACAGCAUUAAAACGUAAAAGAUCAUAAUGAGAAUCACUGAUUUUUUUGCAGGCCAAUAAUUCCAAAGGGGGAAGUAGUGUAUUAAAAAAGAAGAAAAAUAUCUUAGUUCACUGGUUUUCCUUUUAUGGUAGUACUUGAAAUAUACUUCCAAAGGCAUUUAGCAGGAACAAUAAAAUAAAUCACUCACCUAUUGGCCAGCAGAAAAGAUUUCGGACAGGCAUCCAGGCCCUCUGGGUAGUUGGAUUAGAUUGCUUGCUGAGUGGUCUGCUAAUGACAUAGGAAAUGUUGAAUCAUUAUGAGAACAUGCUGAGUAAAGAAGAAUUGAAAAGUAAAAGCAAAAGAAACAUAUUUACAGUUUUGUUCCCUUUCCUUUAUAAUGACAAUAAAUAGAAAUAACACCUUACAUUGCUGCUUGUGAUUGACUAAAUAAUGACCCAGCUGGGUAUUUUAUAACCUAUUAUGUCCAUUUCUCCUGCAUAUUAUUUUGUAAAUGCUACACUUAGCAUUAAAGGUGCUUUCAAUCAAACAUAUGCUAAAAUGUAAUUUAUAAGUUCUUAUUGCCUUGUAAUGUUAUAAUCAUAUUCUUUUUCUUAUUUCAAGUCCAUAUUUUAGAUUGUACAGCAAUGGAAAAAGUUGUCUUGAAUGUCUGAAUGAGCUGUUUCAAAUGUUACAUGCUAUACAAAGUCUUUCUUUAAGGCGUCCAUGCAAAGGCUUGAAAAGUUUUGAAAUUACUACUUCACAUUUAAUGUUACAUUUAAAGUGAGACUAAUAUGAAGGGAACUAAAUGCAGCUGCAUUUGUGAAUAUAUUAAUAGCAGCACUUAUUUUAUUUUAAAUAAAAAUGUUAUUACAUUUUCAUUCUUUUGACAAGUGGAGUACAUCCGAACGGAGAGUUUCAAGACUUCUUCUUGAGUCCAAAUAAAUUCUCUGAGUUUCAGAAACUGCAUAUAUACAUUGUGGGUUAUUCAUAAAGAACAUUUAUGGGACAAAGAUCGAAAUUUGAAGAAUCAGCAGGAACAUUCCAAAGUGUUCCAUAGUGAUUACUCUACAUUUAGAACUGAAUUGGCAGAAUAAUUAGCAUUUUUGUGGAGCAUAAUCUCAAUUUUUCAUGUCAGUUACUGUCAUAUAAAUAUAAAUGUAAUGACCAUCAUGUUUAUUUUUCCAUCUAAUCCCGAUGGUAUCGGAUUAUGUUCCUGUAGGUGUCUGUGGAAUGCUUUGUUUAAUUCUUAUUCCAUCUAUGACCUAUCAAAUACUAAACUAAUGCAACAUUUAUAUAAAUUAGUUUAGUAGUAGUAGUCAAGUUAGCCUAAUUCUAACAAUUUGCUUGUUGAGUUUGCACAAUACGCUCUUUAGUUAAUAAACCCUGAUGCCCUUUCACUUGUCCACUGUGACCUCCACAGAAAUACCUUCAUGGUUUAAUUUCAAAUAACAUAAAUUAUAGUGUAUAGUUAAUUUUCUCCCAAUUAUAUAUUGUAUUGCUUGUUGUUUUUCUGGUCUUCUUAAUACAGCUGAAGUAGAUGUUGUCAUUCCACUCUAUUUAUUUUGUGUUUCUUUUUAGAGAACUGUGAGAGUAAGGCAUAGUGCCACAUGGAAUUAUUGUCUGAAAGAUAUAUUUUAUGAAAAACAAGCCAUCCCUCAAAUCGGUCUUCCUCCUUUUAUGGGAUGCAUAUAUACUUAAAGGAUCACUAUAGGGUCAGGAACACAAACAUGUAUUCCUGACCCUAUAGUGUUAAAACCACCAUCUAGCUCCCCUCGGCCCCUCAUGCCUCCAUAAAUAUAGCAAAAUCUUACUGUAUUCAAGCCAGAAGCUGUAGAUCUGCAUCCUGUUUGCCUCAAAAAAAAAAAACAAGCAGUCUGCUGACAUCAUCAGAAGUGGUAGCCUGAUCUAAUCACAGUGCUUUCCCAUAGGAUUGGCUGAGACUGACAAAGAGGCAGAUCAGGGGCAGAGCCAGCAUGAUUCAAACACAGCCCUGGCCAAUCAGCAUCUCCUCAUAGAGAUGAAUUGAAUCAAUGAAUCUCUAUGAGGAAAGUCCAGUGUCUGCAUGCAGAGUGAGGAGACACUGAAUGUUUGGAUGCAUUUUAGGUAGCCAUGACCCAGGAAGGAUCUCUAACAGCUAUCUGAGGAGUGGCCAGUGAAGUUAUCACUAGGCUGUAAUGUAAACAUGAAGGUAAUGAUUCUACUAACCAUAAAAAAUUCAAUAAACUGUAGUUGUUCUGGUGACUAUAGUGUCCUUUUAAGGUCUCUUUUUUUUAACAAUUCUGUGUUUAUACAAUGAGUGAUUAGUGAAUAGUUGAACAUUGUUUAGUGAACAAAUAUAUCUCUCUUCAAUGUUAUACAUUUUCAUAUUGCUCUCAUAUCAUUCCUUUAAAACCAAAAUUAGAACCAGAGCUGUGUUAAGAUUGCCCAGGACCAUAAACAAUGUCUUAGUGUUGUGUUUGUGUGUGUAAUAGACAAAAAUUGGUAUAUAGGUCGCGCUAUGGAAACAAAGGGAUAAUAUAAAAAGUAAAUAAAUAAAUAAGUAGUAAAAAGUUUAAAAAGUCCCAAAUAAUAGAUCAACUUGUAGGAUGCUUGAGUAUAUAUAGAGUCCUAUGAGUAUCUGAAACUUCUUGUGUUGGAGAUGUCUUGGUUCACUUGUUGUUCUGUGGAUACAUAGAAAAGACAAGAGAAACUCCAAUAGUGCAGAAUGUCGACAAAUGGGCAAGUUGAAAUCUGAUAGUAGGUAAAGCACUCACCUAUUUAUGAGCAAACAAACUUGCUCAAGUAUUCUUAGCAUUCAGUGGCGUCAAUCCCCCACUGGUUGGAUAUAGGUGAUGAGAUCCUUAAAAGUUCCUCGGUAUAUAAAAAGAUAAAAAACAUAUAUAUUGCUCACUGUAUAAGUUAAAAAGCAAAAUAAAAUGGUAGGAUACUCACAUAUAUAUGAGCAGGAUCUACUGCUCAAUAUAAUGGCGCAGGUGGUACUAUCCCCACCUAGGAUUCUUGAGUAAUAACGUGCUCCAAUUCGAAUCGGUGACCAGGUAAUUAAAAACAAGAAAAUAAAUGAAUAAAAUGGUAAAAGGUAUAUACAGGCAGAAAAAGGCCAAUAUUCCUAUAUUUAUAAUAUGUCAAUAUAAAAAAUCAAUAUAAAAACAGCCAAAACGCGUUUCACCACACAGGGCUUUAUCAAAUGGCUGUUUUUAUAUAGAUUUUUUAUAUUGACAUAUUAUAAAUAAAGGAAUAUUGGCCUUUUUCUGCCUGUAUAUACCUUUUACCAUUUUAUUCAUUUAUUUUAUUGUUUUUAAUUACCUGGUCACCGAUUCGAAUUGGAGCACAUUAUUACUCAAGAAUCCUAGGUGGGGAUAGUACCACCUGCGCCAUUAUAUUGAGCAGUAGAUCCUGCUCAUAUAUAUGUGAGUAUCCUACCAUUUUAUUUAGCUUUUUAACUUAUACAGUGAGCACUAAAUACAUUUUUUUAUCUUUUUAUAUACUGAGGAACUUUUAAGGAUCUCAUCACCUAUAUCCAACCAGUGGGGGAUUGAUGCCACUGAAUGCUAAGAAUACUUGAGCAAGUUUCUUUGCUCAUAAAUAGGUGAGUGCUUUAACUACUAUCAGAUUUCAACUUGCCCAUUUGUCGACAUUCUGCACUAUUGGAGUUUCUCUUGUCUUUUCUAUGUAUCCACACAACAACAAGUGAACCAAGACAUCUCCAACACAAGAAGUUUCAGAUACUCAUUGGAUUCUAUAUAUACUCAAGCAUCCUACAGGUUGAUCUAUUAUUUGGGACUUUUUAAACUUUUUACUACUUAUUUAUUUAUUUACUUUUUAUAUUUGUUUCCAUAGCGCGACCUAUAUACCAAUUUUUGUCUAUUUCCUUUUCUGUGAGGUCUUUUGAGGGAGCCUCAUAUUUAUAGGUUGCUGCUUCCUUCCUUGUCUUAAUUUCUAUUUGAUUAUUUAGCGCUGAACCGUUAUCUAUUUGUUUGUGGGUGUAAUGUCUGAGUGAUUGUGUGCACGUUUUUCAUUUGUCCCCCUUCUGCCUCCUCAUCCUUAAUACACUAAAACUAUACUUAAAAUAAUGUAAAAUAUAAAGAGCACAUAACGGCAAACCAUGUUUUUUUAGAACAUUAAUAAUAUUUUGGGUUUCUGGAGACAUGUAUAAAUUAUUAGUGGUUUCAGUUUUGUGGUUUCUUAUGAUUUCUCCAGAACCAUAAUACAUGGUUUGCCAUCAUAUGACUUUUAUAUUACAUUAAAUUUGAAGGCUAGUGUUAAUUUUAGCACUCUAACCUUUAGUCUGUGGACCAGUAAAUUUACUCAAUGGGAUUUAACCUUCUUAAAGGGCCACUCCAGAUCCCUAAACAACUUUAGCUUUCUAAAAAGCUUUAUGUGUGAAGAGCGUGUCCUCUUUUUUUCAUUUUGCAAAAAAUUUAGAUAUCAAUUUAAAUUUACACUUUUAUAAAUUAACCCAGUAACACCCCCUUGGCUUUCAAGCAGACAACAGGUAAUGUUACUUCCUGGUUUCAUUAUCUCAAUGCAGCUGAGCUCAAGAGGCAGCAAUUAUCCAGAGCAUCUGACAUUCAAAGACUUUACAUUGAGCUGCAUUGGGCUUUGAUUGGACAGUCACAUAAAGUCUGGGCGUGAUUGGAAAGGGAAAGAGAUUGCAAAGGCAGCAGAAAAACUGAACUGCAUGUUUUGCAAGCUGAUCUUAGAUUUAUCCCCAAUAAGAUAAUAUAUUAUUAAAUGCAUGCAAAUUUUCAUGUGGGGUAUAUCUACUUAACAGGGAUUUUGUAUUUGGGCUGUGGAGUGUCCCUUUAGUUACCAAUAAUGGUCCAUAUUAUCAUGGCAAUCUGGUCUUUAUUAUAUUAGAAAAUUGAAAAACAAUAAUAAUAAUAAUAACAAAAUUUAACUUGGAAAGGUACAUUCAGAUUACUCUGGUUUCCAAGUACACCCUGGGGAUGUUACUUUUGCCCAACAUCCAGGGGAUGUUACUAUUCCCCAAUUUAACCCCUUAAGGACCAAGCUUCUGGAAUAAAAGGGAAUCAUGACAUGUCAAACAUAUCAUGUGUCCUUAAGAGGUUAAUGGUACUUAUUUUAUCUACCUUGGAAGGAUAAAGGGCUGGUAAAAGCAGUGCUGUAUGGAGCUGAUACUGUUUAAUAAACAUUACUUAGUUCUUAAUGGGUUAAAGUUCAGUGGAAAGCAUACAUGUGCAAUGUACAGAAGGCUAGACUUUUGCACCUAAACAAUGAGUUAUUUGAUUUUAUUUGAUUUUCUUUCUGUUUACAAAAGUAUCAAUAUUAGCACUUGCUGCAAACACAUUGCUUCACUAUUAGAAGUAUUAAAUCCACCCUUAUGAUGACAUAAAAUAGAUCAUUUUUAAUCUGUUUUAGUUUGAAACUCAUAGUGCAGGAGUUAGCAAUCAAUGGCACUCAAUGUGCAUUUGUAUGGCACACAUGACUGGCAAAACCAAACAGGCUGGAGAGAUCUGAGGCUUUCCUAUCACAGGUUCCAAUGGGAUUUCUUAAAAUAUCUGCUAGCGCAAACCAAACUGAAGAGCAGUCCUCAAUUUACUCAUUGCAGCACUUGGAAGAUGUGAUUUCAAAUCAUUUCCUUCCAGCACUUGUGAAGGGGGAAAAUGUAGUUGAGGACAGCAACUGUCAGCAAUCACCGGAGCCCCUAACUGUGAUCUGUAAAUGGUCAUCAUGGUUCUCACUGGAUCCCAUGGAAGCCACCCUCACAGCCAGAAAUGCACACACAGCUGCAGAAGAAGCCUCUCCACUUGCAAAUAAUACAAACAAACCACAUACAAACACAUACAGCACCAACAAACACAGCAGCAUUGACAAACCACCCAUAUGCACAUAACUCCCCAAACAGUCCCCCACAUCUCCAAGCAUUCCUCACACAUAACCAUGUCACCACACACACAAUUAUACAUAUCACCCGCACACAAUCCCAGUACCGCCCCAUUCACAGCCCACAUUCACACACAUAACAUGAUACAGAGUCCAUACCCAUGUGUCACACAAAAUACAACAAACUGCUCAUGCUCAUACACAAUAAUACACAGUCAACAUUCGCACAAAUGCGGUCCUGCAAAGCAACUGCAGCACCCAUGCACAACACAAGCAGAAUAUGGCAACAUACAAGCAAGUUCAUUUAAAAAAAAUAGGAUUGGCACACCAUGGAACAUAAAAGUCUUAUUUUUGCUUCCCCUGUCCAAGUGGUUAUCAAGUUGCAAAAUGUAAACAGCACCAUUUUUUUUUUUAGAAAUGACACAGUUUCAAAUGCAAACAAAAUGCAAAACUGCAUUUAUACCUCAAAAUCACUUUGUUAAAAUAAAGUGAUUUUGGUGCUUAGAAUGUCCCUUGAAGAAUAUUAUUAUUAUUAAGAAUAUAUUUCACAGGAAGUUACAGGCAGUAUAGUCAUGCUAACAAUUGUAUAUUUAUACACAGAGUGGGGAGACUAUGUUAUGAUUAAUCCCUUCUGUUCUGUAGCAUGUCAUAAGUCAAGCUAAAAAUGACAUUGUAAUGAACAGACACUUCACUCUAUAUAUCAUCCUUUAGAAAUUAUUAAUUGCUCCAUUCAUUGAAGUACAUUAAGUGCUAUAUGUGGUACAUAUGUCACUUUUAUUGUAGUUUGCUAAUGGCAAUGUUUAUAUAAUUCUUGCAACUCAACAAAUUUUUAUGUUUGCCCCAUGUGCAAUCCAGCACUGAAUCAAUACAGCAAAACAUUUCCAAUGCACAAGUGGACUUUUAAAAUUGUAUCUGUUGUUGUAAGCAAAAAAUGUAGAUAUAGAUUACAAUUACUGUAUAUGAAUUUAUGAUUCUCUCUCUAAUAUAUUACAUUAAGUGAAAUGUCUAUUUUAAGAACAUAAUGCAAUCAAGGAUUUCUAGGGAAAUCAUAAGACAUAACGUUUUCUAAUUUAUUUGACAAUAUAUUCUUCUAAUGUAAGCUGUGCUGCUAUAUUCUUUAAAGGAUGAAUAUGUGUUCUUAACGCUAUGGUGCCCUAGUCAAUAUUUAGGUGGACAGGCCCCAGCUGCAAGGGUUAAAAAGGCGAGUUUACUUACCUUUUUUCUCUCUUGCAACAUUGGUCUCCAGUGUGCCUCUCCACCUCUUUGGCAGAGGUCAUUGAGAUCAAUGAGCUCAGCUAUUGCAAUGCUUUCACAUAGAAAAACAUUGGGAGGUUAGUGUGUAUGCUCAGCAAAAUGCCACGCUGUGCCAAUCAGAUGGUUUCUGCUACUUUUUCAUAAGCACAUUUGACAUGAACUUUCAAGACUUCUCUAGGGCUGCACCGUUCCUAUGGAACUCCCUUCCCUGUUUUGUUAGUCUCUCACCCAGUCUCAGUUCCUUUAAAAGAUAAUCAAAACUCACUUCUUUAUGAAAUCAUGUCAAUUAAACUGUUAAUAGCUUUCCCUGCAACUGUGUUGUGACGAAGUGCCCUUCGUCACUUGUGCCUGGAGAGGACUAAUUGCCAGCCUCUUGCCUUGUGACUAUGGCCCCUGGGAGAGUUUGCCCUUUAAAAAUGUUAUUUGGGCAUAUUGGAUUUUAUUGCACUGUUUCUGCCCCUUUGAUUACAUGGGAGAAUGUGCCUCUCCCCUCCCCCCCCCCCUUUUUCCUGUCCCAUUGUUAUUCAGCAGGGCAAUGUCCCAGGGACACUGCCAGACCAGUUGAAACUGUCUCUCAUCAGCCCUUGCUAUUGUUUCGAUCCAACUGUAUUCGUGAGAUCUGAGUGCUUUUCGGACAUAUUGGCGCUCAGAUCCAAGCUAUCUGGGGAUAUGUUGGACAUAUAGGUUAAACAUUGUAUUAUAUUAGUUAUGUAUUUUUAUAUAGUUUUUGUAACAGUUUUUGGACUUAGAGAUAUUUUCUGUACCUGGAGAUAAUUGGCUUACCACACCCACCUAAGCCAAUUAUCUCCAGGAUAUUGGAGAAGAUAGACCGGCUGCACAGCCUAAAUCUGUGGAACUGUUUUGGGCAUGAAAGCGAUGCUUGCAGUCGGUCAAAUAGGACUUCCAUCUAUCUUUUGAACCACUGGACCAAAUUGUAUGAUUUUUGAAUAUGUUUGUAUACUGAUUAUGCUGGUUCAGAAUAUGUAUGUUUUAUGGAAAUUGUAUGUAUAGUUUUGAAGUUAUGAAUAUUGGGUAAAACUGUAUAUUUUCCUGCCUGUGAUAAUUAAGUUAGCCUAUUGUGUUUAGUAAUUAUAUCACAGGCAGAGGGGAGGGUUUGUGUGCCUUGGCUGGGAGUGUCUAACUGUAGUGUAAUGUGUUUAAUUGGUUGCUGUAACUCUGAGUUCUGUGUACCACAAGGUCCACAUGGGUGGUAACCUUGUGGGAAAAGGUGUGUAUAUAAGAGCAAUAAAGCCUUAGUGCAUUCUGUUCCUGUUUGACCCCCAAUAUGUAGCCUUGUCUCGUUAUUGGAGGGAACUACUAUAAUCACACUGGGGAUUGCUAUGCCCUGCAUACCCCCUUGAGCUUUAAUCACUUAGCUCUUCUAAGAGCUGUUCCUGAUACGCUCUCCUGGAGGAGAGGUCUUCGCCACACAGUCCUGGAUGUCACAUGGUGGGCAGUGAAUAGAGGUGGGCGGCAAAUUUUUCAUUGCACCAGCCCUGGAUAUAUUUGACUUUGGUAGUGUAGUUGGUCUUUCAUGGGUUAGUUUUUGCACAGCAUCGCAGUAAUAUAUAUGAGAAAUGGUUCAAGAUGUCAGAGAAUAGCAAGGAAAUAUUGAGGCUAAUCAACAAAGCCAAGGGAAAGAAUGCCCGAAAAUGGGAAUGUAACAAGAACAAGAAUAGGAACACGGGCACAACUCUGUAAGGAACAGUCAUGCAAUGAAUCCUUCUGUGGUUUCUCAAAUGAUACAUAGGUGUACAUUGGUGGUAAAAUACAGUGAAUAUGUAUGGCUUGUUUGCCAUUAAUAAUGCAUCAUGAAAGAUUCAACAGGAAACUGUGAACACAAUAAAAGCAGUUCCAUUUGGAACUGAUUUGCAACAAAGUCAGUGGCAAGAAACUUGAAGAACAUCUGAAGAAUGUCCUUCUAGUGGCUGAGUGACAGCCACCAGAGAUGUUACUAGGAAGCAUAGCUGAGCCUGCAAGGACAGGCUAUAGAUGCUAAAAUCAAUACAUUACGUUGUAAUGGUUCUUGCUUGUGACUACAGUUUCCCUUUAAAUGAGUAUUGUUUCAUGUUGAAUCUCUUAUUUAUAUAGUGGUCUAUACAUCUAAAUAACCACUUAGGUAGUUUCGGUGCAAACACUAGAAGACUUAUUCACAGGCUGAAGUGAGAAAUAGAAAAAUUAUCAGAUUCAACUUUUUUCUAAAAUGGACUUUUCUGACCUAACAUUUGCAAAUCAGUUAUCAACUCCUUUAAACAGAUGUCAACUACUCAGACUUGUCAUCCUUUGCUUAUUAUGUGUACACAACACGUAAACAAUAAAAAUUUAUAAAAAAUAUAUUUUAUUGUACACUUUUGUUCCAAAUGCAACUAGAACAGUGUAUAAACCAUCAUUCUCUCACAACAAAAGUACUUUUAAAUGUUAUGCAUCAACAGGACUCUAACAGUAAACAAUAAGUUCCAUUUAUAAGAAAGGGCACAGUUGAAGGUUACCAAAUGCCAUUCCCAUUUAAAUCAAAUUCUCCUUUUCAUAUUUUAAAUUUGAAUAUUUAUGGAAGUCAUGUAUCAUCAUUCUUUAAACCUUCAUUCUUUCCUGUAUGUCAAGGGCUAUAGUUUACAAUUCAAAAAGUCUUUUGAGUAUGGUAAUGAAAGGUUCCCUAAAAAAAAGUCAACAAAGAACAAUGAACAUUUGUACAGCAUAACGUUUAAGAAGAGGUGAAAAUUAAUCACUUUUCUGAUUAGAAAAUGCAUGCAGAAAGUUUCCAUAAAAACACACACAUUAACAAAACAGAUUAUUCAAUAUUUGUCUUGUUUAACAAGACCUCACAGACCUUUUUUCAAAGUUUUUAGUUAAUAGAAAAAAGCAAGAUUGGAGUUACUUUCAAUGAAAUUUGCAUAACAAAUACUAAGCAAUGUUUGAAUAUGAUACAAAUGCCUUUGAUUGUAUAAUUGUGACCUGAAAUCAUACAUUGCUAUAGCUCUGACCCAGCAUGUAGCAUAGUCUCUAGGAAUGCACUUAAGUAUCAUUCUCAGAAACAAAAUCAGUUUUAUAAUUAACCUCCUACUGCAUUGUUAAAUAUGAAUCACUUACAGAAUUGUUUACUUAGGUUGCACUAACAACCGUAGAAUGAGGAAAUUUGACAAAUGUGACAAUGAAAAAGAUGAAAAGUUACUCAUAUAGAAAGACUUCUAAAAGCUUAGAUUUUUAUUUAUUUAAAGAUUUUUAUAUAUUGAUAUAGAUAUAGCAUAUUGUAGAAUACACAUGGAAAUGUUUUUAAGGUUGGGUAAAAAUACAUUGUUUACACACUACCAUAAAACUAUAUACAGUUUUCUUUCCUGUUUUGUUGACUAUAUAUAUUAUAAAGUUUUUAUGUAUAUAUUGCCAGUUAUUAAAUUGUGCCGUAAUAGUCAUUUAGGUACUAGUAUAAAAAUCGAAUUGGAUAAGGGGUUGGUGGGAUUACAAUAAAAACAAUCAGCUAGAAUGAGAGGCAUAUGAUUUUUGGAGCAUUUUUCUAGAAUGAGUAUGGCAGUCUACUGAUGCAUCUCUUCUGAACAAUUGCAUCAGCUUAACCCCUUAGUGACCAGACAGUUUUUCAAUUUUCUUACCACUAAGGACCAGGGCUCUUUUUACAUUUCUGCGGUGUUUGUGUUUAGUUGUAAUUUUCCUCUUACUAAUGUACUGUACCCACACAUAUUAUAUACCAUUUUUUCACCAUUAAAUAGUCUUUCUAAAUAUACCAUUAUUUUCAUCAUAUCAUAUAAUUUACUAUAAAAAACAUAAUAAAAUAUGAAUUAAAAAAAACACUUUUUCUAACUUUUACCCCCAAAAAUGUAUUAUGCAUGUACAACCACCAAAAACACCCACACUAAAUAUUUUCUAAAUGUUGUCCUGAGUUUAGAAAUUCCCAAUGUUAACAUGUUCUUAGCUUUUUUUUGGAAAGUUAUAGGGAUAUAAGUACAAGUAGCACUUUGCUAUUUCCAAACCAUUUUUUUUUCAAAAUUAACGCAUGUUACAUUGUAACAAUGAUAUCUGUCAGAAAUCCCUGAAUAACCAUUCACAUGUAUAUAUUUUUAAAAGAAGACAACCUAAGGUAUUAAACUUGGAGUAAAAAUUUGGGUAUUUUGACUCUUUUCAUGCAACCAUUUUAACACCAAUCUAUGCCAAGUAGAAAAUAAUAAUAAUAAUAAUAAUAAUAAUAAUAAUAACUAGAAAAGCUAAAAUUUCUGGGGAAAUUGUGUGAAGUGUUCUUGCCUCCACCAGUAGUCUACAACUGGAGUGGGCGGAGUAACUGUUAUCAUUUAUAUAGCACAUUUAAUUGCAACGUUGUUGCACAGUUACAUUAAACCAUACAUUUAUAAAAACAUUAGCAGGUGUUCAAAAGGCCCUGUCUAUUUUAAAAACUAUAAAUCCUACAGUGAAGAGCUUUAUAUUGUGGGAAUCACAAGGCACAGACCUACAUUUUGAUGCAUAGUAUGUCUCUGAAGUAUUAAAAAUGAAGGCACAGUCGCAGUUUAGAAAUUGCACUUCAAAUUUGAGUUUUGUAGAGUGAAGUUUCAAUGAAUGUCAAUGGAUGGUGUUAGUUGCAAACAAAUGAUUAUAUUGUGAAAACUAUCAGGACUAUGGCUUAGCCGUUGACAUGUUUAGUGGCAGCAGGGAUAGCUGAUUUUUCAGCAUUUGCCAGCUCCCACUCUAGCUUUGCCAUUCAUUCCUAUGGGACAAAUUUCGCCACAAGAACGACGAUAUUCCGUGAACCAUUCGGCGAAACGUUCCACAAAGUAAUAGCAAUCCGAUCGGGAACAAUCUGCACGUUUUGGUAAAUUUUUGUCUAUGUAGUGUAAAAACUGUGGGAGGAGAUAGGGUGGCAAAUUUGGCUAUAAUAAGAAUAAUAAUAUAUAUGUGAGAUAACAAUAAGUGGUCUUGCUAUGCAAGAACACUUAAUAAUUUGUGAUUACAUGUACAGAGAAUUUUAGGGUUACUGCCAAAGAACACCCCAAUAUGUGUUCAACUACAUCUACUGAGUACAGUGAUACCACCCAUGUAUAGGUGUGUCUGGUUCUCUGGGUGCUAAAAGACCUUAUUUGGAGGGUUCGCAUUCCAGUUUUCCAAUUUGGAAUUUUCUCACUGGUCAUCAUGCACCCAUGUCCUAUUUGGGACAUUUUUGAAGUCGGCCAAUGUAACAUCUCCCGAGUACAACAGUGUCCCCAAAGAACAGGAUUUAUGGGUUUUUGCAAACUUACAGGGGUCAAAUUUAGUACUUUCCACUUUUCCAUGUUUGCACAUUGACAUUUGCCAGAUUGGUUUGCUGGGCCUAUGUUGCCUUUGAGACUGUAUAGCAGCCCAGGAAUGAAAAUUAACCUCAUCAUUGCAUACCAUUUAUAAAGUAGACAACCCACGGUAUUCAAAAUGGCCGGACUGGUUUGCUGGGUCUGUGUAGCCUUUUGAGUCCAUAUGGUAGCCCAGUAAUGUGAAAUAACACCAUUAUGGCAUACCAUUUUCAAAUUUAGAUAACCCAUGGGGUAUUUCCAGUCUUUUGUAGUAGUCACUUAUUCACAAACGCUGGCCAAAGUUAACGUUUUUAUUUAUUUUCUAUAAUUUUUUUAUAUAUAUAUAUACAGUUGCAAGAAAAAGUAUGUGAACCCUUUGAAAUGAUAUGGAUUUCUGCACAAAUUGGUCAUAAAAUGUGAUCUGAUCAUCAUCUAUAGUCACAACAAUAGACAAUCACAGUCUGCUUAAACUAAUAAUACACAAAUAAUUAAAUUGUUUUUGUUAUUAAUUUUUUUGUUAUAUUUACUGAGUGCCUUGACCCCCCGAGGCACUCAGUACCGGCAGAGCGUUGAAAGCCUGCCUGAUGGGGGGGAGUGAUUACCCGGUGAUCUCUGGGGGGCCACCAUCAGUGAUGGGGGUAUUGCAGUGAUGCCUAAACAUCGAGGCAUUGCUGCAAUACCAUUAGAGCUGACGGAAGCCAUCAUGACCGUUUUUAAGGACCUGAUACGUCCGCGGUCACUAAGGGGUUAAAAGACCACUCCAUACUUCUAAAGCACCCUAGCUUGCUGAAGUGCUUUAUGUGUGAAGAGUGUGUCCUAUUUUUAACAUUUUACAAAACUUUCUAAUUUUAUAAAUUAACCUUGUUAUGCCCACCCACUAAAUAGUACAUUUUGGGGCCUGCGGUGCACUUCGUAUCUGAGAGUCAAAUAGAAGCAUCAAAUAGUGCGCUUACUGCGCAGUGGUAAACAUUCUAAUUGUUUAGCUGCUAAUCUGCUAAAUAGUACAUUUUGGGGCCUAUUCUUCAUAUCUGAGAGUCAAAUCGAAACGUCUAAUAGUGUGCUUUUUGCGCACUUGUAAACAUUCUAAUUGUUUUGCUGCUAAUCUGCUAAAUAGUACAUUUUGUGGCCUGCUCUUCAUAUCUGAGAGUCAAAUCGAAGCGUCUAAUAGUGUGCUUACUGCGCACUUGUAAACAUUCUAAUUGUUUUGCUGCUAAUCUGCUGCUUACAUUGGAGUUUUAAAAAGUCAUUUUUUUUUUUUACGCUAAAUAGUAUAUUUAGGGUGUUCACUUCAUAUCUGAUAGUCAAAUCCAAGUGGAACUUUGAUUCAAAUUUACUACAUCGGUCACUUGUAAUAUUGUUUCACACCUACAAAACUUGUUACACAGAUUUAAGUGAUAGAAAACAGACUGAUAUUUUCUACAGUAGAAACUACCAGAUAACAAGCUGCUAUAUUUAAACCAGUGAUCAAUAGCUAAGAGGUACUUCAACAAUAUUGUUGAACUUCGGCCUUCCCGCUCACCGCCUUAUUAGACUUUGUGAGCAGCAGCAGGCGAUAGUGGAGUUUCAGCUACAGCACGCACGGGUCAGUGGCUCUGCACCAGACUUCCCUCCAAUUGAUCAGAGUUAAAGGAUUUCAAGUGGACUUAUUACAAUUACAGGACCUCUAAAGAGUUCUGUAUUGUUAUUUGUCAUCACUACCUUCCCGUGUCAGGAGUGGGUCAUUUGCGCGCCUGCUGCCUUCCUUGCAUGUGGUAGCCGUUUCUCAGGGUCCCUGUACAGAAUGGAACCCUGAUUCCCUGUUACCCGUGGUCACCGUGGUAGGCGCAGAAACUGGCAUCGAAAGUUGAUAUGGAUGACAUCCGCAUGCAAAGUCACUGCCACGGGGAUGUGCGAUUUGCUCGAGGUUCUCUAGAGUCAACAAAGUUCCUGCGCAACUAUAAUGUCAACAGAUAGUAACAGGAAUUAGUAACAGGAAUUAGUAACAGGAAUCCAGAAUCACUGGUAUAGCACGCAUUUGUUUGGACAAGGAUUUUGCAGUUCGACUAUUGGUUAAAAUAAUUUACAGUACAGAGCAGAUACAGUGAGGGGGAAAAAAAGUAUUUGAUCCCCCCACAGAUUUUCUAUGGGAUUAAGGUCUGGUCACUCCAGGACCUUAACGUGCUUCUUCUUGAGCCACUUUGUUGCCUUGGCUACAUGUUUGGGGUCAUUGUCAUGCUGGAAUACCCAUGCAUGACCCAUUUUCAAUACCUUGGCUGAGGGAAGGAGGUUUUCACCCAAGAUUCAACUGUACAUGGCCCUGUCCAUCAUCCCUUUGAUGCGGUGCAGUUAUCCUGUCCCCUAAGCAGAAAAACACCCCCAAAGCAUAAUGUUUCCACCUCCAUGUUUGACAGUGGGGAUGAUGUUCUUGGGAUCAUAGGCAGCAUUUCUCCUCUUACAAACACGGCGAGUUGAGUUGAUGCCAAAGAGAUUGAUUUUGGUCUCAUCUGACCACAACACUUUUACCCAGUUCUCCUCUGAAUCAGGGCCGUCUAUAAUAUUAAUAGGACCCUGGGUAAAGAAUUACCCCCCCACCCCCUUCCCUGCUAUGCAAUCACACCUUUUUACAUACUUAAAUACACAAACAUAUACACUGACAGACAUACUGACACACAUAUAUUCACAGACAGACAUACUGACAUAUUCACAGACACACACAGACAUAAUGACACACGCACGACAGACAUACUGAUACACAGACAUACAGACAUUUAAACUGACAGACAUAUUGACAGACAUUCAGAAAUACAUAUUGACACACACAUUGACAGACAUACUGACACAUACAGAUGCAUACACUGACAGACAUACUGACACACACACAUACACUGACAGACAUACUGACAUACAUAUUGAAAGACAUACUGACACACACACAUACACUGACAGACAUACUGACACACAGACACAUAUACAGACAGACAUACUGACACACACAUACAUAAUGACAUAUACAUACACACACACACACUGACAGACAUGCUGACACAGACAUAUACUGACAGACAUACUGACAUACACAUACACACUGGCACACAGACACAUACACAGAAAUACAUAUUGACACACACAUUGACAGACAUACUGACACAUACAGAUGCAUACACUGACAGACAUACUGACACACACACAUACACUGACAGACAUACUGACAUACACAUACACACUGGCACACAGACACAUACACAGAAAUACAUAUUGACACACACAUUGACAGACAUACUGACACAUACAGAUGCAUACACUGACAGACAUACUGACACACACACAUACACUGACAGACAUACUGACAUACAUAUUGAAAGACAUACUGACACACACACAUACACUGACAGACAUACUGACACACAGACACAUAUACAGACAGACAUACUGACACACACAUACAUAAUGACACACACACAGACUUACACUGACAAACAGACACACUGACAGACAUGCUGACACACACAAAGACACAUACAUUGACAAACAUACUGACACACACACACACACACAGACAUAUUGACACACACACUGGCAGACAUACUGACACACACAGACAGACAUACUGACACACAGGCAGACAUACUGAUAGACACAUGUAAACUUUACACUUUUAAGUCCACCUCCUGUUUUCUACCCUAAAGGGUGGCUUCCCUGGUAUCCAGAGUGGUGGCUGAGGCUGUUAAGGGUUGCUGUUGGCAAUAUUGGCCCAGCCCCCUCCUCUCUGCCUCCCUGGUCUCCUGCAUGGCUCCCUCUGGGAAGAAGUGACCCAUGGUGUUUAAAAUUUGAUAGAACAAUGGCAGUCACUUCCUCCCUUGCUGCCAAAAAGCAAGGGGGCCUGGUCGUGCCAUUAAAGGGCAAGAGUUCAACCAGGCGCCUGCUUACAAAUGUCCACUGGGUAGCCCUUAGUGCAUGGGCCACUUGGUGGGUCUCCUUAAUGUGUGGAGCCACAGGCUGCACCGGGGGCCCAUUGGGGGAAAUAAGUAGUUGAGGGCAGUGGGGCCCAAGGGGCAGCUGCCUUGGACCCCCAGGAGUAACUGGGCCCUGUUUGCCCCGCAAUUAAGACAGACCUCCUCUGAAUCAUUCAGAUGUUCAUUGGCAAACUUCAGAUGGGCUUGUACAUGUGCUUUCUUGAGCAGGGGGACCUUGCGGGCACUGCAGGAUUUCAGUCCUUCACAGCGUAGUGUGUUACCAAUUGUUUUCAUGGUGACUAUGGUCCCAGCUGCCUUGAGAUCAUUAACAAGAUCCUACCGUGUAGUUCUGGGCUGAUUCCUCACUGUUCUCAUGAUCAGUGAAACUCCAUGAGGUGAGAUCUCAACAAGGUGAGGAGCACCAGACCUAGGGUGACUGAUAGUUAUUUUGUGUUUCUUCCAUUUGCGAAUAAUCGCACCAACUUUUGUAACCUUCUCACCAAGCUGCUUGGUGAAGGUCUUGUAGCCCAUAUUAACCUUGUGCCGUCUUCAAUCUUGCCCCUGACAUCCUUGGACGGCUCUUUGGUCUUGGCCAUAGUGAAGAGUUUUGGAAUCAGAUUGAUUGAUUCCUUCUGUAGACAGGUGUCUUUUAUACAGGUAACGAGCUGAGAUUAAGAGCACUCCCGAGGAACCAAAAAUCUUGAUGAUUGAUAGGGGAUCAAAUACUUAUUUCACUCAUUGACAUGCAAAUCAACUUAUAACUUUUUCGAAAUGCUUUUUUCUGGAUUUUUUUUUUUAUAGACUGAUCAUUUCUUUGUCAGUGGACAAACGUUCAAAAUCAGCAGGGGAUCAAAUACUUUUUGUCUCUCACUGUAGCAUUACUGAGUGCAGUAUUUGCUAUGAUGUGAUAAAAUGCUACAGGCUGAGAAAUGGGAUUUAUAAUGUUGGCAUUAUCUAACUUUUGAUGCUAUCUGUAUUCUGCUAUAUCAUGUUUCCACUGAUUAUUCAUUAUGCAUGAAUGACAUAAUGAACUUUUAUACUUGCUCAUAUUUCUCAGGAGCUAUUUAAUAAUAGAUUUUUAUAGCUUUUUGGAAAUAACACUAAUAUAUAACAGAUAAUAAUUGAAGUUGUCUGCCAUUCAGCUCAAUAUCCUUCUUUCCAUUUCUGAAGAUUGCUGUCUCAAUGGUUUACAUUAAAUACUUUACAAAAACUUUUCUCAUUCACUUGCCCCUUAAAUUUCCCCUUUAAAGUUUAUGGAAAGGACACAAAGAUCAAAGGAUGAAUGAGCAAAGAAGUAAUUCAUCUAAAUACCAAAGCAAUCUGCUGUUUAUGGGAAAAUCCAGAAAAUUCAUAGAAAACUGUCAAAGAGCAAACCUUCAUGAAUGCAAACAUGGAUUUGUUCAGCAUUAUAAUUUGCAUUUGUGAGGAACGGAUUAAGGUGCAUUGGGAAUUUAACUUCAGUUAUGCAGGACAUAGCAAUAAAACUGAAAAGGAAGAGGCUUUAGAAACAUGUCUGAUCUUCUGAAUGACCUCUGGAUAUUACCUGCAGGCACUGAACCUAAGUGAACAAUGGAAAAAAAUCUGAAUUAUUCAAAAGUAUUCUUUUUCUUCAUGGAUUCUAUUAAAGAUUAUAAAUGUUUAUUUAUAUAAAAUGUUGUGGCAACUUGGGGGUUUAAGAUUUUUUUUUUUUUUUUUUUUUACCAGCAUCUAUGGCUUAUCAUUCUUCAUAAUGGCUUAAAGAAAAUGGUCACAGUGGUCAGUACUCUAAUAAAUUCAAAUAUAUAUAUAUGUAUACACAAAAAACAAAAUACAGUGCACUUGCUUAUUCACUAAACAAUAAUUUCAAAUCUUAGAGAUUGUAAUAGUUUUAUUUUAAAAAAACACCUCACCUAGGCAAAAUACAAUAGGGGUUUAGAUAUAAUAUAUGAUCAUAUAUGACAUAAGCCUGCCACAACGUCAAUGUACCCCAUUCUUGGCAGGUCCUACUCUAGUAGCCUAAUGCUUGCUCUUAUGAGAUUAAUCCUCGUACUUGGGAAAUACUUCCUUACUGGGACUCUCUGCAAGUCAAGGCUUAAUAGGGUCCUGGAAUGAGGCACCUGUGACAGGGAGGUGUGCACAACCAAGGAGUUGGCCUGGACUCCCAAAUAUAUAAAUGAAACCAAGAGAGCAAGCAUUAGCAUUAGGUAAUAUUAAUGAACAGUCAGUUCUUGUAUUUCAUGUGUUGAAACAGAAAAAAAUGGACAACCAAAAAGAUUUGAGUAACUUUGACAAGGGCAAAAUAGAGUCAGGGCAUCUCCAAAACACCAAGUUUUGUGUAGUGUUCCCGGUAUGAAGUGGUUAGUAACUGCCAAAAGUGCUGCAAAGAAGGACAAUGAGGGAACUGGCGUCAGGGUCAUGCUUACCCAAGGUUCAUUGAUGCACAAGAGGAGCAAAGGCUAGUCCGCCUGGUCCAAUCACACAGAAGAGCUACUGUUGCUCAAAUUGCUGAAAAUCUUAAUGCUGGCCAUGAUAGAAAGGUGUCAGUAUGCACAGUGGAUCACAGUUUCCUACACAUGGGGCUGCAUAGCCACAGAUCAGUUGGAGUGGCUGUUUAGCCCUGUCCACCACCAAAAGUAUGUUCAAUGGGGACAUAAGCAUCAGAACUAGACCAUGGAGCAAUGGAAGAAGGUUUACUGUUCCGAUUAAUCACAUUUUUUUUUAUAUCAGGUGAAUAGCCGGUAGCGUGUGCAUCAUUUACCUAAAGUAGAGUUGGCAUCAGGAUGCACUAUAGGAAGAAGGAGAAGGCAGUGUUAUGCUUUGGCCAAUGUUCUGCUGGGAAAUCUUGGAUCCUGGCAUUCAUGUGGGUGUUUCUUUGGCACAUACCACCUACCUAGAUAUUGCUGCAGACCACAUAACCCCAUUCAUGGCAAAUUUAUUACAUGAUGGCAGUGGCCUCUUUCAGCAGAGUAAUGCACCCUGCCCCACUGAAUAAAUGUUCAGUAAUGGUUUGAGAAACAUGACAAUGAGUUCAAUGUGUUGCUUUGGCCUCCACGUCCCACAGACCUCAAUCUGAUUGAGCAUCUGUGGGAUGUGCUGGAACAACAAAUCAGUUCCAUGGAGGCCCCAUCUUGCAACUUUCAAGACUUAAAGGAUCUGCUGCUAAUGUUUUAGUGCCAGAUGCCACAGUACACUUUUAGGGGUCUUGUGGAGCCCAUACAUUGAAAAAUGAGAUCAAUUUUUGCAGCACAAGAAUAUUAGGUAUUAGGCAAGUGGUUUUAGUGUUGUGGCUGAUCAGUAUAUGCAACAUUGCCAUGAAAUCUUCCAUUCUGCUUUUGUUGUAUCUUAUCUCCAUUAUAAUAAAAAGAAAGAUAAAGAAGGAUACAUAAGUAAAAUGGGGAUUGACAUCUACUAGUUUUGAAAUUCCAGGUAACUCCGAAUGUUUGUUAAUUAAAUUGGGAAAGAAAAAAGAAGCGUAAAAUUCUCUAACUCGGCUAUAGUCACGAUUCGGCUAUUUUAGCCUCUCGUUUGUUAUUACAAUUUGGGCCUCGAUUUAUUAAGAUUUUUCAAAUGCUUUAAUACUGUUCCAAAUAAUUUGUCUACAAACAUUCCCACAGACUUUAAUGGUGGCUUCUGUGCAUGCUCCUAGUGCCAUGAUAUCAUUCAGCACAGGAUGACCAUGUUUCAUGACACACUCGCAUUGUGCUUGCUGUGUACAGUUUCCUGGUGUCCCAAGAUGCUAGACACCAGGAAACCAACCUGGGAUGGCCACAAAGGAAUCUAUUUGUGGUUUCUCCAUGGAUAUUAUUAUCAAGGUAUCUUAUAAAGACAUAUCUGGACAUAUUGGAGCAUAUAUGGACAUUUAUGGCCUUGGUUAACAUUGGCAGCCAUGUGAAUUGGUCAAACACUAUAUAGAGGUCCUAAAGUUUUCCUCAAUCCACAUUACCAGUAGUCCAUCUAUUUAUUUAUUUAUUAACUGUUCUCUUUUAGUUAAAAAAAAUAUUGAGUACAAUUGAAAACAUGCUACAACAUUCAUUUAUAAUCCUGUAACACACACCGAAUACAUGCCAUAACACUCAUAAGGUGACACUUUCAUUGAACUGGACUGUAGUGUAGUGUCUAGAGGUGUAUUAAACAGGCAAGGUUUUUAAAGAGUAAACAGAUUUUAAUGCGAUUUAAACUUAGUAAAUUAAACUAGUAAAUACAUUACAGGUGUAAUGAAUAGAUCGGUAUCACUGCUUUUUUAUCUUGGUUCUAAUAAUUUUAGUGACAGUUUCUCGUUUAUGUACACUGAUUCUGGCUGUUUAUUAUAAAGGUUUUUAUAAAGAUUUUAAUUAAACUCUUUAAUUAUAUUCAUUGUGUAGUUCCUGAGAAGUUUCAGAUAGUAUAAGCUAUAAUUAAUUAACACUUUAAUAACACCUUAUAAAUCACUACACGUUUCUUGUUGGUAUCGAGCAACGUAGCAAACAUUAAAUCGGCAGAAUAUUUGUUCAAGAUAUUAACCUAUUAUGGACAUGCCCCUGAAUUAUUUAAAGUGUAUCUGUCACCUAAGAUAUAACUUUCUCCUUAAUUUUUGUUUUUGCAAUGACUCUAGUUAUUUUUGAUAUUCAGUUUUUUUUCCAUUGCUAUGUUUAGUUAAUGUCUUAUUGUGCCUGUUGUUGCAAAUGUAUGCACUCACCUGCUGUAUACCUAACCUCUUUUAUCUCAUGUGCUCGUCUGAAGUUUCAAAGACAUAUCAGCUUCCAUCAAAUCUGUUACAAAAAUUAAAUUGGAGAUAUCAUGAAAUUCGGGCCAUCUGAGAUGUAAUUAUUAACAUGGAAGUUAAUGGAACAAAUCCACAAGUUCAGUUUGCAAAGUUCCGAAUCAGGGCAGGACUGGCUACGUAUAGCAUGACAGCAAUUAUAAAUAUCUCAAUUUCAGACCAAACCAGCCAAUUCCACUUCUUUUUUUUAAAUUUAAUAACAAAAGUUUUAUAUUAAUACUGUAAGAACCACAAUGUGAGAUUAAUAUAAGAUUAUAGUUAAAACGUAUAGUUUACUUUUGUACUGGGAAGCAGCAGCCCAAAAUCUUCUCUAUACUAGUGGCUAGGGGCAAUUGCCUCCCUUUCCACUCCUCUUCUAAAUGUAGGAUCUGAAUGGGGUAUCUGCUAUAAGGGAUGGCUGCUGACUCUGUUCUAUGACUUCACAAUAUACAUGGUUUAUAUUAUUUGAAUGUACUAGUGAAUCUAUCUGGUACCUGCAAUCUAAUAGUCCUAUAUUUUUAAAAGCAGUUCAUGGUAUUAGCUCAAGUGAACAUGGGUAAUAUAGAGUUUUUUUAUUAUUUUGGCAAGAAAACAUCUUGAAAGAUCGAGUCAGUGUUCUUCUCAGGGCACAGAUAGUCCAGACUAUACCACAAAAGGUAGGAAGAACCUGCCAUUUGCUCAUGUAACUUGCAGACAGGUAAUGCAGCUGUUGGAAUUCCUUAGUGCAGGGCUUAGAUAACCUUUGGCACUCCUGAUAUUGUGGACUACAUCUCUCAUAAUGCUCUAGCGGUCAUAAUGCUGGCAAAGAAUUAAGAGAAAAAGUAUUCCAUAACAUCUGGAGUGUCAAAGGUUGCCUACCCCUGCGAUUAAUGAAAGGUUUGCUAUCAGAGUAACAACCUGCUGAGAUUUAAAUUAAUUUAGCACCAAACAAUAUUUACUCUAUUACCAAACACUACUUUGUUAAUAGAAAGUAUUUUUUAUCAUCACAUUAAUACAGACAAUCUAUAAACAUUUCCUAGUUCUCCCCCCCAAUGAAUAAAAGAACCUCAAAAAUCAACUGACCAGUUUGAAUCCGUAGGAUUUUUUUAAUAUUCCCAUUCUUGGCCCAUGCUUACUUGAACGUAUACCUUAGAAUAACUAAACUUAAUCUCUGUAAAGUUAGCCCUCAUUUUUAGUUACCCUUGUGAUACAAAUAAUUUCAAGAAUAUAUACUGCACAACUAAUUGUGUCUGGAUAUACAAAAUUAUAGAAUAUAUACACAUGUUACCUAUGGACCUAUUUGGGGAGACUUCUCUGUGAGAGUCCAUAGAUCAGAGCAUUCAGUAUGAAAUUUGAGGGAAAAGCCUUUACAUAAUGAAAAAGAGGCCUACAUGGAUGGGAGUUUUUUUUUAGCAUUAUGCUUUUCCUUAUUUUUCUGUUUUAUUGUUAAGUUAUCAUUCUCUUGAUGAUGAUGAUGAUGAUGAUGAUGAUGCUUUAUCAUUUGGAAUUGUGUGUGCCUGGAAAAAUAAGAAUUUAGAAGAAAAGUGUGACUUAUUUUACAAUUAAGUAAAUUGGGCUCUCCUCAGUAUUAUUAGAGUCAAAAUUAAGUAGGACAAUUUUAUGGAGAUUACCAAGUCAUUAGAUACACCUCAUCAACAACAAAAAAGGGGGGGGGGGAUUCAUUUGGGGAUUCUAGAGUCUUGGGGGUGAUUUGCUUGCAUGUCCAACCAUUCUCAUUAGAUUAUUAUCACUCAACCUGAUGCCCAUGUGUAGGCAGCAAACAAGGGCAUGUCCCCACUUGUACUGUAUUUUAGAGCCCCCUACUUCUACCCAUAAGUGAGACUGACUGGCAUACACUGACCAAGAGCCAGCCAUCACAUACUUAACCCUUCUUUCACUAAGGGUUUUUUAAGCUAUUUGACAGUUAACAAAUAACUUGGAUAUUUUAUUUUUUAAUCCAGAUCCAUAUUUUAAGCAUCUGGAUGUGUAUUUUCAUAAUUCAGUUUGGCUAAAAUCUGGACAGCAUACUGGGUCACUUGGAGAAAUUAUAGCAAAUUCUAGACAUUGCAAAAUAUUGAUAACAAUGUGUGGAUAUUGCAGUCUGAAUGCCUCUGAACAGAUUUCCACAAAUCUAGACCAUGGACUAUUAGACUUUAGUAAAUAAUCCAGUUUGAUUUUUAUGAAUUGAUAUAUUUAUAAUUAUUUUCACUGACAGAGUUACUGACAUUACAUCAUAUCAUAACAGAUUUGAUAUGUUUUUUCUCUCAUAAACACUACAUGUAUUCUAAAGAAUCAUUGCCACUCAAGGCACACCUGGAUACCAACACAACUUAAGUGCAUUUUAUAGCUUUUGGCCUUAUAUUGUAAUUGUCUCUGGUAGAGAGUUGAGCCAGCAGCUAAAUUCACACUGAUUUUUCAUUGGCUGAGCUAUACUGUGUACAUCCCAAUCUGAAAAAAAUAGUGUAAAAGGAGAGGUGGAUAAGGGCACCUACUGCCAUACACUAACAACUAGUCAGGGGGUGCCCUUAUAUGCUGCAGGUUUUUUUUUUUUUUUUUUGGAAAUCUAAAGAGAGUAGAGAAAGGAGAGCAAGCAUGAAUGUGAGAUUAAAACUUCAAUUCCACUUUACUUUUGUUGGUGCAUAGCAUGUUCCUUUAUGUAAGGCAUGACUACUAUUUAAGGCACCACAUGCUAUCGCUAGUACUUAAAUUUAUGAAUAAUUUAAUAUUAUUAUUAUUAUUGUUAUUUAAUUACUCUAAAUAAAACUGACAUGCCUAAUAUGAUUUCUCUUAAUUUAACAUAUAUAUUCCCAUACCACUCAUGGAGUUUAUUAACUAGGUGAUGGGUUGUGGAGAACUGCUAUCAGCAAAUAUAGGAUAAAUAAAAAUACAUUUAAAAAAAGCUCUGUGGUACAAUUUGUCCAGGUCAGUUAUUUUGGACUAAAAUUUAUAUGUCCUAGGCAAUUAUCUAUAAUUACCUGUUUAGUUUUAUUCUUUGUCUCCAAAGUAACGGUUUCUGUAAGUGAACUAUAACACAAUGUUGCAAUACAAGACUAUAUUCUGGCCUAUUAAUAUAGAGGGUUAUUUUAUAUCACACUGGAAUAAGGUGGGGGUUCAUGUUACAAUUACACUAGCCUUGCUCUGAAAAUUCACUAAAAAUGUACUAAUGGUGGAUUUUGCACUAGAAAUCUUGAUAAAUAUAAAAAUUAAAUUACUUUUUUUUUUUUACUUAAUUAGGAAUAUAUGUUAACACUUUGCAUAUUUAAGAUGGUGCACUUAUAUGCAAAUAUAAUACAAGUAGUCAAUAAAAAGCAAAUCAUAUUAUAAGGCAGUUGUCAGGACACGGUUUAGGAGACAUAGCCCAAGAUACAGAAAAGGCUGUAACUCAAUCAGAAACACAGUACAAAAGGGUCAGAAUGAAGAAUGGUCAGAAAAGACAAAGGUCAUGACAGGUGGCACAGGAUCGUAGCCAGGAGUCAAGCAACAAUAAAGUAUUAGGGAGUCAAACACACAGGCACUGAAGGUAUUAAUGCAAAAUGAGCCCAGUAUAACAGAGCAAAGAGUCAAGGGUUAGUGGACUUUAGAAAGUCCACUUACUUUAGCGCCUCCUUCAUUCAAACCCCCUUCUCUGGUUUCUGCCUCCUGUCUCUUUAAGAAACUUUUCUUCAGAACGCGUGUGCCAUAGGAUUCCCCCAUAGCUCCGGAUUCUGUGUGGCUGUGUUCGGGAGGCAGUAGUGUCUGGAGGAUGGUAAGCGGCCGGCGUGGGUGAUCAGGCCGGCAGCACUGCACGUUGAGUCGUGCUCCAGCGCGGCAUCUUCAUGGAGAUAGAGGGAGACAAGGCGCGGGAGCGUGAGGUAGGUAAGCUGGGGAAUGGGGACCUGACAGCAGUAUAGAUAUGAUUUAUGAAAAGUAACAAGUAAAAAAUAUUGGUAGUGUCUAUAAUGGUGGAGAAACUAUGGAAAAAAACAAUUCCCAUAAUUUGUUGCUCAACAUUUUAGAGUACAUAAUGCACAUUAAAUAUUUUGUUUCUACUCUAACAAUUUGGGCACAAGUCAAGUAAAUACCCUAUGCAAUCUCCUACAGGCCAGAGCUGUAGUAAAAGAACUAGCAAAAAGUGCUUGCCUGGUAGCCUGGCUGCCAGUUGACAUGAGAUACAAUUACUAUACUAGCAAAGAGAGUAAAUAGGACAUCUUGUUAAAUAUCUAUUUUUUUACUUUUAACAGUUAGUGUAUAAUAUUUAUCAUCUAUUUCUAUGCACUGUGACUAUUUUUGUGCAUAAUGAAUCAUAUUACCUGGAGAUACAUAUUUUAUAGUAUUUUAGACUACAUAGAUAUUUGCCAAAUUAUGCUUUAUAGGGUUUUUUUUUUAUCUGACUUGGUAGGUAACCGAAAGCCCUAUUUUUACAUUGCUUUGGUGGUGGAAAUUACAUCAUUAUUUUCAGUCUAGUGGAGACAAAUAAUGAUUUUUAACCUUUCACACCUGGAACCAAGUGACAGGCUUGCUUGGUACUGUGGCUUAUGACACUAACCCUAAAGGAUUUCCUCUGCUACUUGUCAGUGCUGAUAUCAGCAGAGGGAUUUAAACCAAUAGAGUGGUAUUUAACUGCCAUCAACUGGCUGUUUGUAAUAUCUUAUGAUUCAGCUCUGGCAUGCUGUCUCACUGUGAUUGGUGCUGGGCAGCUGACAAAGCCCAGGAUCAAUCACAAUCAAACAGGGGACCAUGAUCUCUCUCUGUAUGCAGUCUGGGGCCAGCAUGUUCAAACAUUGUUAAGGGAUUAAUAUUGUCUUUUUCAGGUUAAAAUCUGUUUAUAGGUUUACAGCAGUUCUGUAGAAAACUUGUGAAUUUGGAGAAACCAUGAUGGAAACUGAUGAAACGUUUUUGUUGGUUGCUCUACUUUCUGAACAAGUGUGUGUUCUAUUUUAUUUUGCAAUCUUUUGAAAAUACACUGUAUGGUUCCAUAUAUUUUGGAAACUAUAUUGAUUUUUCAGAGAAAUAUAAAAUAAAAUAUAUAAAUUAUUUCACAUUAUUCAAGAUAACAAUCUUACCCCUCAACGCUUUAAUGUAACUGCAAUUUUUAUGCUCUUUUAUAAUUGUAUUUUCUAUAACUUUUCUAUUUUCAGAAUAUCUUUGUUCAGCAUUUUUAAGCCCUUGUUUUGCAAACAUGUUCUGUUAGCAAGCAUUCACCAUUAAGCAACAUUCACACAUUAGAACUCCUGUGAUCAGGUUUGGUACCAUACACCAGGCAGCAGUGUGAUAUAAAUAGAAUUUCAUGAAUCAAUAUUCAUCAUGAAAAGCAAAGUCAGUGUGAAAAAAACAUAAAUGAGAAUUGCCAAUUGUUAUGACUUUCAACAUGCAUGGAAGAAAAUAAUCAGCAAUAGGAUUAAUACUUUUUGUAUAAUAUUUGUUUUUGAUGAUCUUUCGCAGCCAGUUGCUUGAGGUUAGUUUUACAUAGAAGUAGUUUAUUUUUACUUUACAAAUAUUAGAUAUUAUACUUUACAUGUUAUACUAUUUGUCAUUUUAGCAUGUGUAAAGUCAGUACAUAAAUAAUUUGCUAAACAAAUCAGAUGGUCUCAAAGAGACCACCAUUUAUACAAGCCUCCAAAUGCUUUAUAUGGGAAAGCAUUGGAUUGGAUGGAUUGGAUUGGAUGAGAUCAUCGAUCUCGAUCAUCUCAGCCAAAGAGGUGGAGUGACACACCAGAUACCAGUGCUGCAAGGGAGACAAGGUAAGUGAGCUCAUAUUUUUACCUCUUGCAGCCGGGGCCCAGUCAUCUAAACGAUGACUGCAUGAAUGAAUGUAAACCUAAUGAUUUUAUAUAAUUUACAUGGUUAUUUAUGAAAGUGAGAACUGCAAUCAAUUCAAAGUAAAUCAAAAUUUAAUUUUAAAAUGUAUGCCAAAAUAGCCAAAUUUGAAACUUUUUCCAAGUCAAUUCUGCUUUCAGGUAGGCUAUUUCGAUGUUUAAUUUGGAAUUCACUUUGAACUGCUCGCAAUUCUCACUUUAGAAAAAAACCCUGAUAGAAAUAGUAGAAAAGGAUAAAAAUGACUGUGUGAUGCAGUGAAUAUAGAAGUAGAAUUAACUAAUCACUAGGGUAUCACCAAUAGUUGUGUUUUCGUGUGAUUUGAAGUCCAUUAAUAAGUUAGGAAGAGUGGUCCUUUAUAAUUGUGAAAAAUAUUCAGGACAGUGUCAGUGAGUGACCCAUAAAUCCAAUUACUUUACUGUGUCAGCAUUGUUUGCUCUUGCAUGCCAGAUUAAUUUUUUUUAUAUUUUUAUUGAAAUAUAAGUGUUAUAUAUAUAAGAAACUGUAGCAAACCAUAUUAACAAUGAUUCCCCAGCGAUAUUCGAAUAUUAAGUUAGUCUCAGAAAAACUAAACACAACAGUGUUAAGAACUGAUGAAUGCAGAAACUGAAAUCUCUAGUAUGGGAUGCCACACAGCAGUCAUAUGUCAAACCGCUUUCAUGAAAUGUUGAUAGUACCUAACAGUCCCACUGAGUAAAUAAACAAAUAAUCACAAGUAUACAUGAUUGCUUAUGACUGACAUAUUGGUAUAAUUGAUGCCGUACAAUCUGAAACAAGAAUUGAGUCUUGUGGUAAGAUAUUUCUCAGCAUAAAAUACAUUGUAUUCAGGCUUUACAAAGACCUAGAGUCAACACAUCACCUGUCUUAAUCAUGCAUUUUUGUGUAAUUUUCACAAUUAGCAGUUGUGUGCCUGCUACAGUAACCCCUACACCAGAAUGCGUAUCUGACUUACCAAAUUCAGUAACAUUGUUUCUGUUAGUUUUUUUUUUUAUAUUUAUCACAUUUACAGUAAUAGUAACCCUUUAAGGACACAGCUUUAGAAGCUGGACAUACCCUUAAGGACACAAGCAAUUUUUGCUUUUUUUGCUGUUUAUGUUCAAAUGGAAUUUGCAUCUCUUUCAUUUAUUGUACCAACACAUUUUAUAUACUAUUUUUUAGACAACAAAAAGGGGUUUAAUUUGAUGUGCCAUAUACAUAUAUAAAUUCUCAUUUAUUACCAAAAAAAAGUUAAAUAAUGUGGAAAAAACUAAAAAAUGCUUUUUCCCCAAGUUUUAUCAAUAAUAAUGUGUGUAUAAUAUCUCCCGCUUAGGAAAAGUAAUUCAAAAUCAAUUCAUUUAUAUGUCUUGAUUUACAAAGUGUAUAAUAUGUGUAGGAUUUCAGUUUAUUUUGAAAGUUACAGGUCACAAACUACAAGGUCUAAAAUAAAAUUUCAAUGUGAAACAAUUUUAGAAGUUGGUAUAUUUGUCUUGGAAGUUUAAUACCCAUUACAGGAAACAAAAUUGCCACACAAAAGUAUAUAUUUAUAUAAAGUAGACAUCAUAGGCUAUUUACCUAAGGUUAGUUUGACACUUUUUGCGUAGCCAUUUCACCGCCAAUCUCUGCUAAAUAUUGGAGUAAAAUUUAAUUUUUUUCUCUAAUUUGGCAUAUACACAUAUUACAAGGUUUUUGUAAUGUGUAUUUCAUAAACCUAGUGUGUGCUAUCCCUAUACAGAACCCCAUAUUGUGUUCAGCUACAUCUGCUGAGUAAAACAAUACCCCCAUUGUAUACCUUUGCCCCUAUUCUGUGAAGUUACAAUGCCAUAUAGGAGACCAUGUUAUUUCAGUUUCUAUAGUUGUAAUUUUCAUAGAUGGUCAUAUGUCUGAUUUUGUGGCAUUAUAGCCAUUUGACUGUUCAAAUAACCCCACAAAGGCCUUCCAUUUGAGAAAGCAGACACUCCAGGAUAUAUUAUUAGGCAUAUAUUAUACCUUAACUUGCCACCAUUUUUUCACCAAUUUAUUUCAAAUUUUGUGAUGAGAAUUUUUUUAAAUUUUUUUACAUACAUGUUGCAUUUUCACUGGGUAUUUCUUAAAUUUGAUAAGUGCCACUGUCAUAAAUCCCCCCUAAGUAUGCUCAGUUACCUCUUCUGAGUAAAACAAUAAGCCCAAUGUAUGACCUGGACACUAUUUUGUGAAAUUACAGUGCUGUGAAAGAGACGUCACAAGUUCAGGUUUUUAAGUGUGAAUUUACAUGGAGAGUUUUAAUGGGUCCGUAUUCUAUCUUUAAAUAUGUUAGCAGGCUGCUUUUUCCAACUACCCAAAAAAGGCAUACUCUUUCUUAAAGAAGACGCCCAAGGGUAUUUCAAAAGGCAAAUUUUGAACCUUAGCGUGGGAUAAUUUUUCCGUUAGCUUGUAUCAAAUGUAGUGGUAAUAAGCAUUUUUUUUCUACCUUUUUGACACACAGUGAGUUUGUACUGUAUAUUUUGCAAACCUUAUGUGUGCUACGGCUUUAUAAUACUUUAUAUGUUGCUCAGCUAUAUUGUCUGAGUACAGCUAUACCCCCGUAUGUACCUUUGCCAGGUAUAUGUGGACGUUGAAGGGGCACAUUUCAGACACAGCCAUUGCAGGUUUUUUCAAACUUUGAACUUUUACGCUGUGUUGUUACCCCACUUUAGAGUUUUUUAGCAGACUAUAUAUUCCAACUAUCCCAUAAAAGCAUACUAUUUCUUAAAGAAGACAUCCCAGGGUAUUUCAAAAGGCAUAUUUUGAACCUUAGCGUGGGAUCAUUUUUCCGCUAGCCUGUACCAAGUGUAGAGGUAAUACGCAUUUUCCCCCUUUUUAAAACAUUUUUUUUACUUUUUAAAAGUUUUUUUUAACUUUUAAAAAAUUUUAUUUAGCUUUUAACAACUUAUUGUACUAUUUUAAAACUUUGUUUAAACUUUUCAAAAGUUUUUUUCACUUUUAAUUGUUUUUUUUUUACUUUUAACCCCUACCUAGCCUAACCAUAAAUCCCUAAAUUUCCCCACUAACUUCUACCCACCCUAGCUAAAUAAAUAAAUAUUUAAAAAUAUUUAAAUUAAUUAAUUAAAUACAUUUAACCUCUGAGGAUUAAAAAUAAAAAGGUAACCCUAGGGGUUAAAAAAAAUUAGAUCACAGUGAAAUACUGUGAUCUGUAUUUUGAUCACUGCAGGCAGACACACUACAGGAAGAUUAACCCCACGAUUGCCGUGAUUGUGGUAAUCAGGGGAGUGCUGCAAUGACGGAAAAUUUCCAUCCAGCAUCCUUAAGGGGUUAAUUAUAUUAUAUAAUGUUUUCUACAUGUUUCUAUCAUGAAAAACAACUUUGAUCUUCUCAUAAUAAAAAAGCAAAAUCCAGUUAGCGAGUGCAUAUAUCCAUAGAGUAGAUUUUUUAAAUGGACCUCAAGAGGAAAAGUCAUUGCAGUAAAAUGCAAGAAUUGUUCAGUUUCUAAACAAAUUUAAAAAAUAGUAUCUUUAAUUAAAAAUUACUCCAAGAAGAAAUCUGAAACAUGCGCAGAUCUAUAGAACUGUCACGGCUGCUAGUGUGAUCCCACACGCAGAAACUAUGUAAACAUAUACAUACAAAAGGAAAGGAAAUAAAAGGACAGAGCAUAAACCGGACCUUAGAAUGGCCGGACUAAUACGCUAGAAAUAGAGAAUGGUCAAAGGGAAAGCCGAGGUCAAGGAAGCCAGAAAUACCCAGAAACCGUUUAAACAAGCCAAAUCAGGGGAACCAGAAUUCAGAAUAACCAGGGAAAAGCCAAGAUCAGGAUACCAGGAAGUAAUAUUCACAAAAAUAAAUGCACUCUAGGGAACCAGGAACAGGAAACCACGACAGGGCAAGGUACUGGGGUGAAUUAGGGAUUUAAAUAUCCCUCUCUAGGCUCUGAUUGGUCAGAGGGUGACCUCUGACCCCAGAAUGUGCGCGUGCGUUGAUGUCUUGAUGUCACGCGCGCGUUCGUAUAAUUUUGGGGGCUGGAGCCAUGGAUGGACGUGACCUCAUGGUCGACGCAAUCUUGGAUUUCCCCGAGCGGCAUGGAGGAACGGUUCCUGGCUCGCCACUGAGCAGGUAAGCUCAGUGAGUAGGUGCGGUCGUGCCGGUUGGGCACGGACGCACAUGGCGGCGAGCCGGGGGCCGUGACAAGGACCCAACUGAGCAUGGGACUAUGUUGAAAUAAUGCUGUGAGACAUACAAUACUGAAAAAAAUAUUUAAAAACAUAAGUAGAAGAAGAUUGCAUGGUGUCAUAAAAAGGGUCACUGGAUCGAGGAGUCUCAAUGAUUCGCAUGUGAAAGCAUGUUAAUUCAAAUACAGUUUGAAAGGAAGCCUUGUAACCAUAUUUCAUUCUAAUUAUAAAAGAUUCAUAUUUUAAUCUUCUAUUAUUUCAGAGAUCAUAACUUGUGACUGAUCUGUUUUCAUUACAAAUGUAGAGUAUAAUUAUACAUAUGCAGCUUCAUUACGCAUAGUAACAUAAACCUGAAUCUGGUUUGCAAUUUUUUAUGUGUUGAGACAAUUUUACACAUUAAAUAUUUAUAUGAUUAUGCUACCAUGCUUCCCGCUAUAUACAUAUUUUAUUUAUUUUUUAUUAUUAUUAUUUUGUUGCUACAGUUGGUUUGAAGCCUUUGUUGCAGAAGAUAUCUCAGUAAUUGCUCAGCUGCUCG